AUGUCUCUCUGUUGUACUUGUUUAGAGGAGCAUUAAGCUCAAAUCUCUUUGGCAAAUCCGGAUUCGCCAAGAAAAUACGGCCAUAAGCAAUAAGAUCUGCACGGCCCUCGGCCACGCCAUUGUUCCCUUCUUCCUUGUCAUAACCACCAGCAGCAAUGAAGGUACCAUUAAAAGCCUUUCUCAUGGGUACAAGACUCUGGGGGCAAUCACUCUUUUCUCCAAUUGUCUUCAUCCUCGGCUCAACCAUAUGGCAGUACACAAUCCCGUACUUGUUCAAUGAAUUGGCCAGAUAAAGGCCCAACGCUUCAGGGUCUGAAUCCCCUGAUCCCAUAUAGUUGGCAAAUGGAGAUAAUCUAAUUCCAACUUUAUCCGCUCCUAUCUCGUUAGCAACAGUUUCAACAAUUUCCAGAGCAAAUCGACAACGAUUCUCCGUAGAUCCGCCAUAUUGGUCUGUUCUAUCAUUCACUUGAUCUUUCGUAAACUGAUCAAUAAGGUAUCCAUGGGCCCCAUGAAUUUCCACUCCAUCAAAGCCUGUAUAUCAGACAAAUAAUUUCAGCGCACCAAAUAUUAUUUGUAAUCUAACAUUUUAAAUGAGGCAUGCCGUUAUAAUGUAAGGUUAGUUAACAUGUAAUCUAACGUGAACUAUUGUCACACACCUCAAACUGCAAAUUAUAUUCAUGCCUUUUAACUACAUUUGUAAGAUUACACAUCGUGCUUAUGUUGAAAACAAUUUUUUUGUUAAACGAUAGAUUUAUUAGAUUAGAGAGACGACGGGGUUCGAACCCAUGCCGUAAUGCAAGGGCAACACUUUUCUCUACCACUGUGGUAGAGGGCCACUUGCCGUUGAAAACAAUUUUGAGUUCUCACAAAUUUUAUUUCAUACUUUAAGUAAAGACAAAUUACCAGCUUCCAUUGCAUUCCUUGCAGCAAGUCUAAAAUCAUUGACAAUUUGUGGAAUUUCAUCUGUCCUUAAUCGUCUUGGAGGCGUGAAUUCAGAAACAUCAAUGCCAUUUAAUGGUACCCGCUUCUCAGUAGAAGAGAUUGGAGCUUGCCCAUUUGGCUGAAAUCCUGUAAGAUAAGAAAAUGUAGAUAGAAUCACAAUCUGAAAGAUUUCUAUUACAGGAAUAUCAAGGCAGCUCUCUGAUGCUUCAAUGGGCUAACUUUUCGCUUAUGAUCCGGACGCUUUCAAUGACACAAACUGAAGUCAUAAAAGUGUGUUAGAAACGCACCGGUAUUUGAAACCCUCCCUACAUGCAAAAUCUGACAGAAGAAGAUGCCGCCUUUAGCAUGAACAGCAUCAACAAUGGGUUUCCAUGCUUCAACUUGCUCCUUUGUCCAUAUACCGGGAGUAUCUGUGUACCUUCGCAUAUUAAAGAAACAAAAAUGUUGUCAAACUUUGAAAUGAAGAAAGUACACAUUUAAAUGUAUGUUUUCCAUUUAAAAUUUGACAUAAAAGAAACUUGAAAGAAGCUAAUCUUGGUGAAGUUACCCUUGAGCUGUGUCAGAAACUCCAGUGGCUUCAGUUAUGAGAAGACCCCCGUUAGAUGUUCUCUGGGAGUAAUAUAAGAUCGCAUGCGGCCGAGGAACAUGUCCGUAUGAUCUUUGUCUACCCAUUGGUGCUAAGACAACUCUGCAGAAGGCAAGGAAGUAUUAUGACAAGUUUGAUAGGUGUUAAUAUAACUAGCCCCUUGAAGUAUUAUCAGAUCUUGAACAGAACAAAAUUUAAGUAAUACGACGAAAACGCCAGAAAGGAGAUGUACUUUUCCUAGCCAAGUGCCUCUAAUGAUGAAUUAGGUAAUUUCAGGUCAAGAUCAAGUACUAACUCAGGUGUGAUGAGUGCUUCAGAGUUCUAGGCAUCAUCUAUGCAUAUAUUUGCUUUCAAGAUCUGGGGCUUACAACGAAUUUCAGUAACACCUGUCCAAGUUUAUUUUCUUUAAGAAUUGACUAAUUUAGUUGCUAAAUAUGUUUCCAAAUGAACAAAACCCAACUGCCCAAAUCUCAGCUUCUCUAGCAGAAUACAAAUUAAAAAACGAAAAAAAAAAAAACAUAAAAAUCAAUGCAGAAUGUUGAAGAAUAUGUUGUAGAAAAGGUUGAGCGACUGAGUUUAAGGUACCUAUGAGAAAGAUUGAAGUUUCCAAGUUUGUAUGGGGUAAGGAGAGGGCUUAUGGGACCACCUACUUGAGUUUGAUUAGCCAUUUCAAUUCAACUGGGUUCAGAGCUAGAUGCUACUUUUGUGUUUGGUUUUUUAUUUGAUUUGAUUUAAUCUGCAUGGAUAUUUAUACGGAAUGAGGAUCCUCUUUGGAUUAUUUUUAUAGGGAUUUUAGAGAUCCUCCAAUCACGUAUGUUUAUCGUAUAUUGUGCAGUCAUAAAUUAUUGUAAAUUUUAUUAUUUAAAAUUAAAUAUAGAUAGUACCGAAAGAAAACUGAUCGUACGAUAUACAAUAAACUAACGUGAUUAAAAGAUAUCCGGUUCCUCAUAAAUAGAAUCCGGAGCCUCAUUCAUUUAUACGUUCGGGGAGAGGAGGAAGAGAAACUCAAAAGCAACACUAGCACCAGCACAGUCCCCUUCUCCUCCACCUUCCUCCUGGGAGGCAGAGGCAGUGGUGGGCGGGGGGCUCCUUUUUCAAGGGACACCACCAAUAAUGUCUGCCAAUUUGGACACCACCAACGACCAUUUGACCAGGAAGAAGUACCAAAGUAAAAUUGGCAGUUCUUUAACAAAAUACUCAAGUUUGUAAUAUUUUAAACUAGUGCAUUUUUAAUUGUAAUUAUUUUUGUUUAAGUUCAUUUAUUAUGCUCUAAAUCACAAAAAUAAUAAGCAUUUCAGGAACAUCCACAUGCAUAUGCAUUCAUAUAGUCUAGGUUUGUGUUCAGUGGGCUAUUUAAUUUUGACUUAAAUUUUGAGUUGUAUUGUUCAUUAAAAGAAGAUUAUUGGGUUUAUUUGUAUAAUUAAUGUUAGGAAUACUAAAUUUUUAAACAAAAUUUACAAACCAAAUGAUAUGUUAUUAAUAAAAAAAAAGCAUGUUAAUCAACACUUAAUUAAUAAUUCAAUCAUCAACAGCCACAUCAUUUGGUUUACAAAAUUUAUUUUAAAAAUUUGUCUCCCUAACAUUACCCUUUAUAUUUUGGGAGUUUUAACGAAACACUCCCGGUACUAUUCACUUUUAACGAAAAUGAUAUUUUUACUCUAAAAAGUCACUCCUUGUACUAUUUACUUACAACACAUUUUUGUCAUUUGAUUAAAAUUUAAAGUUUUCAAGCCAUUUUCAUUAGUUUUUUUUUUAUAUUUUAGCUAGCAUCGUAUUCGUGGUGCCGCAUAACCUACCUAACUUUUGUUUUCUACAAAUUCAAUAUGGUGAUAAUGUCCUUGUGGAUUUUCAUCUUUAUCCUCACUUAGUUAUCUAAUUAUAUCUUAAAUGAUAAGUGAUUAGGCCUUAUCAUUUUGUGGCUCACGUGUUUUCAAAGGGAGAAGAGAGUCUAGAAUUUUAUAAUGAGGGGAUCAUAAUUUUGGCCAAAUUUUUUUUUUGGAUUAUUUUGUUGAGUUCUUAAUUGGUACCUACCGGAUUAUGGUGUGUUCUGUCCAUUUUUGUUGAGGCCUUGUCAAGUGAGACAUUUUAUCAAACGUAACAUGCGAACCGUAGGGUCGCACACAAGAAAUAGGGGAUGAAAGACAAUAGAAAGAAAGAAGUAAAUUUACAAAUAACUACACAUAAAGUUGCAUGAAAGAAAUAGCAGAUUGUAAUUUAGUGUUUUUACUCAUUCUUUUAGUUUAUGUAUGUAUGAGUCAUAUACAAAUACAGAUUGAGACUAUAAAACUAUUAAGGUCAUGAGCAGCCAAUAACUCAUGUUGAAUCGGCGACUAAAUAGUGGGAAUCCCUUAUUCGAGCAAAUUUACAACCUACUGUAUAAAAUAUAUUUAUUCGUUGGCAAAUUCAACUAUGAACUAAUUAAUUCCAAAAGUCCUAGCUGGUGGGCGUCAAAAACUACCUGCUAUUUGUUUUGUUUUCUUCCCCCCAACCCACCCUAACCGGACAUCUGUAUCCAAUUAUACGAUAGCCCAGUGCACGUAAUUGACUGCUUAGCUUAGAUGUAGUGUUUCCUUUCCUCCGACCCUCACCGUCACGAGAAGGACUCGAGUGUGGCCACUGUUGGUGGUAGGUUUGGGCGUUGUGUGAGAGGGGGUGAGACGCAAAUAGGGCUGAGUAGACAUAGAAAAAUUAGAUUCGAAAAAAAAAAAAGAGUUUUUAAACAUUAAUCCUUGCAAAAGAUUAAAAUUUAAAAAAAAAUUUAGUGCUAGAUUACAUAUUCAAUUAAUUCCUUGAAGUGUACUUUUAUCAAAAUUUAUAUUCAAUUUUUGUUAUUUAAUGUGUAUUUUUAUUUAAUCUCUCCACAUUAAAUUUUAAUUAUAUUAAUAUGCACAUAUUUAGUUCUUUAAUUAUAAAUGAACAUAAAUGAGAAAGUAUUAAAAGAAAUUUGUGAUACAAAAAUAUAUAAAUACAUAAGUGUACAAAAAUGAUUGUGUCGAAAUAUAUAAAAUUGACUUUUUUGUACCGAAAUAAUUGUACCUACAUAAUUGUACCGAAAUAUAUUAUAAUGAACCUAAAUGUAUGUACUAAAAUGUAUUAUAUUGAAUUAAUGUACAUAAAUGUCAAUACCGAAAUGUAUGUACCAAAAUGUAUGUACAGAAAUGUAUAUGCCUAAAUAUAGUAUAUUGAAUUAAUGUACCUUAAAGUCAAUACUCAAAUUAGAGGUAUUAGGUUCGAAUCUUGUGGAUGGCGAAUUCGAUAUCAAAUUAAGUUGUCCAUUGUGUGGCUUAACCGAACCCCUCUCGCCUUAGUGUAAAAUAUAUCGUUGUACUAAAAAAAAAAAAAACUCAUAUGUGUGUACCAAAAUGUAUGUACCAAAAUGCAUGUAUAUGUUUCUAUCUAUGAGUGAAUGUACCUAUAUGUUUGUAUCGAUGGAUAUACCGAAAUAUUCAAAUGUAUUAAUGUACCUAAAUGAAGAAUAUACAAAAUUGUUAUCAGACUAUAUAUUAAAAAAAAAUAGUUGUUUAAAUGUAGACAUUAAAAUAUAUUAUAAUAAAUGAAAUGAAAAUUAAAUUUAAAUGUAAUUAAUACAUUAAAAUAGGAAUAAAAAGAUAAAUAAAACAUCAAAAUAUAACUAAUAAAUGAGAUGAUUAAAUGUACUAGGGAUUAAAAUUGGAUUUUAAUCUUACACAAGGUUAUAUUCUAAAACUCAUCUUUUUUAAGGAUUAAAAUGAAGUUUUCUAAAAAAAAAAUAGAAAAAUCAGAAGGUGUUGUAUAAUUAGUGGGUGAAUGCCCACUCAAAAGAAUAAAUACUUAGGAAUAGUGUUUGAUACUUUCAAAAGUAUCAUCAUUGUAUUUGGAUGGUUGUAGUUACGGGAGUUGCUCUAUAAAUAGAGCACUCUGUGUGUUAUCUAAAUGUACACUGCGAAAGUAAGCAAAAGAAAUAAUAUCAGUAUCUCCCACCUCCUCUGGAAUACUUUUGUGUUAUAGUUAUAGCGUGAUGUUUUGCACCUCUUUGCUCUUGCCCUUAGCAAAGGUUAUCUAACUUUUGCCAAUUUAUAACACAUUAUCAGCACGACUCUCUAAUCUUAACUAGUUCCCAUCUCCCUUCAUCGAAAAAAAAAAGCUUCCUCCAAGGGUUUUCAUGUUCUUCUUCCUCCUCUACCUCAUCUGCAUGAUAUACCCUUACGAAGAACUGCUACCACCAUGCCUGCUUCUCGUUCUCAAUUUAACAAUAACUUAUAUCUUUGAUUUCUUGUUUGGUGUAGUUCCUGAUUACUAACCCAGUAUUUAUUUAUGUUAAUUUUAUUGUAAUCAAAGAUGGUGCAGUAUAAUCACCCAUCUUGAACUGCAAAUUCAAUUUCACUGCAAUCAAAGAUGGUGCGAUACAAUCGCCCAUCUUGAACUGUAGAUUUAAAUUUUAUCGUAAUUUUAGGUGGUGCAGUAUAAUCGCCUACCCUACCUUGCAUAUUUAAACUACUCUGCAUAUUAAAAUUUUCCUUAUGUUGAAGUGGUGUGGUAUAAUCGCGCAUCUUAUGCUUACUUCAAUGAGAAUGGCGAGGUACAAUUGCCCUUCUCAUUAAUCAUGUAAAUCUUUAGCCUGAAGUUUCGAGUGCUUAUCAUUUUAGCCUGAAGAUCAAAAAUUAAAAAUCUGUAAGAACCAAAAGUUCUAACACUAUAUUCCUCCAGGAAUACAUAUUAUUGCAAGUUCUUACACAUCUCAUCUUUCUUUCAGAAAAGAAAAUGACGAACUUGGCAAAACUUGAUUUUUUGCCCUAAACAUUACUGGGAAGAACCACCUUACCUAGGUAGUGGAUACCAAGAUCCAUUUGGAGGCAGAGAAUCUAAAAGAAACAAAAAAAAGAGGAAAAUAGUGCAUCCUCUCAAGAUCGGGUGAAAGCCAUGAUCUUUAUCCGUCGCCACUUUGAUGAAGGACUAAAGAGCGAGUACCUACCAGUUGAAUAUCCAUUAGCUCUCUGGAAGGCAUUGAGAAACAGAUACAAUCACUAGAAAACGGUGAUUCUUCCAAGAGCUUGUUCUGAGUGGACUCACCUAAGGAUCCAGGAUUUCAAGUCAGUGGCUAAGUACAAUUCUGCAAUGUUUAGAAUUAGCUCCCAGAUGAAGCUCUGUGGGGAAACCAUCACUGAGGAGGAUAUACUGGAAAAGACGUUCAACACCUUUCAUGCCUCCAACAUGCUCCUGUAGUAACAGUAUAGAGAACGAGGCUUCACUGAAUACAACCAGCUGAUAUCUGUGCACCUGGUAGUCAAACAUUAUUCCUAGAAAUGAAUGAUGUUUCCCCCGAAAUGAAUGCCACAUCCUCUAGUGGCAAUAAUCAUAAACGAGGACAUGGCCACAAGCGAGGCCGGUGGAAUGGGGAAGGCAAGAAUCAUGGUAUCCAGUUUCACAACCAGAUUCAAAGGCAAAAUUUAGGCUCAAGCUUUAAAAAUGUAAAUCGUCACUAAGGCAAAGCUCAUGUGAACAAUGCUUCUAGAAACUCUGAAGGAGCUUGCCAUAGGUGUGGUGGCAAUGGACAUUGGGCCCGUACAUGUCGUACCCCAAAAUAUCUGGUGGAUCUAUAUCAAGCCUCUUUUAAGGAAAAGGGUGUCGAGACCAAUUUCCUCGACCAGGCUAGACCAAUGGAUUUACUUGAUCCAGUGCUCAACUUAUUAGGGCAGUUGAACACAACCCACCUAGAUGCUUUAUACUUCAUUGUGGAAAGAGGGAAUGAAGUGUACCGGUCUGAUUGAAUUUAUGUUUAAUGUAUUUUUAUUCUGAAUUUGUAGUUUAAAACUCGCAUUUCAAUUCAAUAAAAGUGGCAUUUCAAUUUCUUUUUAUUAUGAAUAAAUUGUGUUUUACUGUGAUCCCAUUUACUCAAAAAGUAUGGAUAAAAACUAUGGUUAUUCUCAAAACAUGAGAAAUGGUAGAGAUAUUUGUCUUGCAGACAGCGCAACCACGCAUACAAUACUGUGAUUGAAAAUAUUUCUCAAGCUUAAUGCUUACAAAAGUAAGGGUAACAACAAUAUCAGACCAAUCAGAUAUAAUUGAAGGCUCAGGGAAAGCCCAGAUUAUGAUACAAAAUGGAACAAUAUUGUCCAUACAAAAUGCGUUGUAUGCUACUCGAUCUACUCGAAAUUUGUUGAGUUUCAAAGGCAUACGAUUAAAUGGAUACCACAUUGAAAAGAAAAGUGCAGAAAAUGUGGAGUAUCUAUGCCUUACCUUUAAUGAUACCCAUAAAUGUAUAUUGGAGAAGUUGCGUGGUUUGUUGAGUAGAUUAUAUUAUACAUACAUAAAGACAAUUGAAUCACAUACUGUCAUGAACCAGAAGUUAAUUGAUUCAAAAGUUUACAUGCUUUAGCAUGACCGUUUAGGCCAUCCAGAAUCCACUAUAUGUGUAGGAUCAUUACCAACUCUAAUGGACAUCCAUUAUUGAGAAGACACAUUGCUAUCUCAAAUGAUAACCCUUGCAAAGCUUGUUCUCAAGGGAAGUUGGUAAGUAGACCAUCACAACUAAAGGUUGAUGCUGAAUCCCCAUCAUUUUUGCAAAGAAUUCAAGGGGAUAUUUGUGGGCCUAUUCAACCAUCUUGUGGACCAUUUUGAUAUUUUAUGGUUUUGGUUGAUGCAUCUACUUGAUGGUCAUAUGUUUGUCUCUUGUCUACUCAAAAUGUAGCUUUUGCGAGAGUUCUUGCUUAGAUAAUUAAGUUGCGAGCACAGUUCCCAGAUUACCCCAUUAAGUCAAUUCAACUUGACAACAUUGGUGAAUUUACAUCCCAAACCUUUGAUGAUUACUGCAUGACAUUGGGCAUUGAUGUUGAACACCUUGUUCCUCAUGUCUAUGCUCAAAAUGGUUUAGCAAAAGCAUUGAUCAAGCAGCUUCAAUUAAUAGCUCGCAUUCUGCUCAUGAAAACAAAGUUGCCAGUUUCUGCAUGGGGACAUGCCAAUACAGUUUGUCAAUAUAUGAGUGGUCCAACAAAUAUACAUUUUGGAAUGGUUGAGUGGUGCAACAUAUAUACAUUUUGGAAUGGUUAAACGAAUUUGGCGAUAUUUACAGGGAAAAUUCAAGUGUAGAUUGAAUUUUACUACAGCUUUUCCUUUGUCUUUAAUUGCAUAUAGUGACUCUGACUGGGCAGUAGAUUUGAACACUCGACGAUCUAUCACUGGCUAUGUAGUGUACUUUGGGGAUAAUCCUAUUUCUUGGCAAUCCAGAAAGCAAGCAUCGGUGUCUAGGAGCUCUACUGAGAUUGAAUAUCGAGCUUUGGCAAAUACAAUUGCUGAUGUUGCAUGGAUUCGCCUCAUACUCAAAGAUCUUCAUGAGUUCUUAUCUAUACCUCCUGCCAUCUAUUGUGAUAAUCAAUUUGCAAUUUCCUUGAGUUUAAAUCCUGUUCAACAUUCUCAGAUUAAGCACUUGGAAACAGAUGUUCACUUUAUUCGAGAAUGAGUUCGGAAGGGUGAUUUGGUUGUACAAUACAUUCCAACUUAAAAUCAAGUGGUUGAUGUUCUUACCAAAGGACUUCAUGGUCCUUACUUUCUUAAACAUUGUUUCAAUCUUAGACUCGGUUACCCUAACUAAGAUUAAAGGGGGGAGGGUAUUGGAUAAGCAUGCAAUAUUGGUAGAUUAAUUGCCAUUUCAGCAUUGCUAAAUGUGUUGUGUCCAGUAGACCUGGCAUUUUGGACCUGACCUAACUCGGCCCGUUAAUAUUAGUAUUUGGGUGGAUGCUUAAUGGGUCGGAUCGCUAACGGUUGAACCCAUUAACAACCCGUUAAAUAACAGGUCACUUUGGGUCAACCUGUUAGCACCCAUUAUAAAUUAUAACCACACCUUAUCUUUUUCCUAUUUUCCUAUCUUUUUUUUUUCUCAUCGAUAAAUAAUCUACUACUUCAUAGAUUCAUUCAUUUGAUUAGUUCAUGAAAAUAUCACCGCAAGCAUUUCCGCCGCCAAAACGCUAGCCCUUAACGGGGGCCUUCAUAUCGCCCAAGCUCUCCGACCAGACCCUCCUCCGUUCCCUCCACCAUUUCCCUAAGAAAUGUCCUCCCUCGAGCCGCUCCAAUUCCUCCUACGCCGCACCUCCCGCUCUGUGAUCUGCAGGUUAAUCUUUAUCUCCAUCCUCUUCGAAGGCAUCAUCUGCAGCUCCUUGUAUGCAGGAAGAGUUCCAGAACCAGACGGAGGAGAAAUCUAAGUCGCAGCUCUUUGUCUGUUUACUAUAUAUCCAAGUCAGUACCUUUUUCACUAUUAGCACCCUUUUAUACAUCCUUUCAGUUAAUAUGUGUAAUUGUAUUGGAAUGCCAAAAAAAAAAAACACCAUUGUUAACAAGUGUUAACGGGUGACCCAUUAGAUUAACAGGUUCGAGUUCGAAUGACCCGUUAGCUUAAUGGGUCGGAUUGAACUCGACUCAAACUCGAUAAACCUGACCCGUCAUUUGUAUAAAUAACAUUUUCCCUCUAUUUCUAAACUAAGUCGGUAUUGUAAUAUCUGUUUUCCAAGAGAGAGAAAUACAAUUGAGAAUAGUUUUCUUCUUCCUUAAGCUUUUUUGUGGUUCUUAUUUCUGGAAUUCUUGAGCUUUUCCAUGGAUGUUAAGAGAGGGGUGGUUAGUUGUACUAAAUUAAAGUAGAGUUUAUAUUUCGUAAUUUUUUAUUUAUUUUGUUUUAUUAGAUUUGUGAUUCCCCAAAAUCAUCCAAUUAUGCACAAGUUCUCUUUCAUGCUAAAUUGAUAAGUUUUUAACUUUCACAACAUGCCUUACUUAAGCAAGCCAUAAUUUGCCUUACUCACGGCAUCCUUGAGCCACCGAUCUAAUUGAGAUAUUUACUAAGAUACAUUAAUUGUUUCAAGGUAUCCUAGGACAUGGUGUUCGAACAAACUAGAAGAAGCAAGAGUUUCAUUGAGGCGCAAAAUCCAACUCGAUCAAAAGAUCCCCAAUGAAAACCAAUUCAAAUUCACCCAAAUCUUUUUCAAUUUAUUAGACAAAUUGCAAAAUUUCUCAAUCCGUAAAAAAAUACAUUAAGAAAUCACUCCAAGUUCACCAAUAUCGCUUAUUCCUAAAAAGAAUCACAAAAUUCCGACAAGAUCUGCACAAAAAGAAAAUUGGGAUAAUUUGGAGGGAGGAUGGUGCAAUUUUACUCGACCUGAGAAGACCUAGGAAAUUUGGAAAAAUAACCGAAUUUUAGACCCUAUAUAGAAUUAUAGCCAUUAUUUUAAUUUUAUGAUAACUAUAACUAAAACUUGAUGUAAAAGUAUUAAUAUACUCUUAUUUUAUUAGGUUUUCACAACAACCAAAACACACAUGACACACUUGAUCGAUAGGAUGAUCUGGUCUAGGCUCCCAUAUCGAUUGCCAGUCUUGCCCUGCCAUCCCAAUCACAACAUGAAUAGGUCCCAUGCUCCCACAAGUAUAGUUUUCCAACUAACAAAACCUUUCAUAUUUGUGUAUGUUACAUUGUUCUUCACAAGCAGAGGCUACAUUGUUCUUCACAAACAGAGGCUCUAAAUGUCCAAACGCUCCAGCAUUUUCGCCUUCGUUGGAGCAUCACCUCUCUUGUUUCUUCUUGUGUACAUCGGCCUAUGUCUUUGCACGACCACAAAUGGCGUCUUCCUCCUAUCCACCGCCUCCAAAUCCCACUUUAUUAAUUCCAAUUGCUUGCUUCCUUCAACAAAAUUGGCUUCCGUUGGAAUGUACACAACAUUUAUCGCCUCAACGUCAAACGGACGGUAAAGAUUUUGCGUAACUAGGGCACUUGUUCCAGUCAGUUUAGAUGAAUUUCCAGGCAUCUUGAACUUAAGACUGUAGGGCACCCACUCCGGUUUCCAUGGCUACAUUGGCCAAUCAUACUUGUUAUUGAGUUUUUAUCAAUAAUAACCAAAAUUUAACACCUAAUUUCAUAAAUAUCACAUUUUAUAACUUCUUUAAAAAAUAACAGAAACCCCACUUAAAUAGACUUAAAUACCCUCCCUUGCUAUUCAAACAACCAAAAGCUUAAAUGCCCUUAUUUGGAAAGCAAGAGAUAGCUUGGUAUGGGAAGGUUUUAGUGCAUAUCCUAUUGCUUUAAUUCACAACACCUUCAGUUGGAUGCAUGGUUUCCAGGGAGGCCAAUGAAGAACUAGCGGAGUUAGUAAAACUAAACAAUCAUGGUGGAUGCCUCCUAAUGAACACCUAAUAUUCUUCAUUGAAAUAUGUAGCAUUCAUGGUCAAGAGUGUUUAUCAAAUAUAGCCUAAUAUUAGCCCCUAAUUUCAAAAUGUCAGUUUUCUAUAAAAACUUUCAAAUAUAUUCAAAAUCUCCCUUAAAUAGACACAAAUACCCUUAAUUCAUACAAAUAACUAGUUGUUGAAUAAAAGAUUCUUGUGCAAUAAUCAAGUUGAGCUUUCCCUAAUAUUUUUCUCAUUUUCUUAUUAGUACAAUUAAUUGACAAUUUGUAGACCAAAAUAAGAAGAAUAAAAACACAAAGAAAGAAAAUUUUCUAUAUCGUAAACCCUAAUUUUUCUAAUAUGCACUAAAUGAAUUUCAUAUAGCUUUCCUCUAAUAGAUCAGCAAAUGGUAUUAGGUUUGUCAAUCUUCCCUUGACAAAAGAAACAAAAUUUUUGUAAUAUGCACCAAAAGAAUUUCUAUUCUGUAAACCUUAAAAAUAUGUUUUUGCACUUUCUAAGAACACAAUAGAUCUCUCGAUUCACUACCACAGUCCAUGAUAACUUUCAAAACAGAAUCUGGACAAGAACAACACCCUUAAUGUAACAUCCUGAAAUUUCUAAUUCGGAAGCCAAACACACAGGUAGGCCACAAUAAAAAUAAUGGUUAAUUAUAAUUCUAACUAACCACAAAAAAAAAAAAAAAUCAUUUUGUUUAGUUUAUGGCUGCAUCUAACAUCCCGGUUAGACUGCCUACGUACCCUAAACGAAGGGAUCAAGUCAUUUGUAGUUCACAUUACGCUUCUAAAACAACAUACUAAAAUUUCAUUAUGAUCCAACGGUCGGAUCUCCGCCAAUCACGAAAUCAAGUGGCGGUCGACGUUUUAUUUUACGAACUUACAAAUCCAAUUCAGGAAGAUCCAUACGUUAGAUUACUGAUCUGUAAGUUCCUAAGGUCCUCAAAUAUUACAUAUUAUAAUGUAUCAAAUUUUAGUGAUGAUCCAACGGCCGGAUCAUCGAUAUGUAUAUGGACCAAGCCACAUAUCGUAGUGAAUUUAGGUUCAAACGAUCAACCUACAUCAUACAAAUAUCAAAAUUGAAUUCAGGACAUCUAAUUUAGCCUAAAAAUAGCAUUGACAACCUUCUGGCCACACGCUGCUGUGGGUGGCGGUCGGCCGCCCCGACUCGCCGGAAAAUUUAACUAUUUCCAAACAUUACCAAAUUUUUUAGGAAUGUACAACUCAAGGAGAGGAACAUUUUUCAUACUUGGGCCAAAGUCCAAUUUGUCCUGUAAAUACCUGAAUUUGGCCACAAACUGUCGGAACCCUAGAAUUUGGGUGGCCUCGAUCCGCCACUUCCAGUGUUCUGCCGCCCCAACCAAGGCUUGGUGACACGCCCCGACCCGGAAUGUCCAUUAGGACUCCGAACCGAGCUGUGCUGGCCAACAUCUGGAAGAUGACAAAGUCAUAAAGUGUAGUGAUGUGGAAAAUGUGAAUAAAUUUAAACCUAAAAGUGCCUAAAGAUAAGAGUGCGUUGUGAGUGGGAAUGAACCCAUUUCACACGCGACGUCAGAGCAUAAGUAAAGUAUAGUAGGGUGGGUAAAGAUCAUACCCUCAAAGGUAGCCACCUAUACUAAGAUUCGCCAAGAAUCCUCGUCAAUACGAACUUUCAGCAGCUAAAACCUUGAGGGGCGAAAAACAAGGGUGAAUGGGCCUGAAAAUAAAGUUUUAAUAAAAACCUUUUGAAAAUGUUAUAACCCCUCAUUGUAAAAUCUGUAUAAUUUCCCAGAAAAUAACAUACGUAUAUAGAAAUCAGGCUUGAGAGCAAUGAAAACCAAAGUAUGUGCCAUGUCAAGUAUCUUAGUAACAAAUAUGUAAGCCAAGUGCUGUGAAUUAAUAUAAAAUAGUAUGUCAGCCGGAGUCACCUAACGUGACCUGUAUGAUUGAACCUAUAGCUCAAAAGCCAAUUCAUGCACACGAGUCGGAACCACCUAUUGUGGUCUGUACGAUAGGCUAGGUGUAAUAAGUACGCUCAAGUGCUACGAUCACAUAAAGGCUGUGCGAUGAAUCGCGGGUCACCUAUGAGUCGGAACCACCUAUUGUGGCCUGUAUGACAGGCUGGCACCAAACUUGGAUCCAAGAUGAGCAUGCGGUGCGGGAGGUGAACGAUCAUGUGAAGGAUGUGCCCUGGCCUCGAGCGGGAGCACUAACACCGGUGUGCAGGAUAAUGAGCUUUAAAUGUAUCUACGUAUAACCAUACACAAUUCAAAUAAGACCAUCAUAGUGCACUCACCUGAUACUUACCUGUGCCUCUACAGCAUCAUUCAAUAUAAAUAUAAUUCAUACUAAUGCAACAUUUAAAGUGCAUGAACCAAUUCAAAAGCAUUUGUGGGAAUUGUCAUUCAUUCAUAUAUACUAUAAAAAGCAAAAGACCCACUCACCUAGAGUCCACGCUAUCCCUAGCAUGAAUAUCGAGGCGUCACGAACGAUUUUCGUUAUAACUCCGUUAUCCAGCAAGGUUGGGAAUUGGACUCAUUCGUUAUAACUCCGUUUCAUGAACGAUUUUCGCCUACACGCUCGUGAGAUCGAGCUUUGUCCAAAUAUGUCAAGACACAUGAUAAAAUAUACGAGGAUAAAAUACGUCCUCAUAAAAUUACGUUUUGCCACGUAGGGCAAUUUUUCAUCAUUUCCACUUAUCGAUAAAAAUUUCCACAUAAUUACUAUAUUUUAAAAUUUUCCCAGGGUAUUACACUUAAUAAUGCAAAGGUGUGAAAAUUAAAUACGAAGCACGUAUAUCCCAAAGGAAAAACGUUACAAAAAAUUGACACUUCAUUAUUCCAUAAAUAUUCAAUUGAAGGAUGAAACUACAAAAACUAAAAGAAAACGUAGAGGAGGAAAAAUGUAGAAAAAACUAACCAUCUACUAGGUCUCCACCAACCGUGGAUGCUUUUGUUAGGUCUCCACCAUUUUUUAGGUUUAAUCGUGAGAACUCUUCAUCUAAUAGGGUUUUAGUAUUUUAAUUUAUUAUGUUUAAAGUUUAAGAGUACUUGUGUCUAUUUGAGUGAUAUUUUGGACUUAUUUGAAAUUUUUUAUAAAAACUAACAUUUUUUGAAUUAUGAGUUAAUACUUGGCUAUAUUUGAUAAAUACCGAUUGUUAUUGCCAAUACAAACAUGGUAUGAAGUCUUGAAUAUAUACAUAACAUGACAUGAAUAAUAUAUUAGUAAUUUUACAUCAAAUUUUGAUUAUAAUUAUCAUAAAAUUAAAACGGUAGCUAUAAUAGAGUACAAAUUUGAUUAUUUUUUCAAAGUUUCUAGAAGACCUCGCGGGAGACGAUGUUUUGGGGCACUAGUCCUCUUCAUCUUCUUCCCGCAACGGAGCUCUACUCGAUUGCAUUGCAGUGCAGGUUGCUCACCAAUUUGGGGAUUGCAUUUCGUUGUUGGAUCGCACUAAGGUUCAAGUUCGUGCUCUUUCGAAUGUGCCGAAGGCUACUCUGGUCACAAUUGAGCAUCCUACUGAGGAUGAUUGGGAGGUUGUGAAGCUAAUUCUGAGCUUGCAAGGGCUGCAAUUUUGAAUCAGGUGCUCCGAGUGUUGUCAAUUCGUGAUCUUUUUGGUUGUUUGUAAUCUGUACAUUUGUAUAUUAGUAUUACCGUGUUGUUCGGUUGAUGAAUGCAGGUGAGGAUUCUUCAUGAAGAAAUGAAGUUUCCCUUGUGGUUGAACGGCCGCACUACCAUUACAUUUCAUGCAGCUUCAACCUUCCCGAAAAAAGCGGUGGGUAAGAUGAUGUAUGCUUCGUCCGAAUUCAAUUAUUCAAUGAAUUCUCAGAUUAGAAAUCAAUGAGCCCCGCGGCUUAAUGCUUGUACUUUAUAAUGAUAUCUUGGUCUACUUGUGGAUAUUACCAGUGCAACUGGUGCCAGGGACUGAAGUUGCAGUUGUUUCAUAGAGAGGCAAGACAGUCGGCCCACAUGGAGAUCGUUCCAUUCUCUCUCCAAAUCGAUGGAAUCAUAUUUCAAGGAGGCAAGAUCUUUCUGAUUCAGUUGCUAUUCACUUCGUCUUUAUUUGAGAACUUGUCUGCAUUCAUAUGCGUAUAUUCUACCCAAUGUGAUUGGAUUACUGUUUAGCUAUAAUUCAUAUAGGAUUACAGGCUCGAAUGCUAUUCGUUGGAACUGACAAAUGCUUUUGGUUCUUGUUCCUAUAUUUGGAUUUAAUCUUCUAAUUAUACAUUCAUGAUGCCUUUUAUCACACUGUUUCUUUCACAAUUAAUCAAAAAAGUUGGUGUCUUCCUGUGGAUUUUCCAUCCCUUCCUGUAUUAAGUGGCUAAUGGGGUAUGCUAAGCUUGCCACUUAACAAGAAAAUGUUAAGCAAAAUCAUUUAUAACCUUUCGUUGACAAAACUGAUUGUUUUAAUGAGCCUGCUCUCAUACCUGCUGGGGUAUAUUUAAAUGGAUGCAAUGGUGUUUUGAAGAAUGACAUUCCAUUGCUUUCAGUUUCUCCCUGCUGCUUUAAAAUAUUGAAAGACAAAGCUGCUGAAAGAAAUGGUCUAGAUGUUCUCAAUAGGCACAAACUUUGUGAUAAGAAAAACAUGUUUCUGACGACUGGCACAAGCACCUAUGUAGUUGUUGCAGAUUGGCCCCCAUGAGAAAGUUGUUACUGCUUUUCCAUAUGAAUAUUCUCGACAAGAGGAUGAAGAGGCGGCUUAGCAGUCUGACGAGUUAAAGGGAGUCUCAGAUUGGAAGUGAAAGGGCAUAAGUCUCAGAUUGAGGAAAAGGUACUGGAAUCAUCACAUGGAUCCCACAAAAACAAAACUAAGAAUGCUGAUCAACCAAUUGAAAUCUUAUGUGCAUGGAAGUUUUCCAGUGAAUCUCAACAUGCUGCCAGAAAUGCAUAUGAGCUUGAAGGUGGUCGAUCCUAAGAUGGCUGAUCCUGUGACCAUUAAUUCAGUUAGGGAGAGAACAUUUGGAAAAGACAUCAGUUCUGAUGCAUCACCUUUGUGUUGGAUGGAAACAAUUCCUUCUGACGUUUCAAACAGUAGGUAUUUGGAUUUCCUUGUGAAGCUGUUUCCUGUUCUGGCACCUUUUUUAUGUUCACCAAUUCUUAUAUGAAAUUUUGAUGGUCUGUUGGAAGUUCAAUGAGGCCGCUAUGUUGUUACUUAAGCUGGGCACAAAGCACAGGUGAAUACACACACAGAUGGACAAUCUAACAAUGAGAACAUAAAAAUGUUCAAGCUUUUGUGAUGUAUGUUUUAUUGAUUUGUUGUUAUCAGUUAGAAUAUGGCAGUAUCUCAGGAUGGACAUUGGAGUUACAAAGAAAAAAAGGAACUUUUGAUUUUUGACUUUCUUAUCUUGCAAAUAAACGCCACUAAUUUAGUAUUGUAUCCGCUCUUAAUUAUGUGCAUUACAAUAAGUGUUCUGUAUCUUUUUAAUGAAGUUUCACAGUACUGUGCAUGAUAUCUGUCAUUGACAAAGUUCGUCGAUGAGGUUCUUAAAUUGACUUCCUACUUGUUUGCUAGUGUUAUUUGCUGCAUGUGUCUCUAUGAGAAUAAUUAAUUAUUUUUACCCUUAUCUCUAAAGGAUUCCGUAGUGUUCCCUAAUACAAGAUGUUUUCAAAUGUAGGAAUGUUGGUGUUGUUAACUCCUGCUUCUGGGGCUUGGUUCAGUUCAUGUGACCUUCCUCCCCCCGGACACGUUCUGCUAUAUGGAGCUCCUGUGAGUUCAUCAUAUUUUCACAUUUAAUUUUUCCACUGGUUCAUCAUAGCUCUCGAUACCAAUUGUUGAUUUUAAUCCCCCUUAGUUGAUCUUGUUUACCGAUGCAAACUUAUAAGAUGAUGCUAUGCGAAGUAUAUAACAAUAAAGAAAACACGCCACACACAAACGCAAAGAAUUAGCGAGUUUCGGCAAACUUCCCCUUGCUUGAGAUCUCUCGAUCACUCCUGUCUCUCUACUCUUGUAUUCUCUCUGUUGUUCGUGUUAAUAAACAACCCCCAACAAGCCUAUUUAUAGUACAUAGACCAAUGAUUACAUGCCUUACAAGUAUAGAAUUCCUAAAUCCUUUUAGAAUAGGGAAAACUAACGUAUUCCCUUUGAGGAGAGAAAUCACAACACUUUCAACCCCUUUAUUUUAAAUAAAAAGGGUAUGUGUUUGUUCAAACCAGAAUUGGAAGAAGUUGGAUAAAUGUGAGCCUAUGCUGUCGUGUUUGGUAUUAUAAUGCAUGAAUGACAUAGCUUUUAAUCUAUUGUACUAACGUGAUGAAGUGCGAUAACUCUACUGUUUAUGUCCUUUAGUCCAGCAAAGAAUUCUAUUGUUUCUUUGACGCUGUUUGCGAUGUUGUGAUGAUAUCUUAGAAGAUAUAGCUUCCAAAUGUGGUGGCUAUGAUUAAUAUGAUCUGGUAUUUUUCCUGUUUUUAAAAUUACUUCUUUGGGGGAGGGGAGUUGUGCAGCGCUAUGUAGAAGUCACUUUUAUAUGCUUUACAGGCUGUUAUAUUACUCCACUGUUGCAUCCUUAUAUUCCUACCUUCGAACUUUUAAUUCUUGAUAAAUGAAUGCUUAUGAAGGCGACACCACAUGAUAAUGUUUUGGCAAAAGAGAAUCCCUUUCAGUGCUUCAAGCAUGACAUUUUCUGCCUAUUUUUUGACUUCCAUAUUUAAAAUGUUUUUGUCAGUAUUCUGAUCAUCUAGAAUUAUUGUAGAGAUAUAGUUUUGAUAUUGAUUAGCUUAACAAUCUACCUUUUGAUGAAUAUUCUGUUGUAUGGACCUCCUGGUUGUGGAAAGACGCACAUAAUUGGUUCGGCUGCUGCAGCCUGUCCACUAAGAUUUAUAUGCAUAUAGUAGCGACACACACCAGAGAAUAUGCAUAUAGUAGCGAUUUACAACCAGGGUAGAAUUGGCGGUAAAGGGUGGGUGAGAACAGGUUUCCAAUAAAAUUUUAUUGGGACAAUUUUUAAUUUGUUAGAAUAACAACAGUCCAAUGAUUUUGUUCUUGACUUGAAUACAGCAUAAAGAUCCAUUACAGGCUUUGCAUGGUAGUCGUCAGUUCCUGUACGAUCAAGACCAUAUCCAUCUAAGGACUUGGUGAAUAAAUACAUUGGUGCUUCCGACCAAGCUGUAAGUGGUGGUUUAUGUCGAUCUUGGUCCUCCCAUGGAAUCGAAAGUCCUGUUUGUGGAUUGUUUCGAUCAUAUUUGCAUCGUCUUGAUUGAGUUCUGAGUAUAUGCCAUCUUUUCUAAUUAUAGGUUUUCCCAUUGUCUACUUAUCUAAUGUAAAAGAGACUUUAUUUUCAUGUUAAGCAGUAGAAAGUUAGAAACAAAUAUGCAUGCAUGCAUAAUGCAUUCAGGAUCAGUUCUCUCUCCUCCUUUGGCUCCUAGUUUCCUGCAUCAUUAUACCAUAAGAAACAUUGUUAUCAUACAAACAAACCUAAAGCAAACAAAAACAAACCAAAUAAUUUCUUUCAUUCCACUCACCAGCACCGCCUCCUCCUCGCGCUUUCUUCCCCGCCCCUUCACAGCAGCCAACGCCCUUUUUUGAAAAGAAAAAACGAGGGAACAAUUAGAUAAUGACUUCAAGUCUACAAGUACAUAUAUUGUAACUGCAAAAAUAGACAACAAACCAAUCCAACCCAGGAAGAUCCUCCUUCAAACAACUUGCAUCGACCAAGUCAUCAAGCUUGUUUGCAUAAUCACGCCUGCAAAAUAACAAGACGACCAUAAAUUCACCUUCGCAUAAAACUACAGCAAAAUGCAUCCCAUAUUACUCUACGUGUCACAACGUCUACGUGAUAAAUAAUUGCAAGAUUCCUUACAUGGCAAACACUUGGAAGAUUUUCUCGUCGGGAAUGACUUCAUCACUGAAAUAGUAUGUUGCUUCGGCUACAACAUCAGCACGAAUGGAUGGAUUCUCAGGAAAGCCCUCGAUCGACACCUUGAAGACUGCGACACGGCAACAGCAGAAACCCAGCUUGUCAAAGCCGGAGCACACGAUGCACAUAAGGUCUUCCUCGCCAAACUGGGUGAUGAAAGAAGUGCAGUUGUUUAUAUGGGGACGGAAUAUCUUCCGGAGCCCAUCCACCUCCUGAGAGUCGAAGGAAAGGCCACCGCAACCCGAUCGAUAACUACAGACACACCCUAGUUGGGGAAAAAGGAGAAAAUCCUUAUACUGUGCUAAACCUCCCCGGGCAUACAUUCCGCCCAUGAUGCCACAAUCUUCGUGCCAUUUUUCUGAACUAGUGUCAAACUGAUAGCGUUGGCCAGUCAUCCGGUCUCGAACAAUGAGAUUCUUAUCCCAUGUGUAGCAGCAAUCCAUGAAUACACCCUCAAUCUUAACAUCAACGAUGAAUGGAGGAUUCGGUAGAACUUUCCAAAGAAGAAGGGAAGGAUGGAAGACCUCAAACAGGGCGGGUGAGGUUUCUUGGACGUCCUUUCCUCUGUACUCUGUAGACAAGACAUAAAUCUUGUCGUCAAUGGUGGCCACGAAGGGUUGGAGCUUCGGACCACACAUGCGGGGAAGGUUAGACUUGCACAUAGGAUACAACAUCGAGGUUGGCCCAAUCGGGUGGGGCUUUAUAAGCCUUCUUCAACGCUUCGAAAUGAGGGCGGAUAUCAUCCAAAGCCGGAUGAUUGUAGAUAUGUGGAGAUUCCCACAGGGGUUUAGGAAAGGAAGGGGGUUGAAGACUAAAUUGUCCUCCAACAAUAUAAGGCUUGGAGUCGACCAUGACAUAUCUCAUGCCCCAUGGAAGAGAGCGUGGGCGGGUUGUGCUUGUGCGGCUGCCCUCGUUGUCGCUGUCAUGGUCGGGAUAAAAUCCGUUGUGCAACAGUUUGAACUCGGGCUUUGGUGGCCUGCGAGACUUGUGCAGUUUAGACCACUCCAUCAAUUUGACAAUAUCCAAAGCCAAUAGUUGCCUGCCCAUUUGCAUAUGCAAUAUCCAACUCUUCCCAUCCUCGGGCAUUGUCAUAUUCAAUAAUUUAGCCUGUUUGAACAAAAACCGGCAUCAAUCAGACACUGACAGUUUGUUUAGUCAUGAGUGUAAGUAAGUGAGUAACCACGCUAAAAAAGAAAACGACCCAUAACAAUAUCACAGGUACAUGCACCGAGUAAUCAAAGUAUUCCAGUUGCAUAAGGAAAGGGAGAUGGAAGCCGAAAGGUGAAGGGGGUUUGGGAUUCAAGAACCUUUAUGCGUUUAAUCUCGCUUUACAAGCAAAGCAAGGAUGGAGGUUAAUACAAAAUCCUACUUCGCUUGUAUCCCGAAUUUUCAAAGCCAAGUACCACCCUUAAACGGAGUCCGGGUUUGGAUCUGGGUUCCUACCAAAUUAUCAAUUUAUAUUUGAGUGAAGAGUUGUAUAAUAUUUGGUUUAAAACUGAAGUUAUAGAAGAAACUGUUUGAAGAUAUAACCCAAAAACUCAAGUAAUUCAAAUCACAAAAUUCCAAAAACUCUACCAGUACCCAAAUUGCAGAUACCCAUGUAAGUGAAAUAAAACAACCAUGUCAAGCAUCUCAGUAGAAAAAUUUACCUGUAUUUAGGAAGGAGGCAAGGAUUUGAGCGCGGGGAGGAGAAAGAGAAACAGAGAGAAACAGAGAGAAGAGAGAACGGCUGGUUGACAAUUAGGGUUGGGGUAUACUUUGUAUUUAUACGGGUCGGUAAGAGAGAGAGCUGGAGGAGGCGAUGCUUCCGUGCGAAAGAGAGUAAUGUGCGGUGUGGGUCGACUAAGGGGAGGAGAGAGAGAGGCGGUGAGGGUUAAAGCGGUUAAGGGGAGAAAGAGAGAGAAAGUGGGGUGUGGGUAGGGUUGGCUUCGAUUCAAAACGGUUCGGUUUUUUGUCAAAAUCGAAAUCAAAUCAAAAUUUUGGUUCGGUUUAUUUUUUUUUCGGUUUGGUUUUUUUCGGUUUCGGUUUAUUUUUUUUUCGGUUUGGUUUUUUUCGGUUUCGGUUUUAUUUUUAUUUUUUAAUGAUGUAAAUGGAAGAAACCUACCUAUCAACCUCCCAGUUCUCAUAUGUUCUCAUAUAUCAGAGAAUUGAGUGCCUUAAAAUCUGGAAUAUAUUCAAGUAAUUCAACUACUUAUGAUCAAGCAAAUCGAUUUCAAAUUUUCAAAACUUAAGCAAAUACAGAAACAUAUAUUCUUCAAGGAAAUGUACAUCGCCAAGAUUCAAAAUUCUAAAAAUUUAAAAUUUAAAAAAUCAUGAAAUAAUUCAACAAAUUAGUUGAUCGAUGCAGAUCGAAACAAAAAAAAUGCAAAUGGGUUCGUCUAAAUGCCAUAGUCGGACUCCAAUAUUGCAUGCCCAGUGCCCACAUUCAAAUUCAUAGUCAAGUCCACAAUAGAUCUAGAAAAUUCCAAAACAUAUUCAGAGAAAAAUACAAACUUUUUCACUUAAAAUUACAUAAAUUUCAAAUGGGUAACCAUAAAUUAAAAACCCAUGAACUGACAAAUAAAUAAAACCCACAACCUUUGAUGCAGUGAUAUUGCCAUGAUCGUCGCAAGCUCUUACAAUUCCUCUUUUCGUCGGGUCUUGUCGGGUCUCGAAAGGGGUGAGGGAAAAUCAUGGUUUGGAAGAAGGAACCCACGAGGAGGACAGGAGAAGACUGGAGAGAGAGUGAUUUGGAGGAAGAGAGGAAUGAGAGAGAGAGAGAGAGAGAGAUAGACUGAGGAAACAAAGGCAGAGAGCAACCGACGGAAUAGAGAGAAGUGUUUAGGAUCUGAAAUGAAAUGGGAGUGAGACGGCUAGGGUUUGUAAAGUUAAGAAAUUUUAUAAAGCAUUAAACAUAAGAAACCUAUAAAUAAAUUACUGGUACAAUUAUAAGAACACAAAGCCUACAGUCAAGUUGGCUUGCAGCAACUAACCCCAACAUGCAGGGAAAGGGUUCAAACCCCGACGCUAACAUGUUUUCUUUUAGUAUUUAUAUAUGAUUUUUUUUUCUAUCCGGUUUGGUUUCUGGACCUCAAAAACCGAAACCGAACCAGCCAGAUUCAGUUCUAUUCGGUUUGGCAGUUUCGGUUCGGUUUUUUUCUGCCUCAGUUCGGUUUGGUUUUCGGUUUUUUGAACCCACCCCUAGGUGUGGGUGGGUUAUGGGGAGAAAUUUAUAUAUACUAAAAGCCUGUAGAUUAUCACUGUUCAUAUUGUCAGAUAUAGCACUGUUCAUCAACAGUGAAAGAGCAAACUUGGCUUCACACCAAAUACACGUGAGCGUGAGCAUUGAACAAAGUCAAGAUGAGCCUAAACCCGCCCCUUGAACAUCAGUCUUGGAUAGGCUGAACUGUUCAAAACCCAGAAUUUCGGCACUCGAUCGCAUUGAUGGUCAUAACUGAACCUCCAUCUUCAAAAGGCUUAACACGCCAACACCCCAAAGCUUUGUUUUCGAAAGGUUGUCAAAACCUAAGAAACAAAGUAAUGCAGCUAGCUCUCCUCCGCAAUGAUCGGUUUUGGAAAUAUUUGAAUAAACCAAGAAGCCUUCUAGAAAGAGGAAGACAACGCCAAAGAAGGAAAAGCUCAACAAUCUAGCAAGGAUGAAACGCCAAGAAACCUUGGAAGUUAACACAAAAUGACCACUGAAGGUAAAGAGGCGCACCAUCAUCCAUAAUGGCCAAUCUUCACACUAACAAGCCCAACAGGACAACACCGAAGAGGAAGUCCAAGACGUCUUCCACAUCACAAUCCAAGAAGAUAAAGAAAAAGAAGUCCCCGAGGAAAACGUCACUGCUGCACCACCAUAGCUUGAGGAUGAGGGGCAAGCCAUGGUUGAUCAUCUCAAGGAUCUCAACUUAGGCAUAAGUGAGGAAGCAAAGCCUAUCUUUGUAAGUGCAUUACUAAGUGCGGACGAGAUCGAUGAGUAUUACCAACUAUUCUUGGAGUACAAAGACGUAUUUGCUUGGACCUACAAAGAAAUGCAUGAACUUGACCCUACCAUCAUCGUGCAUCGUCUUCCAGUCAAGGCUGGAACACGACCAGUAAAGCGAACUCAAAGACAAUAUCAAUCUGAACUCAUCCCACGAAUUGAGGUCGAGAUUGACAAGCUAAUCGAAGCAGGCUUCAUUCGAGAUGUACAAUACCCUAAGUGGAUCUCCAACAUCGUCAUUGUCCUUAAGAAAUCUAGACAAAUAUGUGUUUGCGUAGACUUCCAAGAUUUCAAUGAUGUUUGUCCAAAUGAUAACUUUCCCUUGCCAAUCAUCGAAAUCAUGGUGGAUGCGACCAUUGGCCACGAGGCAUUAUCAUUCAUGGAUGGCUCAUUUGGGUACAAUAAAAUCCACAUGGCUCUUGAAGAUGAGGAACUAACAGCCUUUCGCACUCUAAAAGGUAUCUACUACUACAAGGUAAUGCCCUUUGGCUUGAAGAACGCUGAAGCCACAUAUCAACGCGCCAUGAAGAAGAUCUUCAACGACAUGCUACACAAAAAUGUAGAGUGUUACGUACAUGACGUAGUUAUCAAGACUAAGAAAAUAUCCGAUCACUUGAAGGAUUUACGAAUGGUGUUCGACAAACUAUGACACUACAACCUCAAAAUGAACACAUUGAAAUGUGCAUUUAGCGUCACCUCUGGGAAGUUCCUCGGCUUCAUUGUCAAGCACUAUGGCAUUGAAGUAAACCAAUCAAAGAUUAAGGCCAUUAAAAGCAUGCCCGAGCCAAGGAAUCUACAUGAGCUGAAAAGUCUACAAAGAUGGCUUGCCUUCAUCAAACGCUUCAUCUCCAACCUCGCUGGACGCUGUCAACCCUUCAGUCGACUCUUGAAGAAGGAUGUUCCGUUCAUAUGGGCUGACGCUUGCUGCAAUGCCUUCGAAAGCAUAAAAAGGUACAGUGCUAGACCAAUGGAUUUACCUGAUCCAGUGCUCAACUUAUUAGGGCAGUUGAACACAGCCCACCUAGAUGCUUUAUACUUCAUUGUGGAAAGAGGGAAUGAAGUGUACCGGUCCGAUUGAAUCAUUUAUGUUUAAUGUAUUUUUAUUCUGAACUUGUAGUUUAAAACUCGCAUUUCAAUUCAAUAAAAGUGGCAUUUCAAUUUCCUUUUAUUAUGAAUAAAUUGUGUUUUACUGUGAUCCCAUUUACUCAGAAAGUAUGGAUAAAAACUAUGGUUAUUCUCAAAACAUGAGAAAUGGUGGAGAUAUUUGUCUUGCAGACAGCGCAACCACGCAUACAAUACUUUGUGAUUGAAAAUAUUUCUCAAGCUUAAUGCUUACAAAAGUAAGGGUAACAACAAUAUCAGACCAAUCAGAUGUAAUUGAAGGCUCAGGGAAAGCCCAGAUUAUGUUACAAAAUGGAACAAUAUUGUCCAUACAAAAUGCGUUGUAUGCUACUCGAUCUACUCGAAAUUUGUUGAGUUUCAAAGGCAUAUGAUUAAAUGGAUACCACAUUGAAAAGAAAAGUGCAGAAAAUGUGGAGUAUCUAUGCCUUACCUUUAAUGAUACCCAGAAAUGUAUAUUGGAGAAGUUGCGUGGUUUGUUGAGUAGAUUAUAUUAUACAUACAUAAAGACAAUUGAAUCACAUACUGUCAUGAACCAGAAGUUAAUUGAUUCAAAAGUUUACAUGCUUUAGCAUGACCGUUUAGGCCAUCCAGAAUCCACUAUAUGUGUAGGAUCAUUACCAACUCUAAUGGACAUCCAUUAUUGAGAAGACACAUUGUUAUCUCAAAUGAUAACCCUUGCAAAGCUUGUUCUCAAGGGAAGUUGGUAAUUAGACCAUCACAACUAAAGGUUGAUGCUGAAUCCCCAUCAUUUUUGCAAAGAAUUCAAGGGGAUAUUUGUGGGCCUAUUCAACCAUCUUGUCUUAAGAGCUCCCAUGCUUGGAAAGCCGUUUAUCCUAUACAUUGUUGCACAAGAAGGAUCCAUUGGAGCAUUUUUAGCACAAGAAAAUGAAGACCAAAAGGAAAAAGCACUCUACUACCUAAUUAGAACCAUCACUGAUGUCAAGCUCAACUACACACCAAUCGAGAAAAUGUGCAUUGCCUUAGUCUUUGCCAUCCAAAAGCUUAGACACUACAUGCAUGCUUACACCAUCCACUUGGUUGCCAAAGCUAACCUGGUCAAAUACAUCAUGUCCAAGCCAAUUUUGACAUGGCGACUAUCCAAAUGGGCAUUGCUUCUCAAUCAAUAUGAGAUCAUCUACAUUCCAGCUAAAGUCAUCAAGGGACAAGCGCUAGUAGACUUCCUUGCCAAUCAUUCAAUCCAGCCGAUUGGAAAAUCUCAGACGACUUGCCUAGUGAUGAGGUGUUUUACGUCGACAUCUUCCUGACAUAGACAAUGUUCUUCGACAGAUCCACACGAGCAGACGGAGCGGGGGCAGGAGUAGUAUAUAUUGUUGGAAAUGUGCCCUAAAACCAAUCAUAUAAUGAUACUUUAUGGACAUUUAACAUGUUAAACUAAUCUAGUUUAAUAUAAAGGGCAAAGAUUAUUGUUUUAAGCCGUCUCAUAUAAAUGUUAUAUGCUUAAACGAUAAGUCCAAAGAAUAUGCAAUUGGGAGAAUGUGAUCUAAAGAAGUUAGAUUCAUGAGACGAUUCUCUUUCGUAUACAUAUCCUAAACGUUCCUGAUCAUAGGAUUGCCAAUUGGGCAUUGACAGUCCGUUAAGAUCAGUACAUGUUAUGUCUUCUCUUAGGGAGAGUGACUGGUCUUGAGUCAUUGGUGGGACUGACACUAAGACAAGCAUGUAGGUGCUCAAUAGAGAAUGAGUCCACUGAACACGAUCAACAAGGAGUUCUCAUACUCAUGUCACAUGAGAACUCAUGGUUGGGACAAUGCAAAGUAGUCAUUUCACCUGAGGCAUCAUAGUUGUCUUGUGGUUAGGUCUUUGAUCUUUGACUAUGUCAAAGUCACUCCAUUAGAGGGGUUAAGCCAUUUAGCCAUAGAGGCAAGUGAAUGCGCAACAAGGGAUCUCUAACCUUCAAACCGUUUAAGGGAAAAUACUCUAUGAUAUGAUUAAGAAUCUCUGGCCAGAGUAUGAAUGAGAUUUAGGAAGUCGUUCCAAAUCACAUUCAAGGUAAUCAUAUAAGUAAGAGAAUCACAUUGGAUAGUAGACAUGAAUAAACUAUCAAACCAAACAAUGUGGUUAAGAGUAUUGUAUUAGAGAAAUACCGUAUUGCAUUGUAAUCUUAAACUAAAUAGGUUCUUCACCUCUUCUGAUUAGCUUGGGUAACCAUGACAUACUGCUAGGUGUCACUCAUGGUUUGUGGAAGCCCUGAACGUGUAUUACUAAAGGGUGAAUUGAAAGUAAGUUUCAAUUCACAAUCGAUUUGAAGAGUUCUAAUCGCCCACUGCCUCGCUAAAAGGAACCUAAUAGAUCGUACACUGAGUAAGGUAGAGAUUGAAGAAACAACGGAGAUGAUUAAGGAUAAUUAAAUGGUUUAAUUAUUUAUGGCUAGAAUUAAUUAAUAUGUUAAUUAAUCAAACGAAUAUGUUCGUUAUAGACCUUGGGUUAGUUUUGGGCCGCAAGGCCCAAUGGGAUUUGAAUAUCAAGCCCAUUAACUCAAGUUGUAUGACAAAUUGAAAAUACAAAGGGCUUGAAAGCCCAAUGAACCCUUAAUGGCCGGCUAUAUAGAGAGGGGUAGUGAACUUGGCUUAAUUGCAAGUUUGCCACUCCAUUGUAAGGUGGUAUAAAGGUAACCUUAUAGCCAUUUCAUCCUUAGGGUUUUCAUUUCAAGAAAAGAUGAGAACACAAGCUCCCUUUUCUCUCUAAGAACCCGGCCACCCUAGGAAGGUUUUACUAGCAUCUAAAUCUUCCUAGGUCACUCAUCUCCUCAUCACUGCUCUCAUUGGUGUGUAGAAUCCAUUUCACCAUCCUCCUCCAAGAAAUCCAUGGAGCAAAGAAGUAAGGAAUGAAGGCCCUAUCAUCAAGGGCAACUUUGUUUGCUAUAACUUUCCAACAACCUUGGUGGCUCCAGUGCUGCUAGGAAUGAUGUUGAAGGAAAAGGCACGUCUACCUUUUCGGUCAUUUUGUCGUUGAUAAACUUGGCAAAUGGAGCAAGGCAAUUGGUAGUGCAACCAGCAUUGGAAAGAAUGUUGUUGUUUGGCUUGUAUUCCUUUUUGUUGAUAAACAUGGAAACAUCCUUGCUGGUUGCAAAGAUGAUAAACUGGCAAAAUACCCGAAGUCGAGCAAACUGGAAAAGAAGGAUAAAAGAUAAACAAACUUGGACAACUAUUCUUUUUUUUUUUUGUCUUUUUCUUGUUGCCUCUUUUCAUAUAAUAUAAUAUAAUAAUAUAUAUAGCCAUUUCGGGCAAAGUGCCUUUUCUUUGUCUCUUUUAAUAUAAUAUAAUAUAGUAUAAUAUAUAUAGCCCUUUUCGGGCAAAGUGAAAGACAAGAUAGGGAGAAAGAGAAAGGAAGGAAAAGAAAUAAAAAAUAAAAAAAUAAAAGGAAGGAGGGAGAGACCCACCUUCGGGCAAAAGAAAAUAGAAGAGAUGAGAAAAAGAAAAAAGAGAGACAAAGAGAAAUAAUAAACUAAAAACAAGAAAGAAAGAGAAGUUCCUUUCAGCCAAAAAGGGGACAGAAGAGAUAAGAAAAAAAGAAAAGGGAAAAGGACAAGACAAAGAGAAAGAGAAAGAAAUAAGAAAAAGAAAGAAAGAGAGAUCCUCUUUCGGGCAAAAAGGGGAACAGAAGAGACCCUCUAGUCAUCUGUGCUUUUUUAUUGAUGCCACUUCCUUUAGCCGCCCUUUAACAUCACCAGUAGAUACAUCUUCUCCCUUAUAUGUCCCAAUGUUUUCAUAUGUUGCUGUACUUCCACCAUUUAUGCCAUCAAGCUAGUCUUGGGAUUCUGUUGGCUCAUUCGAUGAUUUUUCUUUCUUUUUCUUCCUUUUUGAAUUUUUACUCUCUCUAGUGGCAUCCUUCUUCUUGUCUACAUCUCCAUUUUGAUUAUCUACUUUCUUCUCUUGGGCAACACCACUGGGAUCAUCUUGGCCACUAGUCUUGGUUUUGGUAGGGUAUCCCAGCUCAGCAAGAAUUGCUUCAAGUUCUUCAAGCCCCUUUUUAGAAAGCUCCCUUUAUGUAUCCUUGGAGGCUGGAGAAGGUUCAGGGAGUUUACUGUGAGAAUUGGUAUGGGCCAUUCAGAGAUGGGGAUCAGUUAGGUGAAUGUGCUAUUCAUGAUUCUGCCUUUUGCUUCUACGGCUGUAUUGGAAGCUUCAGAAGUCCUCGGAACUUGGCGAGGUCCCAGUGCAGUUGCCAGUUUCUGUGGUACUCAAAUUAAUGUUCUUUAAGAACUUUUUAGACAACAGCGAGUAAAGCUCCGUAAAAAAUGAAAGUGGUCUCGUAUUGUUUCCCAAGCAGCUGUGGUGUUCAGUGAAGGAAAUUAAAGAUGGUGAUACAUACAACGAGGUAGGAUGGCUGUUAGAUCAUAGACGUGCCAUUACAUUAAGAUGCACCUUCUCAAGCAUAGCAACGCCAAAGGAAAUCCCGGUAGCAAACGAAACUUAAAAACAAACGAUAGCCUCAGAGCAGAUGGCACUAGAUGUGUGAAAUUGUAACAACCCGUCCCGGGAUUUAAUGUACAUAAAAGAUAUUUUCGUAUUUUCACCAAGUUUGGGAAUUUAUUUUCCUCUUAAAAUUUGUUUUUGGGUCUUAAAUGGUGAGCCAGGGACCCACCCUGAUUUCUGUCCCCCGCAUCCCAUCUCUCUCUUCUCUCUUUUCCCGUAUCUCUCUCCAUUUUCUUUGCAACUCUCUCCCUCUCACCCGUGUUCUCCUUCCUUGCACACCCUCAUCUCCCACAUCAUCAACACCACCAGUUUUCCCUCUCUAUCUCUCCCGCUGCUGCAAGUCACGACAUAAUCCUGAGGAAGAGCUCCAGCGAGUCUCCGUCACACUCGACAGGGGUAGGUCUUGAAAAAACACUCCAAAUACUUCUCUUUUCAUCCUUAUAGUUCUUUUCUGACCCCGUGGUUAUGUUUUUGGACGUCAAACCAUGAAGAAACACGUCGGGGAAACUUCCUGGAUUUCCGACGAGAAACCGACAGCUUUCGAGGCCAUUUCCGGCCAAACCAAGACGAAUUGGCAGGCGUGCAAGGUAUCAAUCUCUUCGUCUCUUUGAGUACUACAACUUUCCUUUUUGUUUCACUCAAUUGCGUUGAGUAUUGAAGAAGUUAUACUCAUUUGAAUCUUACCCAGUUUCCGGCAACCUCCGAGGCUUUCGAGGCAUUUUCCGGGCAAACCACGGUGAGUUAGAAUCGUACAAGGUAUCAUUUUCUUCGUCUCUUCGAGGGCUAGAACUUUCAUUUUUGAAUCACUUGAUUUCGUUGAGUCGUGAUAAAGUUAUGGCCGUUUAAAAGUUGUGCAUUUUCCGACCAAAUUUCCGACCUUCUUCUUCGGCAAAACCAGGCCUUUUAGGCCAUUAGAACCGCCUCGGGCCUUAGCCGUUUUAGGCCAGCCCAGUACCCUAGCUGCAUGAUUUUUAUUUUUAGUUUAGGUUUUAAAAACCCAAAAGAACACGGGCCUUAUACUGAAGGGCUUUGGGCCCGUAAUCAAAACCCAGUCCAUUCUUUUAAUUGUUUUAAAGGCCUUAUAGUCUUGGGCCAUUAUUAUUUAUUUGAGGAUUGAAGCCUAGCCCUUUUUGGCCUUAAGGCCUUCGGGCCAUUAGUGUGUGAAUGUGUGUUGUGGGGGUAUAUGGGCGUGCAGCCCUGUGUGUGUGUGUGUGUGCGUGUGUAUAUGCAUGCAUAUGCAUGUCGUGUGUGUGUGUGUGUAGUUGUGGUGCGUGUGUGUGUUUGGGCUUAGGCCCAAACCCCAUUUCUUCACCCUAAACCAUUUUAACCCAAAAACCUUAGAAUUCCAAAACCCAAUAGAUCCUAAUCCUAUUUAACCUAAACUUAAACUCUAAUCCGGAUUUCAAGCCUAAAACCCGUUAGACCUAAUUUGACCGUUGACCCCCGGUCAACGUUGACUUUAAGGUUGACUUUACGGGUUUUCGUCCAGGACCCUUUUUAGGGUAAUUCGACGUUCUGAAUCCGUGUCCGUUUUCCCAAAUUCAAUCGUUUAAGUAGAGUUUGACUAAAUGUGCUAUUUAUGUGCUUAGGGGCAAUUAUCGUGACGUUUUCGUCUUUGCUAGUGGCACAACUUUUGGCAACUAAGUACUAUGAGUGGACCCCUGCUAAAAUUACAUGAUUUUAUAGUUUAAUUGCAUAAAUGAUUAGCAUGCCUACGAGUUUAUGAUUUGAGUUAUGUGAAGCCUGUUGAUUUAAUAUGUUGAUUAUCGUCUCGUGUUUUGGUGAGGAAUUAAUUGUUAGCCUAUUUUGAGCUAUAUUUUGAUAUAUCGUAUUUUCUAUAAAAAUCAUGAACUGGUAGACUAUCUGAUGGAUGACGAUAGGAUGCUAGAACAUGUUUUUGAAACCCCUCUUUAUAGUAUAAACGAUUAUCGGUAUUUAUACUAUGAAGUGGUUAUUUAUGAGAGGUGUAACUAUUUGUGCGUACCUAGUGGACACCAUGCCGCCUGGGGCGAGGAUCUGGUGUUGGCAUUUAGGCCGGGAGAAAUAAUCCCUAGCGAAAGGCUGAGGGACACGGUGACAAGCAUUGGGCCGGAAGGGAGUUAUCUUUGGCUACGGGUACAGAGACUUAGGUGUAGGCAUUGGGCCGGGAGUUAUAUUUAUUCGGUGAUCCUUCUAGCAACACACCGCGCUUACGAGACGAUGCACGCGAUGAAUUAUAUGAUGUUUUUCCGCGAUAUGACUUUUGAGAUAUUUUUGGCAUGCUAGGAUUUUUAUUAAAUCCAUCACUUAUUAUGUUAGUAGUUUCUUUAUAUAUAUAAACUGUGGGGGUUAGUAUGUUGAUGACUGUUUUAUUAUUAUUAUAUAUAUGAACUUGGUCCACUCACCUUUGUUUUGAGCCCCCAUUCAGGACUUAGAAUCAAGGCACUUAAUCCCGGCGUCAAGGCACUUCCGCAACAACAUCUUUGGAUCCUCUCGAUGUAGGACCCACUUCUUUAUUCAUUCAAUUUUAUUUUAAAUCUUUGUAGUGAUUAGGUUUAGUUGUAUGCUCUGAGCACGUUCCUAAAAUUAUUAAUUCAUUGUAUUUUUAAAUUCAUAACUCUUAUUUACUUCUUAUUCUUAGCUUUUAUAUCAAUUAAUAGCUUUCGUCACCCUCGGGUGUCGGCCAGCACAUGUCUAUCCUGGUAUUCAGGGAAUACCAGGGUUGGGACGUGUCAGAAAUUAUUCUGGAUGUAUCAUACCCUUCUCAGCAUCUUUUUCAGUCACUCUCUUAGAUGUUUUCGUCCAUUCCUUUGUGGUUGUAAUUUUGGCUUCCACUAGGCAAAUGCAAACAAAGCCCCGUUGGCCAUUCGAGCGAACUGCACACUUUCUUCAGCCAGUGGCGAAUGCUCAAAGUGGUUGAGGAUGAUGGUUAAAGGGAAACGGCUGGCUCCGAAUCUGCAGCUGCUAUGUUGGCUGUCUGUUGGGAGGUAACGACGGGCAUCUGCUAUGUUGUUGGUUGAAUGCUACAAGUUGUAGCCAAUGGAGCCAAUGGGAUAGCAGAGGCAGAACGCAGUGGAGACCGUGGGGUGGUUCGGGGCUGUGGGACGAAGCACCUCAACUCCUCAGUCAUCUUCAUCGUUGACAAAGUCGCUGUCUUUACCAAUGACCUUGCCGAUAUCUACGUGCAAGCUUAAGCUCUCUUUCACGGCUACCAUUACCGACGUGCCCACCACCUCCUCAAUGCCUCCCAGGUCGUCUUCUGUAUCUUUUGAUUUUGUAACCUCGCUACCAAGUGCUUGGAUGAGUUGAUAUGUUGUGACAGCUCUCUUUUUGGGACAAGUAUCUCGGCCAUAGAUACAUUGUUAUUUGGAAUAAACACAACCUUCGAUUAACUAUUGACAUCAAGAUCAUUGUUGACCACAGCACCGACAUCGUUUCCCACUCCGGAGAGUAGUGGUCGAAAACAUGUUGAGAAAAAUCAUGAACAUAUGGAUUGUUCAUGAUCUAACUCCAUAUAAGGGUCCCACUGGGCAUGCCAAAAUGUUUGCUCCCUAAAUUCGCCAUGGGCCUCUCGGGCAUGUCGAGAAUUUACUCAAACAUGAAAUUGGUGGGUGUGAGCGUGCCACUACUAGAUGCCGCUAGUAGACGGGAUCUGAAUGAUUGAGGUUGCGCCUGAAUUCGACUUCAAACUAAGAGAUCGUGCCAUUAAGUGGGAGUGGCUCAAAUCAAUGUUCUUUCUUUGCCUUAAAGAUAAGGACUUUACUUAUAUGGAGAAAUGUAACAACAAUUAAAUCACAAGAUUGCUAAAAGUGUGAAUGACAAAGGAAAAUAAAUGACUAGUAUUGUAGAUUGCUUGUAAUUUAAAUGACUAAAAAGGAGUUUUACAUAAACUACAAAUGAGAUCGAUACUACUAGUGAGCAGCAGAGCUAAUAAACAAGGAAAGCAAUGGAUGCUUGGCUUAAGCUAAAUGUCUACAAGGAAGCUGAUGAGCUGAUUUGAGUAUAAUUGAUUGAUUGGUUGUUUGAGUGUCCAUAAUCCUUAUGCCUCUACUCCUUUAUAUAGCAAUCUGAAAGAGCCCUUUUGCUAAGAACCUUGAACUUGCCCAAAUGCAUUCAGUUUGCCAGCUUGCAUGUGGAAUAAUAUUAUAAAGGCCAACUUGCAUUCCCAACUAGGGGUGGGCAAACGGGUAGAGGAACCGCGGGUCGGGGCGGGUAAUGGAGGUUUGGGGUGGGUACGGGCCGGGUCCUAUUUUUUUUGGGAACAAACGAGGGGGGCCGGGCCGGGCCUUUGUUUUUUACGGGGCGGGCCGGUUCUUAAACCUUAGAAAAACGGGGUCCCGGACCGACCCGUUUCUAAUUAUAAUCAACGGUCGAGAUUGAAUGAUAACCUAUCAUGCAAUCUGAACCGAUAAUUUCUAACUAGGGCUCCAGAAUCAGUUUCAGAUUUUCAGUCUCUUUCUCACAGUCUCAAAAUCCCACCUCUCUACCAUCCCUCGAACCCCUACUCUGACGACAUUCCAGAGAACGCCCAUCACCGCCGCCGCGACCAACACAACGGCACCACCACCACCCAUCCAACCAUCCUCCGACCUCGACGACAUCCGUUACUUUGCCGGCUACCGUAAGUCUACUUCUCCGAAUUUUAUUUUUGUUGAUGCGGAGGAUUUGAUGAAUGCAUGAAUAAUAGGAUUUGAUUAGAGCCUAAAUCUUUAGGUGGGAGUAAUUUGAUGAAUGCAUGAACAUUUGGGUGAAGGAGUUAUGGAUCUGUUUGGAUAAUUUUUAUGUAUGGCUUUUCCCUGGAAUUAAGGGAAGAUCUAUGAUGAUUUCUCAAGUCCGAUGAAACACUUGUUGUUUCUCGUUCUCUCUGUUUUCGGUUUUAUUUGUCGUCCUCAGAACAUUUAGGUGAAGGACUUGAGAAGCUUCAAAUAAUCAAUGUGUUUUAGCGCUGAGUACCAUUUAUGUGUUUCGUAAGACUAGAGGUCAUUAGAUUAUCUUCAAUGUCAGUAAUAUGAUAUUUGAAAACGUAAUAGAUUGUCCCUCCCUGCGCUCUGAUCACUCUUCGCAAGAGAGGGCUUCUUUGUGAUGGUUGUAUAUAUGUAAAUUAUGCUUAUUCUAGUUUUCAGAUUUGACUAUGUGUGUGUGUUGUGUGUGUAUGACGCUUGUUGUUUUCCUGUGCACAACACUUAUAUCAGGAUCGCUUUUGUGUAUUACAUAUGCAGAUUCUGUUUUGUGGUCCUUAAAUGAGGUUGUGCUUUUCACUUUUCAGUCAAUGAGGAAGUUUCAGUAGUGUCGGCCAUUUUGUUAUAAAUAUAAUAAGUAGGUCGGACCAGAUUUUAGAACCUCAAUAGGCUAAGCUUAAUUUGUAUAUGAAUAUUGCAGAGGGAAAAGGAAGGAUAAGUUGUGGGUUUGGUAUGCCAUGGUCGGUUUAUAUAGAGGUCCUGAUGUGGUUGGAAUUGAACAGGUGUAUUACUUAAUCAUGCAGUAACUUUUCAACUUGCUCCAUUUCCUUUUUUGUUUUGUGGAAAUAGAAAGCAAGUUGCUUUCCUUGUCUGCAAACAAGUAGCUCACGAUUACCUGCCUACUUCAAUACCAUUAUCGAAUAAUUCCAAAUAUUUCUGAGUUUAUUUUUUAUUUGUUUCAUUGAAUUUUGGGUACGAUUGUUGGAAAAUAAGUUUUUGAAGAGUGUUGGAAAAUAAUUAAAUUAGGACACUGUUUUUUUUUUCCUAAGUUAGGAAGUUGGUUUGUUUUUACGUUUGGGCUUUUUUGAUAUUUUAUGUACAUGUGUUUAAGAGGUUGCAGUCUGUUGUAUACUUGCUCCUUAACUGUAUUUAAGCUUGCCUCAAUUGUAUCACUUUUUUUUUUCAAGGCACGAGUGCUCCUUAACAGCUCGGUACAAAGAUAUCAUAUCUCAAGUGCUAGACACAUAUCCGCUGGUGAUUCGUCAUAAAGAUAUCAUAUCUGUGAUUUUUUCCAUACUGGAAUCUGUGUAAAGUCUGUAAACUGGAAUGUGCAGUUUUUUUCAUCUUCAUUCCGCUUUUCAAACUGCAAUCUGUGCUACUGCAUUUUUUUUUUUGCACAGAUUCUGUGCAGCAAACAUGAAAAUAACUAUCUCAAGAAAAUAAUAGUAGUCAAGUAAUAAAAUUGAAAAGAAGCAAAGCAUCAAACUUAUUAGUAAUCAUUCUUACAGCAUGUACAUAAUCAAAUAUUUCUGCUACUGUAAACUCUGUUAUACCAUUCAUAGUGUACGUUUUCCCACUGCUUGUUUGACCAUAUGCAGUUUUUUCAUCUUCAUUCUGCUUUUCAAACUGCAAUUUGUGCUACUGCAGGCUUUUUUUUGCACAGAUUCUGUGCAGCAAACAUUUUUAAACAGCAAAAAAAAAAAAAAAAGGACUCGUGUACCCGGACCGAACCGGCCCGUUUCAAGCUGGCCGGGUAAGGUCCGGUUCCUAUUUUCAGAAUUGUAAUGCCCGGCCCGGCUCGCCCCGUCUCCUUUAAUUUAGGGUCCGGUCCGGUCCCUUCAAAAAUGGGACCGGCCCGGCCCGUGCCUAGCCCUAUUCCCAACACAUGUUUCUAGCACAUGUCUCCACCACUUGCAACUAAUAAUUAAAAGAAGCAAGGUGGCUUGUUUCCUCCAUUGUCCAUUUCCAUGUAUGCAUAUUAUCUUCCAAUCCAAAAGCAAGCAUUUGUUUUGAUUAAACAAAGCUCUUGGCAAACCUCCACCACUCAAACAAAAGGGAAAAACAAUAUUAUAAUGUCAAACUACCCCACUUGCAACCAAAUAUCCUUCCAAGUUAUUCUUCUUGCACAACAAUCCUCCAAAUACCAUAUUUAGACCAAAUGGCCCAAAUGAGUAAAAAUGGGUACAUUUUAGGUGCAAACAGUUUCCUCAUAUAAUAGGGAAUCAACUCCUCAUUCUAAUUGAAUCCUAGAACAACAUGGAUUGAUAAUCCGUACUCAUUAAGACUUUCUAUCAAACUUGAGACGAAUAACCGAUUCUCCAGACUCAUACUCAUGCUCAUAUUCUUAUUUUUCCAAGUUCCAAGGAAUUCAAAGAAGUUAUGAAAUGACACUUUUAUAACAAUUGCAGGUCUUACAAGUUAACCACAAAUGAUUGGUACAAGGUUAAGGCUCAUAUUCAUGCCCUUGGCAAGUGUAUGCUUCUAAUGACAAACACUUCUAAUGACCGAUCUGAUAGGCAAUCUUCUUUAUAUGUUAAAACAUUUGUUCCAAAUCAUACUAGUAGAAAAGAUGAAAACAAUACAAGUAGUGUGACCAGUAGUUAGUUGGCUGAGAGAUGAGCUUAUGAUUGGAGAUUAAUCCUAAAAUGGAUGUUAAGACAAUGAAAGUUACAGUGAGGGAUAAUCCGUUAUAAUCCCUUUCCAAAUGAGAGGAUUGUGAGGGAUAAGUUCGUUUCGUUCCAAUGCCCUUCUAAUCAAGGCAUUCUCUCUCACAACAAAGACAUAGUCCUCGUGUCAUCACUGGUCUAAUAGAUGUUUUAUGUGUGAAAAAGUGCAUCACCCAUUCUAAUCCUUUGAAGAUGAAAAAUCAUUGACCUCUAAGACGGGCAAGCUUGGAUCAAUAGCUGCAACAACUUGAGAUUAAAAGGCACAAAUAGGAUCAAUUGGUUGUACUUUAGAUAGGGAUAAGAAUUGAGUUUCUUCUUUCGCAAAUGUUACUUAUUUACCUUUUGACAACAGUUCAUUCCCGCUGUAAUACGGUACAACACUGAACCGAGAGUACAACUUUUCCGGCCUCCUAGUCCGGAACCCUCCCAAACAUUGGACACUACAUGAUGCAGCACGAGCUACCAAGGAAUACAAACGUAAACCCUCAAAGGACAAAGUUUUCCGGAAUCUACUGGAGUUCUGAGAAAACCGAAAGGUUUAUUUUAUAAUAAUUGAAUGAUGAUUACAUAGCAAUUGUAAGUCCAUAAGGCUUAAAUAGACAUAACUCGACCCUUGGGAAGCUCAAGGGUUUCUUAGGGAAAGUAAAAGAAGAUCGGACGAUAAACGAAAGGUUCGAAUUUUUAUUACAAACUUUAAAAUGCGGUUUUGGAAGUCUAAACGACCUAGAAAUGGCAAAAAUAAAUCAUACGUCACGGCAAAGUAGCGUGUUUGAACCGGGACAUCACGCUCUUUCUGAAAAAUAUCAUGAGCCCAAAAUGGAGCUCGGACGCCAAAUUUAUAAAUUCCCGCUGCAUCCUUUUUUAUCCUUCAGUCCAUUUCAUCUUCAAUCCACUCGAUCAUCUGUUCUACAUUGCUAUAAUACUAUAUAAUGCAAUAAAAUACAACGCCGUGCAAUACAAUAUAGUUGAAAAACAAUCUAUCUAAAAUAGUAGACUCAAUCGGAUGAAUCAGAGGAGCCCGUGUUCAAGCUUCCAUGUGUUGCGGUAAACUUAAGUAGUGGCUUCAAGAAAUGGAUAAUCAAUGUAACCAACGACGGGAUCAGCUAUGUAGAAUGUCUCUCUGUUGUACUUAUUUAGAGGAGCAUUAAGCUCAAAUCUCUUUGGCAAAUCCGGAUUCGCCAAGAAAAUACGGCCAUACGCAAUAAGAUCUGCACGGCCCUCAGCCACAGCAUCGUUCCCAUCUUCCUUCUCAUAACCACCAGCAGCAAUGAAGGUACCAUUAAAAGCCUUUCUCAUGGGUACAAGACUCUGGGGAAAUCACUCUUUUCUGCAUCUGUCUGCAUCCUCGGCUCAACCAUAUGGCAAUACAGGAUCCCAUAUUUGUUCAAUGAAUUGGCCAGAUAAAGGCCCAAUGCUUCCGGACCUGAAUCCCCUGAUUCCGAAUAGUUGGCAAAUGGAGAUAAUCUAAUUCCAACUUUAUCCCCUCCUAUCUCGUUAACAACAGCUUCAACGACUUCCAGAGCAAAUCGACAACGAUUCUCCAUAGAUCCGCCAUAUUGGUCUGUUCGGUCAUUCACUUCAUCUUUCAGAAACUGAUCAAUAAGGUAUCCAUGGGCCCCAUGAAUUUCCACUCCAUCAAAGCCUGUAUAUCAGACAAACAAUUUCAGUGCACCAAAUAUUAUUUGAAAUCUAGCAUGAACUAUUGUCACACAUCUAGAUCUAGUCAAACUGGAAAUUAAAUUAUGCCUUUAAUUACAUUCGGAUUCUGGAAGAGAUGGUUCGUUUGCAUAUGUUGAAAGCAAUUUUGAGUUCUCGCAAAUUUUAUUUCGCACUUAAGCAAAGACAAAUUACCCGCUUCCAUAGCAUUUCUUGAUGCAAGUCUGAAAUCAUUGACUAUUUGUGGGAUUUCAUCUGUCCUUAAUCGCCUUGGAGGAGUAUAUUCAAUAAUAUCAAUGCCACUAGAUGGUAGUUGGGGGCUUAGUGGCUCGUCAGUAGAAGAGAUUGGAGCUUGCCCAUUCGGCUGAGAUCCUGUAAGAAAAUAUAGAUAGAAUCACAAUGUGAAAGAUUUCUAGUACAGGAAUAUUAAGGCAGCGUUCUAAUGCUUCAAUGGGUUAACUUUUCACUUAUGAUCUGAACGCUUUCAACGACAAAGUGAAGUCAUAUAAGUGUAUGUUAGAAACGCACUGGUAUUUGAAACCCUUCCAACAUGCCAAAUCUGACAGAAGAAGAUGCCUCCUUUAGCAUGAACAGCAUCAACAAUGGGUUUCCAUGCUUCAACUUGCUCCUUUGUCCAUAUACCGGGAGUGUCUGGGUACCUUCUUGUAUUAAAGAAACAAAAUGUUAUCAAACUUUGAAAUGAAGGAAGUAUACAAUUAAAUGUAUGUUUUCCAUUUAAAAUUUAACAUAAAAGAAACUUGAAAAAAGCUAAUGUUUGUGAAGUUACCCUUGAGCGGUGUCAGAAAUUCCAGUGGCUUCAGAUAUGAGAAGACCCCCGUUAGAUGUUCUCUGAGAGUAAUAUAAGAUGGCAUGCGGCUGAGGAACAUUUCUGUAGGAUCUUUGUCUAGUCAAUGGUGCUAAGACAACUCAGAAGGCAAGGAAGAAGUAUAUUAUCAGAAUGCACCUAUACUGCAUAGCCUAUGACAAGUUUGACAGGAAGUAUUAUCAGAUCUUGCUAAACAGCAAGAUUUAAGUAAUACGACGAAAUAUCCAGAAAGGAGACAUACUUUUCCUAGUUUAUUUGGUUUCAACAUCUCGGGCUUACAGCGGAUUUCAGUAACACCUGUCCUAGUUACAACGUAAAUAUACAAUGAGCGUAUUCUGCACGAGCUCCUAGGAAUUCGACAUUCAAACAAUCUUGAACACAAAGCAAGUAAUUCAUAGCGGUCGACAUCAAUACAAACCAACGCAAAAGUUGCAGCAGAAACUCGCAAACGAAACCCUGGUUAUCCAACCAAUCAACUAAACCAAUUCCUUGCUUUACAAGUAACGUGAACAAGCAAAUGUUACAUAAUAAACCAUCCAAUGAAAGUUGCUGCUUUUAUUUCUGAAAAUUCAGGAUUCUUGCAUAGGCAAAAAAACAUUUGUCAAUCACAAAAACUGCCCAGUAACCUGCAAGUUGCCCAAAAAAUAAGCAGUAAUUUCAUUUUUCUUGUAAGAAAACCGGGAUUUUCUGCAACCCUGUUUCCAAAUGAACAAAACCCAACAGCCCAAAUCUCAACUACUCCAGCAGAAUAAGUCAACAAAAUCAAUGCAGAAUGUAGAAGAAUAUAAACUGUAGAAAAGGUUGAGCCCGUGAGUUAAGUUACCUAUGAGAAAGAUUGAAGUUUCCAAGUUUGUAAGGAGCAAGGAGAGGGCUUGUGGGACCACCUACUUGAGCUUGAUUAGUGGUAGCCAUUUCAAUUCAACUGGUUUCAGAGCUCGAUCCUUAUUUUUCACUUGAUUUGGUUUGAUAUUGUGCUUCAUUGGUUCUUUGAUAUGUUAAAUACUAUGAAUUGCGGUAUUAUGUGAAACAUAAUGAUUUAUAUGAUGGAUGAAAUAGAAACCUUGAUUGUCAUGCGGGUUGUUAUGUAGUUUGAAUCGAAUAAUUCAUGCUCUUCAAGUCCAAAUGUUUGAUUGAGGACUGUUAUGCAUUUUGGCUUGAACAGACUGUGUUAUAUGUCGAGUUAUAGCGAAAGUGAACUACGAAUGGCUUGAUCCCUUUUGAGGGUAUGUAGGCAGUCUAACGAGAAGGUUAGAUGCAGCCAUAAAGUAUAAGGAAAAAUUAUCAUGAAAUUCGAAUCUUGAGUUGUGCAUUGUCCAUAUCCCGGAGGCGGGGUAUGUGAGUGAUACGGGUAUUUGGUAACGUCACGUGUCGAUCCUGGAUGUAUUUCGGGAUCGGAGCAUGACAACAUUAAGAUCAAGUGAGUAUACUUCUGGAUACUUCCCCAGAGUUUGACAUAACUUCCAAAUGAGAACUACAAGCAUUGCAUAUGAAUAGUUAGGCAGAAUAAUUCCUCGGACAAGCUUAUGGAAGGUUGACUUUGGUAGUGAUGUCAUGUAGAGGUCGGCAAGGUUAUCUAGGAUUGGCUUGCAUGACUUCAAUCACCUGAUGCUUUACUGAUGUAGAUGUAGAUGAAAUAUGUCUUGGCGUUGACUUUGUUGAUGUAUCAUGUCUUGGACGGGUUGAUACAUGCGGCAUAGUCUUCAUGGAUCAUCAUCGAGACUAAACGAUGGAUGAUAACAACAAGUACUUUGAAUAUGCUCAACAACAACUCCUAACCAUGUCUUACGUGUGGCAUAGUGAAGUGAGAUAUAUGAUGCUUUAUUGCAGUGACGGAAAACAAUUAUGCUUAUGUACCUUUGUUCAGUUUCGAUCCUUGCAUAUUCGCUUCCUCCUAAACCCAAAACCACUUAGACUUUCUUAACUUUUGGAAUCUACUACAUAUGUUACCUUCCAUCUUUUUGCCGUAAAAACAUGCUGCCACUCACAUGGAGGGAUAUUUUUCGUCAAUCCACUUCCCAGAGCUCACUGCAAUUAAUUUGCACAAAGUCAAUAUGCAUUUUCAGCAAUGUUGGAGUCAAGUCAUGAAGAGACGAGUUUGAUUUUGACAAGGGUUGUUGAAGAAUUGAAGUAAAAAAUGAUUGCUGGCAUCUACAUUUGUAGUUUGGUGGAUGGUGGCUGCAUGUUUUUUUUGGGUUUUUGGUUCUUUAUUACAUAGACUUACUAAAAAUUCAAAUUAUUUAUUGUUUAACAUCGUAGUAUGUGUUUUGUGUCGGGUUUGUUGUGAUGACUGUAUAGGACAAUUGCUAAAGACAAAUCUUAGUCUAUUAGGUCCUUAUGCAUAGACACUGUUCUAAAAAUUCACGUCUAGCAUAGCACAGUCUAGGUGCUAGGCAAUUGACCACUAUCCCGAUUAAUUAAAAUAGGGCUCCUACACCUGCUUAGGCGCCCGCCCAGACCCAUCUAGGCACCUAGCUAGGUCGCAACUCUCAUUUAGACAGAAAAUGGAUAGAAUUCAUUUUGCAUUUUAUUUGUUUCAAUAUAUUAUAAGAGACUUGUUAGAUAAUUAGAUGGAUAUACAUUAUAUGCUUGUUCCUCAUGUUUUCAUUAUAUUCUAAUACUUUAUAAUCUAUGUCAUUCUAUUUUACAAUUUAUGUAUAUAAGUGAAAUUAUCUAUUUUUUAAGUAUAAAUAGACACCUAUUUAUACGAUGUAUAAUAAAUUUUAGUCAUAUUCACCUAGGCGUUAGACCACAACCGCUGCCUGACUAGCGCUAAACCCCAACCCGCCAUCCAACUAGUGCUUAAUAUCUUUUAGAACCUUGUGCAAAAAAUUUCAUGACCCCCAUUUUUUAGUAUCGUAGCUUCACUUUGGGAAGAAAUUUUUCAUUGUGACGAGAACACAAGUGGUACACCACGUGUUUUAAUAGAAGUGGUGGGAAAUUUUAUUUUUAAGUUAUUAACUUUUUAGCACACAUAUCCUACCAUUUGUAUAAUGACACGUGGUGUCCCAUCCCCUAUACUAGUCACACUGAAAAAUCUCUCCACUUUGGGAGGUUAAAGUGAAAGCAUGCCUUAAAUAACCAAAAAGAGAUUAAUGCAAUUUCAACAUUGAUUGUAAUAGAGGAGCAGUUAGCAUCAUACUAAUAUUGGAGUAGAGAGACUUGUAACAGAGAAAGCUCAACCAAAUAUCUUACAAACUAAUUUGGUGGAUGUGGAUGUGCCAGAACAUGAAGCAUAGAAAAGCCUGGCGAAGCUGAUCAUGUACGUAGAUUACGCGCAAAAUGUAGAAGUUGUCAACAAGAAAGAUGUACAGAAUGAAAUUGGAGUAGAAGAACUAGAGAGCCGGAUGGGUAGAACUUGGAAGAACUUAGAAGCCUAUAUGGGAACUCAUCUAGUGAUGAAGAACCGGAUUCAAUGAGAAGGAAUAGGAGGAUGAAGAAACGACCCAAGUUUAAACAUCAUAGAAAAGAAACUGAUGUCAGUACCAUAGAGUUUGAUUUGGGGAUGUCUUUUCUUGUUAGACUAAACAUAUAAACCAAGAUCAUGUAACAUGAAUCACAGCCAUCCAAACACGAACUGUAGUUCAUAACUAUUGUAUAGAGUAGAAAUCCUACCUGCAGAUGCACCAGAAGAAGAAGCCAUGGUCAAUCUCGACAGCAAAACUAGUAAACCUUCUCCUCUUUCCAGAUUCAAAAUGCUCAAACUAAUAAUAGGUUUUAGUCCGAGACACAGCGUAAUAUCUGUAAGAGUAGUUCACUAUAUAUAUAGAACAUAAUCCUAGCCAAAACCAAUAAGGAUUUUCCUAUUAAAAUCCAUACAGAAAACUGAAAUUGUUUACAAUAGGUGAAUCAGUUCCCCGUUCUAUUUGAAUCCUAGAACAACAUGGAUUAAUAAUCCAUACUCAUUAAGACUUUCUAUCAAACUUGAGACGAAUCACCAAUUCUCUAGACUCAUGCUCAUAUUCUUACAUUCCCAAGUUCCAAGGAAUUCAAAGAAGCUGUGAAUAGACACUUUUAUAAUAUGCAGGUCUUACAAGUUAACCACAAAUGGUUGGUACAAGGUUAAGGCUCAAAUUCAUGCCCUUGGCAAGUGAUGCUUCUAAUGACCAAUCUGAUAGACAUUCUCCUUUAUAUGUAAAAACAUUUGUUCCAAAUCACACUUGUGGAAAAGAUGAAAACAAUACAAGUGUGACCAGUACUUGGUUGGCUGAGAGAUAUGCGGAUGAUAUGAAGAUCAAUCCUUUUUUUUUUGAAUAAAGGACCGCAUAUAUAUAUAUAUAUAUAUAUAUAUUUGUAUAUAUAUGAAAAUAAAUACUACAAUGGAUGUUAAGACAAUGAAAGCAACAAUGAGGGAUUAUCCAUUCUUACCCUCUCCAAUCCCCUUUGAAUUUUAAGAGUUAUCUAUUCCAAUCUAAACCUAGAGACGAAACGAGGCCAUAUAUUACAAUGACAAAGAUUCUAAAACAGCAUUCGCUCAGAGAAGAAAAAAAGCCAUGCAGUGAGAACAUCUAAGGGAAACGAGUUGAUCCUCAAAAGCCGCAUCUGCUCCAAAUAUCUUAGGCAAACGGUCAGCUGACAAAUUGCGGUCAAUGGCUUCAACAUCUUGAGAAUAAAAGGCACAGCUAGGAUCAAUUGGUUGUAUUUUAUAUAGGGAUAAGAAUUGAGUUUCCUCUUUCACAAAUGUUACUUAUUCAUUACGGCCAUUAUACUGUCAGUAUAACUUUUCCGGCCUCUAAGUCCGGAACCCUCCCAAACAUUGGACACUACAAUACUAGAUAAUGCAAUAAGAUACAACAGUACAAUACAAUAUAGUUGAAAACAAUCCAUCUAAGAUAGUACAGACUCAAUCGGAUGAAUCAAAGGAGCCCUAGUGUUCAAGCUCCCGUCUUUGCGGUAAACUUAAGUGGUGGCUUCAAGAAAUGGAUAAUCAGUGUAACCAAUGACGGGAUCAGGUAUGUAGAAUGUCUCUUUGUUGUACUUGUUUAGAGGAGCAUAAUCUCUUUGGCAAAUCUGGAUUCGCCAAGAAAAUACGGCCAUAAGCAAUAAGAUCUGCACUGCCCUCGGCCACAGCACUGUUUCCAUCUUCCCCGUCAUAACCACCAGCAGCAAUGAAGGUACCAUGGAAAGACUUUCUCAUGGGAAGAAGACUGGUGGGUUUCAUCUUUUUCUCCCAUUGUCUUCAUCCUCGGCUCAACCAUGUGGCAGUACACAAUUCCAUAUUUGUUCAAGGCAUUGGCCAUAUAGAGGCCUAAUUCUUUUGGAUUUGAAUCCCCUGAGUCCAUAUAGUCAGCAAAUGGAGAUAAUCUAAUUCCAACUUUAUCUGCUCCUAUUUCGUUAGCGACAGCUUCAACAACUUCCAGAGGAAGGCGGCAACGAUUCUCUAGAGAUCCACCAUAUUGGUCUGUUCGAUCAUUCACAUGAUCUUUCAGAAACUGAUCAAGAAGGUAGCCAUGCGCCCCAUGAAUUUCAACUCCAUCGAAGCCUAUAUAGCAGAUUAACAAUUUCAACAUACUGACGGUAUUAGAUCCUAAAGCAUUGAAGCAAAUUGAGUUGUUGUAAAUUAUGUUUCAUAUGUAACGUAAAGACAAAUUACCAGCUUCAAUAGAAUUCCUUGCAGCAAGUCUAAAAUCAUUGACAAUUUGUGGAAUUUCAUCUGUCCUUAAUCGUCUUGGAGGCGUGAAUUCAGAAGCAUCGAUGCCAUUUAAUCGUAUCGGCUUGUCAGUAGAAGUUAUUGGAGCUUGCCCAUUUGGUUGAUAACCUGUAAGCAAGGAGAGAAAGAAUUAUAACCUGAAGUCUAACGACAGUAACUAACAUCCACAGCAGCACUCUUUUAAGUGGGAAUCCUUUGUUACAAAUUACUAUAACCACACGUGCUAUAUACUAGUUCUGAAUUCUGAGUUAUGUUAACAUCAAACUUCUUCCCAUCCAAUAAUAAUAAAGGAACUUUAACGAAAAACUCCCGGUAUUGUUCACUUUAAUGAAAAACUACAUUUUUACACUAAAAAGUUAAUCCUGGUAUUAUUCACUUUACCCUUUAUUUUUUCCUUAUCAUUAAAACUCAAAGUUUUCAAGCCAUUUUCAUUAGUUUUCCUUAAUAAUAAUACAAAUGCUUCCGAAACAGCAAGGUCAUAAGAGUGGUGUCUUCUUAUGGGUUAUGUUAAAAACACCAACUCGGAACUUAACAAGUCCAAGUUUUAUCGUCAUUUGAGCAACAAUGUUGUCAAUUAUAAUCACUCGCUCGUUCUGAUGCAUACACCAUUAUGUUAUACAUCAAACUUCUGAAUAGGUCUAAUUAUUCACUCAUGUUAACAAAGCAUUCUAUGGUAAAAGUGAGGUCAUAAAGGUGUAAGUCAGAAACGCACUGCUAUUAGAAACCCUUCCAACAUGCCAAAUCUGACAGAAGAAGACGCCACCUUUAGCAUGAACAGCAUCAACAAUGGGUUUCCAGGCUUCAACUUGCUCCAUUGUCCAUAUACCAGGUGUGUUCGGGUACCUUCGUAUAUUAAAGAACCAAAAAUUUCAUCAAACUUUGAAACGAAAUAAACGCCCUCAAAUGCUUGUUAGUCUAUGAAUCUACUGUUGUUGAAAUUACCCUUGAGCUGUGUCGGAAACUCCAGUGGCUUCAGCUAUGAGAAGACCCCCAUUCGAAGUUCUCUGAGAGUAAUAUAAGAUAGCAUGUGGUUGAGGAACAUUGUUGUAUGAUCUCUGUCUGGUCAAUGGUGCUAAAACAAUUCUGGAAAGGAAAAAGAAAUUGUAAAUUAUAAAUACAGAGUGAUCAAGACGGAAUGUGGGUGAGGAACAUUAUCGAAUGACCUGUAACUACUAAUUGUUGUAUGAUCUCUGUCCUAGUUACAAUGUAAAUAUACAAUAAGCGUAUUCUGCACGAGCUCCUAGGAAUUUGACAAUCAAACAAUCUUGAACACAAAGCAAGUAAUUCAUAGCGGUCGACAUCAAUACAAACCAACGAGCAGAAACUCGCAAACGAAACCCUGGUUAUCCAACCAAUCAACUAAACCAAUUCCUUGCUUUACAAGUAACGUGAACAAGCAAAUGUUACAUAAUAAACCAUCCAAUGAAAGUUGCUGCUUUUAUUUCUGAAAAUUCAGGAUUCUUGCAUAGGCAAAAAAACAUUUGACAAUCACAAAAACUGCCCAGUAACCUGCAAGUUGCCCAAAAAAUAAGCAGUAAUUUCAUUUUUCUUGUAAGAAAACCGGGAUUUUCUGCAACCCUGUUUCCAAAUGAACAAAACCCAACAGCCCAAAUCUCAACUGCUCCAGCAGAAUAAGUCAACAAAAUCAAUGCAGAAUGUAGAAGAAUAUAAACUGUAGAAAAGGUUGAGCCCGUGAGUUAAGUUACCUAUGAGAAAGAUUGAAGUUUCCAAGUUUGUAAGGAGCAAGGAGAGGGCUUGUGGGACCACCUACUUGAGCUUGAUUAGUGGUAGCCAUUUCAAUUCAACUGGUUUCAGAGCUUGAUCCUUAUUUUUUAUUUGAUUUGAUUUGAUAUGCUCUCAUAUUGGUGUAAGAAUCCUAUGUGAACUCAACUAGUUAUAGAUAAAGGAGAAAUAAUAUGUUGGUAAUACAAAUUAAUAAGAGUUUGGAUACGUGGAAAGCUACAUCAUAUAAUGAGGGGUAUACUUUCAUCGUGCAUUUGAAAAGAAAGCACUAAUCACAACCACCUCUACACUAUUGGGACUUGAAGCAACGGGAAAAUAACCGACCCUCCACGAUAGAUGGGAGUUGGCUGUCGUUGCUUCUAUAAGCGCAAGAGUUCCCUGCUCACAAGGAAGCACGUUCUGCAAUUAGGGUUCUAUCACCAUUGGAAUAUAAGGUCUUGAGUGAGUAGAAGAAUUCUUGAGUGUGUUAACAGUAAUCAUGGCUGCACCAGGUAAGUCUUUCUUGUCUAAUUUCAUAUCGUGACCUAGUAUGCAUGCGAAUAACUAAGGUUAUUCCAACAAUUGGGAUAUUUAUACCGUUCGGGGAGAGGAGGAAGAGGAACUAUAAAACAACACUAGCACUAGCUGGGGAGGCAGAGGCAGUGGUAGGCCGGGCGGCUCCUUUUGAAAUGUUUGAUGACGUUUGUAAUUACGUAAUCAUGUUUUUUUUUUUUUUUCUUUUCUAACGUAGGAAGUAUGGUAUUGGUAUCUGAUUGGACUAUCUCCAAAGAAAAUAUUAAAUUUUAGGCAUAAAAUUUCAAUUUAAAAGUUUAUGUGGCACUUUAAUCUUUUUUGAAAUUUUGUUAUUCACCGAUGUGUCAAAUUUAAAUUAUUAUUUAUCACAUUAAUUUACUUCUAAUAAUUGUAGUAAGUUUUUUAAAACAGAAAAUAAUAAUAAAAACGAGAAAAAGAAUUUAGUAAUCACUUAAAAUAGAUUUGAAGUUGUUGUCAGAUUUGAUAGCUACCACCUUUGUUAAUCCAUAUCAUAUCACAUAGGAAUUGGUAUUUCACUUGAAAAACACUAAUACAAUCUUUAUUAACUGUUAUUGCUAAUAUGGACUUUUCAUCUCUGAUACCACAUGAAAGGGUAGCACAUUUUUAGCAUUUUGAUCAAAUAAUCUAUCAAAGCAGAGCCGAUGGCCCAAAAAUAUAUCCUCAAAUUAAAAGGGUUAAAAUUUGUGCUCACUUUGCACUUGACAAAUCCCAAAAUAGAAAAAUUUCUUCCAACUGAAAGGAGAUGUCAAAUGUGAUGCGGAAUGCCAUGUGGGAUAGAAAAACAACACAAUUUCUUCCAACCGAAAUGUUAUUAGUUGACAUGGAUUGACUGCAUCGCCUUUGACUGUCUUUUUUGGUAGCAUAAGGCUUGAGGGUCAAAUGCUUUUAUUUUUAUUUUUUUUAACGAACGACAUUAUCUACACUAAGGGGGAGGAGAUGAGUUUAUCCUUAUAAUGGGUAGCAUUAAUAUGGUUCAAAUUAGUCUUUGGCAAGAAUCGAAUAUAAGAUUUCUCACUUACAAGUAAAAAAGAAUACCACUAGACCGUAUUACUAAGUGUCGCUUUUAAUUUUUUUUUUUAAUGCAUGAAUACCAUUGCCAACCAAUAAGAUGGAAAAAAAAAUCAUUUUUAAUAGUUAAUGCAGUGCCACUUAAUACAAGGAUCUCGUGGUAUUUCUCUUCAUUUGUAAGUGAGAGGUCUUAAGUUUGAUUCUUACCAAAUGCGAAGUUGAGCCAUAUUAUUGCUAGCCCAUUAUGAGGCUUAAGCCCACUUUCUCAUCUCCUUAGUGUAGAUAAUAUCGUUUGUUCAAAAAAAAAAAGACACAACCAUGUAGCCCAGUGUAUUAAGAGUGCUGAUAAACUUACUUCAUUGUCUUAUCUCUUACUCAUUUUUUAAUAUAAAAAAAAUUGGAUACUAAUCUAAUCUCUUGUAAAAUGACAUCUAAGGACCAAGCAAAAAUUAAAAAAAGAAAAUAGGACUCUCUUCUUUGUUCACCAUCUUUCUGCAACUACCUAAAUCCCUUCAAAUAAUUUUUUUUUUUUUUUUUUUUUUUUGUGUUCCACAAAAAAAAAAUUCUUUUUUGUUGCCCUAGCUUAAUUAUAUAUAAUAGUUGUUCAAAACACUUUACUAAUAUAAUAAUUAUUUAAAAUUUUGAAAAAUAAAAUGUGAGACCAGAAGAAGGAAUUGGGCUUGGAGAGAUGGAAUUGGGUGUCCCGAAUUUGAAAAUGGGGCAUGAGGAUGAAAUUUUGAGAAUGUUGCAUGCAGCUUGGUCGUGAGAAUUGGAAGGGGAGGAAAGGGGACUGCGUUGGGGGUCUGGAUAGAGGGAAGGAAGGAGAGUUGCAAUCAGCUGGAGAACUGGUAAGUGACCGAAUUAUGGGAUUCUUACUAGAAUUAAAAUCUGGAAGGGGAGGCUUUGAAAUUCGCGGUGGGUGGAGUCUACCUGGAAUUUCAACGCUCUAAUAUUUAUUUUUUUUCAAAAAUUAAAAAAUAACUUAGAUAUAUACAUUAGAGGUUAUUUUAAGAAUAAUAGUGGACAAAAUAGUAUUUUUAUUUUUUAACUUUUUUAGUGGAUGAAAUUAUAAUGUGAGUAAGAAAAUAAGACUUAGGGUGGAUCUUGCAACACUCUAUAUUAAUAAAGUAUAUAUUUAACAUAUUCAUUGUAAAGAAAAAAAAUUUAACAUCUCUAUUUGAUUGGCCACGUCAACCAGUAAAUUUAAUUUUGACAAUAAUUAUAUUACACGUUCAUUGAAGAUGCUGUUAUCAAAUCAUCAUACAAUGCGCUAGUUGAGAAUAGAUGGCUGCCAAUGUGGACGGCACCAACGACCAACGACCAUUUGACAAUAAUUUGGAUGCCUUACUUUUAUCCAAAUAAUUGCAUCCUAUUGUAAAAUCGACGGCGUGUUCAGUGAAAUAAAUAAACAAGACACAAAAUUUACGAGGUUCCUCUGCAGUCAGUGUGACUGGAGUACAUCCUCGGGACAGCAGUGGUGCUUUCAUUAUAAUCUGAAAUAAUAAGAGUACAAAGAUAACUCUCUCUAUUAUCUCCUCUCCUCUUCCUUUCUUUUCUCUCUUCCUCUUCCUCUCUUUUCUCUCUUCCUUUCUUCCUUCCUAUCUCUCCCGUGAGUCUCCCACAUUCAUCUCCCAAUCUUUUUUUUUUGUGUUCCAUAAGACUUGCUUUUAUAGAAGCAAAUCACAAGCAACAUAGUGAAAGGCUUACUAUAUGCAUGUGAGUAUUUACUAUACACAUUACUAUACACAUGUGGUACUUUACUAUACACAUUACUAUACACAUGUGGGCAAACAUACCCACUAUUUACAACACUCCCCCUUAGAUGCCCACAUAUCAAUAUCAGUUUUUGGAUGCUCCCCCUGACGAGUAUCUCCCCCUGAUUUCAACUUCUUUAGGCUAAUCAUUGAUCAUUAUGCUUCAGUCUCUUAGCAAAAAGAGUUGCCGAAAUAGUUACUUUACUUGUUGUUAACUUUCCACAGGCUUGUUCUUGAACUGGGCUGGAGGGCCUCAAAGGUCUGAAUUUACUUCUUUUAUCUGGAGCUAAAUUUAAUUCAAGGGUGAUGGACACUUGAUCUUGAAUCAAACUUGUGAUUUCUUCAAAGACCUUCGAGGCUUGAUCUUGAAUGAAGUUGUACCGUGAGGAGUUUCACGUGACAAGUGAUCUUCGACUUUGUCGGGGAUGAAUCAGCACGUGUUUGUUGCGCUUGUCUCCACAUGCUUCAAUAUAUCAUUUUCACUUGCCUUACUUGUUACCCUUGCAUAAGUGGUAUUUUACCUGGGUUUCCCCCUACAUGUGUGGCAUCUUCUCUUGUAGGAUUUGUCCCCUGAUGCAGGAGUGGAAUGCAAACCCUUGCAUUUGAAUGGUUCAUCACUUCUUGGUGACUGGAGACCCAGCUCCAACAACAGUUGAAGAUGACUACUCUUGCUCUCGUCCCUGAAGAUAUGAGAUAAUCUUGCUCUGGUGUGACUUGUUUGAAGAUGUAUUCUCGGAGAGGAAGAAAACUGAGUAUUUCGAGAUGCUGUGUUGAAGAUGCAUUCUCGGAGAUGAGGAAGAGUUGGACAUGCUUGCAGGUCUGCCUUGUUAUGGAGAACGGAGGUCGACAUAUAUAGAGAUUUCCCAAUAGCAAGUGGUGGUGCUGUGCCUUUACUCUUGUCAGCAACUGUGGUGUAAUUAGAACAAUAAGAUUUACGCGUUUUCAACUUUGUCAGAGAUCUUUGACAAAGUUGCAUGCAAUAUCCGAAAAAGCUGAGAUUGCGUCUGAAAAAUGCCAACGAACUUUAUUCAGGAAAUCUGGCUUUUGAAAUUCGAAGAACGGUGCCUCUUUGAUCUCUGAACAAGUGGCUAUGUUGCCUCUUUUUUUAUAGAGACAUCAGUUCAAGAGUAUGCUCAGAAAGUUGCUGCCUGUAGAAAUUUCGCCCAUCUUGCACUUCUGAAAUUUUAUUUGACCUCUUUUUUCCUUCAUCAUUUUUGAAAAUGACUUGCUCAUCUAACAUUUGCUUAAAUUUGAAUCUUAGGAGUGAUACAGACGAGCAGCGUCAGGAUAAAAUAUGGCGCCCGUCCUUCUUAUCUUCUAAUGGUUCUCUUACGGUUGGGGACUCUGUGAUGAAGAAUAACAUAACCGCUACUGUGGUAGUUAGGAAUCUUCUCACUCCAAAGGAUAACAGGAUCCUUUCAAAACGAUCUAAUGAGUCGACCGUUCAAGACUCAUUGGCUCUUAGUGUUCAGUGUGCUAGCUCUGUUUCCAAUAUGGGCCAACACCUACUUGCUCAAACUCACCAAGUUGAAUCAUUGAUGGCUGAGGUGGCAAGUCUUAAACAAGAGAUUAGAUGGCUCAAGCACGAGAAUAGACUGUUACACGUGCUUGCAAAUAAUAACUCGACGAGCAUGAAAAGAAAGCUCGAUCAGCUGCGAGAAUCCGAAAGUCGGAUUCAAAGUGAUUACCAGAGGUUCGUUGCUAGAUUCCGAAAGCAACUGAUGUCUUCCCCUUCUGGUGUUUUGCCAAGUACUGGGAUGCCACAUGAUCAAUCUCCAGUGCCUCCCCCUUCUGGGGUACUUUCGAGUACUGAAGCUUCACAUGAGCAAUCUUUGUGAAGGCUCAAUCCUGUUUGUUUGUUUUAACUCAUGUGUAUGUACAUAUCUGUAAUUUCUUGGAGAUAUUAAUAGAUAAGCUUUAUUUCAUUCAAUGUAUUGUGCCAAAUACAAUAAAGCAUAUACUUCACUAAGAUGUGGUACUUCUGGACCAAAUAUUAAUUUAUCUUUACCCUUAUGAAAAUAAAUGAUUAUUCUUAGUGUCUUCAUCAUUUGAGUAUUCAACUCAUAAUCUUCAAUCCAUACGGUUCUUUUAAUAUCAUAAACAUCAUGGAUAAGAUUCGUGUUGGUAGAUUGUUCGAUCUGCAACCCGUGACAAUAAUUCUCUCAACACUUUAUAAUCUUUCUUGACUCUUCAGGAGUCUCAAUUUAAUAUCAUCAAGUCUUCAAGAGUUCUAAUUUAAUGUCAUUGACUCUUGCAAGAGAUUUUCGUAUGUUGCAACAAUAUCAUAAUGAUAGUACUCACUAAGACAAUUUAUACCAUCCAUUGAUAUUGAGUACAUAUUUUAUGAUUUACCCUUCGGGGGCUUACUUCAAGCAAUUUGAAUCCUUCAGGGAUUUUCUACACUUCAUGACACAUUUUUCUUUGGAAUUUAUACAGAGCAAUUUGCUCCCAUGUAUACUUGAGGGAUUUACUUAUGGAGAUAUGAUGUGGGCGACUCACAACCCUUCGUAUAUAAUUCUCUAUUUAUAUGAACUCGUUUACAAGAGUAUAAUUUCAGGUUUCAAUUAGUAACCUUGUGUCAUAUCAUGUGAGUGUAUUACACUGUAUUACAAAUGCCCAUAUGUAACCUCCUUGGUUCAACAUCUUCUGGCUAUUUGUAUUGUAUUCAAAUAUAUAGGUCCAUUUUUCCACGUUCUUACAAAAUUGUAAUGGAAUUGCCUUUCUCCAUUUUUGGCCAAUAAUUUUCCUUUUGUCGACGAACAAAAGAACGUAAUUCAAUAUUAACACAGCUCAUUGAUGAAUUUAGUAGCUACUUGUAAAAACCAAAAUUACCAUUGGUUAUCAUCAAUCCGUGAUCCCAUAUUCUCAUGUGCAUGCACAUGCAUAAAAGCUUUUCAUUUCUUUGGAUAUCCAUUACCUCUUCAAGGGCAUGACACUAUCUAUUCCAGGAUAGUCAUAAUUUAGAGAAUGUGGAUCAUAACCUCCUCUUGAGCAUUAUUGAGCUUGGAUUUUAAUCUCCACUUCCGGGGAGUUGAGUCAUUGGAACCUAUACGUUUAUCAUGCUACAUGCAUGAGACAUCAAUAUUCCCAUGUCCGUGGAUUGUCCUAUCUGGGACGUGUAUCCAUGCGGCGACUGUCAUGCUUCUGGCAUGCAACAGUUAUGCUUCAGGAAUGUAAUAGUUCAGUAGUGCCAUAUUUCUUCUUUCGAAUAACUGAACCUUUUGAGUCUAAAGGUUUGUCACGCUUCAGGCGUGCAACAGAGAAAUUAUUUACUAGCUCACUAUAUUGUCCAACAGGGACAUUAAUUCUUGUAGGCACAUUUGCAACAAAUAUAUGUCAUUUCAUCACUUUCUUGCAUCAUUAAAUGCAUCUAGCAUUUGAUUGAUAUAUCGUUGCAUCAUUCAAUUAUUCUUACUUCAUUUUUAUGUUGAUUGCUUCGUGAAUCAAAAUAAGACAAAUUCUCUUCAUUCUUCUGGAACGGUCUUUUCUUAUCAUUCUUUUGAAAUGAUAUUUUCUCAUCGUUCUUCUGGAACAAUGUUAUUUUCUCCCCCUAACGGUGGGAAAUUGUCUUAUCAAAAUGACGAUCCGCAAACCACGCGGUAAACAUAUCCUCAAUCAAGGGUUCCAAAUAUUGAAUGAUAGAUGGUGUUCAACAUCAAUGCCUAAUCCGCGAUGAUGCCUCAUUUCAGUACGUUGUGGCAAUGCAAUAGGCACAUAGAUAACAUAACCAAAAACUCGUAAAAGUAUAAUGCUUGGCUGGUUCCCAAACACGAGUUGUACUGAGAAGUAUUGAUGAUUGGUAACAUGUCUCAACCGAAUUAAUAAUGCAUCAUGUAAAGUUUACAUGUCCCCAUGUAGAAAACUGGCAAUUUCGUUUUAAUGAGCAGAGCGCGGGUAAUCAAUUUCAUUCACUUAAUAAAUGCUUCUGCUAAACCAUUUUGAGUAUGGACAUAAGCCUUAUUUAAUAGUCUAUAGACUGAGACUCUUAUGGCUUUUAUUACAAUUAAGUUAAGGCACUGCAGCACUUCAAACUUACGGUACUCAUCUAGGAACUUCAUGUCCUGAUCUUGAGGAUCAAGGGACUUCAUACCUGAUCUUUUUGCGUGAUGGAACUUCAGGUCUAAUCAUUUUUAUAUGAUGAGGAUCAAGAAACUGCAGGUUCUCAUCUGAUCAAUGAACUUUAGGUCCUAUAUAUACUCAUUGUAACAAAAGAUAAGUACAAUAAAUAAAUUAAAGCAAUAGGCGGUAAUUCCAGCCAUAAUGAAUAAAUUGCAUUUAAGUAAAUAAAGUUUGUGACAAGGGCUUUAAUUCAGCACCAUCAAAACUUAAAGCAAUAGGCGAUAAAACCGUCCAUGAUAAAUAAAUUGCUUUAAAGUAAAUAAAGCUUGUGACAAGGGCUUUGAUUCAACACCAUUCACAUAAAUAUCAAAACUUUAAAGCAAAGGGUAAUAAUUCUACCCACUAUAAAUAAAUUGCUUUAAAUAAAUAGAAUUUGUGACAUGGGCUUUAAACAAACACCAUACACAUAAAUAUCAAAGUUUUAAAGCAAAAGGUAAUAAUUCUGCCCACUGUAAAUAAAUUGCUUUAAAUAUAUAGAACUUGUGACAUGGGCUUGAAACCAACACCAUGCACAUAUAUAUCAAAGCUUUAAAGCAAAGGGUAAUAAUUCUACCCACUGUAAAUAAAUUGCUUUAAAUAAAUAGAACUUGUGACAUAGGCUUUAAACCAACACCAUGCACAUAAAUAUCAAAGCUUUAAAGCAAAGGGUAAUAAUUCUACCCACUGUAAAUAAAUUGCUUUAAAUAAAUAGAACUUGUGAUAUGGGCUUUAAACCAACACCAUGCACAUAAAUAUGCCAAAACAGAAAAUGCAAUGAUUAAGUCCUCAUCAUUUGCUUUUUCUUUUUCUUGGUCUACCACUUCUUUUGUUUGAUUCCUUUUAUUUUUAUUUUUAUUUCACAGUUCUGAAGUCAUUUUGGUUACUCAGUAAAUAAUAGUAACAAUAAGUUCCAAUUGGUGUUCCUCCUCCGAUGAGUUUCGAAAAAGUCGAAACGGUUCCCAUAAGUUUUGGAGUCAAGAGUGUUUGCAACUUAUGAGAAGAUCCAACCGUUAGAUUUAGUUCACAUUUUAGUAUGAUAUGGAUAAGAGGAUACCGAACAACUUUCGUGAAGAAACAAUUUCAAUCUGAGCUACCGAAAUGGAGUUUUGGUACUCAUAAGGUGGAUGUCCAGUUUUCUGCGGAAAUUGGAAACUAGUUUGGUAUUUCAGACAUCUGUGAUGAUCGCACCGUUAAAGUGUUUUGAAAAUUUGAUAUGUUCUAAAUACUGAGCAGACGAACAACUUUCAAGAAGAAAGUAUUUCAAUCCGAGGACCGCAAGUUGGAGUUCCAAGGUUGUUUACAUGGCUGUCAAAUUCUUUACGAAUUUUGAGUCUGAACUCUUUUGCUUCUGCAAAGGAUGAUAUACAGUUAUACAACAAUAUAUAUAGUUGCUUCAAGAAAAUCAAUUGUACUGAGAUUUGAAGAUGAAAUGAAAUUUUUUUUGUUAUCUGUGAUAUUCCAGCUGAAGGAGGUGAACAUGAUUUGUGACGCUGUGCUUUCCACUGACAUAAGAGCUUCUCGUGCUGAUAACGUGUUGUAAAAUCGACGGCGUGUGCAGUUGAAUAAAUAAACAAGACACAAAAUUUACAAGGUUCCUCUACAGUCAAUGUGCCUGGAGUACAUCCUCGGGGCAGCAGUGGUGCUUUCAUUAUAAUCUGAAAUAAUAAGAGUACAAAGAUAACUCUCUCUAUUAUCUCCUCUCAUCUUCCUCUCUUUUCUCUCUUCCUCUUCCUCUCUUUUCUCUCUUCCUUUCUUCCUUCCUAUCUCUCCCGUGAGUCUCCCACAUUCAUCUCCCAAUCUUUUUUUUUUUGUGUUCCAUAAGACUUGCUUUUAUAGAAGCAAAUCACAAGCAACAUAGUGAAAGGCUUACUAUAUGCAUGUGAGUAUUUACUAUACACAUUACUAUACACAUGUGGGAAAACAUACCCAUUAUUUACAUCACAUCCAUGCUUUUUGGUUCAAUUAUUUUCUUUUUCUGUUUCAUCCUUUCAUUUGAUUCAUCAUGCUCAACGGGACCGUCAUUGUUACCAAGGGCCAUCAUCACUUUUGGUAGGAUUUUCAUUUGAAACUUGCUUCACCUUGUUACUCUUUUUCAAUUAUUCCAAUUAAAGAGGUAGAUGAUGCUUUAUUGCAGUGAUGGAAAACAAUUAUGCUUAUGUACUCUUGUGCAGUUUCGAUCCUCAUAGAUUCGCUUCCUCCUAAACCCAAAACCACUUAGACUUUCUUAACUUUUGGAAUCUACUACAUAUGUUACCUUCCAUUUUUUUGCCAUAAAAACAUCUUACCACUCACGUGGAGGGAUAUUUUUCGUCAAUCCACUUCCUAAAGCUCGCUACAAUGAAUUUGCACAAAUUCAAAAUGCAUUUUUUUAGCAACGUUGGAGUCAGGUAAUGAAGAGACGGGUUUGAUUUUGAGAAGGGUUGUUGAAAAAUUGAAGUGAAAAAUGAUUAGUGGCAUUUACAUUUGUUGUUUGGUAGAUGGUGGCUGCAUGUGUUUUUUCUGGGUUUUUGGUUCUUUAUUACUUAGACUUACUAAAAAUUCAAAUUAUUUAUUGUUUUGUUGUAGGCAUAAUUUACUGACCAAUUAUGGAGGCCAGAAAGAGAGAGAAGGUGAGGCAUGGAGAGAGAAGAGAGGGAUGUGUAAUUGUGAGAUGGAGAGAAGGUUCUAUUCCACCCCAUUGUGCCUUUAUUUAUAGUAGUAGGGAAGGUUAAUUCCUUACACUUUUAGGAUUACAACUCUAAUAGGAUAUUAACUACUAAGGGAAUAUUCAAAGAUGGCCCUAGAUACACUAUGAUUUAUACAAUCGCAUUCCUAAUCUAAUAGGACUACAACACUCCCCCUUGAGUGUGUAAAUACUCAACUAAAUGGCGCAUUAGGUCUUCAACGAUGAAGUAAGUACAAUUGAUGAAGUUGUCAGCACAAUGAGCGAAUGAGAGUCUCAUAUCAAUGAAAGAAUGCAUAAAAAGUAAAACUCACAAAACCUCGCUAUGGUAAAACCUAAGGUGGGAGAAAAACCCAUAGACUAAGGAGAAAAGUGAGAAGUUGCAUUAAAUCAAAACUAUACGUCUUCUGGACGCAAGUAGAAGAGCUCACAAAGGUAUGAUCAGCCCAGGAUGGGUGCCUCGUCAAAACCUAGUUAGGUAGCAAAAACCCAGUAGGAAAAAUGCUCCUAAUCGUAGGAAAAAAAAAUACAUUAAGAUCAAGUGAGUAUACUUCUGGAUACUCCCUCAGAGUUUGACAGAACUUCCAAAUGAGAACUACAGGCAUUGCAUAUGAAUAGUUAGGCAGACCAGUUCCUUAGACAAGCUUAUGGAAGGUUGACUUCGGUAGUGACGUCAUGUAGAGGUCGGCAAGGUUGUCUAGGAUUGGCUUGCAUGACUUCAAUCACCUGAUGCUUUGCUGAUGUAGAUGUAGAUGCAAUAGGUCUUGGCGUUGACUUUGUUGAUGUAUCAUGUCUUGGUCGGGUUGAUACAUGCGGCAUAGUCUUCAUGGAUCAUCAUCGGGACUCAACGAUGGAUGAUAACAGCAAGUACUUUGAAUAUGCUCAACAAGAACUCCUAACCAUGUCUUACGUGUGGCAUAGUGAAGUGAGAUAUAUGAUGCUUUAUUGCAGUGACGGAAAACAAUUAUUCUUAUGUAGCUUUGUUCAAUUUCGAUCCUUGCAAAUUAGCUUCCUCCUAAACCCAAAACUACUUAGACUUUCUUAACUUUUGGAAUCUACUACAUAUGUUAGCUUCCAUCUUUUUGCAGUAAAAACAUGCUGCCACUCACGUGGAGGGAUAUUUUUCGUCAAUCCACUUCCUAGAGCUCACUGAAUUAAUUUGCAAAAAGUCAAUAUGCAUUUUCCUGCAGCGUUGGAGUCAAGUCAUGAAGAGACGAGUUUGAUUUUGACAAGGGUUGUUGAAGAAUUGAAGUAAAAAAUGAUUGCUGGCAUCUACAUUUGUAGUUUGGUGGAUGGUGGCUGCAUGUUUUUUUUUGGGUUUUUGGUUCUUUAUUACUUAGACUUACUAAAAAUUCAAAUUAUUUAUUGUUUAACAUCGUAAUAUGUGUUUUGUGUCGGGUUUGUUGUGAUGACUGUAUUGGACAAUUGCUAAAGACAAAUCUUAGUCUAUUAGGUCCUUAUGCAUAGACACUGUUCUAAAAAUUCAUGUCUAGCAUAGCGCAGUCUAGGCGCUAGGCAACUGACCACUAUCCCGAUUAGUUGAAAUAGGGCACCUACACCUGCUUAGGCACCCGCCCAGACUAGCCUAGGUACCUUCCUAGGUCGCAACUCUCAUUUAGACAGAAAAUGGAUAGAAUUCAUUUUGCAUUUUAUUUGUUUCAAUAUAUUAUAAGAGACUUGUUAGAUAAUUAAAUGGAUAUACUUUAUAUGCUUGUUCCUCAUGUUUUUAUUAUAUUCUAAUACUUUAUAAUCUAUGUCAUUCUAUUUUACAAUUUAUGUAUUUAAGUGAAAUUAUCUAUUUUUUAAGUAUAAAUAGACACCUAUUUAUAUGAUGUAUAAUAAAUUUCAUUGUGACGAGAACACAAGUGGUACACCACGUGUUUUAAUAGAAGUGGUGGGAAAUUUUAUUUUUUUUAAUUAUUAACUUUUUAGCACACAUAUCCUACCAUUUGUAUAAUGACACGUGGUGCCCCAUCCCCUAUACCGGUCACACUGAAAAAUCUCUCCACUCUGGGAGGUUAAAGUGAAAGCAUGCCUUAAAUAACCAAAAAGAGAUUAAUGCAAUUUCAACAUUGAUUGUAAUAGAGGAGCAGUUAGCAUCAUACUAAUAUUGGAGUAGAGAGACUUGUAACAGAGAAAGCUCAACCAAAUAUCUUACAGAAUGAAAUUGAAGAAGAAGAACCAGAGAGCCUGAUGGGUACAACUUGGGAGAACUUAGAAGCCUAUAUGGGAACUCAUCUAGUGAUGAAGAACCGGAUUCAAUGAGAAGGAAUAGGAGGUAGAAGAAACAACCCAAGUUUAAACAUCAUAGAAAAGAAACUGAUGUCAGUACCAUAGAGUUUGAUUUGGGGAUGUCUUUUCUUAUUAGACUAAACAUAUAAACCAAGAUCAUGUAACAUGAAUCACAGCCACCCAAACACAAACUGUAGUUCAUGACUAUUGUACAGAGUAGAAAUCUUACCUGCAGAUGCACCAGAAGAAGAAGCCACUAUAUAUAGGUCUUAGUCCGAGACAGAGCGUAAUAUCUGUGAGAGGAUAGACCACUAUAUAUAUAGAACAUAAUCCUAGCCAAAACCAAUAAGGAUUUUCCUAUUAAAAUCCAUACAGCAAACUGAAAUUGUUUACAAUAGGUGAAUCAGUUCCUUGUUCUAUUUGAAUCCUAGAACAACAUGGAUUAAUAAUCAGUACUCAUUAAGACUUUCUAUCAAACUUGAGACGAAUCACCAAUUCUCUAGACUCAUGCUCAUAUUCUUGCAUUCCCAAGUUCCAAGGAAUUCAAAGAAGUUGUGAAUAGACACUUUUAUAAUAUGCAGGUCUUACGAGUUAACCACAAAUGGUUGGUACAAGGUUAAGGCUCAAAUUCAUGCCCUUGGCAAGUGAUGCUUCUAAUGACCAAUCUGAUAGACAUUCUCCUUUAUAUGUAAAACAUUUGUUCCAAAUCACACUUGUGGAAAAGAUGAAAACAAUACGAGUGUGACCAGUACUUGGUUGGCUGAGAGAUAUGCUGAUGAUAUGAAGAUCAAUCCCUUUUUUUUUUUAAUAAAGGACGGCAUAUAUAUAUGAAAAUCAAUCCUAAAAUGGAUGUUAAGACAAUGAAAGCUACAAUGAGGGAUUAUCCAUUCUAAUCCCUCUCCAAAUGAUAGGAUUGUGAGUGAUAAGUUUAUUUCAUUCCAAUCCCCUUUGAAUUUUAAGAGUUGCCUAUUCCAAUCUAAACCUAGAGACGAAACGCGGCCAUAUAUUACAAAGACAAAGAUUCUAAAACGGCCUUCGCUCAGAGAAGAAAAAAAAGCCAUGCAGUGAGAACAUCUAAGGGAAACGAGUUGAUCCUCAAUAAACGCCUCAAUAGAAUGACGUAUCUUUGUUAAAGCAUCUGCCACAAAAUUAGCUUAAUCUAAAACAUGAUAGAAGCUGAUAUGAUCAAGCAUCCCAUGUUUGCUGAAAAGAUGAAAGAAGGAUCUUUCCAAGUUUAGGAAGGUGGGAGUUGCCAAAGAGAAACCGAUUUGAGCCGCAUCUGCUCCAAAUAUCUCAGGCAAACGGUCAGCUGACAAAAUGCGGUCAAUGGCUUCAACAUCUUGAGAAUAAAAGGCACAACUAGGAUCAAUUGGUUGUACUUUAUAUAGGGAUAAGAAUUGAGUUUCCUCUUUCACAAAUGUUACUUAUUCAUUACGGCCAUUAUACUGUCAGUAUAACUUUUCCGGCUUCUAAGUUCGGAACCCUCCCAAACAUUGGACACUACAAUACUAGAUAAUGCAAUAAGAUACAACAGUACAAUACAAUAUAGUUGAAAACAAUCCAUCUAAGAUAGUACAGACUCAAUCGGACGAAUCAGGAGCCCUAGUGUUCAAGCUUCCACCUUUGCGGUAAACUUAAGUGGUGGCUUCAAGAAAUGGAUAAUCAGUGUAACCAAUGACGGGAUCAGGUAUGUAGAAUGUCUCUCUGUUGUACUUGUUUAGAGGAGCAUUAAGUUCAAAUCUCUUUGGCAAAUCUGGAUUCGCCAAGAAAAUACGGCCAUAAGCAAUAAGAUCUGCACUGCCCUUGGCCACAGCACUGUUUCCAUCUUCCCUAUCAUAACCACCAGCAGCAAUGAAGGUACCAUGGAAAGACUUUCUCAUGGGAAGAAGACUCUGGUGGGUUUCAUCUUUUUCCCCCAUUGUCUUCAUCCUCGGCUCAACCAUGUGGCAGUACACGAUUCCAUAUUUGUUCAAGGCAUUGGCCAUAUAGAGGCCUAAUUCUUUUGGAUUUGAAUCCCCUGAGUCCAUAUAGUCAGCAAAUGGAGAUAAUCUAAUUCCAACUUUAUCUGCUCCUAUUUCGUUAGCGACAGCUUCAACAACUUCCAGAGGAAGGCGGCAACGAUUCUCUAGAGAUCCACCAUAUUGGUCUGUUCGAUCAUUCACAUGAUCUUUCAGAAACUGAUCAAGAAGGUAGCCAUGCGCCCCAUGAAUUUCAACUCCAUCGAAGCCUAUAUAGCAGAUUAACAAUUUCAACAUACUGACGGUAUUAGAACCUUAAGCAUUGUAGCUGAAUUACCAAACAAAUAAUAUAAAGACAAACUACCGGCUUCAAUAGAAUUCCUUGCAUAAGCUUUGAAGCAAAUUGAGUUGUUGUAAAUUUUCUUUCAUUUUAACGUAAAGACAAAUUACCAGCUUCAAUAGAAUUCCUUGCAGCAAGUCUAAAAUCAUUGACAAUUUGUGGAAUUUCAUCUGUCCUUAAUCGUCUUGGAGGCGUGAAUUCAGAGGCAUCGAUGCCAUUUAAUCGUAUCGGCUUGUCAGUAGAAGAUAUUGGAGCUUGCCCAUUUGGUUGAUAACCUGUAAGCAAGGAGAGAAAGAAUUACAACCUGAAGUCUAACGACAGUAACUAACAUCCACAGCAGCACUCUUUUAAGUGGGAAUCCUUUGUUACAAAUUACUAUAACCACACGUGCUAUAUACUAGUUCUGAAUUCUGAGUUAUGUUAACAUCAAACUUAUUCCCAUCCAAUAAUAAUAAUAACAAUGCUUCCGAAACAGCAAAGUCAUAACAAGUCCAACUCGGAACUUAACAAGUCCAAGUUUUAUCGUCAUUUUGAGCAACAAUGUUGUCAUUUAUAAUCACUCGCUCGUUCUGAUGCAUAUACCAUUAUGUUAUACAUCAAACUUCUUAAUCGGUCUAAUUAUUCACUCAUGUUAACAAAGCAUUCUAUGGUAAAAGUGAGGUCAUAAAGGUGUAAGUCAGAAACGCACCGCUAUUAGAAACCCUUCCAACAUGCCAAAUCUGACAGAAGAAGAGGCCACCUUUAGCAUGAACAGCAUCAACAAUGGGUUUCCAGGCUUCAACUUGCUCCUUUGUCCAUAUACCAGGUGUGUUCGGGUACCUUCGUAUAUUAAAGAACCAAAAAUUUCAUCAAACUUUGAAACGAAAGAAGCACCCUCAAAUGCUUGUUAGUCUAUGAAUCUACUGUUGUUGAAAUUACCCUUGAGCUGUGUUGGAAACUCCAGUGGCUUCAGCUAUGAGAAGACCCCCGUUCGAAGUUCUCUGAGAGUAAUAUAAGAUAGCAUGUGGUUGAGGAACAUUGUUGUAUGAUCUCUGUCUGGUCAAUGGUGCUAAAACAAUUCUGGAAAGGAAAAAGCAAUUGUAAAUUAUAAAUACAGAGUGAUCAAGAUGGAAUGUGGCUGAGGAACAUUAUCGAAUGAUCUGUAUCUAGUCAUCAACGGUGAAAAUACAAUUCUAAACAGGAAAAACAUAUAAUAAACCAUAAAUACAACCUUCAGACUUUGUAGGAAGCAUUAGUUUGCUAAGGCUCCUUCAUAACAAAUUCGUUUUUAGUUUUCUUGUUUUAGUUAAAAAGGAGAAACGAGGGAGGAAGAAGGAAUUUGGGGCGAAAAUGUAUGAAAUAAAAAGUCGAAUUGUAGAUUAUCUGAAUUUGCUAAGGCUCCUUCAUAACAAAUUCGCUUUUAGUUUUCUUGUUUUACUUAAAAAGGAGAAACGAGGGAGGAAUAAGGAAUUUGGGACGAAAAUGUGUGAAAUAAAAACUCUAAUUGUAGACUAUCUGAAUUUGCUUUAUGUUCUUCAUUUUCGGUAUCAUUCCAUGCACAUUUGGUCCCUCAUCCAUCCCUUCCCCUUCCCCUUCCUCCUCCUCCUCCUCUUCUAUCAUGCAUUUUCUCUUUUACUUAAAAUUAAAAACUAAAAAUCAAAUACGAAAUCGUUACCAAACACAACCUAAACAAAGCAAUGUCUUACGAAGUGACCAUGGCCGAAAGGACACAUACUUUUAACAAUCUAUUGCAUCUAUUUUCAACAAUUAAUCAAUGAAAUAACUCAAGUGUACUGUUGUUUUGAUUUAAUUUGUAACAUCUGUACUAUUUUAUAGACAAAGAUACAGUUACUCUUUUUUUUUUUUUAGGUAAACUGGAAUUACACCAGGGCAAAGCCAGAGUACAACAGGAAAACCCACACAGAGGACUAACAUAGCUAAAACCAUUGAAACGACAAACAACAGAAUGAUCCAGGGCCAAGGACCAACACUAGUUCCGACAUUAUGUCACCCUUAAUCAUUCCAACAUAGACUCAACUUAGUGUGGGCAAGGUAGACCAUCCUUGUUCAACUUCUUGUCUCCUUCCCAACAUCUGUACUAUUUUAUACCAACAUGAUUCUCUCCAGAUUCUUUUGGUGAGAAUCUUGUCUGUUCAUCAUAAAUCGUGCGAUCAGUUUUUGUCAACUACUGUUCGUGUUUUAUUUUAAAUAAAAAUAUUUAAAAUAAUUUUUGACCGCACGAUGUACGAUGAACAGACAGGAUAACGGAUUUCCAAGAUUCUCACAAAGAGAAUCCGACGAGUAUCCGGAAUCUAUUUUAUAGACAAAGAUACAGUUACAAACAGUCCUUGUCUCCUUCCCCAAAUCAUUCUUCGUUUUUGUAUAGCUAUAUUUGACACACACACAUAAUAAACCACACAGUACGCUAAACUUGAAUAUAGACAAGCAGUAAUUUCAUCUUCUAUUUUUCUUGUUAGCCAAUAGCCAUCUGCAGACCUAGCUACUCUCUGAAUCCAAGUUCGGAUCUCCUCUCAUAGUUUUUACAACAUUAUAUUAAAAUAACGCCCGAAUAAAAUAAAUUAAACAAUUACACGACAGAGAAAUUUAAGAAGUAAACAAAUAGGAACAAUGUAUGAAAGUUUUAAGUACCUAUGAGAAAGAUUGAAGUUUCCCAAUUUGUAGGGAGUGAGGAGAGGAAUUGUGGGAGGUUGAGCAGCAGCAGACAUCUCAGAAUUCGAGUCGGUCGUCUACCACCUGAUCUUGCACUUGGCGUUUUAUACUGGAUUCUGGGAUGAAGGAAGGAAGGAAUGAAUGAAAACAGGACCCAAUUGGGUCUUUUAUACGUUCGGUAGGAGCUUAAAAGUCCGCCCUGCAGCUUUCCUCCACAAAAGUCAGAGAAGGCCGGGUCCCACAUCUCCCCUCCCUUGUGUGGUGGUGGCGGCGGCGGACGUCGGUGGGUGGAUGAUGGAUCUCUCCAAAGCAUUAAUUAAAUCGAUUAGGUGAAGAGAGGUAGGAAGGUUUGAUGAGGUCUGUAAUUACGUUUACGUGGGUUGAAAAUAAACCAGUUUUAUGAGGUCUGUAAUUACGUUUGCGUGGGUUGAAAGUUCACCAGUUUUCCCCAUGAAAAAGGACGUCUACGCACGUUCAUUUCGAUUUUGCUUUUUCAUCCUGCAUUAUUAGGCCAUGGUUAGAAAAAAUAUAUUAUAAUUUUGUAAAAAAAUUAAUUUUAAAUUAAUAGUGUCAGAUCAUAUUUAUAUACUAUCGCUAACCAAAUGAGCUAAACAUAGCCUCAUCAAUUUCCGAUGGAUAGCUAGACUAAAAUUCUAUGGAGCUCAUCAAGCCAUCAUUUGGCUAAAGGGGCAUUGGGCUGGCCAAAUGUAGCCCCCCUUCUUAGCCCUUUUUGGAGCCCAGCUCCUCUACUGCACUAUUUGAGUCAAAUUCAAUAACUAUGUUUGAAAACAUUUAAUGGAAGUUUAAUUAAAUUAAUCAAUAAAUUUAAUAUAUAAACUUAAAACUAAGUAAUUAUUGAGAGGGUUAUGUUUAGCCACUUCAGUGACGGUAUAAGUAUGAUGCGAUAUUGUUCAGUCAUUUCGGUUAAUGAUGGCCUACGGUUAGAAUUUUGAGGAUAUGUGAGACUAAAUGCAUGUUAGUUACAAAAUUAUGUUUGUUUAGAUCACUUGAAAUAUUUGACAACUUAAUAAAGAAAAACCAACUUAAAAUCCAUGAAUUAGAAAACUCAUUUUCUUUUUUGGUUUUAUUAAGUUGUCAAAUAUUUAAGCUUUUGAAUACAAACUAAUAUAAUCUUGUGGCUAAUAUACAUUUGGUCCUCACAAAUCUUUAAAAUGAAGACCUUACUUGAUCAAUGAAUUUAUGACAAAUUAAAUAGUCUAAAAAUAAAAGGCUCGAAUUAGGGCUAGGUUCAGUUCAAAUCAGUUCAAUUUUUUUUUCAGUUUGGGUUUUUUUUGGUUCCAAUUCGGUUUUUUUCGUGAUUUUUUUUAAAUCUUUUUUUUUUUGUCAAAAAUAUAAAGAAGAGUAAUUUUACUUUUUUUUUUUUCCGAUGAACUAAGAAAUUAAAGAAGGAACUUGAAUUAAAACUAGGGCAACUCGCAAUGAUGGCUGCAUCAACAAAUCAUCCAUAUCUACAAUACGAACAGAAACCUUUGUAAAUCAUAAAGUCCUUAAUGCUGAAUCCUUUAAGAACCAAGACUUGAAAACCCUAAAUCUGCAAUACAAACCCACAAGUAACAAACAAACCCACAACACAAAAAUCGACCAAAUCUGCAAUACAAACCAAACUCCCUCCAUGGCGCCAUGUCGCUGCCUCCGUUUUCCGGCCAAACCAAGGCGAUUUAACAUAAAAAAAAAAGGUACCAUUCUCUUCGUCUCAUCUAGAAGUAUGAUUUUUGUUUUUGAAUCACUUGAUUUCGUUGAGUAUUCAAGAAGUUAUGAACGUUUAAAGUUUACUCAGUUUCUGGCGAGUUUUCAAGUUUUCUAUCUUAUUCUACACUUUCCUAUCUUCAUUUUGAUAUUUUAUGGGUCGAAUUUGGUUAAGAAACGAUUGAGUUAUAAAGCUUUGAAAAUUGCCCAAGAACUCCGGGACACUUAACGGAGUUUUUAACGGAAUGACCAAAAUGAUGGAUGGUGGACAAUCUCAAGGACCACUUUUAUCGAUUUGAAAUGUUAGGGACCAAGGUGAUGAGUUAUGCAAAUCUCAGGGACUAUUUUGACUAUUUAGCCUUUUUUUUUUCAUAAACGAAAAUAAUUUUUUUUAAUGAAGAUAGAAAAGUGUAGAAUAAGAUUAUACCUAUUUGGAAGCCCAAUGGCUGCCGGAGAUAGCCGGAAAAUAGCCUCAAAGUUGACUGGUCCGAGGGAAAAUUGGAAAACUCGCCGGAAACUGGGUAAACUUUAAACGUUCAACUUCUUCAAUACUCAACUAAAUCAAGUGAUUCAAAAACAAAAAUCAUACUUCUCGAUGAGACGAAGAGAAUGGUACCUUUUAAGACGGUUAAAUCGCGGUGGUUUGGCCAUAAAAAGGCUCAAAAGUGUCUAACUCGAGACCAAGACAGCCACUUUGGAACCGUUUUCCGGGCAAACCACGGUGAUUUAGCCGUCAAAAUAGGUACCAUUCUCUUAUUAUCGUUGAGAAGUAUGAUUUUAGUUUUGAAUAACUUGAUUUCGUUGAGUAUUGAAGAAGUUAUGAACAUUUAAAGUUUACUCAGUUUUUGGCGAGUUUUCCAGUUUUCCUUCGGACCAGUCAACUUUGAGGCUAUUUUCUUGCUAUCUCCGGCAGCCAUUGGGCCUCCAAAUAGGUAUAAUCUUAUUCUACACUUUCCUAUCUUCAUUUUGAUAUAUUAUGGGUCGAAUUUGGUUAAGAAACGUUUGAGUUAUGAAGCUUUAAAAAUUGUCCAAAUUUCCAGCCAAGAACUCCAGGACACUUAACGGAGUUUUUAACUAAAUGACCAAAAUGAUGGAUGGUGGACAAUCUCAAGGACUAAUUUUAUCGAUUUGAAAUGUUAGGGACCAAAGUGAUGAGUUAUGCAAAUCUUAGGGACCAUUUUGGCUAUUUAGCCCAAAAAAAAUUGCAAACUUUAAAUGAUAAUAGAACAAAGUAAUACUAAUUUAUAAUAAAGAAGUCAGGUUGUUAAUAGAUGAAUUUGAUUGAAUUUUUAUUGUGUUAGGAAGUGUUAGGAGGAGGAUACAAUUAUCUUACUAGACUACGACACUUGUACAUCAUUAGCAUCGCAAGUACUCAUUUUCCAAAUGUGCAUUACAUUUGAUUUUAAAAAUUUGGUAUUCCUACCAUUAUCCUGAAAACAUAUAUAUUCACAUAUAAACUUUGUUCUUAUUGUGAGGAAACUCCAAAUGUUGAAGCCAUAUUCUUUAAUUGGUCUAUGAUUGAGGAGUGACCGUUGAAAUGUGUAGACUUCAAAAGGAUGUCUAACCUAAUAAUAGUGGUAAUUGUGGUUGAAUCUGAAAUAUUUGACUGCAAAUUCACCGGUUCUUUAGACCUUUCUGAUUCUCUUCGUUAUCUUUACUGGCAUGAUAUCCACUGAAAUCUUUACCGUAAAAUUUUACUCUAGAAAAUCUGGUUGAGCUUCAUAUGCCCGUAUGCAAUUUUAACAUUGAUUGUAUCAACAAGAAAGAUGUAAGACAAUGAAAGCUACAAUGAGGGAUUAUCCAUUCUAUAUAUGAAAAUCAAUCUUAAAAUGGAUGUUAAAAAAUUGAAAGCUACAAUGAGGGAUUAUCCAUUCUAGUCCUUCUCCAAAUGAUAGGAUUGUGAGGGAUAAGUUUGUUUCAUUCCAAUCCCCUUUGAAUUUUAAGAGUUACCUAUUACUUUAGUCUAAAGUAGGGGGAGGUGGCAUUGUGCAAUUUUGGGGUACAUUUCAGUUUACUUACGAAAUUGCCAUUGAGUCUCUCUGUUCCCUCAUUUAACGUUAUUUGCAAAAUUGCCAUUGGGCUUCAGAAAGGGUUUUGGGUCUUUGGGCUGGAAUUUCCGUCCAGAUUGGAAUUUUCGAUUAUUCGAUCCACGCGUUGAUCAUCGCUGGAUCGCCAGCUGUGUGGUAUUUGGUGAGGGGAUGGGUUACGUGUCCAUCAUUGUCGGAAGGUUUCCUUCGACUGCAACUUCUCGACUUUUCGUUCUGUUUCAACUUCUCUCUCACAAGCCUCUGCUUCAGUCGCUCUUGAUCUUCGCCUUUUCUAAGGCGUUUGAGGGACAAAAACCGAAAGCCAAACCACCACCACAAACGAAGUCACAAAUAGGGAUGGGCAACGGUUAUGGCGGACGGGUAACCGCGAUUAUUUACCCAUAACCAUUUAUACUUAUAUCCGCAUAAUUGUUUACCCGUUGGGUAAUUGCCCAAACAGUUAUACCCAUACUCAUAACCAUUUAUAAACGGUUAACCAUACCCAUAACAGCAUACCCAUUUAACCAUAACCGUUUAAUACCAGUUUACUCAUUUACUCUUUUUAACCUGUUUAAUUUUUAUUUAUUUUUUAUCAUUACCUCUUUUUUCACCCUUCUACAUGUUUUUUAACAACUUGAAAAUUAAAAAAAAAAUGUCAUAAUUUUUUUUUGGCAAUUAAACACCGUUAUAAGCACAUUCAUCUUACAUUUCCGUAUUAAAAUUUUUUAAAUCCUUAUCUCAUUCUAAUAAUUGAAAUAAUUUCCGGCAAAGACACAACGGUGUGCACUCGUACGUGGAUUAUUUAUAUGCUCAGCAAGCACCCUUAUAUGCAAGAAAAGGUUGUAACGGAAGUUUGAGAAGCAGCAAAUCUGAAAGAUGACUCAAGCAUUGUUGAACUUGCAGACAAUCUUAAUGAAGAUGCCCUUAAUAAAAUGCAGUAUGUCUUAGUAGCUUUGACUGAGACACAAAGGCUCUACCCUGUAAUUCCACUGGAAAUUUGACUAACAUCUUAACUAAAUCUAAUGCAUGCAUACUGCAAGGGAAAUGAUUUCAGUGCGCUCCCAUUUAUUUUUCUCACUUAAAUUUCUUUUGAUUUAUUCAAUUUAAGAAUAGAAAUACUCCAUGGAUCAUCGUUUAUUACUUUUUAAUUAAUUAAAACACUGCUAUAUAAACCACAUUAUAGUCAAUAGUAUUGAUCUAAGUUUUGUUUGAUAGAGAACAUGAUUUGUGUUAAUUUUAUAUAUAUAAAAUAAAUAGAUAAACGGUUACUCAUUUAUAACCAUGAUUAAUACUCAUAAUCAACUAUUUAUAUUUUACGGAUGAACGAUUAUACCUAUAACCGUUUAUUUAUUUAAACGGUUACCCAAAUGAUCGUGUAACCGCGGAUCAUCCCUAGUUACGAACGCCACUCUCACUCACCCUCCACCGUUACACACGCACCCAAUCAUAAUUCUGAAAUCCAAACACAACCCAGAUGUUAAUCCUUCAGAGAAUGGCAAUGGCCACUUCUUCUUCCUUCCUCUUAAUCCCUCUCCUCAAUACUCUUCUUUGCUUUCCCCAGUUAAACACCAAGCUCCGAGUUCAGGUCUCUGUCCUUGUACGGCGGUAGAACUGGAGACUCCACCUCCUCGGCGAUGGCCACAGAGGCUCAGGUCUCGACCCAAGACGACAAAUUGAAGGAUGCCCAGAUGGAGGUAGCUGAUAAACCUGAGACAGUCGUGCUUCCAACCAACGAGUCCUCCGAAAGCCUCAUCAUAAUUCGACACACGGUAUUUAUUGAAAUUUCAUUGCUUUGGAUUGGAUUUAUGAUUGUUUUAUGUUAAAUUGAAGUAGGGUGCUUUCCUGUUGAAUUUUUUGAAUUUUUAGAUUCUUAGGAGCUUCCCCUUUUUGAAAGUUUGAUGCUUUUAAUUAACUAUUUUCAAUUCUGCGUUACUAAUUGUCACCUGAUUCUAUUGUGAAGAAUGAGGAAGUGAGGAUGAAGAAAAUAAGAACCUAACUUUUCGGUAAUUUGAAAUUUGAUCGAAUAGGACAUGGAAAAAUGGGUGUACAUCAGUAGAUAAGCUGGGAAAAUUUUCAAGACUUGGAUUGUCUGCCCUCUAAUUUUGGUGCCCUCCCAGUGCCCUCUUGUUUUUGUGGUCAUGGUUAAGCCACAUCAACAUUUUAUAGUACUAUUUCUUUUUGUUUUAUUAUUUUUAUAAAAAAAUGAUAUAAAAUAUUGACGUGGCUUAACCGUGACCACACAAAACAGGAGGGCACCGAAAUGGGAGGGCAGACAAUCCAAGUCCAAAUUUUCAUCCUGUUUUUGGGAAUGUGAGAAGAUACAUGGGUUUCUGUAUUUUGAUAAAGUGUUGAGGUCGAGCUAUGUUCAUUUUUUUCUAAAUUUCCAUGUAGUUUGGUAUUAAUGGCGUCUUUUCCGCUGUUAUGGUGAUGAACUAUUUAUGUGUUUGACUGCAGUGUGCACACGUGAUGGCCCUGGCUGUUCAAAAGCUCUUCCCGGAUGCAAAAGUGACAAUUGGUCAGUGGAUAGAAAAUGGGUUCUAUUAUGAUUUUGAUAUGGAGCCUUUGACAGACAAAGAGUUGAAGAGAAUCAAGAAGGAGAUGGUAAGUGGAAUUUCUUUAUAAGUUAUCAUGUUUGUAUCAAAGUUUUGGAACCAUGAAACUAUUGAAAACUAUUCAUGAUCAUUUCUUUUGUGAUUUGUAGGAUCUCAUCAUUGGUAGAAACUUACCACUCAUAAGAGAAGAAGUUUCAAGAUAUGCUCACAAAAGAAUAACUGCGCUCAACGAAGCAUACAAAUUGGAAAUUUUGGAUAGUAUUAAAGAAGAUCCCAUUACCAUAUAUCAUAUUGGUAAGGGUUUCACUAUUUUCAGGCUCAAUAUAGUUUGGAAGGUGAUGAUUUAAUGUGCAGGAACUGUGCGUAAAUGAUAUUUUUAUUAGCUACACAAGUGAAAUGUACAGUGUUUGUGUCGAGUCUUAAGAUGGAAAUUUAAGGGAAUAAAAAAGAGAGGGCGGGGGUGUGCUCAGGGAAAACAAUGUUGUUGGUGCUCUUUAAAAAUGAGUUAUUGAUAUGCAAAUUGAAAAGGAGACUAAUUUGAAGGUGGGAGGAACCUUUUGGUCAAGCUAACCAAUUAUACUUAUGUUUAUACAUAUGCAUGCUUGUACUGGGAUUUGAUUGUGUUUUGAACUAGCAUCCUGUCAUAUUAGACUGUCUUUAUGUCAUAAUUCCUCAUAGUAUGCCGAAUUCUUCUUAUGUGAUGAAUGGUAGGAAGCAUGUGCAGGGCCCCAUGUUGAAAAAACUGGAAAUAUUAACGGAAAAGCUGUCGAACUUGAGUCUAUUGCUGGUGCUUGCUGGAGAGGAGAUGAAAAAAACCAAUGCUGCAGAGGAUCUAUGGCACUGCAUGGGAGAGUGAAGAUCAAUUGAAGGCAUAUCUUCAUUUCAAAGAGGAAGCUAAACGUCGAGAUCACAGGGGCUUUGAUCAAGUUCUUGACCUGUUUUCUAUACAGGUACUCAGAAUUGCCCUGAAUCUCUUUCUGCUGCUUACGCAGAUUUAUCAGUUAGCAAUCCCAUUAUUUGUAAUUAUGAGGAUUCUUGCAUUAACUCUGCCUGUGUAAGUUUAUCUUACAUUGCCGGUCCCAAGUCCGGGUAAAGGAGGAGGGGGAGGGCGUCAGGUAGUCGACAGCCGGCACUCCACAGUUACGUCGAAUCCUUAUGAAAAUGAAUCCAGAACGAAAUCGCGCUAAAGCUAGGGCGUCACCCGUAAGUGGCGCGCUGUGUGGCCCGAGCACAGUGAUAAGUGAGCAAGGGUCGCUGUAUCUCCAUCGGCACCCGGAUGCAGUGUUAAAUGAGCAAGGGGGCCAUAGAAACUUCUUUUCGAACGACUCCACUCAAAGUUGUUUGGGAGCAUAUACUCCUAUCAACUUUACACAGGACACACAAAAGAAGUACUUUGAUCCUAUUGGACGGGGGAGGGUGAAGAAGCUAGGACAAAAGGGUAGAGUUCAAGAGAGUAGAAUGCGUUUAGGAACGUGGAAUAUAGAAACCUUAACGGGAAAAUCUAUAGAAGUAGUGGAAGUUAUGGUGAGGAGAAGGAUAAAUAUUAUGUGCCUACAAGAAACUAAGUGGGUUGGUCUUAAGGCAAAGGAUCUAGAAAACUUAGGGUUUAAACUUUGGUAUUCGGGCACAAGUAGAACGAGAAACGGUGUUGGCAUCAUCUGUGGACAAGACCUUGACACAAGAUGUUGUAGAUGUCAAGAGGGUAGGAGAUAGAAUCAUGGCAAUCAAGAUUGUAAUAGGACAAGAACUCAUCAAUGUCAUUAGUGCGUACGCACCUCAAGUAGGGUUGGAUACGAGUUCGAAGGAGAAAUUUUGGGAAUACCUUGGAGACUUGGUGCUGGGAAUACCUUGGAGACUUGGUGCAAGGAAUUGCCCAGACGGAGAAGUUAUUUAUAGAGGAGAUUUAAAUGGACACGUGGGCAGGGAGACAGGCAACUAUAGAGGUUUUCAUGGUGGCCAUGGUUUUGGGGAGAGAAACGAGGAUGGGGAAGCUAUCUUGGAUUUUGCAAUGGCAUAUGAUCUCUUCUUAGCCAACACAUUCUUUAAGAAGAGAGAAGAACAUGUGAUCACCUACAAGAGUGGGUUGUCAAAAACACAAAUAGAUUUUCUUCUAAUGAGGAUAUGAGAUCGUAUAACUUGUAAGGAUUGCAAAGUUAUACCGGGAGAGAGCUUGGCUAAUUAACAUCGCUUGUUGGUGAUGGAUGUACAUAUCAAAAGAGUGAGAAAAAAGAACAAGACUUGGAAGUGCCCAAGGCCUAGAUGGUGGAAUCUAAAAGGAGAAAAACAAGCCAUUUUCAAAGAGAAAGUAAUCACCCAGUGUGGGUGGGAUAGAGAGGGGGAAGCUAGCUAAAUGUGGGAUUCCAUGGCUAGUUGUAUCCGAAAAGUAGCAAAAGAGGUAUUAGGAGAGUCCAAGGGCUUUGCCCCACACCAAAAGGAAUCUUGGUGGUGGAAUGAGGAGGUACAAACAAAGGUGAAGGCUAAGAAGGAAUGUUGUAAAGCCUUAUACAAGGACAGGACCGAUGAAAAUAGUGAAAGGUAUAGAAGAGCGAAGCAAGAGGCUAAGAAAGCUGUGAGAGAAGCUAAGUUAGCGGCUUAUGACGACAUGUAUAAGCGACUAGAUACCAAAGAAGGAGAGUUGGAUAUCUAUAAACUAGCUAGAGCAAGGGAAAAGAAGAUAAGGGACCUAAACCAAGUGAGGUGCAUCAAGGAUGAGGAUGGAAAGGUUCUUGCUACAGAGAAUGCGGUCAAAGACAGAUGGAGAGGUUAUUUUCAUAAUCUUUUCAAUGAAGGACAUGAAAGGAGUACUUCUUUAGGGGAGUUGAGUAAUUCAGAAGAGUGUAGAAACUACUCAUUUUAUCGUCGAAUCAGGAAGGAAAAAGUGGUUGUAGCUUUGAAGAAAAUGAAGCAUAGAAAAACAGUGGGCCCAGAUGAUAUAUCGAUCGAAGUGUGGAAAGUCUUGGGAGAGACAAGUAUAGCAUGGCUCACUGACCUUUUCAAUAGGAUUUUGAAAACGAAGAAGAUGCCAACUGAGUGGUGAAAGAGCACUUUGGUGCCUAUAUACAAGAAUAAGGGCGACGUACAAAAUUGCAUGAAUUAUAGGGGUAUUAAGCUAAUGAGCCAUACAAUGAAGCUCUGGGAGAGAGUCAUUGAGCAUAGAUUGAGGUAAGAGACACGGGUUUCGGACAACCAAUUCGGGUUCAUGCCAGGGCGCUCAACCAUGGAGGCAAUCUAUCUCUUACGAAGAUUGAUGGAAAGAUAUAGAGAUGGGAAAAAGGAUUUACACAUGGUCUUUAUAGAUUUGGAAAAAGCUUAUGAUAGGGUCCCAAGAGACAUUCUUUGGAGGAUUUUAGAGAAGGAAGAAGUACGAGCAGCAUAUAUCCAAGCUAUAAAGGAUAUGUAUGAAGGAGCAAAGACUGCCGUAAGAACUCAUGAAUGACAAACCGAAAGCUUCUCCAUAACUGUAGGAUUACAUCAAGGCUCAUCCUUAAGUCCUUACCUUUUUGCGUUGGUAAUGGAUGAGUUAACAGGACAUAUUCAAGAUGAUAUUCCUUGGUGUAUGCUUUCCGCAGAUGAUAUAGUGUUGAUAGAUGAAACUCAGGAAGGGGUAAAUGCGAAGCUUAACCUUUGGAGAGAAAUGUUGGAAUCUAAAGGUCUUCGCCUAAGCCGAUCAAAGAAAGAAUAUAUGGAGUGCAAGUUCAGUGCAAAUGGAGGCCAAAAUGAGUUAGGGGUGAGGAUCGGAGAUCAGGAAAUACCAAAGAGCGAUCGUUUUCGCUACUUAGGAUCUAUCUUGCAAAAGAACGGAGAAUUAGAUGGAGAUCUCAACCAUAGAAUACAAGCUGGAUGGAUGAAGUGGAAGAGUGCAUCCGGCGUGUUGUGUGACCGUCGUAUGCCACUGAAGCUCAAGGAAAAAUUUUAUAGGACAACAAUAAGGUCGGCGAUGCUGUAUGGCACAGAAUGUUGGGCGGUGAAGCAUCAACACGUACACAAAAUGGGUGUAGCGGAGAUGAGGAUGCUUCGUUGGAUGUGUGGGCACACGAGAAAUGAUAAGAUUAGGAAUGAGGAUAUCCGAGGUAAAGUAGGAGUAGCCGAAAUUGUACGAAAAUUGAGAGAAAAUUGGUUACAGUGGUUUGGACAUGUGCAAAGAAGGCCUACUGACGCUCCGGUUAGAAUAUGCGACUACAGGACAGAGGUUUAGGGCCGAAGGGGUAGAGGAAGACCUAGGAAAACUUUGGAAGAGACUCUAAGAAAAGACUUAGAGUAUUUGGAUCUAACGGAGGACAUGACACAGGACUGAGCACAAUGGCAUUCUAAGAUUCAUAUAGCCGACCCCACUCAGUGAAGAAGGCUUUGGUGUAUUUAACACAAUACGUUGAAAUGAAGCAAAACUUAUUUAUUGAUAUCUCCGAUAAGUUACAAAUAUGUACAUAUACAUGAGUCAAAAUAAACAAACAAGAGGGAGCCUUCACAAAGGUUGCUUAGGAGAAGUCUCAGCAGUUGGUAGAGCCCCAGAAAGAGAAGGCACCGGAGGGGUAUCAUUCGAAGCCUCAGUACUGGACAGAACCCUAGAAGGAGGAGGCAUCGAAGGUUGAUCAUUUGGAGCUUCAGUACGCGGUACAGCCCCAGAAGACGAAGGCAAUAAAUGCCUUUGGAACAAACCCACAAACCGCUGAUGAUCAAGUAAAACCUGACCAUCAGAUUCCUUCAUCUGGUCAAGCUUCCUCUUCAUGUUUGUAGCAUAGUCAUGUGCGAGCCGGUGCAACUGUUUAUUCUCAUGCUUGAGCCCUCUAAUCUCUUAUUUGAAACUCAUCACUUCAGCCGCCAAUGAUUCAACUUGGCAGGUUCGAGCAAAUAGGCGCUGGGCCAUAUUAGACACAGAACCUGCACACUGAACACUUAGAGCCAGAUAAUCCUUAACAGCCAACUCAUCAGACCGUUUGCAAAGUAAUCUGUUAUAUUUGGGAGUGAGAAAGUUCCUGGCCACCACCGCAGCAGUCAUAUCAUUCUUCAUCACGGAAUCCCCAACGGUAAGCGGACCAGUAGGGGAUAAGAAAGAUGGACGCCAUAUGUUGUCUGGAGAAGGCGUGGCUGCCUCUUCAACGAGGUUCAAGUCAAAACGACGGUCGGAGGGGCCAGAAAUUUUCAAAGGUGUUGAAGAGAGAAGUGGUCGGACAAAUCAAGAUCUUAGAAGUGCAAGAAUGGAGCUUCUACUGGUGAAGAUUCAAGUGUGCUUUGGAACUUAAUGUCAGCCUCUAUAAAAAUCUGCACUCGACGGAGCUUCAGAAAUCGAAGAGGCGCCUGCCCAGAAAUCGAAGAGGCAUUUGCUUUCUCAAAAGUUGGGCUGCUCAAAGACCACGAGGGUCGAUCUCAGAAAUCGAAGAGGCGUUUGCUUUCUCAAAAGCUGGGCUGCUCAAAGACCACGAAGGCCGAUCUCAGAAAUCGAAGAGGCACUUGCUUUCUCAAAAGCUGGGUUGCUUAGAGACCACGAAGGCCGAUCUCAGAAAUCGAAGAGGCACCUGCUUUUUUCAGCCUUGUCAGCACCUGUCACAUGCACACUCAGCUUUGCUGAAAUUACGGGCAUUCUGUUGAAUAUUUCUGGUGAAGUAGAAAGCACGUGAAUCUUAUUGUUCAAUCAUCCACUUUCCACACGCACCAUCAGCUCAUGGGUACCAUAGAUAACUUUGCCAAAGAUCUCUGACAAAGUUUAGACACGUGAAGCUUGCAGCUCCCACUACAUCGCUAUGAUCAAGAAGGGUAAAAGAAUAGCAAAGAAACAGCACUAACAAAGUUUAGAUACAUAAAUUUUGAAGGUCUAGCUACCAUAUUAUUACCUACAAGGGUAAAGGAACAGCACCGCUGCUGGAUAAUCGGAAAGUCCUUGUAUGUCAACCUAUGUGCUCUGUGGCAAGGUAGACUAGCAAACAUGCCCAAACUUUACUUACAUUCGAGAAAACACUCCCAACAAGAUUGCUUGCUCCAAAAUCGAAGAGGCACCGUCCUCUGAAUCUCGAGAGCCAGACUCCCAACAUGAUUACUUUCUCAAAAUUGAAGAGACACCGCUCUCCGAAUCUCGAGAGCUAGACUCCCAGCAGGAUUGCUCUCUCAAAAAUCGAAGAGGCACCGUUUUCCGAAUCUCGAGAGCCAGAUCUCCGACAAGAUUACUUGUACGAAAACCGAAAAGGCACCGCUUUCUCAACUUCAAGAGCCAGAUCUCCUUGGAUAAAGCUUGUCUGUAAUCUUCACACGCAACAUCAGCUUUCCAGAUACCACAGACCACUUUUUCAAAGUGCUCUGACACACGUGAAGCUAGCAACUCCCACUACCGUGCUAUGACCAAGCAGGGUAAAGGAAUAGUAUUACUACUUGUUGUUAGGGAAACUCCUAUAUAUGUCGACCUCCAUCCUCAACGGACAGGCAGACCUGCAAAAAUGCUCAACACUUCCUCAUAUCCGAGAGGGCACUCCCAACGAAGCCUCUCGAAAUACUCAGCUUUCUUUCCCCCCGAUAAUACCUCUGCAAACAAGCUACACCAGAGCAAGAAUAUCUCAUAUCAUCAGGGUUAAAAGCAAGAGUAUCCCAUAUCAUGCUUUUUCCCUGUCUUUUCCUUUGGCCUUGUUCUUACCUGCAAGACAAGGAGAAAGAGAGCAAUCAGUCAGCACUUGGAAUCAAGCUUCCAGUCAGGAACUGACUGCCUGGAACCCCUUACCUGAUUACUUACCUGGCAUUGCUCUCGAGUACCCAUCUUCAAAAUCUUAUGCUUCCAGAGAAGAUACCACAUCUGCCUGAGGAACAGAUAGGGAAAGUGAGAAGGAUACAAGGAAGCAUGUGGAGACAAACGUAACAGAACACGUGCCGAUACAUCCACUACUUUGUCAACAGCAAAAGUAUCUCAUAUCAGCAGGGUCGAACGUACUCUAGAUUUGAUGGACGUGUUUUGACCCUCAAAUUCUUCAGUCGGCCUUAUACUCUGGAAGAAACCAGAAAAUCCUCCAGCCCAGUUCAAGAAUAAGCCUGUGUAAAGUUACUUAUUCAAAAGCAAAAGUAUCUCAUAUCAUCUAUUCUCCUUUUCUUCUCUUUAUCCUUCAUGCUGCCUGCAAGAUAGGGAGAAUGAGAACAAUCAGCCGGAACUCGAAAUCAAACUUCUGAUCUGGGACUAAUUGCUUGGAGCUCUGAUUGCUUACCUUGUCUGUCACCUUUUUCAGCAUAUCCCCUAGCUCGGUGACUUGGGGGACUCCUACUACAUGGUUUGUAUCGCGCUUGACCAAGCCUGAAACUACAAGUAAGCUUCAAGUGAAUUUGAUACAUUACCUUGUGCAUCUCCACCAGUUAAAGAUACCACCCCUUGAUGGAGGAAGCGUACUUCCAGAGAAGAUGCCACAUCUACCUAUGAGACAGUUAAGGCAAGUGAAGACGAGAGCAUGCACCUAUGUGAUUUGUACUAAAUCAUUCACUUGUACUCACUAAAGGAGAGCUUGAACCUAUGUACUUGCGUAAACUCUUCACAAUUAAUGAGAACUCCUCUACUCCGUGGACGUAGCCAAUCUGGGCGAACCACGUACAUCUUGUGUUUGCUUUCUUGUCUCUAUCCAUUUACAUACUUAUCCACAUUAAUGACCAGAGCAAUCUAGCGAAGAUCACAAACUUAAUACUCUCUGUUGUACCAAAGUCCUCACUGAUUUUGUGCAUCAACAAUCCUUAAGUCUUUACAUUUUUGCGUUGGUAAUGGAUGAGUUAAUAGGACAUAUUCAAGAUGAUAUUCCUUGGUGUAUGCUUUUCGCAGAUGAUAUAGUGUUGAUAGAUGAAACUCAUACGGGGUAAAUGCGAAACUUAACUUUUGGAGAGAAGUGUUGGAAUCUAAAGGUCUUCGCCUAAGCCGAUCAAAGACAGAAUAUAUGAAGUGCAUGUUCAUUACAAAUGGAGGCCAAAAUGAGUUAUGGGUGAGGAUCGGAGAUCAGGAAAUACCAAAGAGCGACCGUUUUCGCUACCUAGGAUCUAUAUUGCAAAAGAAUGGAGAAUUAGAUGGAGAUCUCAACCAUAGAAUACAAGCUGGAUGGAUGAAGUGGAAUAGUGCUUCUGGCGUGUUGUGUAACCGUCGUAGGCCACUAAAGCUCAAGGAAAAAUUUUAUAGGACGGUAAUAAGGCCGACGAUGCUGUAUGGCACAGAAUGUUGGGCAGUGAAGCAUCAACACGUACACAAAAUGGGUUUAGACAUGUACAAAGAAGGCCUACUGACGCUCCGGUUCGAAGAUGGGACUACGAGAUAGAGGUUCAGGGCCGAAGGGGUAGAGGUAAACCUAGGAAAACUUUGGAAGAGACCCUAAGAAAAGACUUAGAGUACUUUGAUCUAACGGAGGAUAUGACACAAAAUUGCGCACAAUGGCGUUCUAGGAUUCAUAUAGCCGACCUCACUUAGUGGGAAAAGGCUUUGUUGUUGUUGUUGUAUGAGGAUUCUUGCAUUGAACAUUUUCAUUGUUGAAUUUUCACAGAAUGAUGCUGGUGGUGGUUUAGUGUUCUGGCAUCCAAAGGGUGCUAUUGUGAGGCAUGUAAUGGAAGAUUUGUGGAAAAAGAUUCACAUAGAACGUGGUUACAAUCUGCUUAUACUCCACAUGUUGCAAAGGCGAACCUUUGGCAGAUAAGUGGUCAUCUGGAUUACUACAAGGAGAAUAUGUAUGAUCAAAUGAAUGUUGAGGAUGAACUUUAUCAGCUUCGACCGAUGAACUGCCCCUAUCAUAUCUUGGUUUACAGAAAGAAGCCUUACUCAUAUCAUGAAUUUCCUAUUCAAGUUGUUGAGUUGGGAACCGUUUAUAGAUACGAAUUAUCUGGAAGCUUGCAUGGUCUUUUUCGUGUAAGAGGUUUUACUCAGGUACAGUGUUAGUAUUUGCAAACUAUUAGUCUAUAAUCCUUGGUGUAUGAAGUGUUUUUUUUUUUUUUAACCUCAGGACUUGUUGCAGGAUGAUGCCCACAUAUUUUUUCAAGAAGAUCAGAUCAAAGAUGAAAUUAAGGGUGUCCUAGAUCUUACCGAAUAACUUUUGUUGCAAUUCGGCUUCAGCAAAUAUGAGGUCAAUCUCUCUUCGAGGCCAGAGAAAGCUGUUGGAGAUGGUGAUAUAUGGGUGAAAGGCAACAUCUGCCCUUACUCCUUAGAGAUGCUUUGGAUGAUAAAGGUUGGAGCUAUCAAAUUGAUGAAGGUGGUGGUGCCUUUUAUGGUCCAAAGAUUGAUCUUAAGAUUGAGGAUGCCCUUGGAAGGAGGUGGCAGUGCUCAACUAUACAAGUUAAUCCUGAACUCAUGACGGGAUAAUUCUAAUGUACGCUUUGUUUUUUAAUUGGUAGUCUCUAUGUCUAUCUCCGUAUCACUUUGUAAAAUGUUCAUUGGAGAUUUGAGCAUCUUUUUUUAAUUGAGCGAAUUACAUGGAUUUGUUUGCUAGAGUAAAGCCACUUAUUAUUGUUAUUUUAAAUUGUUUGAUCUUUUGUACUUCCCAAAUUGUACAAGUUGAUUUUCCAUUAUGGCUUUCGCCAAUACAAGCUCAUGUUUUACCAGUUACUGACUCUCAGGUUUGUAAAGCAGUUGCACGUUUAAUGUUUCAAUUAACUCAAGGACCCUCAACACACCUGCACGACGGUUACCUGGGCUAUGACCCCUGACUCUCCUCCCAGUGAUUCGACUCCUUUGUCGACUCCGAGUCGCUCAAGGACUCCACCACCGAUUCCCCAAUCUUCCACGGCUCCACCAUAGACGACGCUUUCGAACGGCCAGGGCUUUGAUGGAGGGUUUGGCGGGUCCGACGAUCCCAUUUUGCCGGUUCCGUCUGAGAUACUGCCUGAGGAGGGCUUCGCUCUCAGAAAAUGGAGGAGGUAGGAUCUCGAAUUCUAAUUGUUUUCAAUUGAACCGAUAGUUCUGUAUAGCAAUUAAAUUUUGACUCUUUUGUGCAAUUUAGUUGAAAGUUGUUGGUUUUGAUUUGGCUUGAUCUUUCUGUUGAUGAGAAAUUAGGUGGAAAUUGUUGUUUUGAUUUCGAUAGUUUUCAAGAAUUGCAUGCUUAGUGAUCAGCAAUCGUCUGGCUUUAUCGGGUAAGGAGAUAAAGCAAUUAAAUUUCAAAAUUUGGAUUUACAGUUCGUAUUUUGAGCCUGAAUUCAUGAAAACAAACAUAACCCAUUAUUUAUUAGCGAUUAAUGAUCUGAUUAAUUUAGUUUUUAAUCAUAAUCAAUAGCAUGUAGCUUUAAUGGAAGUGGGGUUUGGGAAAUUGGCUAGCACCCAUUUUGCUUUUUGUUUGUCUGCUUUCCAUUUCUCCUCUCUCUUGCCAUCUUCUUUGUAUUUUGGCUACUUCUCUCUCCCGCACUCCCUUUUUAACUCUUGGUUCUGUGGUUCUCCGGCUGCCGUUAGGUUUUUGUGGUCGAACAACGAUGGAAUCCGAGGAUGAUGACUACUACAGCAACGACAAUGACUCCUAGAAAUUUUUAUUUUGAAUUCGGAAUUGGUUUGAUUGAAGCCCCCUAAUUGAUUGUAUUUAGGUUGGAUUUUUAUGCAUCAGGAAUUUCAAUUGAAGCCUCCUAAUUGGAUAAUGUUUUUCCCAUGUUAGGCUUCUCUGAUUGAGGUGAUACAGAUACCAAAUUGGAGCGGUGCUGUUAGUGGAGGAAUCUGGUAGAAACGAUGAGUUUGUAGAUUGAAUUUGUAUAUGAUGAUAAUAAAAAAUGAUAUGUUGUUUUCGUAAUUCUUUUUGCUUUCAAAGUUUAUUGCUUGGUUGUGUUCGUAACCUCUGGGUUCUUACGGUUCUUUGUCUCUCUUACUUCAGAUUCUUUGUGUUUUUUAUCAUUCGUUUGUGAAGAAAUGGGUCGUACGUAGUGGUAAGGCUCUGAGGAAGGCACUUGCCACCAAGGUGCGUUUCGUUUGGGUUUCUGAUGUCUAGAAAAUUAGAAUUGAUAAUUGCAAGCAAUUUUUUCCGAGAAACAAUCAGAUUAUUGAAUCUAAGUUGCUAAUUGUUUUAAUUUUGUAUAUGCUGCAAUUAAAUCAGCACCCGCAACUGAAGGUGUCAAGAAGCCUGACUGCUACCGCCUUGGAAUCGUCAUUUUUCGGUAAGUUUUCAACACAAUAUAGUUCAAAUCCUCUGAAUCAUGUUCUUGAAUUUUACUAUAUGUAUCGUGUUCUUUGCAUUUCGUUAUCUGAAAUUUGUUCUUUGAAUUUGGUUACCAGAAUCGUGCCUAAUGUUUGAUGUGGCCAGUGGCUUUGUAUGGUUGGCUGGUGUGAUUUGGGAGUGUUUUUAGUUAAUGGCAGACAUAGGACAAAGGUGUGGGGCAGCGAAGUCAAGUGGGAUUAGGAAUUUAGGAUAGUAGACUGUUUGCUAAUUUAUGGGAUUAGAAGUCUUCCUUUAUUUUUUCUCUUCAUGUAACAACAACAACAACAACAAAGCCUUUUCCCACUAAGUGGGGUCGGCUAUAUGAAUCCUAGAACGCCAUUACGCUCGGUUUUGCACAUGUCCAAACCCAUUUUGUGUACGUGUUGAUGCUUCACCACCCAACAUUCUGUGCCAUACAUCAUCGCCGGCCUUAUUGCCGUCCUAUAAAAUUUUCCCUUGAACUUCAGUGGCCUACGACGGUCACACAACACGCCGGAUGCACUCUUCCACUUCAUCCAUCCAGCUUGUCUUCUAUGGUUGAGAUCUCCAUCUAAUUCUCCGUUCUUUUGCAAGAUAGAUCCUAGGUAGCGAAAACGGUCGCUCUUUGGUAUUACAUGAUUUUCGAUCCUCGCCCCUAACUCAUUUUGGCCUCCAUUUGCACUGAGCUUGCACUCCAUAUAUUCUAUCUUUGAUCGACUUAGGCGAAGACCUUUAGAUUCCAACACUUGUCUCCAAAGGUUAAGCUUCGCAUUGACCCCUCAUGAGUUUCAUCUAUCAACACUAUAUCAUUUGCGAGAAGCAUACACCAAGGAAUAUCAUCUUGAAUAUGUCCGGUUAACUCAUCCAUUACCAACGUAAAAGGGUAAGGACUUAAGGAUUGUUGAUGCACAAAAUCAGUGAGGACUUUGGUACAACAGAAAGUAUUAAGUUAUUGCUCUGGUCAUUAGUGUGGAUAAGUAUGUAAAAGGAUAGAGAUAGGAAAGCAAACAUAAAAUGUACGUAGUUCACCCAGAAAGUAACUUUCCACAGGCUUAUUCUUGAACUGGGCUGGAGGGAUUUCUGGUUUCCUCCAGAGUAUAAGGCCGAUUGAAGAAUUUGAGGGUCAAAACAAGUCCAUCAAAUCUAGAGUACGUUCGACCCUGCUGAUAUGAGAUACUUUUGCUGUUGACAAAGUAGUGGAUGUAUCGGCACGCGUUCUGUUACGCUUGUCUCCAUAUGCUUCCUUGUAUCCUUCUCACUGUCCUUAUCGGUUCCUCAGGCAGAUGUGGUAUCUUCUCUGGAAGCAUAAGAUGUUGAAGAUGAGUACUCGAGAGCAGUGCCAGGUAAGUAAUCAGGUAAGGGUUCCAGGCAGUCAGUUCCUGACUGGAAGCUUGAUUCCAAGUGCUGACUGAUUGCUCUCUUUCUCCUUGUCUUUUGCAGGUAAGAACAAGGCCAAAGGAAAAGACAGGGAAAAAACAUGAUAUGGGAUACUCUUGCUUUUAACCCUGAUGAUAUGAGAUAUUCUUGCUUUGGUGUAGCUUGUUUGCAGAGGUAUUAUCGGAGGGAAAGAAAGCUGAGUAUUUCGAGAGACUUCUUUGGGAGUGCCCUCUCAGAUAUGAGGAAGGGUUGAGCAUUUUUGCAGGUCUGCCUGUCCGUUGAAGAUGAAGGUCGACAUAUAUAGGAGUCUCCCUAACAACAAGUAGUAAUGCUAUUCCUUUACCUUGCUUGGUCAUAGCACGGUAGUGGGAGCUGCCAGCUUCAUGUGUGUCAGAGCACUUUGAAAAAGUGGUAUGUGGUAUCUGGAAAGCUGAUGUUGCGUGUGAAGAUUAGACACAAGCUUUAUCCAAGGAGAUCUGGCUCUCGAAGUUGAGAAAGCGGUGCCUCUUCGGUUUUCAAACAAGCAAUCCUGCGGGGAUCUGGCUCUCAAUAUUCGGAGAACGGUGCCUCUUCGAUUUUUGAGAGAGCAAUCCUGCUGGGAGUCUGGCUCUCGAGAUUCGGAGAGCGAUGUCUCUUCGAUUUUGAGAAAUUAAUCAUGUUGGGAGUCUGGCUCUCAAGAUUCGGAGAACAGUGCCUCUUCAAUUUUAGAGCAAGCAAUCUUGUUGGGAGUGUUUUCUCGAAUGUGAGUAAAGGCAGGGCAUGUUUGCUAGUCUACCUUGCCACGGAGCACAGAGGUUGACACACAGGGACUUUCUAAUUAUCCAGCAGUGGUGCUGUUCCUUUACCCUUGUGGAUAAUAAUAUGAUAGCUAGACAUUCAAAAUUUAUGUGUCUAAACUUUGUUAGUGCUGUUUCUUUGCUAUUCUUUUACCCUUCUUGAUCAUAGCGAUGUAGUGGGAGCUGCAAGCUUCACGUGUUUAAACUUUGUCAAAGAUCUUUGACAAAGUUAUCUGUGGUACCCCUGAGCUGAUGGUGCGUGUGAAAAGUGGAUGAUUGAAUAGUAAGAUUCAUGUGCUUUUUACUUCACCAGAAAUCUUCAACAGAAUGCCCGUAAUUUCAGCAAAGCUGAGUGUGCAUGUGACAGGUGCUGACAAGGCUGAAAAAAGUAGGUGCCUCUUCGAUUUCUAAGAUCGACCCUCGUGGUCUCUAAGCAACCUAGCUUUUGAGAAAGCAAGCCUCUUCGAUUUCUAAGAUCGGUCUUCGCGGUCUUUUAGCAGCUCAGCUUUUAAGAAAGCAAACGCCUCUUCGAUUUCUGAGAUCGGCCCUCAUGGUCUCUGAGCAGCCUAGCUUUUGAGAAAGCAAACGCCUCUUCGAUUUCUGGGCAGACGCCUCUUCGAUUUUUUAAGCUCCGUCGAGUGCAGAUUUUUAUAGCGGCUGGCAUUAAGUUUCAAAGCACACUUGAAUCUUCACCAGGAGAAGCUCCCUUCUUGCACUUCUAAAAUCUUGAUUUGUCCGACCUCUUCUCUCUUCAACACCUUUGAAAAUGUCUGGCCCAUCCGACCGUCGUUUUGACUUGAACCUUGUUGAAGAGGCAGCCACGCCUUCUCUAGACAACAUAUGGCGCCCAUCCUUCUUAUCCCCUACUGGUCAUCUUACCGUUGGGGAUUCCGUGAUGAAGAAUGAUAUGACCGCUACGGUGGUGACCAUGAACCUUCUCACUCCCAAAGAUAACAGACUAUUUUCCAAACGGUCUAAUGAAUUGGCUGUUAAGGAUUCUCUGGCUCUGAGUAUUCAGUGUGCAGGUUCUGUGUCUAAUAUGGCCCAACGCCUAUUUGCUCUAACCCGCCAAGUUGAAUCAUUGGCAGCUGAAAUGAUGAGUCUCAAACAAGAAAUUAGAGGGCUCAAGCAUGAGAAUAAACAGUUGCACCGGCUCGCACAUAACUAUGCUAUAAACAUGAAGUGGAAGCUUAACCAGAUGAAGGAAUCUGAUGGUCAGGUUUUACUUGAUCAUCAGCGGUUUGUGGGUUUGUUCCAAAGGCAUUUAUUGCCUUCGUCUUCUGGGGCUGUACCGCAUAAUGAAGCUCCAAAUGAUCAACCUCCGAUGCCUCCUCCUUCUAGGGUUCUGUCCAAUACUGAGGCUCCUAAUGAUCCCCCUCCGAUGCCUUCUCUUUCUAGAGCUCUACCAACUGCUGAGACUUCUCCUAAGCAACCUUUAUGAAGGCUCCCUCUUGUUUGUUUAUUUUGACUCAUGUAUAUGUACAUAUUUGUAACUUAUCGGAGAUAUCAAUAACUAAGCUUUGCUUCAUUUCCAACGUAUUGUGUUAAAUACACCAAAGCCUUCUUCAUUGAGUGGAGUCCGCUAUAUGAAUCUUAGAACGCCAUUGUGCUCGGUCCUGUGUCAUGUCCUCCGUUAGAUCCAAAUACUCUAAGUCUUUUCUUAGAGACUCUUCCAAAGUUUUCCUAGGUCUUCCUCUACCCCUUCGGCCCUGAACCUCUGUCCCGUAGUAACAUCUUCUAACCGGAGCGUCAGUAGGCCUUUUUUGCACAUGUCCAAACCACCGUAACCGAUUUUCUCUCAACUUUCCUACAAUUUCGGCUACUCCUACUUUACCUCGGAUAUCCUCAUUCCUAAUCUUAUCCUUUCUCGUGUGCCCACACAUCCAACGAAGCAUCCUCAUCUCCGCUACACCCAUUUUGUGUACGUGUUAAUGCUUCACCGCCCAACAUUCUGUGCCAUACAGCAUCGCCGACCUUAUUGUCGUCCUAUAAAAUUUUCCCUUGAGCUUCAGUGGCAUACGGCGGUCACACAACACGCCGGAUGCACUCUUCCACUUCAUCCAUCUAGCUUGUAUUCUAUGGUUGAGAUCUCCAUCUAAUUCUCCGUUCUUUUGCAAGAUAGAUUCUAAGUAGCGAAAACGAUCGCUCUUUGGUAUUUCCUGAUCUCCGAUCCUCACCCCUAACUCAUUUUGGCCUCCAUUUGCACUAAACUUGCACUUCAUAUAUUCUGUCUUUGAUCGGCUUAGGCGAAGACCUUUAGAUUCCAACAGUUGUCUCCAAAGGUUAAGCUUCGCAUUUACCCCUUCCUGAGUUUCAUCUAUCAAUACUAUAUCGUCUGCGAAAAGCAUACACCAAGGAAUAUCAUCUUGAAUAUGUCAUGUUAACUCAUCCAUUACCAACGCAAAAAGGUAAGGACUUAAGGAUGAGCCUUGAUGUAAUCCUACAAUUAUGGAGAAGCUUUCGGUUUGUCAUUCAUGAGUUCUUACGGCAGUCUUUGCUCCUUCAUACAUAUCCUUUAUAGCUUGGAUAUAUGCUACUCGUACUCCUUCAUUCUCUAAAAUCCUCAAAAGAAUGUCUCUUGGGACCCUAUCAUAAGCUUUUUCCAAAUCUAUAAAGACCAUGUGUAAAUCCUUUUUCCCAUCUCUAUAUCUUUCCAUCAAUCUUCGUAAGAGAUAGAUUGCCUCCAUGGUUGAGCGCCCUGGCAUGAACCCGAAUUGGUUGUCCGAAACCCGUGUCACUUACCUCAAUCUAUGCUCAAUGACUCUCUCCCAAAGCUUCAUUGUAUGACUCAUUAGCUUAAUACCCCUAUAGUUCAUGCAAUUUUGUACGUUGCCCUUAUUCUUGUAGAUAGGCACCAAAGUGCUCUUUCGCCACUCAUUUGGCAUCUUCUUCGUUUUCAAAAUCCUAUUGAAAAGGUCAGUGAGCCAUGCUAUACCUGUCUCUCCCAAGACUUUCCACACUUCGAUCGGUAUAUUGUCUAGGCCCACUGCUUUAUAAUGCUUCAUCUUCUUCAAAGCUACAACCACUUCUUCUUUCCUGAUUCGACGAUAAAAUGAGUAGUUUCUACACUCUUCUGAGUUACUCAACUCCCCUAAAGAAGUACUCCUUUCAUGUCCUUCAUUAAAAAGAUUAUGAAAAUAACCUCUCCAUCUGUCUUUGACCGCGUUCUCUGUAGCAAGAACCUUUCCAUCCUCAUCCUUGAUGCACCUCACUUGGUUUAGGUCCCUUGUCUUCUUUUCCCUUGCUCUAGCUAGUUUAUAGAUAUCUAACUCUCCUUCUUUGGUAUCUAGUCGCUUAUACAUAUCGUCAUAAGCCGCUAACUUAGCUUCUCUCACAACUUUCUUCGCCUCUUGCUUCGCUCUUCUAUACCUUUCACCAUUUUCAUCGGUCAUGUCCUUGUAUAAGGCUUUACAACAUUCCUUCUUAGCCUUCACCUUUGUUUGUACCUCCUCAUUCCACCACCAAGAUUCCUUUUGGUAUGGAGCAAAGCCCUUAGACUCUCCUAAUACCUCUUUUGCUACUUUUCGGAUACAACUAGCCAUGGAAUCCCACCUUUGGCUAGCUUCCCCCUCUCUAUCCCACCCAUACUGGGUGAUUACUUUCUCUUUGAAAAUGACUUGUUUUUCUCCUUUUAGAUUCCACCAUCUAGUCCUUGGGCACUUCCAAGUCUUGUUCUUUUUUUCUCACUCUUUUGAUAUGUACAUCCAUCACCAACAAGCGAUGUUAAUUAGCCAAGCUCUCUCCCGGUAUAACUUUGCAAUCCUUACAAGUUAUACGAUCCCCUUUCCUCAUUAGAAGAAAAUCUAUUUGUGUUUUUGACGACCCACUCUUGUAAGUGAUCACAUGUUCUUCUCUCUUCUUAAAGAAGGUGUUGGCUAAGAAGAGAUCAUAUGCCAUUGCAAAAUCCAAGAUAGCUUCCCCAUCCUCGUUUCUCUCCCCAAAACCAUGGCCACCAUGAAAACCUCCAUAGUUGCCUGUCUCCCUGCCCACGUGUCCAUUUAAAUCUCCUUCUAUAAAUAACUUCUCCGUCUGGGCAAUUCCUUGCACCAAGUCUCCAAGGUCUUCCCAAAAUUUCUCCUUCGAACUCGUAUCAAACCCUACUUGAGGUGCAUACGCACUAAUCACAUUGAUGAGUUCUUGUCCUAUUACAAUCUUGAUUGCCAUGAUUCUAUCUCCUACCCUCUUGACAUUUACAACAUCUUGUGUCAAGGUCUUGUCCACGAUGAUGCCAACACCGUUUCUCGUUCUAUUUGUGCCCGAAUACCAAAGUUUAAACCCUGAGUUUUCUAGAUCCUUUGCCUUAAGACCAACCCACUUAGUUUCUUGUAGGAACAUAAUAUUUAUCCUUCUCUUCACCAUAACUUCCACUACUUCCUUAGAUUUUCCGGUUAAGGUUCCUAUAUUCCACGUUCCUAAAUGCAUUCUGCUAUCUUGAACUCUACCUUUCUGUCCUAGCUUCUUCACCCUCCCCCGUCCAAUAGAAUCAAAGUACUUCUUUUGUGUGUCCUGUGUAAAGUUGAUAGGAGCAUAUGCUCCCAAACAACUUUGAGUGGAGUCGUUCGAAAAGAAGUUUAUAUGGCCCCCUUGCUCAUUUAACACUGCAUCUAGGUGCUGAUGGAGAUACGGCAACCCUUGCUCACUUAUCACUAUGCUCGGGCCACACAACGCGCCAUUUACGGGUGACGCCCUAGCUUUAGCGCGAUUUCGUGCGAUGAAAAAAAAAAGGUGAGUAAUUUUAACUCUAGUUUGAGGUAAUAACAUGUGAAUUUUUCGUAUUACUGGUUUUUCCCUUUCUAUUAAAAACAACCUUUGAUUUCUUUGAUAGUGCGUUUUUCUAUCUGUGCUAUUGUUGAACUCCCCCAGUUAUCAGUUUUGACUCAAAAAAAAUAUUCGAUGAUAACAUGCAUUGAAUAUUGGCUAAAAUUAUAUUGAAAUUUGCUGGCCGAAGCAGAUAUCGUUAAAAGAGCUCUAAGUCACCCUCUGAAAUUAAUUGCCAAAAGUGAUGUUGUAAAUGGAAGAGUUGUUAGUGAGAAGGCAUUUUUUUUCGUUUCACUUUAUAGACUAUGCUCACUAUCUGUUUAAUAUGUUUCAUCGUAUUAAUUAAAGUCUCAUUUCUCAGGUGCUUUCAAGUGACAACCCCAACUAUGGAUGCAUGCUGCCACUGGAAACUAUGAAAAUUUCAUGGUUGCUGGGAUCACUGAUCCAACUAAAGUGGGUUUCUUUAUCAAGUACUUCAUGAAUAGAAUAUUUUGGAGAUCCUAUCGCUGGGACAGAUUGAAGAAGAUGAAGAUCACAAGGGUGGGAUACUGGGGAGGGUGGUAGGGUUAUGAGGAGUGGGCUCUGGUUGGUUUCGAUUUGACCAAUGUCAUGGUUCGAUGGAAUCGAGGUGAUGGGGAUGAUUCAUGAGGUCACAACCACAAGAUGUAGGGCCUACGCGUGGGGUUUAGGGGUUUCACAUAGAGGCUUACAGAGGGAGGGGGUGCACACGUGAAUUGCAGAGGGAGAGGGAGAAAGAGGGGGAGUAGGGUUGCUAUAUUCAAGUUCUCUUUUUUAUUUUUACUUGAAUUUGAUUUGAUUCUUUUUUUUUUUUGCGACAGGUUGAGAAUGCGAAAGCUCAGCUGGAGGUGGAGGUGAGAAUUUUAAUUUAAUUCAUGGUAUAUCUUUUUUUUUUUGUGGGAUUGUGCUGUUUUUGGGAAAACAAUAUUAAAUUGAAGUUUAGAUAUUUCUGUAAUUGGGAUUUAGAGUAAGAGAUGAAGAACUAUAUGUGAUUGCAAAUUUAAAAGUUUAGAACUUUUUUGGUUUGGAAGCUAAUUUUAAAUUCAGCUAGCUGAUUAAUUAAUAGAGAAAUUAUAACGAAUGUGUGAUACGUUUUUCAAUGCGUAUGAGCAGACAUGGGUACUGCUUCAGCGGCAGCAGCUGCUAUAUGAUGGUAGAUGAGGAAUUCUGAGAUGCUGAGUGCUCUUAGUGUCAGAGAUGAAGACUUGAUAAUGAUCGUUCCAAUUCUGCCUCAAGGUAUACUUGAUAAUGUUGUCCUUUAUGUGCAAUUCACUGUAUGAUGCUCGUUCCUUUAAUGAGCCUGUCAAUAUAUUUCAAUGCACCCACCAAUUGGUUUUAUCAUCAUACAUCAUUCGUGAGAAAUGGGAUGGUGAGUUUCUCAAUACAGUUUUAAUUUUUGUGCGAAUAAUGUUUGUAAAAAGUCUGUUUUUAUUUAGUUCAUUGCAGAUUCUUAUUCUUUUAUUUAGUUCACGAUUCAUGCUUUUAAAGAUAAGAAGUGCAAGGCUCUCUCGGAUGUUAGUUUUGGGUGGCAAUUGAAAGAUACGAGGACAAACAAAAAUACCUACCAAUUGAAAGGAUAAAUUCAAUUGAAAAUAUUUGGUUCAUCAAUUAUUAUAGUUUGAGCUUUCUGCAUUAAAUGUCCAGUUUUCGGGAAGAGUGAUUCAUGUAAUUGGGUUUUAUUAAAAUUUUCAUGAUUUUAUACAGUUUUUCGUUUAAAUUUGUGGAUUCAUAAACACUUUUAUGAGUGUUAAUUUCUGUUCGUAUGUCUAAAAUUUGUUUGGAAUUUGGCUGUUUCUUCAAUUUCAUCACCACCUAUUCUCACAACUUCAUUUAAAGUGUUUUGCAUGUAUAAGAUUCAUAUUCAUGGAGGUCAUUUCAAACGGAUUUCAAGCUGAGCUGCAGAAAUUUGAUUCAAAUUGGUGGAUUUGGGUAAGAAACUAAGAAACCAUUAUCUUUUGUUUCGGUUUUAAGAACUGAAUUUAAUGGUUAAGUUUAUGUUUCAAGAUUAUCUUCCUUUCUCCUAAAUACUGAGUUUUAUGAGAUUACAUUUGGCAAGUCUGAAAACGGAUUAGAAAUACAGAGUUUUAUGAGAUCUAUUUGGCAAGAUUAUCUUCCUUUGUCCUAAAUACUGAGUUUUAUGAGAUCUAUUUGGCAAGUCUGAAAGUGGAUUGCGUAUGUUUAUAUCUCCCUUUCUUCUAAAUACUGAGUUUUAUGAGAUCACACCAUCUUAUGUUUAUUGUAUAAUCUUAUGCAGUCAGAAGAAUUAUCAUCUUUUUCCUUUUAGAUUUCAACAUAUUUGGAAAUACUUCAAAUUUUUUGUAGUGUAGUUUGUACUUGUAGUUUACAUGAUUACGUAAGUUCUAUUUCUUUAGUAAAUUUUUAUGCAGGAAAGAAAGUCAUUUCUCAGUUUAUAGUUAACAUGAUUACAUAAGUUAUGCUUAUCUUAUCAACCUCAUUCACUCGUAUGUUGCUCUGUUCAUUCAUGAUUGUGUUAAAUUUAUUCAGGUUAAAAGUGUCUUAUUCAUGCAGUUACGCAUGAAACAGUUGUUCCCGCGGCAACACGUGGGCUUAUUUUCUAGUUCCAAUGUAAACCUAGAGACGAAACGAGGUCAUAUAUUACAAAGACAUAUUCUAAAACAGCCUUAGCUCAGAGAAUAAAAAAAGGAAAACUAAUGAAAAUGGCUUGAAAACUUUGAGUUUUAACGAUAUGGACAAAAUAAAGGGUAAAGUGAACAGUAUCAGGUUUGACUUUUUAGUGUAAAAAUGUGAUUUUUCGUUAAAGUAAACAGUACAGCAGACUUUUCGUUAAAACUCCCAAUAAAAAAAACCAUGCAGUGAAAACAUCUAAGGGAAACGAGUUGAUCCUCAAUAAACGCCUCAAUAGAAUGACAUCUUUGUUAAAGCAUCUGUUAUAAAAUUAGCUUCAUCUAAAACAUGAUAGAAGCUGAUAUGAUCAAGCAUACCAUGUUUGCCAACAUAAAAGAAGGAUCUUUCCAAGUUUAGGAAGGUGGGAGUUGCCAAAGAGAAACCGAUUUGAGCCGCAUUUUCUUCAAAUAUCUCAGGCAAACGGUCGGCUGACAAAAUGCAGUCAAUGGCUUCAACAUCUUGAGAAUAAAAGGCACAACUAGGAUCAAUUGGUUGUACUUCAUAUAGGGAUAAGACUUGAGUCUCGUCUUUCACAUAUGUUUACUUGUUCAUUCCGGCCAUUAUAUGGUACAACACUGAACAUAGAGUACAACUUUUCCGGCCUCUAAGUCCGGAACCCUCCCAAACAUUGGACACUACAAUACCAAAAUAAAGCAAUAAAAUACAACAGUACAAUACAAUAUAGUUAAAAGCAAUCCAUCUUAGUACAGACUCAAUCGGAUGAAUCAACGGAGCCCUAGUGUUCAAGCUUCCAUCCUUGCGGUAAACUUAAGUGGUGGCUUCAAGAAAUGGAUAAUCAGUGUAACCAAUGACGGGAUCAGUGUGUAAAAUGUCUCUCUGUUGUACUUGUUUAGAGGAGCAUUAAGUUCAAAUCUCUUUGGCAAAUCCGGAUUCGCCAAGAAAAUACGGCCAUAAGCAAUAAGAUCUGCACGGCCCUCGCCCACAGCUCUGUUUCCAUCUUCCCUGUGAUAACUGUAAAUCAUUGUGUAUGUUGAUGAAGAAAGAAUAUGCAGGAAGAAAGACAGAGAGAAAUGUAGAAGAAUAAGAGAGUAAGAGAGUUUAGAGAGUAGAGAGAGAAUCAAGAAUUGUAUUUUCUUUCUAGUUAGUUACAACUGACUAUUACAACAUGUAUUUAUUUGUAUUGGUAGCUUACACUCUAAGCCACACAAUAACCACCUUAACUAACUCUUAUAUCACAGCUAUAGAAUCUUAGUACACCUAUCAUCCCCCCUCAAGCUCAGGGGCAGAGAAAUUGAGCCUGAGAUUGGCACAAUGAGUCUGAAAGAGUGGUGUAGAAAGACCCUUGGUGAGGAUAUCUGCAAACUGCUCAGUAGACGAUACAAACUGAACAUGUAGUUGCUGUUUUGCAACCCUUUCUCGAACAAAAUGGACAUCAACCUCAAUAUGUUUCGUACGUUGAUGUUGAAUUGGAUUGCAAGUCAGUGCAAUUGCAGACAGGUUGUCACAGAAAAGUAAUGGGGGCUCGGCCAAAGGAAUCUGCAAGAACGACAACAGAGAUUUAAUCCAAUCCAAUUCAGCCGCUGUAGUAGAGAGAGCUCGAUAUUCAGCCUCAGUUGAUGAGCGAGAGACAGUGUGUUGUUUCUUAUACAUCCAUGAAAUGGGAUUAGACCCCAAGAACACCACCAUUCCAGUUGUGGACCGUCUAUCGUUCGGAUCACCCGCCCAGUCUGCAUCACUAUAGGCAGUAAGAUCAAGGGAACCUCGAAUAUACUGAAUACCACAGCCUCGAGUAGCCUUUAAGUACCUAAGAAUCCGUUUGACAGCCAUAAAGUGGGAGUCCAUUGGUCGCUGCAUAAACUGGCAGACCUGAUGCACUGCGAAAACAAUGUCAGGCCGCGUAAAAGUCAAGUACUGGAGAGCACCAACCAAGCUCCUGUACAUUGUAGGAUUAUUAUAAGGCUUGCCAUCAUUGCUGAGAAGACGGUUGUAAGGCAAACAUGGAGUAUCACACGGUUUGGACAAUAGCAUAUCAGAUUUAGUAAGCAGAUCCGUAACAUACUUGUCUUGAGAGAGAAACAAACCAUUCUUGUUCUGUACAAUUUGAAUGCCUAGAAAAUAAUGAAGAGGUCCCAAGUCUUUCAUAUCAAACUCAUGAGUAAGAGCUUGAAUAACCUCAGUGAUAGCUUGUGGAUGGCUGCCUGUGAUGAUAAUAUCAUCAACAUACAACAACAGAAUCACCACAUAUGUGUCAACAGUUUUUACAAAUAAAGAUGAAUCUGCAAAUGUAGACUUGAACCCUAAGGAAGGUAGAAAAGUAGUGAACCUUUCAUUCCACCUGUGGUGCCUGUUUCAACCCAUAAAGCGAUUUAUGUAAUCGACAAACAUAAUCUUCAUGUUUAAGAUCAACAAACCCAGGUGGCUGUGUCAUGUAGACCUCUUUCUUGUAAAUAUGCCAUGGAGGAAGGCAUUUUUCACAUCUAAUUGUCUCAAUGUCCAACCAAAGUUUGCUGAUAAAGCUAGAACGAUUCUCACUGUUGUAGGUUUAACAACAGGGCUAAAAGUCUCUCCAUAAUCGAUUCCUUCUUCUUGAUUAAAGCCUUUUGCCACCAGCCGUGCCUUAUACCUCCCAAUUGAGCCAUCAGCAUUCUUUUUUAUCUUAUAUACCCAUUUACACCCGAUUAAAUUCUUGUGACGGGGCAAUGGAACCAAUGACCAUGUUCCCUGAUUAUGCAAAGCCAAUAUCUCAUCUUGCAUAGCAUUAAACCAAACUGGGGAUUUCAACGCAGACUUAUAUGUUGCAGGUUCCACUUAUGUCAAAUCAACCCCCCCAUGUUCAUGAACCUGAGCAAGUAAAGCAAGCUUCUUAAUAAUACCACUUUUGGAUCGUGUCUGCAUAGGAUGGAAGUUCACUGGGGGAACAGAGAGAACCACUUGGAGCUGCUCAGGUUGGAAUUCAGGUACCACAGGAGGUGCAGGGGAGAAGGGUUGUGUAGUUGGAGAAGUAAUGGAAUGAGUAGCAGUUGAAUUUCCUGCACUGUCAGGUGAACCUGUAAUUGGAACCGUAGUGGAGGCUGCUGAAAGUUGCUGGAGUACCAGAUUUGGCAUGCCACUAGAGAUAGAAUCUGAGCUUAAUGAUGCAGGACACUCAGUGUAGGGAUUAAGUGACUCGUGUAACACAAGUACAUUACUAUGAUUAGGAACUGGAAUUGGUGUUUGAGAAUGUGAUGGAGGUGGUGAAAUAGUGGUACAGUGAGAUUUAGAGACCAAAGAACGAUAAGGAAACUCUGUCUCAUCAAAUAAAACAUGUCUAGAAAUAUACAUUUUGUUUUUAGAAGCAUCAUAACAAAGAUAGCCUUUAUAGUUAGAUGCAUAUCCCAAAAAGAUACAUUUUGCAGUGCGGGGAUCUAACUUGGUAUGAGUAUAAGGCCUUAACCAAGGAUAACAAGAACAGCCAAAUAUUUUCAAAUGUGUUAUUACUGGUAUGGAAUUGUGCAGCAAUUGAAACGGAGAUAAAUUUCCCAAGGAAGAAGAUGGCAUUCUAUUAAUGAGGUACACUGAGGUUUUGCAGGCAAAAGACCAAAACACUGAGGGUAAGGAAGCAGACUGUAGCAAAGCAAUGGAAAUUUCAAUAAUAUGCCUGUGUUUUUGUUUAGCUAUUCCAUUCUGUUCGGGUGUGUAAGGACAGGAAAGUUGGUGCUUAAUUCUUUUAUCAGACAAAAAUUGUUGAAAUGCUUUGUUUAUGUAUUCACCACCACCAUCACUGUGAAGAGUUUUAAUGGCUACUUGAAACUGAUUUAAGAUGAAAUUGUAUAAAGAAACAAAUAUACCCGAAACAUCACUUUUAUUGCACAUGGGAAAAAUCCAGCAAUAUUUUGUACAAUGGUCAAUGAAAGUGACAUAAUAUCUAAAUCCAUCUAGAGACACACAAGGAGCAGGACCCCACACAUCACUGUGAACAAGAUCAAAAGGUUUUACAGAUUUAUCUACGGAGGAAGGAAAUGGGAGUUUACUGAAUUUGCCCUCUAAACAUGGGUGACACAGUGAAGGUGUUUGAUCAGCAACACAAAGAACAUGUGAGGAUUCUAAAAUGCGGGAAACAAUUGAAUUAGAGGGAUGACCUAAUCUCUUAUGCCAAAUACUGGUAGUAACUUGUUGUCCCAGAAAAGCUGCAAGGUUCCUUUUGUGGAUGACUGCAGGAGAACUUGGUGAGAUGAUCGGAUACAAACCAUUGUUACACAGCCCUUUGUAAAGCACCCUCCCUGUGGCUUUGUCGUGAGAGAUAGCUAAACCUUCACCAUUUGCAGUCUGAAUAGUCUCAUUAGACGGAUAUGGAGUGGACAAGGAAAGAUUUCCCAAGUCUGAAGUCAUAUGAUUAUUUGCACCUGAAUCAGUAAGCGAAAUUUGCUGCUGUGGAGGAGGAGAUGGCACUGAGAAAGAAGGAUUAGGACCAUUGAGUGUUGCAGCAUGCAUAGCACUCAUUUGAGGAUUGGCAUUCUUUUGAAAACAUGUUUCUGCAGUAUGAUUGGAGUUCCCACAAAUAAAGCAGCCUGAGGGACCACUUGUAUUUCGAAAUCUACAGGUAUCAGCCAUAUGGUUGUGCUUCCCACAAAUUUGGCAACCUUGUGAAACAUUCAUGUUUCGAAAACGACAUGUAGAAGCCAAAUGAUUUGACUUCCCACAUAUUUGACAAAGUUAAGGCUGAAACCCAUAAAUCUGUGUUCUUGGCGGAGAAGCACCAAGAAUGCCAGGUGCAGGAUUUGAAGAGAAGUUCUUUUUAUUACCAUAUCUCGGAUUGAAUUAGAACCAAAACGAUUUCUGCCUUUACCAUUGUGAUUAAAAGACCUGUAUGCAUUUGUAUUGGAACUAGGAUAAUUUCCACCAGAACCUGAAAAAGACUGAUUCUUGGACACCAAGUCAUUGUUCUGUGCCAUUAGUGCAGACAAAACAGGUGAUGCAGAAAUGGUUUCAAUCAAUGCUUCUUCAGCCAACAAUUGAGAACGAAGAUCUUUCAACGAUAUCACAGUUUCACGACCCCGAAUCACAGAUCUUAUAGUAUUAAAUUCAGCAGGCAGACCAUUCAAUGUAAGAAUCACCAUAUCAUCAUCAUCAAAGAAAACACCAGCAGCAAAUAGUAAAUCCCGUGCUUCUUUAAUCUUCUGCAAAUACACAGUGAUAGAAUCAUUACCCUUCUUUAUAUUUUGCAGUUCAGAUUUGAGUUGAAAGAUACUGGUUCUUGUGAUAGUUGAGAACUGUUCUUUAAGCCUAGUCCACAAUUCUUUGGAACUGGUACUACCAAUCGCACAAGAAAUCCCAGCAGGGGACAAGGUUGCAGUGAUCAACUGCAUUAAUGCUUUAUCAUGCAUCUUCCAUACUCUGUAAUCAUCCGAUUGAACUUGGGUAGUAGAACCCCCAGAUAAUUCUUGGCAAAAUUGGUCAGGACAAGGAAUCGAGCCAUCAACAAACCCAAUUAUACUAUGGCCUUCAAGCAGGAGCUCCAUCUGAAAAUGCCAAGCCAAAUAAUUUGUUUCAUCCAACUUCACAUUAACUGAACUUGAAACCGACGAGAUCAAAGAAGCAAUCGGAGACUGAAGAAUAUGUAACUGAGUAGCAGUCACCAUUGUUACCAAUUAGGAGAAAAAUCCCAAGAAAUCUUGACAGAGGAAUAACCACAAACACUUGGUGGGUGUACUUUGAUCGAGAACGAAUCAAAGGAAGAAGAAGACUAAACCAGCCCAAAUUUUAACACAAGAAAUCACAGCAAGGAGAAGUAAUAGGGUAGAAGCGGAAGCAACCAUAACCAAGAUCGAAAUCCGUCAAGCUUUCAUGCUUGUUCCGGCGAUGAUACCAUGUAAACCAUUGUGUAUGUUGAUGAAGAAAGAAUAUGCAGGAAGAAAGGCAGAGAGAAAUGUAGAAGAAUAAGAGAGUAAGAAAGUUUAGAGAGUAGAGAGAGAAUCAAGAAUUGUAUUUUCUUUCUAGUUAGUUACAACUGACUAUUACAACAUGUAUUUAUUUGUAUUGGCAGCUUACACUCUAAGCCACACAAUAACCACCUUAACUAACUCUUAUAUCACAGCUAUAGAAUCUUAGUACACCUAUCAAUAACCACCACCAGCAAUGAAGGUACCAUGGAAAGCCUUUCUCAUGGGAAGAAGACUCUGGUGGGUUUCAGCUUUUUCUCCUAAUGUCUUCAUCCUCGGCUCAACCAUGUGGCAGUACACGAUUCCAUAUUUGUUCAAGGCAUUGGCCAUAUAGAGGCCUAAUUCUUUUGGAUUUGAAUCCCCUGAGUCCAUAUAGUCAGCAAAUGGAGAUAAUCUAAUUCCAACUUUAUCUGCUCCUAUUUCGUUAGCGACAGCUUCAACAACUUCCAGAGGAAGGCGGCAACGAUUCUCUAGAGAUCCACCAUAUUGGUCUGUUCGAUCAUUCACAUGAUCUUUCAGAAACUGAUCAAGAAGGUAGCCAUGCGCCCCAUGAAUUUCAACUCCAUCGAAGCCUAUAUAGCAGAUUAACAAUUUCAACAUACUGACGGUAUUAGAACCCUAAGCAUUGUCGCUGAAUUACCAAACAAAUAAUAUAAAGACAAACUACCGGCUUCAAUAGAAUUCCUUGCAUAAGCUUUGAAGCAAAUUGAGUUGUUGUAAAUUAUGUUUCAUAUGUAACGUAAAGACAAAUUACCAGCUUCAAUAGAAUUCCUUGCAGUAAGUCUAAAAUCAUUGACAAUUUGCGGAAUUUCAUCCGUCCUUAAUCGUCUUGGAGGCGUGAAUUCAGAAGCAUCGAUGCCAUUUAAUCGUAUCGGCUUGUCAGUAGAAGAUAUGGGAGCUUGCCCAUUUGGUUGAUAACCUGUAAGCAAGGAGAGAGAAUUACAACCUGAAGUCUAACGACAGUAACUAACAUCCACAGCAGCACUCUUUUAAGUGGGAAUCCUUUGUUACAAAUUACUAUAACCACACGUGCUAUAUACUAGUUCUGAAUUCUGAGUUAUGUUAACAUCAAGCUUCUUCCCAUCCAAUAAUAAUAAUAACAAUGCUUCCGAAGCAGCAAAGUCAUAACAAGUCCAACUCGGAACUUAACAAGUCCAAGUUUUAUCGUCAUUUUGAGCAACAAUGUUGUCAAUUAUAAUCACUAGCUCGUUCUGAUGCAUACACCAUUAUGUUAUACAUCAAACUUCUUAAUCGGUCUAAUUAUUCACUCAUGUUAACAAAGCAUACUAUGGUAAAAGUGUUGUGCCUUGGCCCGUUUAUCAGUGCGGAAACGAGAUUCAGAUUACAACCUCACCAUAAUCACACUCAGUUGAACAGAAUAAAAUACAAGAAAUAAAGACACCGAGAAAUUUACGAGGUUCGGCAAAAAUCCUGCCUACGUCCCCGGAGAGAUAUUGCUCUUCACUAUGAGAAUAACAGUACAAGUACACAUGAGUUAAAUCAACAUAACCCAAUCCCGAAUCCCUUGCACACCCACUCAUAGAAUUUUCCCAAGAGCCUCACUCUAUCCCAAGAGUUCUUUCACCAGAGACCUUUCACUCUAGCUCUCUUGAUUUCUCUCUCACCCGUGUUCAACCCUUCCCAUGGGAGAGCUGAAUGCUCUCCCCUUUUGGAUGCUCACUCCAUCCUCACAAUCGGCAAGCUCUCUUCAUUUUGUGUGUGAAAAAUGCCUUCACUUAUAGACAUGCACCAUCAAUUAUGUCAACCACAAAACAUGCUUCCACAAAACAUGCUUCCUCAAAACAUGCUUCCACAAAACAUGCUUCCACAAAACAUGCUUCCAAAGUCCACAAAGUUGAGAGGAAAUGGUUGCCAACUCAUAAUUAUAUGAGCCAAACACAACAAUCUCCACCUUGGCGAAUAUACUGUGCAAAAAUCCUUGCACCCAUCACCAAUGUCCAUUGGCCUUACGUACCAGCAUACACAUUCUGAAUCAACCUUGUUGGUCCUGUUCCUGAUUCAGUCACUGCCAAUGCAUGUGCAGCUGCUGCAAGCUAAAAAUCACCAUUUAGCUUCAGACAGGAUCUCGACACAUCCUCGUCUCCUCCAGCAGGUUUUCCUUCUCUUCAUUGUCUGCAACUAGGAAACUCGUCAGCGCGCCCGUUUCCAGUAACAACCCAUCGAGCCAGACAAAAUUCCCACACUUCCUCCUACCUCAUGAUCAUCUCAUCACCUGUGAAUCCCAUAGCUCCACCUGCUGCAAAACCCCUGCAACACUUGAGACUAAACAUCACCAGGAGAAGUGUUGCUUCGAGUACCUAGAGGACAUACUCAAAGUCUUCCGCCACAAACUUGCUACAACCCGGCCUUGCACCGUAGCACUGUGGACCCUUGCCUCCGGAACCGGAUCUGAACCUGCUGUCUCUCUCUGAUCCUCUUUCCAAUUUUCUUCCACGAUUCCAACCUUGAAUAACUUAAGCAGUCUUGUGCCCACCAUCAUCCAUGGUCUCCUUUGUGUAUCAUUCCACACCAAAGAAGCUUGCACCUGCUCCAAACUUACUGUAUCUUUCCAUGCAGUAAAGUUUCACAAGGUUCUAAGACAAAUCUGAAAGUGAGGUAAGAAGAAAGAGGCCUUUGUUUUCUUCCUCAACAUCAACUUUCGCAGUUGAUCCAAGCAUCCCUGAACACGGCUUCCAUUACUCUCCUUUGCCAAGAGUAAAACCGCCUCUUCCUUUAAACUGCUCAACUGAAAAUUCCAUGGUGAACAACAAAUCUGGACCUCCAACGAACCAAAGACUCCAACGAUGCUCUGAUACCAAUUGUUAUGCCUUGGCCCGUUUAUCAGUGCGGAAACGAGAUUCAAAUUACAACCUCACCAUAAUCACACUCAGUUGAACAGAAUAAAAUACAAGAAAUAAAGACACCGAGAAAUUUACGAGGUUCGGCAAAAAUCCUGCCUACGUCCCCGGAGAGAUAUUGCUCUUCACUAUGAGAAUAACAGUACAAGUACACAUGAGUUAAAUCAACAUAACCCAAUCCCGAAUCCCUUGCACACCCACUCAUAGAAUUUUCCCAAGAGCCUCACUCUACCCCAAGAGUUCUUUCACUAGAGACCUUUCACUCUAGCUCUCUUGAUUUCUCUCUCACCCGUGUUCAACCCUUCCCAUGGGAGAGCCGAAUGCUCUCCCCUUUUGGAUGCUCACUCCAUCCUCACAAUCGGCAAGCUCUCUUCAUUUUGUGUGUGAAAAAUGCCUUCACUUAUAGACAUGCACCAUCAAUUAUGUCAACCACAAAACAUGCUUCCACAAAACAUGCUUCCUCAAAACAUGCUUCCACAAAACAUGCUUCCACAAAACAUGCUUCCUCAAAACAUGCUUCCACAAAACAUGCUUCCACAAAACAUGCUUCCAAAGUCCACAAAGUUGAGAGGAAAUGGUUGCCAACUCAUAAUUAUAUGAGCCAAACACAACAAAAAGGGAGGUCAUAAAGGUGUAAGUCAGAAACGCACCGCUAUUAGAAACCCUUCCAGCAUGCCAAAUCUGACAGAAGAAGACGCCACCUUUAGCAUGAACAGCAUUAACAAUGGGUUUCCAGGCUUCAACUUGCUCCUUUGUCCAUAUACCAGGUGUGUUUGGGUACCUUCGUAUAUUAAAGAACCAAAAAUUUCAUCAAACUUUGAAACGAAAGAAGCACCCUCAAAUGCUUGUUAGUCUAUGAAUCUACUGUUGUUGAAAUUACCCUUGAGCUGUGUUGGAAACUCCAGCGGCUUCAGCUAUGAGAAGACCCCCGUUCGAAGUUCUCUGAGAGUAAUAUAAGAUAGCAUGUGGUUGAGGAACAUUGUUGUAUGAUCUCUGUCUGGUCAAUGGUGCUAAAACAAUUCUGGAAAGGAAAAAGCAAUUGUAAAUUAUAAAUACAGAGUGAUCAAGACGGAAUGUGGCUGAGGAACAUUAUCGAAUGAUCUGUUUCUAGUCAUCAACGGUGAAAAUACAAUUCUAAAGAGGAAAAACAUAUAACAAACCAUAAAUACAACCUUCAGACUUUGUAGGAAGCAUUAGUUUGCUAAGGCUCUUUGAUAACAAAUUCGCUUUUAGUUUUCUUGUUUUAGUUAAAAAGGAGAAACGAGGGAGGAAGAAGGAAUUUGGGACGAAAAUGUAUGAAAUAAAAACUCGAAUUGUAGAUUAUCUGAAUUUGCUAAGGCUCCUUCAUAACAAAUUCGCUUUUAGUUUUCUUGUUUUACUUAAAAAGGAGAAACGAGGGAGGAAUAAGGAAUUUGGGACGAAAAUGUGUGAAAUAAAAACUCUAAUUGUAGACAAUCUGAAUUUGCUUUAUGUUCUUCAUUUUCGGUAUCAUUCCAUGAACAUUUGGUCCCUCAUCCAUCCCUUCCCCUUCCCCUUCCUCCUCCUCCUCCUCUUCUAUCAUGCAUUUUCUCUUUUACUUAAAAUUAAAAACUAAAAAUCAAAUACGAAAUCGUUACCAAACACAACCUAAACAAAGCAAUGUCUUACGAAGUGACCAUGGCCGAAAGGGCACAUACUUUUAACAAUCUAUUGCAUCUAUUUUCAACAAUUAAUCAAUGAAAUAACUCAAGUGUACUGUUGUUUUGAUUUAAUUUGUAACAUCUGUACUAUUUUAUAGACAAAGAUACAGUUACUCUUUUUUUUUUUUUAGGUAAACUAGAAUUACACCAGGGCAAAGCCAGAGUACAACAGGAAAGCCCACACAGAGGACUAACAUAGCUAAAACCAUUGAGACGACAAACAACAAAAUGAUCCAGGGCCAAGGACCAACACUAGUCCCGACAUUAUGUCACCCUUAAUCAUUCCAACAUAGACUCAACUUAGUGUGGGCAAGGUAGACCAUCCUUGUUCAACUUCUUGUCUCCUUCCCAACAUCUGUACUAUUUUAUACCAACAUGAUUCUCUCUGGAUUCUUUUGGUGAGAAUCUUGUCCGUUCAUCGUACAUCGUGCGAUCAGUUUUUGUCAAAUAAUUUUGUGUUUAAUUUUAAAUAAAAAUAUUUAAAAUAAUUUUUUACUGCACGAUAUACGAUGAACGGACAAAAUAACGGAUUUUCAGGAUUCUCACAAAGAGAAUUCGACGAGUAUCCGGAUUCUAUUUUAUAGACAAAGAUACAGUUACAAACACUCCUUGUCUCCUUCCCCAAAUCAUUCUUCGUUUUUGUAAAAUAGGAACAAUGUAUGAAAGUUUUAAUUACCUAUGAGAAAGAUUGAAGUUUCCAAUUUGUAGGGAGUGAGGAGAGGAACUGUGGGAGGUUGAGCAGCAGCAGACAUCUCAGAAUUCGAGUCGGUCGUCUACCACCUGAUCUUGCACUUGGCCUUUUAUACUGGAUUCUGGGAUGAAGGAAGGAAGGAAUGAAUGAAAACAGGACCCAAUUGGGUCUUUAUACGUUCGGUAGGAGCUUAAAAGUCCGCCCUGCAGCUUUCCUCCACAAAAGUCAGAGAAGGCCGGGUCCCACAUCUCCCCUCCCUUGUGUGGUGGUGGCGGCGGCGGACGUCGGUGGGUGGACGAUGGAUCUCUCCAAAGCAUUAAUUAAACCGAUUAGGUGAAGACAGGUAGGAAGGUUUGAUGAGGUCUGUAAUUACGUUUACGUGGGUUGAAAAUUCACCAGUUUUAUGAGGUCUGUAAUUACGUUUGCGUGGGUUGAAAGUUCACCAGUUUUCCCCAUGAAAAAGGACGUCUACGCACGUUCAUUUCGAUUUUGCUUUUUCAUCCUGCAUUAUUAGGCCAUGGUUAGAAAAAUAUAUUAUUUAGGUCCUUAAGGCCACCUCCAAUCAGAAGGGUUAAAACAUAAUCUCAUAUAGAAUUAUAAUUUUGUAAAAAAAUUAAUUUUAAAUUAAUAGUGUCAGAUCAUAUUCAUAUACUAUCUAUAACCAAAUGAGCUAAACAUAGCCUCAUCAAUUUCCGAUGGAUAGCUAGACUAAAAUUCUAUGGAGCUCAUCAAGCCAUCAUUUGGCUAAAGGGGCAUUGGGUUGGCCAAAUGUAGCCCCCCUUCUUAGCCCUUUUUGGAGCUCAGCUCCUCUACUGCACUAUUUGAGUCAAAUUCAACAACUAUGUUUGAAAACAUUUAAUGGAAGUUUAAUUAAAUUAAUCGAUAAAUUUAAUAUAUAAACUUAAAACUAAGUAAUUAUUGAGAAGGUUAUGUUUAGCCACUUCAGUGACGGUAUAUAAGUAUGACGCGAUAUUGUUCAGUCAUUUCGGUUGAAGAUGGCCUAAGGUAAGAAUUUUGAGGAUAUGUGAGACUAAUGUAUGUUAGUUACAAAAUUAUGUUUGUAUAGAUCACUUGAAAUAUUUGACAACUUAAUAAAGAAAAACCAACUUAAAAUCCAUGAACCAUUAGAAAACUCAUUUUCUUUUUUGGUUUUAUUAAGUUGUCAAAUAUUUAAGCUUUUGAAUACAAACUAAUAUAAUCUUGUGGCUAAUAUACAUUUGGUCCUCACAAAUCUUUAAAAUGAAGACCUUACUUGAUCAAUGAAUUUAUGACAAAUUAAAUAGUCUAAAAAUAAAAGGCUCGAAUUAGGGCUAGGUUCGGUUCAAAUCGGUUCAAUUUUUUUUUUCGGUUUUGGUUUUUUUUUGGUUCCGGUUCGGUUUUUUCCGUGAUUUUUUUAAAUCUUUUUUAUUUUUGUCAAAAAUAUAAAGAAGAGUAAUUUUACUUUUUGUUUCCGAUGAACUAAGAAAUUAAAGAAGGAACUUGAAUUAAAACUAGGGCAACUCGCAAUGAUGGCUGCAUCAAACAAAUCAUCCAUAUCUACAAUAUGAACAGAAACCUUUGUAAAUCAUAAAGUCCUUAAUGCUAAAUCCUUUAAGAACCAAGACUUGAAAACCCUAAAUCUGCAAUACAAACCCACAAGUAAGAAACAAACCCACAACACAAAAAUCGAACAAAUCUGCAAUACAAACCAAACUCCCUCCAUGGCGCCAUGUCACUGCCUCCGUUUUCCGGCCAAACCAAGGCGAUUUAGCCCAAAAAAAAGGUACAUCUUCGUCUCAUCUAGAAGUAUGAUUUUUGUUUUUGAAUCACUUGAUUUCGUUGAGUAUUCAAGAAGUUAUGAACGUUUAAAGUUUACCCAGUUUCUGGCGAGUUUCCAAGUUUUCCCUCGUACCAAUCAACUUUGAGGCUAUUUUCCCGCCAUCUCCAGCAACCAUUGGGCUUCCAAAUAGGUUUAAUCUUAUUAUAUAUUUUCCUAUCUUCAUUUUGAUAUUUUAUGGGUCGAAUUUGGUUAAGAAACGAUUAAGUUACAAAGCUUUGAAAAUUGCCCAAGAACUCCGGGACACUUAACGGAGUUUUUAACGGAAGGACCAAAAUGAUGGAUGGUGGACAAUCUCAAGGACCACUUUUAUCGAUUUGAAAUGUUAGGGACCAAAGUGAAGAGUUAUGCAAAUCUCAGGGACUAUUUUGACUAUUUAGCCUUUUUUUUUCCUAAACGAAAAAUAUUUUUUUUAAAUGAAGAUAGAAAAGUGUAGAAUAAGAUUAUACCUAUUUGGAAGCCCCAAUGGCUGCCGGAGAUAGCCGGAAAAUAGCCUCAAAGUUGACUGGUCUGAGGGAAAAUUGGAAAACUCGCCGGAAACUGGGUAAACUUUAAACGUUCAUAACUUCUUUAAUACUAAACUAAAUCAAGUGAUUCAAAAACAAAAAUCAUACUUCUCGAUGAGACGAAGAGAAUGGUACCUUUUUAGACAGUUUAAAUUGCGGUGGUUUGGCCAUAAAAGGCUAAAUAGUGUCUAACUCGAGACUAAGACAGCAUUUAUAGAACCGUUUUCUGCCAAACCACAGUGAAUUUACCCUUCAAAUAGGUACCAUUCUCUUAUUAUCGUCGAGAAGUAUGAUUUAGUUUUGAAUAACUUGAUUCGUUUAGUAUUGAAGAAGUUAUGAAUUUAAAGUUACUCAGUUUCUGGUGAGUUUUCCAGUUUUCCUUCGGACCAGUCAACUUGAGGCUAUUUUCCGGGCUAUCUCGGCAGCCAUUGGGCUCAAUAGGUAUAAUCUUAUUCUACACUUCUAUCCAAUUAUUAAGGCUAAAUAGUCAAAGCUUUGGAAAACCCACACAGAAAAAGUUCGCAACACUAACUUAACCAAAUUCGCCAAUAUCAAAGCCCCUGGAAGGGAGCCUCCCUCCAUGGUGGAAUGUCACUGCCUCCUUUUACCGAUUUGCGAAGCCCAAAAAGGGAGUUAUGCAAAUAGAAGAGAUUUUGUUUUUUUUCUUUUUUUUUCCCUAAACGAAAAUAAUUUUUUUUAGGUUUUACCCAAUAAGAUGGGAAGCCCUGGCUGCCGCGAAUAGACGAAAAUAGCCUUCAAAGUUGACUGGUCUGAUGGGGAAAAUUGGAAAACUUGACUACUGGGUUAAACUUUUAAACGUUUCAUAAGAUUAAUAAUAAAACUAAUUUUGGUGAUUCAAAACAAAAAUCAGGGACUUCUCAUGAGACGAAUAUAAAGAAUUGGUCACCCUUUUUAGACAGUUAAAAUUGCCCAUAAAGGCUAAUAAGUGUUCUAACUCGAGACUAAGACAGCCAUUUUAGAACCGUUUUGGGCCAAACCACAGUGAUAGCCUUCAAAAUAGGUACCAUUCUCUUAUUAUCGUCGAGAAGUAUGAUUUAGUUUUGAUAAACUUGAUUUCGUGAGUAUUGAGAAGUUAUGAACAUUUUAAAGUUACUCAGUUUCUGGUGAGUUUUCAGUUUUCCUUCGGACCAGUCAACUUUGAGCUAUUUUUCGGGCUAUCCCGGCAGCAUUGGGCUUCCAAAUAGGUAUAAUUCUUAUUCUACACUUUCCUAUCUUCAUUUGUUUAUUAAUUUGGUUUAAGAAAAGAGUUAUGUUAUGAAGCUUCUAAAGAACUCCGGGUCCAAAAACUUCUAAAGGCCAAACUCCGGGACACUUCUCAGGGAGUUUUUCGAUUUGAAAAGACCGACCAAAUCUUAAGGACAUUUUUGGCUAUUUAGCCAAUCUUAAUGUACUCCCCAAAUAUGAAUGCAAGUUAGGACCAAGAAGUUGGGUUUUUAGCCAAAAAUUACAAACUUUAAAUGAUUAAUAGAACCAAAGUCAAUACUAAUUAUAGCCAUAGAAGUAUUGGGUUGACCGUUUAGAAACGUGAGAUUUCAAAAGGAUGUUACUAAUAAUAUGGUAAUUGUGGUGAUUGAAAUAUUUACUGCAAAUUCACCUUUUCAAGAUUCUGAUUCUCUUGAUUUAAAAAAUUGAUAUCCACUUCCUGAAAAAUCUUUACAAAACUUGUCUUCUGGUUGAGCUUCAAAUGCCCGUAUGCUAUUCUUUUGAUUGUAUAUUACAAAAGAUGUUAAACAUGAAACUUCAAAAGGGGAUUUAAUCCAUUCUAUAUUUGAAAAUUUCCUAAAAUGGAUGUUAAAACUGAAAUUCAAAUGUUUUUAUCCAUUUCUGUCCUUACUUCCAAAAUGACUGGGAUCGUGACCGAUAAUUUUACAAUUCCAAUCCCCUUUGAAUUUUAAGAGUUAUGCUAUUACUUUAGUCUAACUAGGGUUAUGUGGCAUUAUGCAAUUUUGGACAUUUCAGUUCUACUUACGAUAAUUCAUUGAGUUUUCUGUUUCCUUCAUUUAAUUUAUUUGCAAAUUUGCCAUUGGGCUUAGAAAGGUUUUUGUCUUUACGGUUAUUUCCGUUCAUUGGAAUUUUUUCGAUUAUUCGAUCCACGCGUUGAUCAUCGCUGGAUCGCCGGCUGUGUGGGAUCUGGUGAGGGGAUGGGUUACGUGUCCAUCAUUGUCGAAAGGUUUGCUUCGACUGCAACCUCUCGACUUUUCGUUUCGUUUCAACUUCUAUCUCACAAGCCUCUGCUUCAGUCGCUCUUGAUCUUCGCCUUUUCUAAGGCGUUCGAGGGACAAAAACCGAAAGCCAAACCUCCACCACAAACGAAGUCACAAAUAGGGAUGGGCAACGGCGGACGGGUAACCGCGGUUAUUUACCCAUAACCAUUUAUACUUAUACCCGCAUAAUUGUUUACCCAUUGGGUAAUUGCCCAAGCAGUUAUACUCAUACUCAUAACCAUUUAUAAACGGUUAACCAUAUCCAUAACAGCAUACCCAUUUAACCAUAAUCGUUUAAUACCAGUUUACUCAUUUACUCUUUUUAACCCGUUUAUUUUUUAUUUAUUUUUUACCAUUACCUCUUUUUUCACCCUUAUACAUGGUUUUUAACAACUUGAAAAUUAAAAAAAAAAUGUCAUAAUUUUUUUUGGCAAUUAAACACCGUUAUAAGCACAUUCAUCAUACAUUUCUGUAUUUUAAUUUUUUAAAUCCUUAUCUCAUUCCAAUAAUUGAAAUAAUUUCCGGCAAAGACACAACGGCGUGCACUCGUACGUGGGUUAUUUAUAUGCUCAGCAAGCACCCUUAUAUGCAAGAAAAGGUUGUAACAGAAGUUUGAGAAGCAGCAAAUCUGAAAGAUGACUCAAGCAUUGUUGAACUUGCAGACAAUCUUAAUGAAGAUGCCCUUAAUAAAAUGCAGUAUGUCUUAGUAGCUUUGACUGAGACACAGAGGCUCUACCCUGUAAUUCCACCGUAAAUUUGACUAACAUCUUAACUAAAUCUAAUGCAUGCAUACCGCAAGGGAAAUGAUUUCAGUGCGCUCCCGUUUAGUUUUCUCACUUAAAUUUCUUUUGAUUUAUUCAAUUUAAGAAUAGAAAUACUCCAUGGAUCAUCGUUGAUUACUUUUUAAUUAAUUAAAACACUACUAUAUAAACCACAUUAUAGUCAAUAGUAUUGAUCUAAGUUUUGUCUGAUAGAGAACAUGAUUUGUAUUAAUUUUACAUAUAUAAAAUAAAUAGGUAAACAGUUAUUCGUUUAUAAUCGUGAUUAAUACUCAUAACCAACCAUUUAAAUUUUACAGAUGAACGAUUAUACCUAUAACCAUUUAUUUAUUUAAACAGUUACCCAAAUGAGCAUGUAACCGCGGGCCAUCCCUAGUCACGAACGCCACUCUCACUCACCCUCCACCGUUACACACGAACCCAAUCAUAAUUCUGAAAUCCAAACACAACCCAGAUGUUAAUCCUUCAGAGAAUGGCAAUGGCCACUUCUUCUUCCUUCCUCUUAAUCCCUCUCCUCAAUAAUCUUCUUUGCUUUCCCCAGUUAAACACCAAGCUCCGAGUUCAGGUCUCUGUCCUUCUACGGCGGUAGAACUGGAGUCUCCACCUCCUCGGCGAUGGCCACGGAGGCUCAGGUCUCGACCCAAGACGACAAAUUGAAGGAUGCCCAGAUGGAGGUAGCUGAUAAGCCUGAGACAGUCGUGCUUCCAACCAACGAGUCCUCCGAAAGCCUCAUCAUAAUUCGACACACGGUAUUUAUUGAAAUUUCAUUGCUUUGGAUUGGAUUUAUGAUUGUUUUAUGUUAAAUUGAAGUAGGGUGCUUUCCUGUUGAAUUUUUUGAAUUUUUAGAUUCUUAGGAGCUUCCCUUUUUGAAAGUUUGAUGCUUUUAAUUAACUAUUUUCAAUUCUGCGUUACUAAUGGUCACCUGAUUCUAUUGUGAAGAAUGAGAAAGUGAGGAUGAAGAAAAUAAGAACCUAACUUUUCGGUAAUUUGAAAUUUGAUCGCAUAGGACAUGGAAAAAUGGGUGUACAGCGGUAGAUAAGUUGGGAAAAAUUUCAUCCUGUUUUUGGGAAUGUGAGAAGAUACAUGGGUUUCUGUAUUUUGAUAAAGUGUUGAGGUCGAGCCAUGUUCAUUUUUUUCUGAAUUUUCUUGUAGUUUGGUAUUAAUGGCGCCUUUUCCGCUGUUAUGGUGAUGAACCAUUUAUAUGUGUUUGACUGCAGUGUGCACACGUGAUGGCCAUGGCUGUUCAAAAGCUCUUCCCGGAUGCAAAAGUGACAAUUGGUCCAUGGAUAGAAAAUGGGUUCUAUUAUGAUUUUGAUAUGGAGCCUUUGACGGACAAAGAGUUGAAGAGAAUCAAGAAGGAGAUGGUAAGUGGAAUUUCUGUAUAAGUUAUCAUGUUUGUAUCAAAGUUUUGGAACCAUGAAACUAUUGAAAACUAUUCAUGCACAUUUCUUUUGUGAUUUGUAGGAUAGCAUCAUUGGUAGAAACUUACUAUUAGUAAAGAGUCCUCCACGUCUAUACCCUUGUCAUAAUCUCCAUAAUUAUCUUAUGUAUAUUAUCACGUUAUCUUAGAGAUUUGUAAUCCCGUUAGGAUUUGUAUUGGGAGCUACACAAUCCCUUUAGGACUCUUUGUAAACUGGUAUAUUUAUACCUGAUUAUGAGCAAUGGAAAGUUAAGUCUUCCACCAAUAUUACUGCUUCGUGUUUACUGUGCUCUUUCUCUGAAUAUAUAUAUUUCUACAUGGUAUCAUCCCUUUCUCCGGCUUAACCACCCUUCUCGAUCCGCUUCCCAUCAUGUCCUCUACCUCCCCACUUCCUGGCCCUGCUAUUGCCCAGUUUCUCAAACUCAAUGACUCCAAUUACCUCACAUGGCUUCGUCAGAUCAAGCCCUUUCUUGUUGGUCAUGAUCUGUGGAAGGUCGUUAAUGGCUUCUACCCACCCCCUCCGGCCACCUUCACCGUCACUGCCACCCCUUCCUCUGCCGCUACUAACUCCGACAGUUCUUUCGUGACUACUACCUUUACUCUUCCCAACCCCACUUUCGCUCAUUUGUACCAACACGAUCAGUUGGUCGUAAGCUACAUAGCCGCCACCUUAACAGAACCUGUCCUUGCUCUCACUGUGGGCCAUGACUCCGCCCAAGCCGUUUGGGCAUGUCUUCAACGGCGCUUCGCCUACGACCCUGUCCUCAACUCCGUCGCCUUGCGUUACCAACUGCUUGAUAUUUCCAACAGAUCUUGCUCUAUUGCUGACUAUCUUCAACAUGCUAAAUCUCUUGCUGACAAACUCGCUACUAUCGGCCGUCCUGUUGAUCUUGAAGACUUCAUCACCGUUGUUCUCCGUGGUCUUGGAUCUGACUACCUUACCCUUACCACUGCUAUCAUCAACGUCACCAUUCUUCUAACCUUUGAGGAGUUGACCUCCAAGAUUGAAGCUUUUGAUCUCCAGAACCUUCGCACCUCCACCACGUCUGCCGCUUUGUAAAUUGCCCUCAUCACUACCCACCAACCCCGUGCUUCUUCUCAGUCCUCAGGCAGUCACGAUGGAAAUUAGAACGGUCGUUUCCAACGGAACAAUGGUCCGCAGUGUAAUACCUCCGGCUGGCAUCCUAGCAAGAAUACCAAUUCCCGCAACCAACAACAACAAUGGAAUGGGCCUCCUCCAUUCAAUUAUCAACAACCUUGGCAUGGACCCUCUGCUCCCAUUUAUUGGCCAGGCCCACGUGGUUUUUCUGGGCCAGGCCCACUUGUUCCACCUCGCAACAUAGUGCUACACACUGUCCACACCGCUAUGGCGGCCCCGAACCUUUCCCCCCCUUUGAGGGCUCUCAGGUGAUUUCUUAUUAGGAUCCCAACAUUUGGUUUCCCGAUACUGGCGCUACCUACCACAUGACGGGCGAUCCCAAUGCCCUCCCCCACCCACAACCUUAUCGUGGUCCUAAUUCCGUUCAAUUGGGUAAUGGUGAUUCUCUAAACAUUACAUCCACUGGUACAAUUCCUAUCUCUCUUAACUCUAUUCCGUUUAGUCUUUGUAAUGUCUUUCUUGUUUCGGCCUUACGUAAAAACCUCUUGUCUGUUACAUACUUUACACAUGAUAACAAUGUCGUUAUUUGUUUCUUUCCAUCCUUUUAUCGUAUCUAUGAUUUACACUCUGGUGUUUUAUUGUUUCAAGUCCCAUGUAGAGAUGGCCUUUAUCCAUUAUCCUUCUCCUCACCACAGGCCCUUGCCGCUUCAUCCUUUACCCUUUGGCAUCAACGUCUCGGUCACCCUUCAUCUUCGGUUUUGUCCCGUCUUAGCUCUAGUUUCGGUUCUACGUCAUUUUCUUCAAAGCAUUUUUGUAAAAGUUGUGCUUUAGGCAAGUCCACACAACUUCCUUUUUCAAUUAAAUAAUGCAAGGGCUACUACUCCAUUUUAUAUUAUACAUUCUGAUGUUUGGAUGUCCACUUCUACCUCUGUUUCUGGCUUUCGUUAUUACGUAUUAUUCACUGACGAUUAUUCUUGUUAUUCUUGGAUUUACCCCAUGAAAAAGAAGUAUGAGGUCUUUACACAUUUUCAAACCUUUGUUGCAAUGACUCAUAACCUAUUUAACGCAUUUAUUUAAUAUUUUCAAAGUGAUGGCGGCACCGAAUAUGUUAAUCACUCAUUUUCUGCAUUUUGUCGUCAAUUAGGUAUCCAACACCGUCUUUCGUAUCCACACACACCCCAACAAAAUGGACUUGCUGAACGUAAGCACCGUCAUAUUGCUGAUAUGACUCGCACACUGCUUACUACAGCUCAUACCCCACUCACCUUGUGGGUGGAAGCUACGCUUGAUGCGAAAAUUAACUUAACACACAAAUUAAACCCUCUUGUUGUCAAUUGUAGUAAAGAAUGUAAGUAGGGAUCGUUCUAGGCCGGAGAUUAGAAGGGAUUGCUAAAACACUUGAAACUGACUUAAAUAUGUGAAAACAAACUUAAAAGCAUGAAAUUAAACUUACAAGACUCAAAACAAAGCCACAAGACUCAAAACAGAUUAUAGAGACUCAAAACUGCCUAAAAACAACUCUAAGGCAGUUUCUGCCACUAACACAAAGUUUGGACGAAAAUUGAUUUUAUUUUAACUUAAAACACUUAAAAACACAAUCUAAAACAAGUACUGACUAAUAGACACUCUAAAGUAAAGGGGGAUUUGGUUUUGGAUGAAUUUAAGUAAAAACAAGUAAUUAAAGACUUAAAACAGAUUUUGGACGAAUUUGGUGAUUGGAAUGGAUGAUGGGCUAGCUAGAAGGUCUUUCUCCACACAUGACACACUUGCAUAUAAAACGAUUUCCAGUUGCUUUUCAAUAAACCAUGAACCUCAACACCCCAGAUUAAUUAGGUACGCUUAAAUUAAUCCUCAGAUUUUCCUAAUUUCAUUGAAUUGGAUGAUUGCAUACAACAACCCAAAGCAUUCCCCACAAGUUCCCUACAUGAAUUGCAUAAUAGAGAUACAAGUAAGAAUCAUUAAGUUCUAGGAAAAUCAUAAGCAUUGACGAAACACUUGUAACUAUGAAUUGCAUGAAACUUAUGCCAAGAAUUUACUUAACACGGUUGUGACGAACAACCUUUAGUACUUGUAAAUAUAAGUUCAUAACGAUUAGGUGAAACUCCCUUAAUCCUAGCAUCAUAUUUAUGCAUGAAAAUUAAGCGUGCACUCUCAACCAACAUACACAAAUCAGUUUUAAUUCAAAUGGAUAAGUAAAUUGAAUUCACAACUUAUGAAUCACAACUGAAAGUAACCAAAUCAUAUUGCAAGCAUGAACAUGGUUUCGAAUUCCCCCCUAGCUAAGGAGGUUUAGUUUCUCAUACUUACAAAGUAAAGAUAAACAAAUUUAGACAUUGAGAACAAAAGAAAGAAAACACCUAAAAACGCUCCAACAAUCCAACUUGAAUGGCAAGCACGUCGAAGGGUCUUCCUUCUUCUCUUUGUUGCAGCACAAGGUGUGGUUUGAUGGAUGAGUGGUAAAUUAUAGUAGUGGAUGGAUAUGCACGGCUGAGAGAUGAAAGUGUAUGGAUUGGUGAGAUGUAGUAUGGCUAAAUGAAUGGAUGGAGGUCACGACAAGGAAAUUGUGUUUGCGAAUGAAGUUGUGAGAUGUGAAAUGUAGUGUCUUUGUAUGAUGGCCCCCAAAUUAUGGUGAAGGGUGGAUGUAUUUAUAGGCUAGGGAGAGGAGUGUAUGGAGUUGUAAUGAGUGGAUGUAAUGGGUGUAGUGGGUGAGUGUUGUGAUAAUGAGUCGAUGUAAUGGGUGUAGUGGGUGGAUGUUUGGUAAUGAGUAGAUGUAAUGGGUGUAGUGGAUGAGUUUUUAGUAAUGAGUAGUGUUUGGUAAUGAGUGAAUGUAAUGGGUGUAGUUGAUGAGUGUUUGGUAAUGAGUGGAUGUAAUGGGUGUAAUGGGUGAGUGUUGUGGUAAUGAAUGGAUGUAAUGGGUGUAGUGGGUAGAUGUUUGGUAAUGAGUGGAUGUAAUGGGUGUAGUGGAUAAGUGUUUGGUAAUGAGUGGAUGUAAUGAGUGUAGUGGGUGGAUGUUUAGUAAUGAGUGGAUGUAAUGGGUGUAGUGGAUGAGUGUUUGGUAAUGAGUGGAUGUAAUGGGUGUAGUGGAUGGAUGUUUGGAGUUGUAGGUCAACACACUUGCACACACACAUGCUGAUUUCUAGCCUUCAAAUCUUCAAAAAUGUCCAUCCUCAUGUCCUCAUGCUUGCACUAUCCAAUCUUGGCUAAAAAAUGCUCUAAAAUGCUCCAAAAUGCACUUUCUUGCCAACUUUGUUAUUAUGACCUACAAACACAUGAAAAUAGCUUAAAAUUCAUAAUUAACUAAGAAAUAACAACACAAAUGCACAAGAACAAGCUAACUAAGUCGCAUAAAUAUGCUCCUAUCAGCGCUCACUUCUGUCCACCUCAUCAAUCUUCUCCCCACCUCUACCCUCAAUUGGUCAACUCCCUAUACACUUCUAUUUGGUUAGACACCCACUUACUCUCACCUACGUACCUUUGGAUGUAUGUGCUUUCCAUACCUUCGGGAUUAUGUUCACGAUAAACUAAGCCACGUUCUAUUGAGUGUGUUUUUGUGGGUUACAGUGCCUCUCAUAAAGGUUACAGGUGCCUUGAUCAGACCACUGGACGUAUUUAUAUCUCUCACCAUGUGGUGUUCAAUGAGGCUACUUUUCCUUUUGCAACCUCUCUCGGCCAGCCACCAACCACAUAUGUGGAGCUGGAAAUUCAUCCUACUGCCAUCCCACAAUUUGCUUGCUCAUUGCCCAUCCCUACCUCUCUUGGUCUCGUGGGCUCCUCCUCUAAUGAUGGCCAGUCAAUGCCACAUGACAAUGACCUACCUACUUCUGCUGCUUCUCCACCGCAGCCUGCCGCUACCCAGUCACGGUCACCACCACUUAUGCUUCCAUCUCAUCCCAUGGUCACCCGAACUAAAGACGGCACGCGUAAACCCAAGUCCUGGACUGAUGGCUCUAUCCGGUAUCCUCUCCAUCAUGCUCUUUCAGUUUUGCUUACCACUGACGAACCCACAUGCUUUACACAGGCUGUUCGCAAACCCGAAUGGCGGGCUGCCAUGACCGAGGAAAUUAAUGCCCUUUUUUUAAAUAAUACUUGGGUUCUUGUUCCGCCAUCACCCACCCAAAACAAAGUCGGCUGCAAGUGGGUUUAUCGCAUAAAAUGGAAAUCUGAUGGAAGCAUCGAUAGAUACAAAGCACGUCUGGUGGCAAAGAGCUUUCACCAACAACCAGGAAUUGACUACGAUGAAACUUUCAGCCCUGUGGUCAAACUUGCAACUAUACGUACAGUUCUCAGCCUUGCUAUUUCAAAUCAUUGGUCCGUUCGUCAGCUCGACGUGAAAAAUGCUUUUCUGCAUGGUCAUUUGAAGGAGGAAGUCUACAUGUCACAACCCCCUGGUUUUGUUGAUCCCCAACAUCCCAAUCAUGUUUGUUGUCUCACCAAGGCACUUUAUGGUCUUAAGCAGGCUCCUCGGGCCUAGUUUCACCGCUUUAGCUCAGUCAUCAAGAGAUGAAGCUCCCAAAAGAAUAACCGCUCUCAGUGAACCAUACAAAUUGGAAAUUUUGGAUAGUAUUAAAGAAGAUCCCAUUACCAUAUAUCAUAUUGGUAAGGGUUUCACUAUUUUCAAGCUCAAUAUAGUGUAUGGAAGGUGAUGAUUUAAUGUGUAGGAACUGUGCGUAAAUGAUAUUUUUAUUAGCUACACAAGUGAAAUGUACAGUGUUUGUGUUGAGUCUUAAGAUGGAAAUUUAAAGGAAUAAAAAAGAGAGGGCGGGGUGUGCUCAGGGAAAACAAUGUUGUUGGUGCUCUUUAAAAAUGAGUUAUUGAUAUGCAGAUUGAAAAUAAGACUAAUUUGGAGGUGGGAGGAACCUUUUGGUCAAGCUAACCAAAUUAUACUUAUGUUUAUACAUAUGCAUGCUUGUACUAGGAUUUGAUUGUGUUUUGAACUAGCAUCCUGUCAUAUUAGACUGUCUUGAUGUCAUAAUUCCUCAUAGUAUGCCGAAUUCUUCAUAGGUGAUGAAUGGUGGAACCUAUGUGCGGGGCCCCAUGUUGAAAAAAUUGGGAAUAUUAACAGAAAACUUGUCGAACUUGAGUCUAUGUUGGUGCCUACUGGAGAGGACAUGAAAUGAAACCAAUGCUGCAGUGGAUCUAUGACACUGCAUGGGAGAGUGAAGAUCAAUUGAAGGCAUAACUUCAAUUGAAAGAGGAAGCUAAACGUAGAGAUCACAGGCGCCUUGGUCAAGUCAAAUCAAAGAUGAAAUUAAGGGUGUCAUAGAUCUUACAGAAGAACUUUCGUUGCAAUUCGGCUUCAGCAAAUAUGAGGUCAAUCUCUUUACAAGGCUAGAGAAAGCUGUUGGAGAUGAUAUAUGGGUGAAAGCAACAUAUGCCCUUAAAGAUGCUUUGGAUGAUAAAGGCUGGAGCUAUCAAAUUGAUGAAGGCGAUGGUGCCUUUUAUGGUCCAAAAAUUGAUCUUAAGAUUAAGGAUGCCCUUGGAAGGAAGUGGCAGUGCUCAACUAUGUAGGUUAAUCCAGUGCUCAACUAUGCAGGUUAAUCCUGAACUCAUGACGGGAUAAUUCUAAGGAAAACUAAUGAAAAGGGUUUGAAAACUUUGAGUUUUAACGAUAAAGACAAAAUAAAGGGUAAAGUAAAUAGUACCAAGUUUGACUUUUUAGUAUAAAAAUGUGGUUUUUCAUUAAAAUGAACAGUACCACAGACUUUUCGUUAAAAUUCCCAUAAUUCUAAUAUAUGCUUUGUUUUUUAAUUGGUAAUCUCUCAGUCUAUCUCUGUAUCACUUUGUAAAAUGUUCAUUGGAGAUUUGAGCAUCUUUUUUGAAUUGAGCGAAUUACAUGGAUUUGUUUGAUAGACUAAAGCCACUUAUUACUGUUAUUUUAAAUUUUUGAUCUUUUGUAUUUCCCAAAUUGUACAGGUUUGUAAAGCAGUUGCACGUUUAAUGUUUCAAUUAACUCAAGAACCCUCAACACACCUGCACGACGGUUACCUAGGCUACGACCCCUGGCUUUCCUCCCAGCGAUUCGACUCCGAGUCCCUCAAGGACCUCGCCAUGGAUUCCCCAAUCUUCCACGGCUCCGCCGUAGAUGACGCUUUCGCCACUCAGCCGGCGUCGGAGGCCUUCUCUCCUCCGUCGAUCUACGCCGAAUCGAACGGCCAGGGCUUUGAUGGAGGGUUUGGCAGGUCCGUGUUAGAUACCAAUUCCAGCCACUAGUUCAUCCUUAACUGGAAGCAAGAAUUGUAGGAAAUGGCGAGAGGGAAAAGAUGGAGUAUUUUUUGCAAAAUGAUUUUUUAUAUUUGAUUUCAUCUAUCCCCGUUCAACAAGAAAGGGAGAGCUUUAAUAGCACUAGCAACCUCCCCAAUGAAAGAUUGUGACAUGGCAUACAUAGCCUAAACUCUUAAACAACAGCACAAAGGAAAGGCAAAUUACACAACGACCCUAAAACAUUACAUUUCGACCCAAAACUUUGUUGCUUGUGAUCAAGGCAAUCACAGUACAUAACAAUGCUUCGUCUUUGAAAAAUAACCUUGUCCACAAGGUUUACACUGGAAAAUCGGGGUGUCGGGUCUUAAAUGCAUCGAAAUCUUCCCAUGAAGCUUUAGCUGCUUCCUGUCCAUUCCAUUGCACUAAUAGCUGCACCAUAGUUGCAUUUCCCUUCUUAUACAUCCUCCUAGCCAAGAUUGCCUGUGGUAAGUUCUGCAUCAACCCAUCAUCUGCAGCAAUGGGCAGAUUCACAUGUGAAACUACUUUUUCCCCCAAUUGCUUUUUGAGGCAGCUUACAUGGAACACAGGAUGUAUCUUUGAUCCUUCAGGUAAUUUUAGUUUAUAAGCCACCAUACCAAUAUUUUCCAACACUUCAUAAGGACCAUAGAACCUAGGCUGCAGUUUAUGGUAACUGUGCUGCCAAUGCUUGCAACUGAUAAGGAACUAGCUUCAAGUAUACCUUAUCCCCCACAUUGAAAUGCCUUUUAGUUCUUCUUUUAUCAACUUGAACUUUCAUCUUGUUUUGUGCUAAUUCCAAAUUGUGUUUGAGAACAGUAAGCAUGUUAUCCCUUUCGAGAAGACUUUGUGCCACAUAGUCCAUUUUUGCAGUUCCCACUUCAUAUGGAGCUAUAUGAGGUGGAGCAUGACCAUACACCAAUUCAAAAGGUGUAAAACCUGCAGAGGUGUGAUGUGAUGUAUUGAAGCACCACUCAGCCCAUGGCAACCAAUUCACCCAUUUUUUAGGCUGCCCUCCAAUAAAACAUCUUAAGUAGGUCUCCAAACACCUAUUCAUAACCUCAGUUUGUCCAUCACUCUAGGGGUGAUAACCUGAACUCAUGCACAGUUUUGAGCCUUGCAACUUAAAAAACUCCCUCCAAAAUGCACUGAUAAACAUAGGAUCUCUAUCACUCACAAUGGAACUUGGCAUACCAUGCAAUUUGAAGACAAACUCAAUGAAUAUUUGAGCCACACUCACUGCAAUAUAUGGAUGGGAAAGAGCAAUGAAAUGUGCAUACUUAGAAAGUUUGUCCACCAUCACCAUGAUCACAGUUUUGCCCCUACAAUUUGGCAAACCAAGUAUGAAAUCCAUGCUAAUGUCCGACCAAUUCUUCUGUGGAAUUGGUAGUGCUUGUAACAAUCCAGGUGGAGCUAUUGUUUCCACUUUGUUUUGUUGACAAAUGCUACAUUCAACCACAAAAUUUCAAAUAUCCUUCUUCAUUCCCUGCCAAUAGAACCUCUUUUUGAUCCUGUGAUAUGUUUUAACCACCCCUUGGUGACCUCAUCCAGAAGUAGAGUGAUACUCUUCAAUGAUUUUGUGUCUCCAAGGUGAUGUGGGACUCAAAACUACCCUCUUUUUAUAGCAUAAGAACCCAUUAUCAACAGUAUACUUGGAAACUGCAGCUUUAUCAGUAACUGUCUUAGAACUAUCAAGCACAAAUUUAAUCCUUUCCAAAACCCACUUAUCACUUUCAAAACUCCUCCUUAAAUCAUCCAUCCAGCCAAAAUAAGGGUAGAUGAUGGCAGUGAGUUCCAUGUCAAGGUGAACAGGUUUCUCUACCAACUCAGAAUUGACAUUUGGUACCUUAGAGAGUGCAUCAGCCACUGUGUUUUCAACUCCACUCCUAUACUGGAUCUCAUAAUCAAAACCCAAGAGUUUUGAAACCCAUUUUUGUUGAAAAUGAGUAUUAGCUCUCUGACUUAAGAAGUACUUGAGACUAUUGUGAUCAGUCUUAAUUAUGAAGUGUUUACCUUGCAAAUAGUUAUGCCAUUUUUUUACAGCAUGAACUAUUGCAAUCAGUUCUCUUUCAUAAGUAGAAAGAGCUUGAUUCUUAGGUCCUAAUGCCUGACUGGUGAAUGCAAUUAGUCUAAGGUUUUGCUGCAUAACUGCUCCAAUUCCAUUGUCUGAAGCAUCACAUUCCAAGACAAAGGGUUGAUUGAAAUUUGGCAAUGCCAAUACUUGUGGUGAGGACAUAAUCUUUUUGAGUUUUUUAAAUGCUUCCAAAGCUUCCACUCCUCAAUAGAAUCCAUCCUUCUUAGUGAGAUUAUACAAAGGCUGGCAUAUUUUCCCAUAUCCAGGCACAAAUUUUCUGUAGUACCCAGUGAGGCCUAGAAAUCCUCUCAAUUCCUUCACAUUCCUUGGUACAAGCCAGUCAGUGAUUGCUUGGAGUUUGCUAGGAUCUGCCAUAACACCAUCCUUUGACACAAUAUGGCCAAGGUACUCUACUUUACUUUGACCAAAGGAACAUUUAGAUUUUUUCAAAAACAACCGAUUGUCUUGCAAUAUCUGAAAAACUUGUUGUAGAUGUGUCAAGUGAUCUUCCCAAGACUUGCUAUAUAUUAAAAUGUCAUCAAAGAAUACCAGUACAAACUUCCUGAGAAGUGGUUUGAAAAGAUCAUUCAUCAAGUUCUGAAAAGUUGCAGGUGCAUUGAUAAGCCCAAAGGGUAUCACUAAAAACUCAUGAUGUCCUCUAUGGGUCCUAAAUGCAGUCUUAGCAAUGUCUUCUUUGUGCAUCAAUAUCUGGUGAUAACCUGACCUUAAGUCAAAUUUUGAGAAGAAAACAGCACCAUGUAGUUCAUCCAGCAAGUCAUCAAUUAGAGGGGUUGGAUACUUAUCCUUGAUGGUCAAAGCAUUAAGCUCCCUAUAAUCGACACACAUCUUCCAUGUACCCUCUUUCUUCUUCACUAGUAACACUGGAAAUGAGAAAGAACUAUGACUUGGUCUUAUAAACCCAGCUUCCAAAAGUUCUUGAACUGCUUUCUCAAUUUCUGUUUUCUGCAAGGGACCAUAGUGAUAGGGUCUGAUAUUUUGUGGUUUUGCUCUUAGAACCAAUGGUAUAUGAUGAUCAUGGACUAUGGAGGGUGGGGGUUUAGAUAGUAGAACAAAAAUAGACUCAAACUGUCCCAACAGAGUCUGUAAUUCCUGUAGUUGUGACUGAGUGAGAUCACUAGCUUCAAGUUUUUCCCCUUCCAUAGAGUAUAAGAACAACCCCAAGUUGGAAUUAUAAAUGUCCUUGUCAAGGUGCUGCAAAAAGACUUCCUGAAUAACUGGCAAUGUCAUAGGGCUAUGAUGCAACUUGUAUUGCUGAUUAUUUUUAACAAACUCUAUAGUCAGCAACUGGAAAUCCCAGAGCAUAGGACUAAUGGAAGAAAGCCAUUGAACCCCAAGCACAAUGUCAUAACCCCCUAAAGGUAAAGUGUAGAGAUCCACUGCACAUUUAUACCCUCCUGUAGUGAGAGAGGUUGACUUACAACACCCUGAACUCCUCACCUUCCCUCCAUCAGCUAUCAUCACCCAAAUUGCUUGGUGUGAUGAACUUGCUGCCCCCACUGCUUCAAUAGUCGAGCAUCAAUAAAAUUAUGCGUGCUACCGGAAUCCAAAAGGAUUUUCACAGGAUGACCAUUAAUAACAUCAUCCACUUUCUUUGUUUGAAUAGUUUGCCUAGCCUUAGUCCCAUAAAAUGCACAUUCACUAAGCUCCACAUGAAGAAGCUCAGGUUGUAUCCCCACAGAUUCAUCAUCAGAUAAUUCAUCAUUGACCACAUCAAGCAUCAACAAUUGUUUUAGACCACAUUUAUGUCCCGGAGUCCACUUAUCAGUACAAAACCAAGACUCCCCAUUUUCUCUCUUCUUUUGAAUCUCAACAGGGAUGAGUUUUAUAAUGGCUAAAUUUCCAACUCUAGGCACUUGGAUAUGUGGGAAUGACAGCUGAGAACUUAACUGGUGGUGUGGAUUUAGGAGGGAAAACUUUCAACUCAAAGUGUUUGGUAUCUAAUUGGAUUGCAAGAGCAAUUGCUUCAUGAACAUUUGUAGGUUUCAACAAUGACAUCAAAUUUGAGUUCACGUUUAAGGCCACCAAAAAACAACUCCUAAGCAGAAUCAGACCAAUAACAGUCGCUCUAGUAGCCAAACGACGAAAUUCAUAAUGUAUUCACGGAGAGUACCUGUUUAGCGGAGCUUGAAUAAGGACUCAGCAUUAUCCUCGAAUUUGGAAGGCCCAAACUCUUGACAAAAGGCGCGAGUGAAUUCCUCCCAACUCGGAGUAGUCUGAACACAAUCCAGCCAACGAAACCACUGUAAAACCUCACCCUCCAAAUGAAAAGAAGCAGUGAAAACACAAUGAUCGGACGAAGUGUUAUAAAAGGAGAAAUACUGUUCAGCUUUGAAAUUGCCCACUUUAAGCAGUUCGUGAGUUAUGGCUAAUUUCAUUUGUCCCACAAGUUUGUCCUCUCUCAGCUUAGGAAGCCUUCACAAAGGUUGCUUAGGAAAAGUCUCAGCAGUCGGUAGAGCCCCAGAAAGAGAAGGUACCGGAGGGGGAUCAUUCGGAGCCUCAGUACUGGACAGAACCCUAAAAGGAGGAGGCAUCGGAGGUUGAUCAUUUGGAGCUUCAUUACGCGGUACAGCCCUAGAAGACGAAGGUAAUAAAUGUCUUUGGAACAAACCCACAAACCUCUGAUGAUCAAGUAAAACCUGACCAUCAGAUUUCUUCAUCUGGUCAAGCUUCAUCUUUAUGUUUGUAGCAUGGUUAUGUGCUAGCCGGUGCAACUGUUUAUUCUCAUGCUUGAGUCCUCUAAUCUCCUGUUUGAGACUCAUCACUUCAGCCGCCAAUGAUUUAACUUGGCGGGUUCAUACAAAUAGGCGUUGGGCCAUAUUAGACACAGAACCUGCACACUGAACACUGAGAGCCAGAGAAUCCUUAACAGCCAACUCAUCACACUGUUUGAAAAGUAGUCUGUUAUCUUUGGGAGUGAGAAGGUUCUUGGCCACUACCGAAGCGGUCAUAUCAUUCUUCAUCACGGAAUCCCCAACGGUAAGAGGACCAGUAGGGGAUAAGAAGGAUGGGUGCCAUAUGUUGUCUGGAGAAGACAUGGCUGCCUCUUCAACAAGUGGUAGCUAGAUCUUCAAAAUUUAUGUGUCUAAACUUUGUUAGUGCUGUUUCUUUGCUAUUCUUUUACCCUUCUUGGUCAUAGCGAUGUAGUGGGAGUUGCAAGCUUCACGUGUCUUCCAGGCAGUCAGUUCCUGACUGGAAGCUUAAUUCCAAGUGCUGACUGAUUACUCUCUUUCUCCCUCUCUUGCAGGUAAGAACAAGGCCAAAGGAAAAGACAGGGAAAAAGCAUGAUAUGGGAUACUCUUGCUUUUAACCCUGAUAAUAUGAGAUAUUCUUACUCUGAUGUAGCUUGUUUGCAGAGGUAUUAUCGGGGGGGGGGAAAGAAAGCUGAGUAUUUCGAGAGGCUUCGUUGGGAGUGCCCUCUCAGAUAUGAGGAAGGGUUGAACAUUUUUGCAGGUCUGCCUGUCCAUUGAGGAUGAAGGUCGACAUAUAUAGGAGUCUCCCCAACAACAAGUGGUAAUGCUAUUCCUUUACCCUGCUUGGUCAUAGCACGGUAGUGGGAGAUGCCAGCUUCAAGUGUUUUAACUCUGUCAGAGCACUUUGAAAAAAUGGUAUGUGGUAUCUGGAAAGCUGAUGUCGCGUGUGAAGAUUACAGACAAGCUUUAUCCAAUGAGAUCUGACUCUCAAAGUUGAGAAAAUUGUGACUCUUCGAUUUUCGAACAAGCAAUCCUGUCGGGGAUCUGGCUCUCGAGAUUCGGAGAACGGUGCCUCUUCGAUUUUUGAGAAACCAAUCAUACUGGGAGUCUGGCUCUCGAGAUUUGGAUAGCGGUGUCUCUUCGAUUUUUGAGAAAGUAAUCAUGUUGGGAGUCUGGCUCUCGAGAUUCGGAGGGCGGUGCUUCUUCGAUUUUGGAGCAAGUAAUCUUGUUGGGAGUGUUUUCUCGAAUGUGAGUAAAGGUUGGGCAUGUUUGUUAGUCUACCUUGCCACGGAGCACAGAAGUUGACACACAGGGACUUUCCAAUUAUCCAACAGUAGUGAUGUUCCUUUACCUUUGUGGGUAAUAAUAUGGUAGCUAGACCUUCAAAAUUUAUGUGUUUAAACUUUGUUAAUGCUGUUUCUUUGCUAUUCUUUUACCCUUCUUGGUCAUAGCGAUGUAGUGGGAGCUGCAAGCUUCACGUGUCUAAACUUUGUCAGAGAUCUUUGGCAAAGUUAUUUGUGGUACCCAUGAGCUAAUGUUGCACGUGUGGAAAGUAGAUGAUUGAACAGUAAGAUUCACGUGCUUUCUACUUCACCAGUAAUCUUCGACAGAAUGCCCGUAAUUUUGGCAAAGCUGAGUGUGCAUGUGAAGGUGUUGACAAGGCUGAAAAAGCAGGUGCCUCUUCGAUUUCUGAGAACGGCCCUCGUGGUCUCUGAGCAGCCCAACUUUUGAGAAAGCAAGCGCCUCUUCGAUUUCUGAGAUCGGCUUUCGUGGUCUUUGAGCAGCCCAGCUUUUAAGAAAGCAAACGCCUCUUCGAUUUCUGAGAUUGGCCAUCGUGGUCUCUGAGCAGCCCAGCUUUUGAGAAAGCAAACGCCUCUUCGAUUUCUAAGCAGGCGCCUCUUCGAUUUCUGAAGCUCCGUCGAGUGCAGAUUUUUAUAGAGGUUGGCAUUAAGUUCCAAAGCACACUUGAAUCUCCACCAGUAGAAGCUCCCUUUUUACACUUCUAAGACCUUGAUUUGUCUGACCUCUUCUCUCUUCAACACCUUUGAAAAUGUCUGGCCCCUCCGACCGUCGUUUUGACUUGAACCUUGUUGAAGAGGCAGCCAUGUCUUCUCCAGACAACAUAUGGCACCCAUCAUUCUUAUCCCCUACUGGUCCUCUUACGUUGGGGAUUCCAUGAUGAAGAAUGAUAUGACCGCUGCGGUGGUGGCCAAGAACCUUCUCACUCCCAAAGAUAACAGACUACUUUUCAAACAGUGUGAUGAGUUGGUUGUUAAGGAUUCUCUGGCUCUUAGUGUUCAGUGUGCAGGUUCUGUGUCUAAUAUGGCCCAACGCCUAUUUGCAUAAACCCGCCAAGUUGAAUCAUUGGCGGCUGAAGUGAUGAGUCUCAAACAGAAGAUUAGAGGACUCAAGCAUGAGAAUAAACAGUUGCACCGGCUCGCACAUGACCAUGCUACAAACAUGAAGAUGAAGCUUGACCAGAUGAAGAAAUCUGAUGGUCAGGUUUUACUUGAUCAUCAGAGGUUUGUGGGUUUGUUCCAAAGACAUUUAUUACCUUCGUCUUCUAGGGCUGUACCGCGUAAUGAAGCUCCAAAUGAUUAACCUCCUAUGCCUCAUCCUUUUAGGGUUCUGUCCAGUACUGAGGCUCCGAAUGAUCCCCCUCCGGUACCUUCUCUUUCUGAGGCUCUACCGACUACUGAGAGUUUUCCUAAGCAACCUUUGUGAAGGCUUCCUAAGCUGAGAGAGGACAAACUUGUGGGACAAAUGAAAUUGGCCAUAACUCACGAACUGCUUAAAGUGGGCAAACACAAGCAAUGGUGUGCUCAUUGGAAACUUUGGUAUUUUAAAUUUUAAUCUUGUAUUUAUAGACGGAUGUAUGUGUAACUCUUUUAUUGAUCAUUUUGUGGCAUGCCACUGGAGGAAAUAUGUGGCCCCUCCAACUUUUGAGCAGCCCAGAUUUUGAGAAAGCAAACGCCUCUUUGAUUUCUAAGUAGGCGCCUCUUCGAUUUCUGAAGCUCCGUCGAGUGCAGAUUUUUAUAGAGGCUGGCAUUAAGUUCCAAAGCACACUUGAAUCUCCACCAGUAGAAGCUCCCUUCUUACACUUCUAAGAUUUUGAUUUGUCCGACCUCUUCUCUCUUCAACACCUUUGAAAAUGUCUGGCCCAUCCGACCGUCGUUUUGACUUGAACCUUGUUGAAGAGGCAGCCACGUCUUCUCCAGACAACAUAUGGCACCCAUCCUUCUUAUCCUCUACUCGUCCUCUUACUGUUGGGAAUUCUGUGAUGAAGAAUGAUAUGACCGCUGUGGUGGUGGCCAGGAACCUUCUCACUCCCAAAGAUAACAGACUACUUUUCAAACGAUGUGAUGAGUUAGCUGUUAAGGAUUCUCUGGCUCUCAGUGUUCAGUGUGCAGGUUCUGUGUCUAAUAUGGCCCAACGCCUAUUUGCAUGAACCCGCCAAGUUGAAUCAUUGGCGGCUGAAGUGAUGAGUCUCAAAUAGGAGAUUAGAGGACUCAAGCAUGAGAAUAAACAGUUGCACCGGCUCGCACAUGACCAUGCUACAAACAUGAAGAGGAAGCUUGACCAGAUGAAGGAAUCUGAUGGUCAGGUUUUACUUGAUCAUCAGAGGUUUGUGGGUUUGUUCCAAAGACAUUUAUUACCUUCGUCUUCUAGGGCUGUACCACGUAAUGAAACUCCAAAUGAUCAACCUCCGAUGCCUCCUCCUUUUAGGGUUCUGUCCAGUACUGAGGCUCCGAAUGACCCCCCUCCGGUACCUUCUCUUUCUGGGGCUCUACCGACUGCUGAGACUUUUCCUAAGCAACCUUUGUGAAGGCUUCCUAAGCUGAGAGAGGACAAACUUGUGGGACAAAUGAAAUUGGCCAUAACUCACGAACUGCUUAAAGUGGGCAAACACAAGCAAUGGUGUGCUCAUUGGAAACUUUGGUAUUUUAAAUUUUAAUCUUGUAUUUAUAGACGAAUGUAUGUGUAACUCUUUUAUUGAUCAUUUUGUAGCAUGCCACUGGAGGAAAUAUUUGGCCCCUUCAGCUUUUGAGCAGCCCAACUUUUAACAAAAGCAAACGCCUCUUCGAUUUCUAAGCAGGCGCUUCUUCGAUUUCUGAAGCUCCGUUGAGUGCAGAUUUUUAUAGAGGCUGGCAUUAAGUUCCAAAGCACACUUGAAUCUCCACCAGUAGAAGCUCCAUUCUUACACUUCUAAGAUCUUGAUUUGUCCGACCUCUUCUCUCUUCAACACCUUUGAAAAUGUCUGGCCCCUCCGACCGUCAUUUUGACUUGAACAUUGUUGAAGAGGCAGCCACGUCUUCUCCAAACAAUAUAAGGCACCCAUCCUUCUUAUCCCCUACUAGUCCUCUUACCGUGGGGGAUUCCGUGAUGAAUAAUGAUAUGACCGCUGCGGUGGUGGCCAGGAACCUUCUCACUCCCAAAGAUAACAGACUACUUUUCAAACGGUGUGAUGAGUUGACUGUUAAGGAUUCUCUGGCUCUCAGUGUUCAGUGUGCAGGUUCUGUGUCUAAUAUGGUCCAACGCCUAUUUGCAUGAAUCCGCCAAGUUGAAUCAUUGGCGGUUGAAGUGAUGAGUCUUAAACAGGAGAUUAGAGGACUCAAGCAUGAGAAUAAACAGUUGCACCGGCUCGCACAUGACUAUGCUACAAACAUGAAGAGGAAGCUUGACCAGAUGAAGGAAUCUGAUGGUCAGGUUUUACUUGAUCAUCAGAGGUUUGUGGGUUUGUUCCAAAGACAUUUAUUACCUUCGUCUUCUAGGGCUGUACCGCGCAAUGAAGCUCCAAAUGAUCAACCUCCGAUACUUCCUCAUUCUAGGGUUCUGUCAAGUACUGAGGCUCCGAAUGAUCCUCCUCCGGUACCUUCUCUUUCUGGGGCUCUACCGACUGCUGAGACUUUUCCUAAGCAACCUUUGUGAAGGCUUCCUAAGUUGAGAGAGGACAAACUUGUGGGACAAAUGAAAUUGGCCAUAACUCACGAACUGCUUAAAGUGGGCAAACACAAGCAAUGGUGUGCUCAUUGGAAACUUUGGUAUUUUAAAUUUUAAUCUUGUAUUUAUAGACGGAUGUAUGUGUAACUCUUUUAUUGAUCAUUUUGUAGCAUGCCACUGGAGGAAAUAUGGGACGUGAAACUCAACCAAAUCAGGGACAAGAAUAAUCUGCAUCUAAUGCAAGUUUUGACCUAUGUCUUUGUCCCUUUCUCGUGUGCGCUUUUAUAACCCAAUGCCAUUUGUUAAUUUUUCAGGUUUUUUUUUUAUUGUUUAUAGGUUUCGAAAAGGGGUAGAGUGAAACAAAAUGCAAGAGGCAGGUCAAUGCACAAUUCAAGGAAGCCACCUAAAAACCGUAGAAUCUGAAGGAAAUCAUUUGAAAAUUUAGACUUUUUGUUAAUGUCAAUUUUUUUCUUGGAUGAAGACAAUGUUGUGAACUUUAAGCCCCCAGGAUUUGGUGUUUUUUAUUUUGAGCAUAACCAAGCAAUGAAACAAUAUUUUUGAUAUGGUAGCAAUGAAAUGAUCAGGCAUUGCAUUCUCUUAUGGUUGCUCAAAAUAUCUUUAAGAUACAAAAGUGGGUGUGUUCAGUUUAGCAUGUCACGAAAUCAAAUUUUAUAUAGGUUUUGUAAUAUGAGAAACGGGUUGAGGUUUGGUGCCAUAAAUGGAGUUGUAGAUGCAUAUGCACUACUCAAACACAACUAUCUACAUGAAUACUUUCUAACACAAAUUUUAAAGGUUUUACUAAGAAAAGUAAAAACUUGUUAAAAGAUCUUAAAAUGACAGAAAUAACCUUGAACACAAGCCAUGUGCGAGGCACAUGACUUAUUUUGGAUGAAAAACGUAACGGAGUUAGGGUGGAAUGACAAAUUGAUGAUUUCGGCAAGUUGGUAUGACAAAUUACUUAAAAUUAUAGUUUGUGUAUAUGAUAUUUCAAAAAAAAAUUCCUUGGGAAAAUUAUGGUCCCUAUGUCCCAACCAAAUAAUAAGGUUUUUGAUGAGAUAAUCCAUGCAAACUUGAGCAUUAUAAUGUUCAUGAUUUUGUUUGAGUCUAUUCAUAUAUUUACUCUGUAAAUAUAGAUUAGAUCGGUUGGUAAGGCAUUGUAUCUGUCUCGUUUUUAUAUUUAAGUUUAAAUUCUUCUCUCUUAAGUUAUAGCUUAUAAUAUCGUCUUAACAAAACUAAAUAUACAUAUUUUUAGUGGGAUAUAUUUUGCUUAAGUAUGCAUGUUUGCAAGAUUAAAUGAAAACCUCCAAAAUGUAUGGGGUUUUAAAUUGAAUUCUAACCACCACCACCACCCUCAUAUAAUUAGGGCAAAAGGCGAAUUUAGGAAGGUUCGUGUUACAACCCGUUUAUAAUUUUAUUUUUGAAAAAAAAUGUGAAACGAUCAAAAUGCUCUUAGAGGGUAUGUGUCGACUUUCAUUGACUUACUGGUCAGGUCACGUGUGACAUAUUAAUUAGUAUAUUCUGUCAGCACUCGUUAUUAUGAAAGACUGAUCAUAAGCGUAGCGAAAAUUAGAACUAGAAUAAAGAUUUUACGAAACACGUAUAAAUCAUUUUAUUUUAAAGUAAUGGAAAAGAUAAUAACACUAGAUAUAAAAUAAUAAUGAUAGAAUAAAAUAAUAAAAAAAAGAGAGAAGAAAAGAUGAGAGGUGGAGAAGGAUCGGGAAGAAACGAAAAGAAGGGGAAAGGGGAGAAGGGGGGAAAGAAACUUUUCUUCUUCCUCCUUCACUCACGGGAUCCCUUUCAAACUAUUUUCAUCAUAAUUUCCUCCUACGAUAACGAAAUCACAUGAGGUCGUAAGCUAUAGUUUCGUAGCGAGGCCGUCUUCAAUCUUACCAUACCCACCCUUAGAAAACCGUUGUAUAAAGAAAACGAGGUCCAAACAUAUUGACUUGUUCCGGCGACUUUUCUCUGAUUUCGGGCAAUCCCGCUGGAAUCUGGCUCGACCCAAGUGAAAAUAAUGAUUCUCCCCUCGUGGGCUCUCCUCUAGCGUAAGUAUUUUCCCAAGGUUUUAACUUUUAGUUUUGGGGUCAAUUCAUGGUUUCGAAUUUCAAUUCGAUAUUUUGUAUGUAUAUUUGAGAUGAUGCUUGUUGUAUUGUUUAGGAGUUGAAUCGGAACCGGGUAGUCAUGAUUGGUUACAUAUAUAGGGAAGAACAUUGAAAUCCUAACCUCAAUUCGGUUCUCUUCAGAAAUUUAAGGGUUGGGUUUGUGUUAUAAGCAUUAAUGUUAUUCCAUAAUGGAGGCCAGAUACGUUGGAAUAUUUUGUGUGCCAUAUUUGUCCUACCCUUUAUGCACUGAAAAGAACAUUGCUGAAAUUGUAUGUGUUGCAGCCUAGGUUUGUGCAGUUAAUUAGAGUUCUAAAACUACUGAAUGGUUCUUUAUUCUUCCCAUGGCAUCGCCAGAUGCUGAUGCUGAAUAUUUGAUUGGACAAUGCUAUUAUUAGAGUAUUAUAUGACUCUUGUUUUGGCCGUGAAUUUAUUGGUGGUUCUUUAUUUCAUUCUUUCAGCGGAUGAAGAGCUUAAGACUGCUAGGAAUUUACAUUUUUAUUUUGAAGCACUUGAAUAAACAGUUUGGUUUUUCUAUAAUAAUAAUAAUUAAGGAUCAUUGAUAUGGUUAGGCUAGUGUACUAGUUACGAAUAAUUACAUGAAUGUUAUAGUUUAGGGAUUGCAUGUUAUUCUAUGGCCUGAGAACUAGUUCCUUGGUAAGAUUAAUGGAUUAUCAAACAUUAUACAUAUUCUCUAAUUGAAUACAUUACUAUGUUUAUGAGUUCAAGAUCAACUUAUUAUGGCUGGUAUGGAUAUCAAUAGUUGACAGAUCCAAUUUGGUGUGGUUACUUUUCCAUUAAGUAUUUCACGUUUAUACAUAUCAUGUUGUUUGCUUAAAUAAUACAAUGGAUGUCCUAUUAAGUGUAAAUGUCUAUAUGCGUAUACUGAAACCAAAAUCAAGUUGAUGAUUCACGUUUUGAAGUUAUAUAUAUAUAUAUAUAUAUAUAUAUAUAUAUUUCUCAUAUGCCUAGACAAGCUAUACAAAGAAAGUAUACCGUUUCUAUUAGUUAUUUUGAUUACAUGUAUGUAGUAAUGACUUGCAGUGGUGAUAGGAGUUUAUUGAAAUGGUGAACUACGAAUGGUUUGAUCCCUUUAGGGUAGUCUAACAAGGAGGUUAGAUGCAGCCAUAAAGUAUACUGAAAUUACUACGCAGUUCGAAUCUUGAGUUAUGCUUUGUACAUAUCCCGGAGCGCGGGGUAUGUUAGAUAUACGGAUGCGGGGUAUGUUAGAUAUAUGGAUACUUGGUGACGUCACGUGUCGAUCCUGGACGUAUGUCGGGAUUGGGGCCGUUAAAUGAAUUGCACCAAAUAGGGGAGGCCUUCGCCGGAUCUCUGUGUCCGAAGCCGACAAACACAGAGAUCCAAACCACUCAUUUUAAAUCAUAUGGUUCUCAUUAGCUCAUUCUAUUGGCCUUCCUCACACAAACCACGAGUUCAGAUCUCCCUCUCUUUAACUACCUGGAUAUUCGAGUUCUUGAACUUCGAAAACAAAAAUCCAGAGAGGAUCUCGACUCCAAAUAAGGUAGUUUUUCUACUGUGCAUGUAGAUAGCCCCAAAAAUAAGGGAAACCGCACCCCCCCCCCUCCGAAAAAAAAAAACCCCACCCAUAACAACAGUACAACUAUAAGUAAAGCUUUAUGAGGGGUCGCUCUAAACAAUGUUGCAUUAAAAUUAUCUGACAAUAUAACAUUAUUUCGAAUAAAACUUUUGUAUAAAUUAUAAGUUCAAACAAAAGACACUAUACAACUUCUUCUUGACUAUUUUAGGUGUAUAUAUACUCCAUUGCUGAAAAUUCUACUAUGCUCAUCAUAAUUCUUGCCAAUCCAUCAGGCAAUUGGGUUAAAUUGCCCUUGACCAAAAAAAUGAUGGUCCAUUGGUGCCAAAUUGGGCAGGCAAUUGGUGGGCUCCAAUAAGCUCGUUGAACUACCCUUGUAGCCCGUUGGCAAUAAGUAACGAUGGGCCUGACGUCAAGUAGCAAAAGGCUGACCUUAACCCUGUGCACCACACUUUGUGGCGCAUUUGAUAUUAAAAUUUUGAAAAAUUCAACGGUCAAGAUUAAUCCCAUGGUAAAAAAUCCAAAAAAAAUUUACAACAAAAAGUAUUUAAAAAACUUACAAAGUUCCUGCUUAAACAAAAAUUUGAGCUGAUAUUACUAAUAGAUAAUGACACGUGGUGCAAUGAAAGUGGUGAAAAUGGAAAAGUAUCCUCCCCAGCUCCCUUCCACCAAAUCCAUCAAGUUCAAAGAUCCGGAUCUUUGAAAUUUAAUCCAACGGCUACAAACAAGGUCUACUAUAAAAGCUAUAAUAGAUUGGAUCAAAUUUCAAGGGCCGGAUCCGAGCUUGUGAAUUUGGUGGAAGGGAUCCGGAGUCCUUUCCAUUGAAAAUCUCAUCGCCUCUCCUUUCAGCCCUUCAAGGGAAACCCACUUCUUGGGCCGUCUUCAACCACGUAAAGCUUCACUCUUUUAUUAGUUUCUGUGUUUAAAUUUGUUGGGGUUUGCAGUUUUGGAUUGAAAUUGGUGUUUUGGGAUUUGUUGGGUGCUCACAUGUGGAAAUUUGGAAAAUUUUAGUUGUGGAUUGUGGGGAACUGACGCAGUGGCGGUCCUAUUUCAUGUAAAUUGCUUUCGUUUGUGUGUUUUUGGUGAAAUUAUGAUGAGGGUUGGAUAGUUGGACUGGUUAGAUUUGUUUUGUGAAAUUAGAGUGGGAUCAAUCAAGGUUGAGACCUUUUUAGGUAAAGUAAUUGUGAAAGUUAUGUUUUUACAAUUUUUUUUUUGCAAAUUUUGUGACUUGGUGGAUUUGGAAUUUUGGUUAUAUUAGAUAUAUGUGUAAAGAAAAUAGUUGAACUGCAUGAAGCUUGAGGGGUAAUGAGGGUUUUAGGUAUUUAGUGACAUUCAGGCCAUGCUUGAUGUCUAUUUGAUGUCGGCGUAUCAGAAAUGCUUGAACAAAGAAGAAAGGUGCUCGAAGAGCUGUAGUAGUUAACUACUUGGUUUGAUUAGAUUGCUAUGUUAAUCAAAAUGUCCCCUAUAGUAUGUUAUAGGGUCAAAGUUUUACAUUAGUGUUCUUUAGCGACUUGGUUUCAAAAUUUUCGUUUUCGUUCGACUUUCCUUGGUCUGUGAGGCCAAUGGUAGAAUGAUCAUGGAAAUAUUUUUGUCUUAAUAUCUCUGGUAACAGCGGGUGUGCAUUCUUAAAGGACUUGUUUGUCACUCUUUUAAGCUGUUUAAUGUGCUCAUUUUAGUAUGCAUCAUCCAAAGUCUAUAACUGGUAAAAGUAGCACUACAAGGGCGAGGGAGCUAUCAUCUGUUUGGAAAUAAGAGCUAUAGACAUGCCCCAUAAGGGUCAAUAGGUCUCAGUUGCAUAUCUAACUUGUUUCUCAUGUGUUUUCAUCCUGAAGGUUAGAAAAGGUGGGCACUCUAGACGCGCAGAGAGUGGUUCAUCAACACCAAGGAUGGCGGGUGAUCUCAUGUAUGUGGUUACAUGCUGGAGUUUUCCAUGUGCUUGCCAAUAUGCUGAGUCUUGUAUUCAUUGGAAUUCGGCUUGAGCAAGAAUUUGGAUUUGGUAUGCAUCUGGAUUUUUAGCUUUAUGUAUGUUAUCAUGCAUGUAUGGCCACAUCCAUAAGUGUUUGUAGUAAAAGAUAAAGCUCACGAUGUAAGUUGUAGAAUAAUAAAUUAGUUACCAAGUGCAAAACUUCUUUCAUAAAUCUAGAAGAGAAACACUUUCCGGAUGGCUUUAGCUACCUUGCGAUUAAUCUACAGAGGAUUUCUAUGCAUUUGUUUAUUGAAUUGUAAUCCUAGAGUAGUGGUCAUGUAGUGCUGGUUGCAUUAUAACUUACAUCGGUAUGUUGUUUGGUUUGAUGGAAACAAGAGGACGUUUUGUUCAGCGGUGAGCAACGAAAAGAGUUUAUACACUGAAGAUGGGGUUCAAACUUUAGUUUUAGAUAUAGUAUUCCAUUUUACAGAAUAAAAUUGCUUGAAACAGAAGCUGAGAGAUUAUUUCAAUUUCCAUCACAUCUAUGGGAACAAUGAUUGUUUUGGAUAUCCUGUACAUGUAGACAUGGCGCCUCAUUUUGAAAUGUUUCAAGAUGCCGUCUAUUUGAAAAGAUUGAAAAAAUAAUAGUUUGAUGCGGAUCUACAUCAUGUACAGUUGUUUUGAUGAACUGUUUUAACUAAUUGGUUUGAAAUUCUAAUGUUUUUCUGAUUUGUUCUUCGGCAGUUCGAAUUGGUUUCCUAUAUCUCAUGUCUGGUUUUGGUGGGAGUUUGCUUUCAGCUCUUUUAUUCAAUAUGGUAUUUCUGUUGGUGCUUCUGGUGCACUUUUUGGUUUACUAGGAAGCAUGCUUUCAGAGCUCACAUCAAAUUGGACAAUGUAUGUAAAUAAGGCAAAUAAAAUUCUGUAUACUCAAUGAUGGACCUCUUUAUAGUAUGUGCACGACCCUUUGAUCUUACAGUUUCAGAUUUCGAUCCGCAGUUAGCAGCAUUGCUUACUCUCCUUUUCAUCAUCAUAAUAACUUAGCAGUGGGAAUUCUACCACACGUGGACAACUUUGCUCAUAUUGGAGGAUUUGUCUCUGGAUUUCUUCUUGGAUUUUUGUUUUUGAUCUGCCCCCAGUUUAAAUGGCUUACCCAACGGAAUGCUCCCCCUGGACGUGUUACUACUCCAGUGAAAUCUAAACACAAGACGUAUCAAUAUGUAUUGUGGGUCCUCUCUUUGAUACUAUUGAUUGUUGGGUAAGCUCCUCCUCGAUCUCUGAUUUAAUUGUUUGACUUCAUGAACCUAAUCAACUCCCUGCAUGAAAAUCUGGUAGCCACAGUUGACAUAUGCACAUUUUUUUUUUUAUCAAAUCAGAGAACUGGAUUUUGUAUAGAUAUGUAGAUCUCGUGUGUCCUGUAAUAUUUUCAUUGCAAAUAGGCUCUGUAUCUGCUUGUUUCUCAUCAGAAUGGUUAGGAGAAGGCAUUGUGUUAUAGCUAUUCUCUGUGUAAUACUAAUUGAUCACUUUGUUGAUAGCGGCUUCUACUUUGCUGUUUUGGAUUGCAUGUAUUGGAAAUAAAGGUUCAUUUUCCUCGUAUUUGUGUAGUAUCAGUAUAUGCAGGCAUUUUCUGACAGAAGUCAUGUUUUUGACAGGUAUACUCUUGGCUUGGUUGCUCUUUUUCGAGGGGUCAAUCUAAACAACCACUGUUCCUAGUGUCAUUACUUGAGCUAUGUCCCUACAUCAAAAUGGAAUUGCGAGUCGCAAAUAUUUAUUGUCUGAUAAUAUGCUGUACUUUUCUACUCAUAUUAACUUCCACCUUAAUAUUUGAUUGACAGAAGUGCUUGCUUAUUAAUAUGAUCAUGGUUGCAUUCAGUCGUUCUAGUUUGGCAUGCCGUUUAGUCUAAUGCCUUAAAGAAAUGUAAUUUAAGAAAUGACUUCUGAAAUUCUGUGUCAGGAAAUUGCUUUUGCAACGUACUUUGUUAGUACUAUAAGUUGGUUUUGUACUGACAUAUUGUUCUUUAUAUGCAUAUAUGCACCAAUCUUGCAGUUGAGCCAGAUAGGGAAUCAGCUGAACUUAACGUGCGUAAGCAAUGGUAGAAAUGGGACAUAAUCAUUGUCAGAUCCCAGCCCCUCCCGGACUUAGCAGCUAUAUGCUGAGCUUUGCAGUUGACCAUACAUGUACAGAUUUCAGAGUUGAUAGAAUGUUGAUUGAUAUGCUUCAUUCUUGUAGUAAGUAUUCUUUCUCUUACUUCUAUUUUUUGUUGGGUGAAAUAGUCAUGUGUAUUCACCAAGCAAUGGUUCUCAUUGUCAUUAUUCUUUUCAUUCUUUUACUGCCUUUGUACCUCUUUUCUACUAUUCAUAACAGUUGAAACCCAUACCGAUAACUAUGAAAUUUAUUUGCCAUGUAAAACUACUCAAUCACGCAAUUUACCCAUACCUAAGUUUGUUGAAUGUGGAAUGUUAUGGAUCCUCUCAAGCGGACCCUCUCGGCUCUCUCAUUCUGCAAUGUUGCAAGAUGAUCGGACAUAUGUAUACUUUGUAGUUCAUCCUCUAGAGACCAACUUUGAAAAAAAAAUCAACUAAAUAAAAAAUCAUUUAACCAUUUAAUUAACAUUGUCAAACUUUCAGUAUUUAAUUGAAAAACAUAGUUCAUUUAUUUAUUGGAUAACAAUUAGAUGACAAAACAAGUAUGAAUUACUUUGGUUUUUGGCGAAGUUGGACUUUAAAGUGAGGCGUUAAUAACUGGAUAUGUCUACAGUGGUGGAAUUCUCUUGCUAAAGACUUGAGCCCCCAUGAAGUUUAAAAAUUAAGAAAGCUUGAUCUCACUAGUAACUGGUACAAUUUUUAGAAAGGUUGCAUCCACAACAAGCUUUCUUGCAAUGGUACUUUAGGGGAACUAUGAGAAAAUCAGCAAUCUCACAGUCCAGCCCCUUAUAAAACAUAGAGACUUCAAAAUUUCCAUUCAUAGCUAGGGUCGCUGAUCACUCAUAUAUUUCAUGCAUUUAUACCAUCCAUUCUAAAGUCUUUGUGAUGUUUUGUGUUAAAAUUGUGGCAUUUUACCUUACCUUGUGUUAGUGUGCAGUUAAAUUUGUUUUAGGAUCAAUUUCAAGCAAAAAGGAGAAAAUGAAAUAAUAAAAAAACAAACAAAAGAAUUGGAGUCAAUUAUUCAAUGGCCUUGCACGAUGAUAGCAAUGUUUGAGCAUUUACACUUUGGUUAUGUUCAACAGUUAUAUGGAGCCUUAAACAUUGACAAAAGAAAGGGAAUAUGUGGCCAGGGAACACACGGAAGUGGAACAAAAAAAGGAAAGAAAAGGUGGUGGAAAAGAAAGGAAAUGGGAUUAUUGGGUUUUGGUAGGCAACUUUACAGUUAGUAGUCAAAAUACUUCCCCGAGGAGGACCACUUCUCUCAAAGGAUAGGAGCAGCGACAAGAUAUUGAUCAUCAUGAAGUGGUUAGUCCUCCUACUGCAACUAAGAAGCACGGCAGGAGAGAAAAGAAUAAUGGAGCAGAAAGACAGCGCAGAGGAGAGAGACUGACAGACACGGGACAGAGUGGAGAGACCGACAGAGUGGAGAGAAGACAGAGAGGGCAGACUGACAGAAAAAAAGAAAAGAAAAGAAAAAAAAAAGGGAAAUAGAGAAGAGAGGGCACGGCAGAAGGGAUGGCACACGGACAGAAAGAAUAAAAGCAAAGAGAGUAGAGAGAGCCAGGGGAGAAAAAGAAAAAGGAUAGCAGAAAAAUAUAGAGAGAAGCCGUGGAGGGCAGAGAUGGAGCAACAUACAGCAGAGCAGAAAGAAGCAUGCUCAUCUCUUUGAGGAGAAGAUCGGAGAGCUUCCUUGUAAAAAAGGUUGUCUCUUUCUUUGAUUCUUCAUGAAUUUCUUAUAUAUUCAAAUAAUUAUGUGCAACUAAUUUCCUUUUGCUAGAGUGAGGUCAUGAGCCGCAACAUGAUUACGUAGAUUUCUCUUUCAAUUGCUUAAGUGUUGUUAAAUGCUUGCUUUGAUAUUUUCAAUCUCUAAAUUAAACUAUCUAUGUGUCUAGAAGCUUGAUCACCAUUAGGAUGCUUAGAAAAGUUAUCGGAUGCAAUUUUGAACGAAUGUCACGUUAAAAUUGGUUAUGCUUCUUGUGAUUGAGGAUUGUACUCUCCUAAGGUAAAUAUCAUGCUCUUAGGGAUUACAUGGUUUGAAGAAAAGAAAAAAGGAUUUUUCACUAAGAUUAAUGAAUCACUCAUGUUUAUAUUUAGUACAAAUGUUAUGGAUAAGUUGCAUGUAGUGGUAUGCGUUUUAGCUUGAAUGUUACAAGUAAAACAUACACAAGGAAAAUCCAACCUUCAAAGAAUGUGUUUUCAAUUAUUUAAGCAAUUGGAAUAGCUACAUAGGAGUGUUGUUGUAAAGGUUGAACUCUAGGAUAUUGUCAAUCUAUUUUUCUUCAAUCAUUUAUUUUAUCUUGAAUUUCCUCAUUUACUUGUUUUGUUUAGUUGAAUCACUAUUCCUAUAAGCCAAUUCCUAUUUUAGAUAUUUGUUUAAGUCACAUCGAGGAGUAUUUAGUUUCGUCAAAUUAGUGUAGUUCUUAGAGUUAAAUAAGUUAAAUACACAAAAACUCGUAAAUUGUUUAUAUCAGUCUCUGAGGAGAUCGACCUUGCUUGAGCCAUUCUAUACUACAACACUUAUUCUCUUACAAGAAUUUUCUAUGGUUUAACCCUUUGUUUUACAAGUGGUAAAAUCGCUAUCAAUCGCCUAGCAAGGUAACUUUCAUAUUAAAAGACACCAGCGUGACGUCUGAUGUGACCAAAAUAUAGGGUUCCAUGUAUUUAUUUUUUCAUUUUGGAUGGUUGCCAAAUGUUUCGAGUCAGCUUCUGGAAUCAAGGUGCUUUAAUGGUCUUCGUCCUUGGCGUACCGAAAGUGCCGGACAAUAGGUGGUUGCCAAAUGUUUCGAGUCAGCUUCUGGAAUCAAGGUGCUUUAAUGGUCUUUCCAGUCAGCUUCUGGAAUCAAGGUGCUUUAAUGGUCUUCGUCCUUGGCGUACCGAAAGUGCCAGACAAUAGGUGGUUGCCAAAUGUUUCCAGUUAGCUUUUGGAAUCAAGGUGCUUUAAUGGUCUUGGUCCUUGGCGUUCACCGAAAAUGCCAAACAACAGUUCCCAGUAGUGGAAGUAAGCUAGUGAAGUCGUCUAAAAAAACAAGCCAAAGUGGUUAUCAUUUACUUGGACUUAUUCCUUCUCAUAUUUGAAUUUUCAAGAAACAGAAACUGUGGUGUAAGUUCCUCCUAUGAUCCUAUCCUUCUAUAAAUUUCCUUGUCAUGUAACAAAUGGAACUCACCAAAAACUCAACACCCAUCUCUUUAUUUCUUUCUGCUUCUCUCACUAGUUAUAUAGUUAACCAGAUUAGAAAUGGGGGUUUUGGUUGUGAAAUUGAUCUUAAUAUACUUGCUUUUCAGUGCAAUGUUCGUUUGCUGUUGGAGCUCCCUGCAAUCGGGACUCGGAGGGAAUGCGACGGAUAGGCUGGCUCUGCUUGCCAUCAAAGCUCAAAUAAAGCAAGAUCUCCAUAAUUACAAUGUGAUGAGCUCCUGGAAUGAAUCCACGCACUUUUGCAUGUGGCAUGGUGUGACGUGCAGUCGACGACAUCGCCAAAGGGUCACUAACCUGGACCUGCAAUCUCAAAAUCUGGUAGGGAAACUAUCCCCAAACAUAGGAAAUCUAAGUUUUCUAAGGGAGCUAUGGCUGCGAAAUAACAGCUUCAGUCAUGAAAUUCCUCCACAAAUUGGGAAUUUGCGUAGAUUGCAGGUAUUGCGAUUAGACUUAAACUCAUUUAGUGGCAGUAUUCCACCCAAUAUAUCACAUUGCUUCAACCUUAUCCUAAUGCGUUUCUCUCGCAACAAGUUGGUGGGUAAAAUUCCUUCAGAAAUUGGAUUGCUGUCAAAACUGCAAAAAUUUUCAUUAAAUUUUAAUAAUGCAACGGGACAGGUCCCUCCUUCCUUAGGGAACCUUUCGUCUCUCCAGCGACUAAGUCUUGUUGAUAAUAACUUGAUGGGAAACAUCCCCGGUUCUCUUGGCCAAUUGAAAAAAUUAACCUUCUUGGGAUUGGGGUUAAAUCAGUUGUCUGGUAGCAUCCCUUCCUCAUUUUAUAACCUCUCUUCUCUUGAUACAUUUUCCAUAGAAAUUAACCAAAUUCAAGGGAGUAUUGCAUCAGAUAUUGGCCAAAGUCUUCCCAAUCUCGGAGUCUUCAACGUCGGCGCAAACCAACUUACUGGGUCCAUACCUCCCUCAAUAUCCAAUUUCACAAGUAUUCGGAAAUUUGAAGUUGGGAGUAACAACCUAAUCGGACAGGUACCGAAUCUCCAAAAGUUUCACAACCUCCUGAAGUUCAACAUUCAAUUUAAUAAUAUUGGAAGCGGUAAAGAUGGUGACUUAAGUUUUCUCUCGGACUUGACCAAUGCCACCUAGUUACAAUCGCUGGUUAUUAACACCAACAAUUUUGGAGGGACAUUGCCCAUUUCAAUAUCCAAUCUUUCAACCAAACUUGAAUUGUUUUGGGUUGACGAUAACCAAUUAUAUGGAAGCAUCCCAUCUGGGAUAGGGAACCUGGUGAGCUUGGCAUCGUUGCGUUGGGGGAAUAAUAGCUUCACAGGUAACAUCCCCUCUGACAUGGGUAAGCUUUCAAACCUUGGAGUAUUAUAUAUUUCCAAUAACAACUUAUCAGGAAAUAUCCCGUCUUCCUUAAGAAAUUUAACCAAGUUAUACCAUCUUCGGUUGGAUGAAAAUUAUCUUGAGGGCAGCAUUCCUUCAGGUCUGGGGGAAUGCCUUUGGUUGCAAUUGUUGAAUCUUUCUUAUAACCUUCUUAAUGGCACAAUACCCAAACAAGUUUUUAGACUCUCCUCCUUAUCAAUUUAUUUGGGCCUGUCUAAUAACCUCUUCACAGGUUCCCUUCCUCCGGAGGUUGGGAAUUUAAAUAGUCUAAGUGAACUGGAUCUUUCUGAUAACAUGUUAUCUGGAGAACUCCCCAGUAGCCUUGGUGGUUGUGAGAGUUUAGAAGUCCUGCAUUUGCAAGGAAACUUCUUCAAUGGGUCCCUUCCUUUGUCUAUGAGUUCAGUGAGAGGGAUUCAAGAUCUAGACCUUUCUCGCAAUAAUUUUUCAGGUGAAAUUCCACAUUUUUUAGAAGGCUUUAGAAUCCUGAAUAAUCUGAACUUAUCAUUCAAUCAAUUUUGGGGAGUGGUACCAACUGGAGGUGUUUUCAAAAAUGCAAGUGUUAUUUCAGUUGUUGGCAACACUAAUCUGUGCAGCCCUGUUGCUAAUUUAAAGCUUCCCAAGUGCAAGUCUAAAGAGACCAAGAAACAAAGAUUGUCUCGUAGCUUGAAACUAAUACUCCCUUUAGUAUUUGGACUUACUCUUCUAGGAAUAGCCAUGGUGUUCUCCUAUUUCUUUCUUUGUUCGUCAAGGAAGAAAAGGACAGAAAUUUCAUUGAGCACUUUGGAGAACACUAUUUUGCAAGUGUCAUAUGCUACUCUACUCAAAGCUACUAACGGGUUCUCAAAGGCUAAUUUAAUUGGUGCUGGUAGUUUUGGGUAUGUAUACAAAGGAGUUCUUGAUGAUGAUGAUAAAGCUCAACUUGUUGCAGUGAAGGUGUUUAACUUGUUAUGUUGUGGAGCUUCGAAGAGUUUCAUAGCCGAAUGUGAAGCUUUGAGAAAUAUUAGGCAUCGAAAUCUCGUCAAGAUUAUAACCGUGUGUUCAAGUGUUGAUUUUCAUGGUAAUGAUUUCAAGGCUCUAGUUUAUAAGUUCAUGGACAACGGGGAGCUUAGAGGAGUGGCUGCAUCCACCCGCUGGAACUGAAGAGUUAAGAGAUCAUGUACCCGUGAAGUUAAGUCUUCUUUAGAGGCUAGAAAUUGUCAUUGGUGUUGCUUGUGCACUGGAUUAUCUUCAUAAUUAUUGUGAAGCGCCAAUAGUUCAUUGUGAUCUCAAGCCAAGCAACGUUCUCUUGGACAACGAAUUGACUGGCCAUGUUUCUGACUUUGGAUUAGUAAGGUUUCUCUCACAAGUAACGAGUAAUGUUUCAACAAUUCAGAGUCAGACAAGUUCCGUUGGAAUAAGAGGAACCAUUGGUUAUGUAGCUCCAGGUAUAUAUAUGUUAGAUAUAUACUUCAUUAUAUUUCCUUUUUUAUUCUGCAGUAUUUAAUUUACAAAAUUCAAACUGAACUAUUUAUACACAAAUGUGAUGUUUGAAUUGUAGAGUAUGGCAUGGGGAGUGAGGUGUCAACGAAUGUUGAUAUCUACAGCUUUGGCAUUCUCUUGUUGGAGAUGUUUACAGGGAAGAGACCCAUUGACAACAUGUUUGGUGAUAGCUUGAACCUUCAUAAUUUUGUCAAGAUGGCUCUCCCCGGGCGAGUUACUGAGAUUGCAGAUGCACCACUUCUUCAAGGAGGCCCGAAUGAGAAUCCCAAUCAAUGCAGUGCGAGAAUUCAUAGAGUUGAGGUGUGCUUGAGUUCAAUAUUUAGAAUUGGAAUUGCUUGUUCUGCUGAAUCCGCAACAGAUCGACUAAAGAAUAUCAAUGAUGUUGCAUCUAAACUUCAUUCCAUUAGGAAUACUUUUCUUGGAUAGAAACUCCUUUUUAUGUGCUUUUGUGAUAGAGAAAUUUCGUGUACUGCUUGUGAAGUCUAGCUUUUAUGUUACCACAGUAGAUGUGGAAGUUUGCAAUGUAAAUAAUCAUCAAUGAAGUUCAUUGUGUGAAAAGUGUGUUACUACUACUUGUACUUGGUAGUUUUGUGUAAUAUUCACAUCGAUUAAAGUCUAGUUCGUGCCACAAAAUUGUUGAAUAUUCACAUUGACAGAUUCCAAAUUUUUGAAAGAUUCGUAACCUCAAGACCCUCAACAUUCAAUAAAAUCAUCUUGGAAGCUGUAAAGAUGGUGAGUUGAGUUUCCUAUCAUACUUGACCACCAUCUGUGUAAGGUGUUUUCGAAAAUCAAAGUGCUAUUUCAAUUGUUGACAACACUAGAUUCUGCGAGGGAAUUCCUAAUCUCAAGCUGCCCAAUUGCAAUCUAAAGAGCUCCAAGAAAAGAAGAUUAGCUUAUAGAUUGAAAUUAAUAAUCCCUUUAGUAUUCAGACUUGCUCUACUUGCAAGUGUCAUAUGCUACUUUCUCAAAAGCCACUGAUCGUUUUCUUCAACUAAUUUGACUGGUGUUGGCAGUAUCCUCCAUAUAAGUGAAGGGAAUUGGGUUCAAGUUGGUUGGUAUGGUUAAUAGGGUUUGCAAAUAGUCAUUUUUUUGUAGAAUUUUAACCCCAACUUUAAAGCCCAUGGCCUAUGACAAAUCAGUGUUUUCUAGCAUUGUUGCUAUCAAUAUUCUCCCAUGUGCAUUCUGAAUUCUAAUCCAAUGGUUUUAGCAUUCAUUCUACUAAUCUUGACAAUGAAAGAGUUUUUUUUUUUUUUUUUGGUUCGAAUAAAUGAUAUUAUCUACACAAAGAGGAAGGGGAUAGACUUAGCUUAAGUGGCAUGAAAGAAUUUCUAUUAAACCUGCAAAAAUGAAAAUUCUCAGCCGGUCAUUAAUGGAUUUGAAUUUAGAUUUAUUACAAUUGAUAAAGAUUUUUUUUUUUUCGGCAAUCAAUAGGAUACUAACAAAUUUGUUUUUAGUACAAAGAUGUCACGAUAAUGUGACUUAUAGUUGUGUCACUGACCUUUUAACUUAUUGCCCUAUCUUUAACACACUUCAAUUAAUAUCAUCCUCUAAUUGUUAGUAUUUAAUGAAUCUCAUCAUAAAUUGUUAGCCAAAAUAUUAAUUAUCAAAGCAAACAAACUUGAUUGAGUUAUAAAUUUAACAUGACCCAGUUGGCAUGGCUAGGAGAAAAAUCAAUUUUGUUCAUAAUUUUCAUGUCUUCCAAGUGAACAUGGGGCUAUAAGUGAAGUUCCAAAGGGUACGGUGGUGUAAUUUGGUCCAUGAAUUGUCUCCUCCAAUUUGCAUGCAUGCGGUAGGUGACUGACUCCCAAAUAAUUCUCGUUGCCAAGCAAAUUAAAUACCAUUAAUUAAGAGCUUAAAAACACUUUAAUUAUUACCUCUAUUUUGCUUUUGCAAUUAGGAAAUUUUCCCCCUUUUGCGUACAAUAUUAUAAGAAUAUUUUUGUUCUCUACACUUAAAUGAUGGUGAUGCUCACUACCUUAUUUAUCACCGUUAUAUGAGUUUAAUACAUGUUAAAACUCAUAGUGAUGGUGCUAGCUACCUGCUUCUUGUGUUUUUUUAAAGAAAGAAAGGGGCAUUUGAUGUUUGGACAGACAUAGUGAUGGUGCUAGCUACAUGCUUCUUGUGUUUUCAAAAAGAAAAUAAAAAAAUGAGAAAAGGCUAAUUUGCACCCUUUUGGAUAUUAUGAUGCCAAUUUGCCUCGUUGAGAAACUUGUGGCUUUUCUAAUGGAGAUUGCGUAAAGGUGCAAACAAUUUGUUAAUGGUUGUGCAAAAUAGGUUUCAUACUGCACUCCGCCGCGGGAUUUGAAAUCAUAACCCACAAUUUAACAUACCCAUUUCUAAAUUAUUCAGAAAUCAAUCAGAGAAACUUCAAGCAGAAGAAAAUUGAGUUCUCAAUUAGAGAAAACUUCAAUUUCAUGCAAGUUUUUUUGUUCAAAUUUCAGGGCUUAACAAUGCAAGAUUUGAAUUUGCAUUUGGUUCAAAGAAGUAAGAUAAACUGAUAAGAAAAAUGAACUAAAAAAAUAGUGUUUUUUUUACAAUAUAUAAAGAGACAAUCUCAGAAGUUUGCAUAUGUGCUGGAAAUUUACAAUAUAUAAAGAGACAAUAUCAGAAUAAAACACAUUUGAAGAAAAAGUAAUAAGAAAAGAAAAUAGUGUUUUUUACCUAUGAUCCAUGUGAGGAGUAGAAUUUUCAGUCAUAAUUGACAACCCAAGAGCUCUGUAAAUCAAAUAUAUAGGAAAAGAUCAAUAAAAAGUGAAUUACAGUUUCUCAAAUCAGAAAGUAACAUUUAUUUGAAAAGAUUCAGACUCAUUUUGGAUAUAGAUAAACAAUGGCAUGUUAAAAACCAAAAUGAUAAGGCAUUCAACAUUCAACAUUCACGUAAAAAAAAUGAAAUACAUGUUAUCCAUCAAUGUUUUGGUAACAAAUUCCCAAAUUGCUCUAUCUACCAAACAUUUGCAAAUCUAUAGUUACAGAUGUUUAGUUCUAUGAUAUUCAACCCAAUACCCACAUUAUUGGCAAAACGACAUUGUAUAGAUCGUUUGAGCACCCGAGCCAAUGACAAUAACAUUGAAGGCAACUACAAAAUUGUACAUUAUAUAAAGAGGCAAUCUCACAAUCAAAAUUGUCAAAAUCAAUAUUUUAUGGCUACAUUUUUUUCAUCAGUCAAUCAAUACACACUGAACACAGAAUCACAUACUCGACAAAAAUUCAAACCCAUAAAUCUGAAAUUAGCAAUGUUAUUUCUUACCCCCCAAAAACAAUCCAAAUCUUAGUGGUUACAUUCAUUAGUCAAGCACUCAACCACUUAGGCACAUCAACUACAACUUGGGAAUUGUGGAGCAAAAAAUAAUCACAAGGCGACACGUGGACUUUUUAGUAUAAGAGGACCAAACUACCCUUGAGGCACACCGAGAUUCCUACACGCGAGCAGCUCAAAAAUGCUCCAAAAAGGUAACAAUUCAAUAUUCAUCUCAUCAAAUCCCGUAACCUCUAAAAUAUUUAUUCCAAAAUUAUAUUAAUUGGUUAAUUAAUGGAUUAAUUACCCAAUUACUCCAUUAAACAUCAAUUAAAAAAUCCAAAUAACCACAACAUAUAUUCCCCUCAAUCCCAAAACUAGUGAUUGACCGGCCACCCCCUUUCUCCCCAACUUUUCACACUUUUCUCCAUUUUAUUACCCUAUUUACACAACUAUUCAAUUUUGUAACCUCCUAUUUAUUUCUUUAUACUUAAUUAGCCAAUAAAUUGGCUAAUUAAGCUAAAACUAUAACCACCAAAACCCAUUAGUGGCCGGCCACACCUUGGGAAAAUUGGGCAAAGCCUAACCCUAUAAAUAGGCACCCAUUCUCACAAAAAAGCUAGGCCAACACUCUUGCAAAAAUCUCUAAAUUCUCUAAACACUCUUUCUCUCUAAAUUCUAACUUUGGCAUCGGAGGUUCUUCGGCCAAAGCCUCCCCCCAUUCAUCGUGGGCGCGUGAGGCUUGUGGCCAUAACCAAAUGUGUUAUUUAUUUUGUAGGUGCAAUUUUGUUUAAAAUCAAGGAGGAAGAAAUUUGCAUCCACAAAUUGGUGCUUUCAUUGAGAGUUGAGAUUCACACUCGUAGAAGACUCUUGCGCAAAAAGGUUUUUUCUCUAUUUCCUCUAUUUUCUAGUCCACUUGUAUUUUUCAUACGUUUUUAUUAUGAGAAUUUUUUAUUUGCCAAGAUUCUUUGAUAAAACGUAAAAGAGAAAUACAAUGGCUAGAAAUUUAGAAAAUUCCACAAGUGAAAAUUCCAAUAUUCAAGAAAUGGGACUGCGGUGAUCCACGAGACUAAACGUGAUCUUAAAGGGAGCGGCACCACCACCACAAGGCUCCACCAUGGCAACCACCGAGGUGGCCACCAUGGCAAUCACCCGCGGCGAGGUCCAUGGCUCCACCACUACGGCCCAAGCCGUGUUAUCCAGGGCCCACGCCACCAAAGCCACGGCUCGAGCCAUGUUACUCCAUGCCCAACGUGAGCCCAAUGCGUUUCCAAUUCGAGCUCAAGCCUCGCAUUCGCAUGCACCACGCAUUAAGCAGCCUGCUCCCGUGACCUAGCCUGCUCCCGUAAUCCAACCUACUCCUGCAGCCUUGCCUGCUCCCGCGACCCAGCCUGCUCCUGUAAUCCAGCCUGCUCCUGCAGCCUUGCCUCCCAUGGUUUCCCAAGCAGCUCAAGUUGGCCCGAGAAUAUCUUAACUAUCCGGAGCAACCAUCAAGCUGGGGGCAUUUUCACCAAAUUUCUCCGCGGAUUUGACAUUUCCCAAUUCAAAUCUUGCACCCGGAGUCUACCACACUUCCAUUGCUCAAGGAGGCACAUUCCUUCCAAGCUCUUCCAAUCCAAAUGGCGAACAACACUUGUCUCGACAAGUCAUAGAGUUGACGAGCGCCCUUGCACAACAGACGACCUUGGUGAAUCAACUCUUGCAACGCACCGAGAUCCAACGUGCCCCGGACGAGGUGUCCCGAAGUAGGACAAGGGUAAAUGAACCUCUCCGCCAGCAUCCCGGCAAACAUUAACCAGCCAUGUUCCAAGCGUUCGUGCAUUCCCAAUCAAGCCCACAGACGAGCAUACGUUCACGGUUGAGGUCAUACUCCGAUUAUCAACAUGGACAACCUUCCAGGUGAAAUGUUCAUUCACAACUAGGCUCACAAGGAGCAUUCUCCACCUCACAUCUGAGUAGGCAGCACAGCAGAUGGAGAGAAACAGUCACUCAAUCCGACUCAAGUUCAAGCAGCAGCCUGCGAACGGCCCGUUCGCUUGCUGGAUACAUGCCACAUGCACCGCAGUCGCAACAUAGACGAGUUAAACAUAGGGAAGAGCGGCCCAAACCCAUAGGUCACGACCGGAGGCAGUCGAAAAUUCCAUUGCCCCAGCAGAGGUAAAUUCAAGAAGAAGUUGAUAGGCUUUUAACUGAACGACUGCGCAAUUUCCAACGAAACGAGGCUGCUGACGUACGCUUCGACGAGACAUGACCAACAUAAGCAUGUCAUCAUUCACGAAUGAGAUCGAGUUGAUAGAUCCACCUCGCGGGUUCACUAUGCCUCAUUUCAUUCCGUACAAGGGAGACGAAGAUCCGGAUCGACAUCUCAAGUAUUACUGCAGUACCAUGAUCCUCUACAGGAACAAUGAUUCACUUAUGUGCAAAAUUUUUGCCACAACUCUACAAGGCGAGGCGUAAGACUGGUUUCACACUCUACCGCCGCAGUCGAUCCGAAGUUUUAACGAACUUUCCUUUGUUUUCACUAAGGAGUAUUCGUUUAAUCGCUCAAUCAAAAGGACAUCCGACCAUCUCUUCAGCAUCGUAAAAGACCCUCGGGAGACAAUUCGCGACUAUGUCAAGAAGUUCAAAAUGGAGAAGGCGAAGAUUGUUGGCUACAACGAAGACAUAGCAACGACAACAUUCAGAAAUGGGCUUUCCACGGAACAUCCUUUAUUCGGAAAAUUGAUCAUGGGAGAAGAAUUGACCCUAGCAGCUUCAUAUGCUUUGGCAGAAAAGCAUGCAUUAUGGGACGAGGCCAAGCAGUCUAACAAAAACGAGUCAAAAAAGAAGCACAUGGAACGUUCCCCGACCAAAGAAAACUCAGCGCUUGAAACAUUCACCAAGUUCACAGUUCCAAUCAGCCAAAUUCUUCGCAAGCUCAAGAAUGAACCUUGGUUUGAACUACCACCACCCAUGAAAAGCGAUCUUACUAGGCUGGAUCAUACAAAAUAUUGCGCAUUCCAUCAAGGACCAGGCCACACUACCAACGGCUGCCUGAAGUGGAAGCAGUACCUUGAGAAGCUGACAAAUGAGGGCCGAUGCGAUGAGUAUCUUAACAGGUCAACAAAACGGCCUACAUAAGCAGGGGAAGUUCCCAUCACCCCCUGAACCACGUUUGGAUUUUUUCCAAAUAAGUUCGAAGAUUCAAGCAGCUCGACGAACAAGGCUUCAUAAGCCGAAGAAUAUCCAGUUUGUUAUGCAGUUUCUACUUUCCAGCACAGUUGAUUUAUUUCUUUAUUCUCAAUAAAGAUUCAAGAAGUUAUUCAUAAGUCUGCUCCAAACCCUUUCUGGGUCUGCUCUCCAGUGCGAGAGGUUAAACUAAUUGCUCUCCAGUGCGAUAGGGUAAACUAAUUCCCCGACACCCUAAAGGGUCUGCUCUCUAGUGUGAUAGGUUAAACUAAUUGCUCUACAGUGUGAGAGGGUAAACCAAUUCCCCGACACCCAUAUGGGUCUGCUCUCCAGCGCGAAAGGUUAAACUAAUUGCUCUCCAGUGCGAGAAGGUAAACCAAUUGCUCUCCAGUGUGAAAGGGUAAACUAAAUCCCUGACACCCAUCUGGGAAAGCUUCCAAUGUAAGAAGGCCACAUAGUUUAAAAGAUCGAAUGCUUAAAUAUCAGUUAAGUAACAAAUGGUUAGGGAGCAGCAACCACUUUUACACUUAAUAGUUCGCUCAUCCUACACUUCAUCUUUAGCAACUCCGAUCUUGGCAGCUUCAUCCUUGACUGCUCCAUCUACGGCAACUGAGAAAUCAAACUCAAGCAGUUUCCUCAUUUUUGGCAAGCAGCCCAGACGUGGUAGCCCAAACUGUUGUCCAUGCCACGCCAUUUCCUCGGCCCAUGCCGAGCCAAUCCUUGGCUUCAAUCAAGCUGACAACAUAAACAAUGGCCCUUGCCACAUCACCUCAUUGGCCCAUGCCAAGCCGACUCCUGGCCCCUGCCAGCCGACGUGCCACACCACCCCCGACGGCUGCCCCGUGGUAGCACCUCCCAAGAAGAAGAUAAGGAGAAUUAAGUUUUCCUUACAUCGGUGCGGCGGAGAAAACAAAGAAAGCAACGAAAGACAGUCCUUCGCACGAACAAGAUGUAGAAGAUUGAAGCUUUCUCUCUCUUGUAGGGUAGAAUAAAUUGCUCUCCAAAGUUGAUUUAACAACCCACUUAAGGUGGACUUAAAUAGGCUUUGAGAAAAAUUUAUUUCCCUUUCCUAGAAGGAUCUAAUUUCACAUUAAAGAGGGAAUCAAGCAGUCCUAAGUUUCCUAGAGCAAGAAGAUCUCUACACCUGCUGCCCUUUCCUACGAGCAGCCCAGCAGGUGUGGGGGCAUUUGUGGAGCCAAAAAUAAUCACAAGGCGGCACGUGGAUUUUUUAGUAUAAGAGGACCAAACUACCCUUGAGGCGCACCGGGAUUGCUACAUGCGAGCAGCUAAAAAAUGCUCCAAAUAUUUAUUCCAAAAUUAUAUUAAUUGGUUAAUUAAUGGAUUAAUUACCCAAUUAAUCCAUUAAACAUCAAUUAAAACAUCCAAAUAACCACAACAUAUAUCCCACUCAAUCCCAAAACUAGUGAUUGACCGGCCACCCCCUUUCUCCCUAGCUUUUCACACUUUUCUCCAUUUUAUUACCCUAUUUACACAACUAUUCAAUUUUGUAACCUCCUAUUUAUUUCUUUUAUACUUAAUUAGCCAAUAAAUUGGCUAAUUAAGCUAAAACUAUAACCACCAAAACUCAUUAGUGGCCGGCCACACCUUGGGAAAAUUGGGCAAAGCCUAACCCUAUAAAUAGGCACCCAUUCUCACCAAAAAGCUAGGCCAACACUCUUGCAAAAAUCCCAAAAUUCUCUAAACACUCUUUCUCUCUCAAUUCUAACUUUGGCAUCGGAGGUUCUUUGGCCAAAGCCCCCCAUUCAUCGUGGGCGCGUGAGGCUUGUGGCCAUAACCAAAGGUGUUAUUUAUUUUGUAGGUGCAAUUUUGUCUAAGAUCAAGGAGGAAGAAAUUUGCAUCCACAUUCCACAGGAAUGUUAUGCAAAUCUUAGGCAGCUUGAAUCAUUAAGUUUGAGUUGGAAGAAGCUCCGUUGCCUGCUCUGCUAGUUGAGGAGUGUCACCAAAUUCGGCACUAUCAGCAACAUCAACACAUUUCACACACUCCCGCUUCCAAAACAUAUCACAAAAUCAAAAACCAAAUGAGAUUAUGUAGCAGAAAAGACAGAAAAAUAGAUUAAGAAAAGCAAUUAAUAUUAAAUAUAGAGGGUGAAUGAUGUUGUCCAAUAAAUAAGAUAGCUGUAUAUAUUUCUCGACCAUGAGAAAACAUCAAAUUAAUAGAGGCAUUAAUCCUAAGUUUGCCAUUCGUUAUUGCCGGAAUCAGGAGCUUUCUUUCAGAACCUUUUGACCAACGGGUCCUUGGUCUAAACUUGAUGACAUAUUGUAAAGUCCUCUUACAUACAAAUUAAUGAAAUAUUAAUUUAUUUCCAUGAGUUAUUUGAUUUUGCAAAUUCAAAAUAAUUGAAGAAUACUGAAAAUUACUAAACCCCAUCACAACAUCCCAUUAGUGAAAAAUCAAAGACAAAAGUAAAUUACUAUCUUUCUAAGCAUCCAAAGAUAGCAUACUCAAAAUACCAAAUUCAACUCCAAUGUCUUAAAAAAUUAAAAAACAAAUUAGCCAAAUUGGAAUAGUUAGAUCAAAUAAAGAUUUAAGUCAACCAAUUACACAAAAUAAUUCAUGCAAAGUAGGCUCCUAAGAAAAUAUACCACAAUGGUGGUGGAGGAGGCCAAGGCUUAAAUAGUGGAGGACAGCAACAUUUAAAUAUACCGCAGCAGCACGGAAUCCACAAACUGCAUAAUCAAAACCAAGGCAUACACAGAAGGGAAACCAGGAUCGGAAGUUGAUACCGAUGUUAGAUACCAAUUCCAGCCACUAGUUCAUCCUUAACUGGAAGCAAGAAUUGUAGGAAAUGGCGAGAAGGAGAAGAUGGAGUAUUUUUUGUAAAAUGAUUUUUUAUAUUUGAUUUCAUCUAUCCCCGUUCAACAAGAAAGAGAGAGCUUUAAUAGCACUAGCAACCUCCCCAAUGAAAGACCGUCACAUGGCAUACACAGCCUAAACUCUUAAACAACAGCACAAAAGAAAGGCAAAUUACACAACGACCCCAAAACAUUACAUUUCGACCCAAAACUUUGUUGCUUGUGAUCAAGGCAAUCACAGUACAUAACAGUCUAUGAUCCGAUUUUGCCGGCUCCGUCAGAGAUGCUGCCUGAGGAGGGCUUCGCUCUCAGAGAAUGAAGGAGGUAGGGUCUCGAAUUCUAAUUGUUUUCGAUUGAACCGAUAGUUCUGUAUAUCAAUUAAAUUUUGACUCUUUUGUGCAAUUUAGUUGAAAGUUGUUGGUUUUGAUUUGGCUUGAUCUUUCUGUUGCUGAGAAAUUGGGUGGAAAUUGUUGUUUUGAUUUUGUAGUUUUCAAGAAUUGCAUGCUUAGUGAUCAGUAAUCGUCUGGCUUUAUCGGAUAAGGAGAUAAAGCAAUUAGAUUUCAAAAUUUGGAUUUACAGUUCGUAUUUUGAGCCUGAAUUCAUGAAAACAAACGUAACCCAUUAUUUAUUAGCGAUUAAUGAUUUGAUCUUGCACCCAUGUUGUCUGCUUUCCAUUUCUCAUCUCUCUUGCCAUCUUCUCUGUAUUUUGGCUGCUUCUCUCUCCCGCACUCCUUUUUUUUUUUUUUUUUUUGAAUCUAGUGUCUCCUGGUCUUUAACCCGACUACUCACUAGGCCACCCGCCUGACCCCACAACAUUUGGUAGGCAAGAAACUCUAGCAAUUGCUAGGUCUAGGUGGGUACCUUGUGAGGUGUCGAACCCCAGACCUCUUGGUAACAAACCAAGGGCCUGACCAUUAGACUAAACACUCUUAGGUAAGAGACACUAAAGUAUAAAGUGAGAUAUCAGGGCACACGCCUUUAUAGAAACACUUGGUUUCAUUAAUCCAGAAUUUACUUUCUUCAUAGGUUUCAAAUGGAACUACUUAAUAUGUUGUUUUCGUAAUUCUUUUUGCUUUCAAAGUUUAUUGCUCAGUUGUGUUCGUAACCUCUGGGUUCUUACAGUUCUUUGUCUCUCUUACUUCAGAUUCUUUGCGUUUUUUAUCAUUCGUUUGUGAAGAAAUGGGUCGUACGAAGUGGUAGGGCUUUGAGGAAGGCACUUGCCACCAAGGUGCGUUUUGUUUGGGUUUCUGAUGUCAAGAAAAUUAGAAUUGAUAAUUGCAAGCGAUUUUUUCCAAGAAACAAUCAGAUUAUUGAAUCUAAGUUGCUAAUUGUUUAAUUUUGUAUAUGCUGCAAUUAAAUCAGCACCCGCAACUGGAGGAGUCAAGAAGCCUGACUGCUACCGCCCUGGAAUCGUCACUUCGGUAAGUUUUCAACACAAUAUAGUUCAAAUCCUCUGAAUCAUGUUCUUGAAUUCUAUAUGUAUCGUGUUCUUUGCAUUUCGUUAUCUGAAAUCUGUUCUUUGAAUUUGGUUACCGGAAUCAUGCCUAAUGUUUGAUGUGGCCAGUGGCUUUGUAUGGCUGGUUGGUGUGCAUUGGGAGUGUUUUUAGUUAAUGGCAGACAUAGGACAAAGGUGUGGGGCAGCGAAGUCAAGUGGGAAUAGGAAUUUAGGAUGGUACAGUUUUUGCUAAUUUAUGGGACUAGAAGUCUUCCUUUAUUUUUUGUCUUCGUGCGAUGAAAAAAAAUGGGUGAGUAAUUUGAACUCCAGUUUAAGAUAAUAACAUGUGAAUUUUUCGUAUUACUGUUUUUUCCCUUUCUAUUAAAAACAACCUUUGAUUUCUUUGAUAGUGCUUUUUUCUAUCUGUACUAUUGUUGAACUCCCCCAGUUAUCAGUUUUGGCUCAAAAAAAUUAUUUGAUGAUGACAUGCUGAAUUGAAUAUUGGCUAAAAUUAUAUUGAAAUUUGUAGCCCGAAGCAGAUAUCGUUAAAAGAGCUCUAAGUCACCCUCUGAAAUUAAUUGCCAUAAGUGAUGUUGUAAAUGGAAGCGUUGUCGAUGAGAAGGCAUUUUUUUUCGUUUCACUUUAUAUACUACGCUCACUAUCUGUUUAAUAUGUCUCAUCGUAUAAAUUAAAGUCUCAUUUCUCAGGUGCUUUCAAGUGACAACCCCAACUAUGGAUGCAUGCUGCCACUGGAAACUAUGAAAAUUUAAUAGUUGCUGGGAUCACUGAUGCAACUAAAGUGGGUUUCUUCAUCAAGUACUUCAUGAAUAGAAUAUUUCGGAGAUCCAAUUGCUGGGACAGAUUGAAGAAGGUGAAAAUCACAGGGGUGGAAUACUGGGGAGGGUGGUAGGGUUAUGGGGAGUGGGCUCUGGUUGGUUUCGGUUUGACCGAGGCCAUGGUUCGAUGGAAUCGAGGUGAUGAGGACGAUUCAUGAGGUCACAUCCACAAGAUAUAGGGCUUACACGUGGGGUUUAGGGGUUUCACGGGGAGGGUUACAGAGGGAGGGGGUGCACGCGUGAAUUGCAGAAGGGGAGGGAGAGAGGGAGAAAGAGGGGGAGUAGGGUUGCUAUAUUCAAGUUCUCUUUUUUAUUUUUACUUGAAUUUAAUUUGAUUUGAUUUGAUUUUUUUUUUUUUUUUUUUUUUUUUUUUGCUACAGGUUGAGAAUGCAAAAGCUCAGCUGGAGGUGGAGGUGAGAAUUUUAAUUUAAUUCAUGGUAUAUUGUUGUUUUUUUUUUUUUACUUUAUUUUUGUGGGAUUGUGCUGUUUUUGGGGAAAACAAUAUUAAAUUGAAGUAAAGUUUAGAUAUUUCUGUAAUUGGGAUUUAGAGUAAGAGAUGAAGAACUAAAUGUGAUUUCAAAAUUAAAAGUUUAGAACUUUUUUGGUUUGGAAGCUAAUUUUAAAUUCAGUUAGCUGAUUAAUUAAUGGAGAAAUGUAUAACGAAUGCGUGAUAUGUUUUUCGAUGCGUAUGAGCAGACAUGGGUACUGCUUCAGCGGCAACAGCUGCUACAUGAUGGUAGAUGAGGAAUUCUGAGAUGCUGAGUGCUCUUAGUUUAAGAGAUGAAGACUUGAUAAUGAUCGUUCCAAUUCUGCCUCAAGGUAUACUUGAUAAUGAUGUCGUUUAUGUGCAAUUCACUGUAUGAUGUUCGUGCCUUUAAUGGGCCUAUCGACAUAAUUCAAUGCACCCACCAAUUGGUUUUAUGAUCAUACAUCAUUCGUGAGAAAUGGGAUGGUGAGUUUCUCGAUACAGUUUUAAUUUUUGUGCGAAUAAUGUUUGUAAAAUGUCUGUUUUUAUUUAGUUCAUUGCAGAUUCUUAUUCCUUUAUUUAGUUCACCAUAUUCUUACUCUUUUAUUUAGUUCACCAUUCAUGCUUUUAAAGAUAACAAGUGCAUGGCUCUCUCAGAUGUUAGUUUUGGGUGGCAAUUGAAAGAUACAAGGAUAAACAAAAAUACUUACCAAUUGAAAGGAUAAAUUCAAUUGAAAAUAUUUGGUUCAUCAAUUAUUAUAGUAUGAGCUUUUUGCAUUAAAUGUCCUGUUUUCGGGGAGAGUGAUUCAUGUAAUUGGGUUUUAUUAAUUUUUUCAUGAUUUUAUGCAGUUUUUCGUUUAAAUUUGUGGAUUCUGAAGCACUUUUAUGAGUGUUAAUUUCUGUUUGUAUGUCUAAAAUCUGUUUGGAAUUUGGCUGUUUCUUCAAUUUCAUCACCACCCAUUCUCACAACUUCAUCUAAAGUGUUUUGCAUGUAUAAGAUUCGUGUUCAUGGAGGUCAUUUCAAACGGAUUUCAAGCUGAGCUGCAGAAAUUUGAUUCAAAUUGAUGGAUUUGGGUAAGAAACUAAGAAACCAUAAUCUUUUCUUUCGGUUUUAAGAGCUGAAUUUGAUGGUUAAGUUUAUGUUUUAAGAUUAUCUUCCUUUCUCCUAAAUACUGAGUUUUAUGAGAUUACAUUUGGCAAGUCUGAAAACGGAUUAGAAAUACUGAGUUUUAUGAGAUCUAUUUGGCAAGAUUAUCUUCCUUUCUCCUAAAUACUGAGUUUUAUGAGAUCUAUUUGGCAAGUUUGAAAGUGGAUUGCGUAUGUUUAUAUCUUCCUUUCUUCUAAAUACUGAGUUUUAUGAGAUCACACCAUCUUAUGUUUAUUAUAUAAUCUUAUGCAAUCAGAAGAAUUAUCAUAUUUUUCUUUUUAGAUUUCAACAUAUUUGGAAAUACUUCAAAUUUUUUGUAGUGCAGUUUGUAGUUAACAUGAUUACGUGAGUUCUGUUUCUUUAGUAAAUUUUUAUGCAGGAAAGAAAGUCAUUUCUCAGUUUGUAGUUAACAUGAUUACAUAAGUUCUGCUUAUCUUAUUGGCCUUAUUCACUCAUGUGUUGUUCUGUUCAUUCAUGAUUGUGUUAAAUUUAUUUAGGUUAAAUGUGUCUUAUUCAUGCAGUUACGCAUGAAACAGUUGUUCCCGCCGCAAUGUGCGGGUUUAUUUUCUAGUUCCAAUCUAAACCUAGAGACGAAACGAGGCCAUGUAUUACAAAGACAAAAAUUCUAAAACAGCCUUUGCUCAGAGAAUAAAAAAAGCCAUGCAGUGAGAACAUCUAAGGGAAACGAGUUGAUCCUCAAUAAACACCUCAAUAGAAUGACAUAUCUUUGUUAAAGCAUCUGCCACAAAAUUAGCUUUAUCUAAAACAUGAUAGAAGCUGAUAUGAUCAAGCAUCCCAUGUUUGCCCAAGAGAAACCGAUUUGAGCCGCAUCUGCUCCAAAUAUCUCAGGCAAACAGUCAGCUGACAAAAUGCGGUCAAUGGCUUCAACAUCUUGAGAAUAAAAGGCACAACUAGGAUCAAUUGGUUGUACUUUAUAUAGGGAUAAGAAUUGAGUUACCUCUUUUACAAAUGUUACUUAUUCAUUCCGGCCGUUAUAUGGUACAACACUGAACAGAGAGUACAACUUUUCCGGCCUCUAAGUCCGGAACCCUUCCAAACAUUGGACACUAGAAUACCAAAAUAAUGCAAUAAGAUACAACAGUACAAUACAAUAUAGUUGAAAACAAUCCAUCUAAGAUAGUACAGGCUCAAUCAGAUGAAUCAAAGGAGCCCUAGUGUUCAAGCUUCCAUCUUUGCGGUAAACUUAAGUGGUGGCUUCAAGAAAUGGAUAAUCAGUGUAACCAAUGACGGGAUCAGGUGUGUAGAAUGUCUCUCUGUUGUAUUUGUUUAGAGGAGCAUUAAGUUCAAAUCUCUUUGGCAAAUCCGGAUUCGCCAAGAAAAUACGGCCAUAAGCAAUAAGAUCUGCACGGCCCUCGGCCACAGCUCUGUUUCCAUCUUCCCUGUCAUAACCACCAGCAGCAAUGAAGGUACCAUGGAAAGCCUUUCUCAUGGGAAGAAGACUCUGGUGGGUUUCAGCUAUUUCUCCAACUGCCUUCAUCCUCGGCUCAACCAUCAUGUGGCAGUACACGAUUCCAUAUUUGUUCAAGGCAUUGGCCAUAUAGAGUCCUAAUUCUUUUGGAUUUGAAUCCCCUGCGUCCAUAAAGUCAGCAAAUGGACCUAAUCUAAUUCCAACUUUAUCUGCUCCUAUUUCGUUAACGACAGCUUCAACAACUUCCAGAGGAAGGCGGCAACGAUUCUCUAGAGAUCCACCAUAUUGGUCUGUUCGAUCAUUCACAUGAUCUUUCAGAAAUUGAUCAAGAAGGUAGCCAUGCGCCCCAUGAAUUUCAACUCCAUCGAAGCCUAUAUUAACAGAUUAACAAUUUCAACAUACUGACGGUAUUAGAACCUUAAGCAUUGUCGCUGAAUUACCAAAAAAUUCAAUAACGAGAUGUGAGGGGGCUUGCAGCUUUUUACUCCACCCCACCAGCACCACCCACCACCCACACCCACCCCCCUUCCCCUCUUCCUCCUCCUCCUCCCCCAAGGCCAGAGUUUGAAGAAUCCCCCUCCCAUCUCUAACUACAUUUCGCUGAUCAAACACAAUUUAUUUUGCAUAAGAUUUGAAGCAAAUUGAGUUGUUGUAAAUUAUGUUUCAUAUGUAACGUAAAGACAAAUUACCAGCUUCAAUAGAAUUCCUUGCAGCAAGUCUAAAAUCAUUGACAAUUUGUGGAAUUUCAUCUGUCCUUAAUCGUCUUGGAGGCGUGAAUUCAGAAGCAUCGAUGCCAUUUAAUCGUAUCGGCUUGUCAGUAGAAGAUAUUGGAGCUUGCCCAUUUGGUUGAUAACCUGUAAGCAAGGAGGGAAAGAAUUACAAACUGAAGUCUAACAACAGUAACUAACAUCCACAGCAGCACUCUUUUAAGUGGGAAUCCUUUGUUACAAAUUACUAUAAAAUUUGUUAACAUCAAACUUCUUCCCAUCCAAUAAUAAUAAUAACAAUGCUUCUGAAACAGCAAGGUCAUAAAAGUGGUGUCUUCUUAUGAGUUAUGUUAAAAACACCAACUCGGAACUUAGCAAGUCCAAGUUUUAUCGUCAUUUGAGCAACAAACAAUGUUGUCAAUUAUAAUCACUCGCUCGUUCUGAUGCAUACACCAUUAUGUUAUACAUCAAACUUCUUAAUCGGUCUAAUUAUUCACUCAUGUUAACACAGCAUUCUAUGGUAAAAGUGAGGUCAUAAAGGUGUAAGUCAGAAACGCACCGCUAUUAGAAACCCUUCCAACAUGCCAAAUCUGACAGAAGAAGACGCCACCUUCAGCAUGAACAGCAUCAACAAUGGGUUUCCAGGCUUCAACUUGCUCCUUUGUCCAUAUACCAGGUGUGUUCGGGUACCUUCGUUUAUUAAAGAACCAAAAAUUUCAUCAAACUUUGAAACGAAAGAAGCACCCUCAAAUGUUUGUUAGUCUAUAAAUCUACUGUUGUUGAAAAUACCCUUGAGCUGUGUCGGAAACUCCGGUGGCUUCGGCUAUGAGAAGACCCCCGUUCGACGUUCUCUGAGAGUAAUAUAAGAUAGCAUGUGGUUGAGGAACAUUGUUGUAUGAUCUCUGUCUGGUCAAUGGUGCUAAAAUAAUUCUGGAAAGGAAAAAGAACUUGUAAUUAUAAAUACAGAGUGAUCAAGACGGAAUGUGGCUGAGGAACAUUAUCGAAUGAUCUGUAUCUAGUCAUCAACGGUGAAAAUACAAUUCUAAAGAGGAAAAACAUACAAUAAACCAUAAAUACAACCUUCAGACUUUGUAGGAAGGAUUAGUUUGCUAAGGCUCCUUUGAUAACAAAUUCGCUUAUAGUUUUCUUGUUUUAGUUAAAAAGGAUAAACGACGGAGGAAGAAGGAAUUUGGGACGAAAAUGUGUGAAAUAAAAACUCGAAUUGUAGAUUAUCUGAAUAUGCUUUUUGUCCUUCGUUUUCGGUAUCAUUCCAUGCACGUUUAGUCCCUCAUCCAUCCCUUUCCCUUCCUCCUCCUCCUCCUCCUCUUCUAUCAUGCAUUUUCUCUAUCUAUCACUUAAAAUUAAAAACUAAAAAUCAAAUACGAAAUCGUUACCAAACACAACUUGAACAAAGCAAUGUCUUACGAAGUGACCAUGGCCGAAAGGACACAUACUUUUAACGAUCAGUUGCAUCUAUUUUCAACAAUUAAUCAAUGAAAUAACUCAAGUGUGCUAGUGUUUUGAUUUAAUUUGUAACAUCUGUACUAUUUUAUAGACAAAGAUAGAGUUACAAGGACACUUCUUGUCUCCUUCCCAACAUUUGUACUAUUUUAUAGACAAAGAUAUAGUUACAAAAACUACUUGUCUCCUUCCCCAAAUCAUUCUUCGGGAAGAGAUUGUCAAAGAUCAACACCAGCCCAUUAAGAUCAGUCGGUACAAAGGAACUAGAUUGGUCUAGUUCAAACAUGCAUGGUUUUCUCUAGAAGAUUCUAUAAUGGGAAUAUGCUAGAAAACUCUAGCAAAGAAGGUUGUUCCUUAAGUUGGUGGAAGAUUCUAGAAGAAUGGUGAGGUUUCCACCAACAUGCAAGAUUAGUGUAGAUAAUUCUAGCUUGGGAAGUUAGUAGAAUUAUCUAGAUAACUCUAGCAUGAUAUUUCCAUGCUUCUCCAAGGUUCCAUCCAUGCCUAUAAAAUGAGAAGGCAUCCACACCAUUUGUAUCAACCAAGUAACCAAGUAACCAACCAAGCAAUCAAGAAUGCAACCAAGUGAGAGUGAGAAGCAAGAAUAGUCUUGUAGGAGUGUGAGUGAUCUAGAGUUUGUCUCUAGAAAGUGAGUGAGUGUCAUUGCUUCUAAAGUUGUGUCUUUGAGUGUUUUGAGUGUUGUAAUAUUUUGUGUGUGUAGUACAAGUAAUUUGUUUACUUGUGUUGUCUCUCCAACACUUGUGUUAGACUUGUGUACUCUAAGUUCUUAUCAACAAUUGGUAUCAGAGCGGUACGAUCAGGGACCGUCUCUAGUGAAGUUUUUUUAGAAUCGUUAGAAGUUUACUACUUCACAAGAUUAUUCGUUAAGCUUGUUCGGUUUAUCGAAGUUCUGCCGACACGAUGGGAGAUCUUCAAGUUGUUGAAGGAAUCAAGAAGUUGAACAACAAAAAUUACAACACAUGGGCGACAUGUAUGGAGUCUUACCUACAAGGCCAAGAUCUUUGGGAUGCUGUCGGCGGUAAUGAAGUUAUGCAGCCGGAAGAAGACUCUAGUGGCAUUUUGAGGAAGUGGAAGAUCAAGGCAGGUAAGGCCAUGUUUGCCUUAAAAACCACAGUUGAAGAUGACAUGUUAGAGCACAUACGGAAGGCUAAGACACCAAAAGAAGCGUGGGACACCUUCGCCACACUCUUUUCAAAGAAGAAUGAUACAAGACUGCAACUUCUCGAGAAUGAGCUACUAUCGAUGGCCCAACGAGACAUGACGAUUGCUGAAUAUUUCCACAAGGUAAAGGCUAUUUGUCGUGAAAUUUCUGAGUUAGAUCCUAGUGCUGCCAUUGUACAAUCCAGGAUAAAAAGAAUAAUUAUCGAUGGAUUGAGACCCGAAUAUUGAGGCUUCGUUGCCGCUGUACAAGGAUGGCCGACCCAACCAUCACUUGUUGAGUUCGAGAAUUUGCUUGCCGAUCAAGAAGCUUUGGCAAAGCAAAUGGGAGGGGUCUCGUUAAAAGGUGAAGAGGAAGCGCUCUACACCAAAAGUAAAGGCAGUUUUAAGCAGCGUGCUCGUGGUGGAUCUAAAAUAAAUGGUGACAAGGCGAAAUGUCAUCAAGGAGGAGGGAGUUCUCGACCAGGGGGAGCUCCGAAGUAUCACGGCAACCAUGGUCAGUCCCAGAAUAAUAAAAGGUUUGAGGGCAAGUCUACAAUUGUGGAAAGAAGGGCCACAUGGCAAAGGAUUGCUGGUUCAAAAAACCCGCAGAAAGUAACGUCACCAACUCAGAGAAGAAAAGUGAAGAUGAUUGGGACGCCGUAGCAUAUCUAGCUAUGGAGGAAGAAUGGGACGCUGAAGCAUCUUCUUGGUGGUGCUCAGAAAAUGAGGUGUUCCCUGACUCAAGAGAGAUUGAGGAUACGUUGCAGGAGGAAAUGGGAGACCGAGCUGCCCAAACCCAAACGAGUCUAGAUGAGCUCGAGGAAUUGCUUGAUGGUGACGAUGUCAAGCAAGAAGUACCUAAGAGUCAUUGGCAAACUGAAGAAGUUAGACCUAGUGAAGUGGAAGUAUCAUUUCCACGAUCAUAACUAAGUAGGUCAACGGGAAUAACGAAGUCAAAUCCCAAAUGCGCCAACGCAACCAUAGUAGAAGAAGCAGUUGAAGCUAAGAUGCGUAUAGAAGCAUCACAAAAUUCUAAAUGGCGUAAAGCUAGAAGAAGAGGUCGCUGCGUUAAAGAAAUAUCAAACUCGGGAUCCAGUGGUAAGGCCAAGAGAUGUGAAACCCAUAUCAUGCAAAUAGGUGUUCAAGAUAAAGUGUCGACUGAGCGAGAAGAAAAGAAUGAGCUGGUGUUGAGGGGGAGUGUUAAAGAUCAACACCAGCCUAUUAAGAUCAGUCGGUACAAAGGAACUAGAUUGGUCUAGUUCAAACAUGCAUGGUUUUCUCUAGAAGAUUCUAUAAUGGGAAUAUGCUAGAAAACUCUAGCAAAGAAGGUUGUUCCUUAAGUUGGUGGAAGAUUCUAGAAGAAUUGUGAGGUUUCCACCAACAUGCAAGAUUAGUGUAGAUAAUUCUAGCUUGGGAAGUUAGUAGAAUUAUCUAGAUAACUCUAGCAUGAUAUUUCCAUGCUUCUCCAAGGUUCCAUCCAUGCCUAUAAAAUGAGAAGGCAUCCACACCAUUUGUAUCAACCAAGUAACCAAGUAACCAACCAAGCAAUCAAGAAUGCAACCAAGUGAGAGUGAGAAGCAAGAAUAGUCUUGUAGGAGUGUGAGUGAUCUAGAGUUUGUCUCUAGAAAGUGAGUGAGUGUCAUUGCUUCUAAAGUUGUGUCUUUGAGUGUUUUGAGUGUUGUAAUAUUUUGUGUGUGUAAUACAAGUAAUUUGUUUACUUGUGUUGUCUCUCCAACACUUGUGUUAGAGUUGUGUACUCUAAGUUCUUAUCAACAGAGAUUUGGUCCUUCCCAACAUUUGGACUAUUUUAUAGACAAAGAUACAGUUACAAACACUCCUUGUCCCCUUCCCCAAAUCAUUCUUCAGGAAGAGAUUCGAUCCGAAUCUCUCCAAUUAAGUGAUCUAGGCCGUUGAAAUUCAAUCAAACGACUACAAUUAUUAUAACUUUUAGAGAGGCUUCCUGUUUGUAGUCGUUAAAUCAAAUUUCAACGGUCCGAAUCACUUGAUCUUGGGCCUUUGAUGGGAGAGAUCCGGACCGAAUCUCUUUCCUUUUUUGUAUAGCUAUAUUUCACACGCACACAUGAAUAAACUACACAGUACGCUAAACUUGAAUAUAGACAAGCAGUAAUUUCAUCUUCUAUUUUUCCUGUUAACCAAAAGCUAUCUGCAGACCUAGCUACUCUUUGAAUCCAAGUUCGGAUCUCCUCUCAUAGUUUUUACCAAGGUUCUAAAAGACGCUAGGCGCUAGUCGGGUGGCGGGCUGGGGCCUAGCGCAUAGGCGGACUAGGCGGAUUUAAGUAAAUCUAUUAUAUUUUGUGUAAAUAAGUGUCUGUUUAUACUUAAAAUAUAUAUAAUUUUAUCAUAAACUACAAAAUAGAAUGACAUAUAUAUUAUGAAGUAUUGGACAUAAUGAAAACAUGAGGAACAAGUAUAUAAUGUGUGUUCAUUUAAGUAUUCAACAAGUCUUUACAAUUUAUUGAAAAAAUAAAUAAAAUACAAAAUGCAAGUUAUCUAAUUUUUGUCUAAGUGAGUUGCAACCUAGUCGGUGCUUAGGUGGGUCUGGACAGGCUACGCGGGUGCCUUAGCAGAUCUAGGCGACAUUUUUUAAUUUUCAAACGCCUAAGCAUUAAUUGGGGGCAGUGGUCAGCGGGGCUUGGCGGAAAUUUUUAGAACAAUGAUUUUUACAACAUCAUAUUAAAAUAACGCCCGAAUCAAAAUAAAUUAAACAAUUACAUGACAGAGAAAUUUAGAAAAGUAAACAAAUAGGAACAAUGUAUGAAAGUUUUAAGUACCUAUGAGAAAGAUUGAAGUUUCCCAAUUUGUAGGGAGUGAGGAGAGGAAUUGUGGGAGGUUGAGCAGCAGCAGACAUCUCAGAAUUCGAGUUGGUCGUCUGCCACCUGAUUUUGUACUUGGCCUUUUAUACUGGAUUCUGGGAUGAAGGAAGGAACGAAGGAACGAAGGAAUGAAUACAGGACCCGAUUGGGUCUUUGUACGUUCAGUAGACGCUUAAAAGUCCGCCCUGCAGCUUUCCUCCACAAAAGUUAGAGAUGGCUGGGUCCCACAUCUCCCCUCCCUUGUAUGGAAUGGAAGGCUGAAAGCUGUGGUGGUGGUGGCGGCGGCGGCGGACGUCGAUGGCUGGGUCUGUAAUUACGUUUACGUGUGUCGAAAAUUCACCAGUUUUCCCCAUGAAAAAGGACGUCCACGGAAUGCGGGUGUAAUGCUAGCCGCAUGUUCAUUUCGAUUUAGCUUUUUCAUGCUGCAUUAUUAGGCCAUGGUUUGAAUAGUAUAUUGUUUAGGUCCUUAAGGCCCUCUCAAACUAGAAGGGUUAAAAACAUAAUCCCAUCUAGAAUUAUAACUUUUAAAAAAAAAAUAGUUUUAAAUUAACAAUAUCAAAUUAUAUUCAUAUAUUAUCUUCAAUCAAAUGAGCUAAACAUAACCCAUCAAUUUUCGAUGGAUAGCAAGGUUAUAAUUCCAUGGAGCUCAUCAAGUCAUCAUUUGGCUAAAUGAGCAUUAGGCUGGCCAAAUGUAGCCACCCUCUUAGCCCUUUUUUGGGGCUCAGCUCCUGCAUUAUUUGAGUCAAAUUCAACAGCUAUGUUUGAAAACAUCCAAUGAAAAUUUAAUUAAAUUAACCAAUAAAUUUAAUAUAUAAACUUAAAACUAAAUAAUUGUUGAGAGGGUUAUGUUUAGCCACUUUAAUGACGACAUAUAUGUAUACCUGAUACUGUUCAGUCAUUUUGGUUAGAGAUGCCCUAAGGUCAUAAUUUUGAGGAUGUGUGAGACUAAAUGCAUAUUAGUUUAGAUUGCUUGAAAUAUUUGACAACUUAAUAAAGAAAAACCAACUUAAAAUUCAUGAACCAUCACAAAACUCUUUUUUUUUUUUAUCAAGUUGUCAAAUAUUUAAGAUUUUGGAUACAAACUAAAAUAAUCUUAUGGUUAAUAUGCAUCUGAUGCCCACAAAUCUUCAAAAUGAGGGCCAUAAUUAAUCAAUGAAUUUGUGACAAAUUAAAUAGUCUAGAAAUAAAAGGCUCCAAUCAAGUAGCAUUGCACAAUUAAAAAGGAAAAUGACAAGGUUGCUAGCUUUUUGCAAAAAAUAUGUUAUGUAGGUUCUCUAAUGAGUGCUUUUAACACAAUGGACAUACCCACUAUCGUGUAAAACUUUUCUCGAGAAAUAAAGUUAAGAUUUAUUUAGAUCUGUUACAUAGAAGUUUCUCUUUUGGAUCACUGUUUUUCUAUAAUCGUAAUUUUUUAGGCAUAUAGAUUCAUUGUAAGGAUGAAUUACGUUUUUUUUUUAGUUUGACAGGUUUCAAUUUUGAUCCAUGUCAUUUUCAAUUGGUCAAAUUUAAACUUUGUCAUACAUAACAUAAUUUUAUACCGACACCCCUUUUUGACCAAAAUAGGUUGCGUGGAAUAUUCUAACAAAAAAAAAUCACGUUUGUAAGUAGUGUAUUCUUCUAGUGGUUCAAACCAUUUUCCUUUCCUUAUUGUAAUUUUUAAAGUAAGAAUAACGUUGUAUUCAACAAACAAUAAAGUCCUUGUGCACAUCAAGUAGAAUCAUGAAAGAAAAAAAGGAAGAGAAAAAUUUGCCUACAACGGACACUACUACAAUAACAUUUUUACCAGGGGUUAAUUGGAGCCCAAUAUAACAUUCUAGCAUUAACAAGAGAUGAUCAGGAAUAGAGAUUUAUAUCAUCCUUGAAUCUCAAACGUAGAAUUAUCAUAACUUACAACUUUUAUUGUAUGGAUAAUACUUGCAUUCAUUUCUUAAAAGGAUGAACUUAUUUCCUCCAUGUAAGUAAUGUACAUUUAUCGUCCAAAGUUCAUAAUCAAAACCGUUCAAAUUAUUAAUCUGCAUACCCUUACAAAAGAAUUGGAGAUCAUUUAGUUAUUCAAAUGUAUAGAACAAAUCAAAGAUGUAGGUAUCAAUGACACACCCCGACCCGGAAGGUCCAUAAGGACUCUGAAUCGAGUUAUGCUGACCGACACCUGGAAGGUGAUAAAGCUAUAAAGUGUGAUGAUGUGGAAAAAUAUGAAUAAAUUUGAACUUAAGAGUGCCUAAAUACCAAAGUGCGCUGGUGAGCGGGAAUGAAUCCACUUCACACGUGACCUUAGAGCAUAAGUAAGUAUAGUAGAGUGGAUAAGGAUUAUAACCUCAGAAGUAGCCACCUAUAUUGAGAUUUGCCCAGAAUCCUCGUCGAUACGAACAUUCAGCAAUUAAAACCUGGAGGGGCGCAAAAUAGAAAGUGUGAGUGGGCAAAAACAAAGCUUUACAAAACCAUUUCACUUAUCAAAAGUAAUAAUCUCUCGCCGUAAAGCCUGAAUAAUUUCCCAGAAAAUAGAAUAUUCUAUAUCGAAACCAUACUCGGAAUAGCAAAAUCCACACGUAUGCCAUGCCUAAAAUCUCAACAUAAUGAAAUAAGUAAACCAGGUGAAAUAAAUCCAUGAAAAGUAAUAUGUCAGCCGGAUCCACCUAUUGUGGCAUGUACGACUGAACCUAUAGCUCAACCAAUAUCCAAGUAACAUGUCAACAUGAUCCACCUCUUGUGGCCUAUACGGCUGAACCCAGAGCUCAUCACACAUCCAAGUAAUAUGUCAACCGGAUCCACCUCUUGUGGCCGAAUCCACCUCUUGUGGCCUGUACGACUGAACCUAUAACUCAACCAAUAUCCAAGUAAUAUGUCAACCGGAUCCACCUCUUGUGGCCUGUACGGCUGAACCCAUAGCUCAUCACAUAUCCAAGUACUAUGUCAGCCAGAUCCACUUCUAGUGGCAUGUACGGCUAUGUCAGUCGGAUCAACCUCUUAUGGCAUGUACAACUGAACCCAUAGCUCAUCACAUAUCCAAGUAAUAUGUCAGUCGGAUCCACCUCUUGUGGCUUGUACGGCUGAACCCAUAGCUCAUCACAUAUCCAAGUAAUAUGUCAGUCGGAUCCACCUCUUGUGGCCUGUACGAUAGGACUGGGUGUAAAUAAAUACGCUCAAGUGCUACGAUCACGUGAAGACUGUGCGAAUAAUCGCAGGUCAACUACAAGUCGGAACCACCUAUAGUGGUCUGUAUGACAGGAUUGUGUAACUACCUUGGAUCCAAAGUGAGCGUAAGGUGCGGGAGGUGAACAUCACGCAAAGGACUGUGCCUUAGCCACGGUCGGGAGCACUAACACCGGGGUGCAGGUUUAUUAGCUCUAAUUGCAUCUAUUAUAACAUGUACGACUCAUGGACAACAUGUACAACAGUGUUGGAGUUGCCUAUCAUUGCAACUUGUACGAUAAGGUCGGAGUUGCCUAAAACAUACAUGUAGUCAUGCCAUAACUUCAUCAUUUCAACUAAUACCAUAAACUCACCUGAACUUACCUAGGUCUUCUGCGUUCACCUUUGCACUUCAAAGCGUUCACAAUAAUUAUGUGCAAGUAAUAUACAUAUGGAUAUACCAUGAUAUAAUCUAAUACUCAACCAUGUCAUAGCAUUUUCAAUUAUAUACAUAUAUAUAAUAUGGCAUAAAAUGCAUAAGCUGUAACACCCUACUCACAAACUAUUUAUUUUCGGGAAUAAUUAUCGGUGAUAAGCCCAAUUAGACACUAGUUUAAUUAACUAUCAUUACUUACGUUUCCUUACUUCAAUUUCUUGAUUCUUCACACAUUGAUUUAUGAACAACAUUUAACCACCAAAUCAUAAGGUUAAAUCUAAAAUUUUCCACCAAUCUCCUUCACAUUGCUCAAUUCCCCAAAUAAGGCUAUUGUCACAAUUAUUUAGUCUCAUUUAUUGUAUGGUUGCAUCUAACGUCUCGUUAGAUUGCCUAUGUAUCCUAAAUAGGGAUCAAGCCAUUUGUAGUUCACACUAGUACUUCAAAGCAUUCACAGUAAUUAUAUGUAGGUAAUAUGCAUCAAUCAAUUUAAAAACGUUUAUGAUAAUUUACUGAAAAAAGACAUCCCUACGUAAUUCACUCCGGAAGAUCUGCAUCACGGAUUUCUGAUCCGUUACUUCCAAAUAUUCACAUUAUGUUCCUAGAACCACGUCCUAAUAUUUCAUUAUGAUCCAACGGUCGGAUCUCCGCCAAUUGCCAAAACCAAGUGGCGGUCAACAUUUUAUUUUAUGAACUUACAAAUCCAAUUCGGGAAGAUCUGUACUUCGGAUUCCCAAUCCGUAAGUUUCUAUGGUCCUCAUAUAUUACGUACUAUAAUGUGUUAAAGUUUGGUGACGAUCAAACAGUUGGAUCGUCGAUUCACACUUUUACCAAGUAACCUGACAUAGAGAAUUUAGGUUCCAACCAUCAACCUAAGUCAUACAGUUACCAAGAAUAAACUCAAGGUAUCUAAUUUAUCCUAAGAAUGACAUCGACGGCCCCCUGGCCACACGCCGCCGUGGGUGGCGGUCGGUCGCCCCAACUCGCUGGAAAAUCCAACUAUUUCUAAAAAUUACCAAAUUUUACAUAAAUGAAUAUUUCAAUGAGUAGAAUAAGUUUUAUACCUAUGACUAAGUCCAAUUUAACCGGGAAAGGCUCCAAUUUCACUCAAACCGCCGAAAACCCUAAGAUAGGUAUUCUUCGAUUCGACUUCCUCCAUGUUCCAACACCCCUACAACUUCUUGGGUCUUGUUCCUGGGUCCAAGAGGAGUUGAUUAAGGGUGGUGGUGGGUGGCGAAACUCGUCAGAUCGAAGGAAUCACCGCCGAACACCUCCGGUUCUCCGGUGAUGUUCUUUGCGUUUUUUGGCCUAAAACUCUUCAAUCUUGAGCGAAGAUGGAAGAAGAAAGUUUGGGGAAGAUGUUGCAGGUGGUGAAUAUGGUGUUCCACGAAACAAAAUGGCAGAAAUUGGCUGGAUUUUGACCGGUUUGGUUGUGCGGGUGCACUGCCCGACGGGAAGAUUUCUUCUUUUUUUUUUUUCCUUCUCCCUUCCUGAUUGGUUCUCAUUUUCCUCUCUUAAAAUUGAUUGGUUACCACUCCCACACGGUGGGAGUUUGAAUUAAUUUAUAACUAAACUUUAAAUAACCAAUUUCAAAUGUCUAUAACUAUACCGAUAUAAUCCGAACUCGCAAACGGCUUUCGCCUAUGCAUUCGUACCAACGAGUACUACACAAAUGCGCUAAGUGAAUAAGUCAUACGUUUCUCUACACGUUGGUCAAUGAAAGUCAAAACCUUCACCUCUAGGGUAUUUUCGUAAAUUCAUUAUUUUAAAACUUAUAAAAUCGUAGAACUAGGGACGAGUUGUCACAAUAUACCCACCUUAAAAAAAUUUCGUCCCCGAAAUUUGAAAUCAUUAGCUAAAGAUAAUGUACUUCAGAAGAUAGGAAAAAGUAUAUAUAUAUAUACACACACACAUAUAUACACACAUAUAUGGACGGAGGAAAUCAAGAUAGAGCGGUUGCAUAACAGAGAAUGUCAUUCUGUCGCGAUUAGAGUGCAGUAAUUCCUCUUUCGUGCCUCCAAACUUAAACUUCCUUCUCCUUUAGUACAGUACUAAAAUAUACAGUCCUUUAUAAAACAUAAGGUAGAAAACUAGAUGAAUAACAACGUAAUGUCGAAGCACGUAUAUAAUAAAGUGAAGUUAAAAUAGUUGUACUGAAAACCACACCAAAAGUAGAAAACUUCACCUACACACCCACAUGGGUCACGUGCCUCAAAGAUGAGUGUGUGCUAUCUUUGGGUCAAGCCCAAACAAUAAUUAAAUAACUAAACGUAGACGGACCUAGAUGUCUACUUGUUCAACAAAUUCAACACUUAAGUUUUCAAUAUUACGGUCAGUAGCUCGUAAUACCAACAAUUCACUAUUGUCCUGAUAAGUAAGUAACAGAUUCCUGAGGGUGCAAUAUUACCAUCAUGCCCCCCAAUGGGAAAAUACGCAUAAAUCAUCUGAUCCAAGUCUUGAUCGUGUUCACAUACUACCCUUACGGGUAACAUCAACAAAUAUCAUAAUUUUCUAUAUCAUAUUCUCGAUCAUUCAACUAUGGAUAAAAUUUUCGGUCAUGUGCCAUAGAUAAAAUUUUCAUAGUACGCUUUAACAAUGCCAUACUCGAAACCAAAAAUUGUAACCGUAGUUACAACCAACUAAAAAAAAAACUAUUUAUUACAACAUACAUACCACAUAACUCAACAAUGCAAUUCAUAACACCAUAAUGAGCAGAUUCCUAUUGAAUUUCUUUCGAAUUUAGCGAAAAUUAUGUCAAGAAGGCUAACAUAAUACUCGAGAAUUUGAGGGUCAAAUAAGUCCAUCAAAUUUUAAAUACAAGGUAAUUGAAAUUAAUGUAUAACAUCUCGUUACAACGGUAACUUCUGGAACAUUUAAUCACCAAUGGUUAAGAUUCAUUUAGUAGAGUGUUUGUUGGGUGAUUGAGAAUUUAAUGUUCACGACUAAAUGUCAAUGUCCUAUCAAUCCUCUAGACAAUUUGCUUAAUUCAAAAAUAAUACCAAGUGGUCAAAAUUGUAGUCCCUCUGGACCAAUGAAAAAAAAAAGUUGACUUGUCAAGUCGAUUUGACUUGUCAAGUCGAUCUAUAAACAUCGAAACAUCAUCAUCAUCAUCACUACAUGUACAAGAUACCUCGUUCCAAAGGUGUAUGAUGAUAUUUCUCAACUCCCUUCAUAUACAAGAAGUGAUUAUGACCAUUCAAACCCUUUCUUGAUAUUUCGCAAGUAACAUCAAAACAAUACAUGUGAAUUCCAACUGAGGCAGAAUAGGACAGGCCGAAAGUGUUCAAGUAUACAUAAAUCUUUUGCUGCAUUUAAUAGUAAUACAUUUGCAUAAUCGUGAUAAUCAUAAAAUUUGAUUUAGUUCUUCCACUACCGUUGUUUGAAUUUAACUUAUUUCAAAUGAGAAUAUAUUUGAGAAGUCCAAGAUUGAUAAAGGUCUCUAACACAUUUCUCCACCAGGAAGUAUCAUUCAGUUUUUCAAAUAAAGAUAAUAACACCUUACUCUAGUCAUGAAUAAGAUGGUUCAUUUCGAACGAUUUUAACCGUUGGAAAGUCUAAGCGAUUCAUUGUCAUGUUACCUCCCCCACAAUUAAAAUACCUAAAGAACACGUCAUUAUGGAUUUCCAAAUGAUCAAUGUCAUCAAAAGAUGUAAAGAAAAGGUAUGGUGAGACAACAGUUCUUUGUUAGAAACUUUAUUAAUAUUCAACAUCUCAACUAAAUUGACCUUCCUCGGUUGGUAUGUGAAGAAAAACACCACAGCUGAGAAAUUGCUAACAAUUUGUCGAUAAAAUCGACAAGACGAAAGAUAUCUUGAAAUUCACAAUACCUUAUGAGAAUUCCAACUUUCUUCCGCAACUACCCUUGGAGAAAAGAAAAGAAUAUCAUUGAGAAUCACAUCUCCUAAGAGAAGUACCAAUUUACACAAAGGUAAUAUUUGAGGAAUAUUAUGUGAAGCUAACUGUUGAUAAUUGGAGAAUUUAAUCUCGUUAAUAGAAUAUGUAAGAUAGUCAUCUACAAGACUAUUAUGAAUUUAUCAAACUACACAAGGAAACUUGAGUUACAAAGAUUGGUUGAUAAGAAAUAAGGAGAAUAAAUGUGAUGUUAACAAGGUGGAUCAAUGGUGUAUUCUACUUCUCGCAUUUGGUAGAAUUCCAAAUAAAAAUUUGAGAAUUGAUGCCAAAGGUAAACCUCCUCCAAAUGUACUAGGAACUGAUUCCAUAAUUCUAGGGAAAAAAAACCUUACCACUUCGGGAAUUUCUACUGACCUUAGAUAUAACGAUUCUUACUCAUGUGCCAAUGCUCAUCAAAAUGACGAGUAUAGCACCAAAAGUAAUGUGGAAUUUAACAUUGGUUGGAGUGUUCUAAAGUCAAAAAAAUAAAAUUUUCUAGUAAUCUACUUUAGAACGGACUUAAACAAAAGUCGAUCUUCCCCCUGAAGAUCCAGAAUGAUCACUUGCGUGUUUGGAAAAAAUUGUGCUAUCAUAGACCAAAGUGAUUAUCCCAAAAUUGUGCUAACCACAACAACAACAACAACAACAAAGCCUUUUCCCACUAAGUGGGGUCGGCUAUAUGAAUCCUAGAACGCCAUUGCGCUCGGUUUUGUGUCAUGUCCUCCGUUAGAUCCAAGUACUCUAAGUCUUUUCUUAGAGUCUCUUCCAAAGUUUUCCUAGGUCUUCCUCUACCCCUUCGGCCCUGAACCUCUGUCCCGUAGUCACAUCUUCGAACCGGAGCGUCAGUAGGCCUUCUUUGCACAUGUCCAAAUCACCGGAACCGAUUUUCUCUCAUCUUUCCUUCAAUUUCGGCUACUCCUACUUUACCUCGGAUAUCCUCAUUCCCAAUCUUAUCCUUUCUCGUGUGCCCACACAUCCCACGAAGCAUCCUCCUCUCCGCUACACCCAUUUUGUGUACGUGUUGAUGCUUCACCGCCCAACAUUCUGUGCCAUACAACAUCGCUGGCCUUAUUGCUGUCCUAUAAAAUUUUCCCUUGAGCUUCAGUGGCCUACGACGGUCACACAACACGCCGGAUGCACUCUUACACUUCAUCCAUCCAGCUCGUAUUCUAUGGUUGAGAUCUCCUUCUAAUUCUCCGUUCUCUUGCAAGAUAGAUCCUAGGUAGCGAAAACGGUCGCUUUUUAUGAUCUUCGCUAGAUUGCUCCAGUCAUUAGUGUGGAUAAGUAUAUAAAUGGAUAGAGAUAGGAAAGCAAACACAAGAUGUACGUGGUUCACCCAUAUUGGCUACGUCCACGGAAUAGAGGAGUUCUCAUUAAUUGUGAAGGGUUUACACAAGUACAUAGGUUCAAGCUCUCCUUUAGUAAGUACAAGUGAAUGAUUUAGCACAAAUGACAUUAGGAAAUAUUGUGGGAGAAUGAUCUCGUAAUCACGAAACUUCUAAGUAUCGGAGUGUGGUAUCGUCUUGACUUGCCUUAUCUGUCUCAUAGGUAGAUGUGGCAUCUUCUCUGGAAGUACUCUUCCUCCAUCCAGGGGGUGGUAUCUUUAACUGGUGGAGAUGCACAAGGUAAUGUAUCAAUUUCACUUGAAGCUUACUUGUAGUUUCAGGCUUGGUCAAGCGCGAUACAAACCAUGUAGUAGGAGUCCCCCAAGUCGUCGAGCUAGGGGAUCUGCUGAAAGAGGUGACAGACAAGGUAAGCAAUCAGAGCUCCGGCUGAUUGUUCACCUCUCCCCCAUCUUGCAGCAGCAUGAAGGAUAAAGAGAAGAAAAAUGAGAAGAGAUGAUAUGGGAUACUUUUGCUUUUGAAGAAGUAACUUUCCACAGGCUUAUUCUUGAACUGAGCUGGAGGGUUUUCUGGUUUCCUCCAGAGUAUAAGACCUGCUGAUAUGGGAUACUUUUGCUUUUGACAGAGUAAUGGAUGUAUCGGCACGUGUGCUGUUACGCUUGUCUCCACAUGCUUCCUUGUAUCCUUCGCACUUGCCCUAUCUGUUCCUCAAGCAAAUGCGGUAUCUUCCCUGGAAGCAUAAGAUGUUGAAGAUGAGUACUCGAGAGCAAUGCCAGGUAAGUAAUCAGGUAAGGGGUUCCAGGCAGUCAGUUCCUGGUUGGAAGCUUGAUUCCAAGUGCUGACUGAUUGCUCUCUUUCUCCUUGUCUUGCAGGUAAGAACAAGGCCAAAUGAAAAGACAGGGAAAAAGCAUGAUAUGGGAUACUCUUGCUUUUAACCCUGAUGAUAUGAGAUAUUCUUGCUCUAGUAUAGCUUGUUUGCAGAGGUAUUAUCGGGGGGAAAGAAAGCUGAAUAUUUCGAAAGGCUUCGUUGGGAGUGCCCUCUCAGAUAUGAGGAAGGGUUGAGCAUUUUUGCAGGUCUGCCUGUCCGUUGGGGAUGAAGGUCAACAUAUAUAGGAGUCUCCCUAACAACAAGUAGUAAUGCUAUUCCUUUACCCUGCUUGGUCAUAGCACGGUAGUGGGAGCUACCAGCUUCACAUGUUUUAACUCUGUCAGAGCACUUUGAAAAAGUGGUCUGUGGUAUCUGGCUCUCGAGAUUCGGAGAACGAUGCCUCUUCGAUUUUUGAGAAAGCAAUCAUGCUGGGGGUCUGGCUCUCGAGAUUCGGAGAGCAGUGUCUCUUCGAUUUUUGAGAGAGUAAUCAUGUUGGGAGUCUGGCUCUCGAGAUUCGGAAGGCGGUGCCUCUUCGAUUUUGGAGCAAGCAAUCUUGUUGGGAGUGUUUUUUCGAAUGUGAGUAAAGGUUGGGCAUGUUUGCUAGUCUACCUUGCCACGAAGCACAGAGGUUGACACACAGGGACUUUCCAAUUAUCCAGCAAUGGUACUGUUCCUUUACCCUCUCUUCGAUUUUGAGAAACUAGUCAUGUUGGAAGUCUGGCUCUCGAGAUUUGGAGGACGGUGCCUCUUCGAUUUUGGAGCAAGCAAUCUUGUUGGGAGUGUUUUCUCGAAUGUGAGUAAAGGUUGGGCAUGUUUGCUAGUCUACCUUGCCACGAAGCACAUAGGUUGACACACAGGGACUUUCCAAUUAUCCAACAGUGGUACUGUUCCUUUACCCUUGUGGGUAAUAAUAUGGUAGCUAGACCUUCAAAAUUUAUGUGUCUAAACUUUGUUAGUGCUGUUUCUUUACUAUUCUUUUACCUUUCUUGGUCAGAGCGAUGUAGUGGGAGCUGCAGCUUCACGUGCUCAACUUUGGCAGAGAACUUUGGCAAAGUUAUCUGUGGUACCCAUGAGCUAUUGUUGCGUGUGGGAAGUGGGUGAUUGAACAGUAAGAUUUAUGUGCUUUCUACUUCACCAGAAGUCUUCGACAGAAUGCCCAUAAUUUCCGCAAAGCUGAGUGUGCAUGUGACAGGUGCUGACAAGGCUAGAAAAGUAAGGGCCUCUUCGAUUUCUGAGAUCGGCCCUCGUGGUCUCUGAGCAGCCCAGCUUUUGAGAAAGCGAGCGUCUCUUCGAUUGAUUCGGAGAACGAUGCCUCUUCGAUUUUUGAGAAAGCAAUCAUGCUGGGGGUCUGGCUCUCGAGAUUCGGGGAGCGGUGUCUCUUUGAUUUUUGAGAAAGUAAUCAUGUUGGGAGUCUGGCUCUCGAGAUUCGGAGGGCGGUGCCUUUUCGAUUUUAGAGCAAGCAAUCUUGUUGGGAGUGUUUUCUCGAAUGUGAGUAAAGGUUGGGCAUGUUUGCUAGUCUACCUUGCCACGAAGCACAGAGGUUGACACACAGGGACUUUCCAAUUAUCCAGCAAUGGUACUAUUCCUUUACCCUCUCUUUGAUUUUUGAGAAAGUAGUCAUGUUGGGAGUCUGGCUCUCGAGAUUCGGAGGACGGUGCCUCUUCGAUUUUGGAGCAAGCAAUCUGAUUGGGAGUGUUUUCUCGAAUGUGAGUAAAGGUUGGGCAUGUUUGCUAGUCUACCUUGCCACGAAGCACAGAGAUUGACACACAGGGACUUUCCAAUUAUCCAGCAGUGGUACUGUUCCUUUACCCUUGUGGGUAAUAAUAUGGUAGCUAGACCUUCAAAAUUUAUGGGUCUAAACUUUGUUAGUGCUGUUUCUUUGCUAUUCUUUUACCCUUCUUGGUCAGAGCGAUGUAGUGGGAGCUGCAAGCUUCACGUGCUCAACAUUGGUAGAGAACUUUGGCAAAGUUAUCUGUGGUAACAAUGAGCUAUUGUUGCGUGUGGGAAGUGGGUGAUUGAACAGUAAGAUUCAUGUGUUUUCUACUUCCCCAGAAGUCUUCGACAGAAUGCCCAUAAUUUCCGCAAAGCUGAGUGUGCGUGUGACAGGUGCUGACAAGGCUGGAAAAGUAGGUGCCUCUUCGAUUUCUGAGAUCGGCCCUCAUGUUCUCUGAGGAGCCCAGCUUUUGAGAAAGCGAGCGCCUCUCUAAGCAGCCCAGCUUUUAAGAAAGCAAACGCCUCUUCGAUUUCUGAGCAGGCGCCUCUUCGAUUUCUGAAGCUUCGUCGAGUGCAGAUUUUUAUAGGGGCUGGCAUUAAGUUCCAAAGCACACUUGAAUCUCCACCAGUAGAAGCUUCAUUCUUGCACUUCUAAGAUCUUGAUUUGUCCGACCUCUUCUCUCUUCAACACCUUUGAAAAUGUCUGGCCCCUCCGACCGUCGUUUUGACUUGAACCUUGUUGAAGAGGCAGCCCCGCCUUCUCCAGACAACAUAUGGCGCCCAUCUUUCGUCUCCCCUACUGGUCCUCUUACCGUUGGGGAUUCCGUAAUGAAGAAUGAUAUGACCGCUGCGGUGGUGGCCAGGAACCUUCUCACUCCCAAAGAUAACAGACUACUUUCCAAACGGUCUGAUGAGUUAGCUGUUAAGGAUUCGCUGGCUCUCAGUGUUCAGUGUGCAGGUUCUGUGUCUAAUAUGGCCCAACGCCUAUUUGCUCGAACCCGCCAAGUUGAAUCAUUGGCGGCUGAAGUGAUGAGUCUGAAACAGGAGAUUAGAGGGCUCAAGCAUGAGAAUAAACAGUUGCACCGGCUCGCACAUGACUAUGCUACAAACAUGAAGAGGAAGCUUGACCAGAUGAAGGAAACUGAUGGUCAGGUUUUACUUGAUCAUCAGAGAUUUGUGGGUUUGUUCCAAAGGCAUUUAUUGCCUUCGUCUUCUAGGGCUGUACCGCGUAAUAAAGCUCCAAAUGAUCAACCUCUGAUGCCUCAUCCUUCUAGGGUUCUGUCCAGUACUGGGGCUCCGAAUGAUCCCCCUCCGGUGCCUUCUCUUUCUGGGGCUCUACCGACUGCUGAGACUUCUCCUAAGCAACCUUUGUGAAGGCUCCUUCUAGUUUGUUUAUUUUGACUCAUGUAUAUGUACAUAUUUGUAGCUUAUCGGGGAUAUCAAUAAAUAAGCUUUCCUGCAUUUCAACAUAUUGUGUUAAAUACACCAAAGCCUUCUUCGCUAAGUUCUUUGAAUUUUCUUUUGUUGAAGCUUGUAUGUUGAAGCUUUCUGAGUGGAGCAUGUAGGUUGGGGCAAUGUUCCCUUAAUUUCCCGAGUGAGGAAAACUUCUCGGUUGGAGACUUGGAAAAUCCAAGUCACUGAGUGGGAUCGGCUAUAUGAAUCUUAGAACGCCAUUGUGCUCGGUCCUGUGUCAUGUCCUUUGUUAGAUCCAAGUACUCUAAGUCUUUUCUUAGAGUCUCUUCCAAAGUUUUCCUAGGUCUUCCUCUACCCCUUCGGCCCUGAACCUCUGUCCCAUAGUCGCAUCUUCUAAUCGGAGCGUCAGUAGGCCUUCUUUGCACAUGUCCAAACCACCGUAACCGAUUUUCUCUCAUCUUUUCGUCAAUUUCGGCUACUCCUACUUUACCCCGGAUAUCCUCAUUCCUAAUCUUAUCCUUUCUCGUGUGCCCACACAUCCAACGAAGCAUCCUCAUCUCCGCUACACCCAUUUUGUGUACGUGUUGAUGCUUCACCGCCCAACAUUCUGUGCCAUACAGCAUCGCCGGCCUUAUUGUCGUCCUAUAAAAUUUUCCCUUGAGCUUCAGUGGCAUACGGCGAUCACACAACACGCCGGAUGCACUCUUCCACUUCAUCCAUCCAGCUUGUAUUCUAUGGUUGAGAUCUCCAUCUAAUUCUCCGUUCUUUUGCAAGAUAGAUCAUAGGUAACGAAAACGAUCGCUCUUUGGUAGUUCUUGAUCUCCGAUCCUCACCCCUAACUCGUUUUGGCCUCCAUUUGCACUGAACUUGCACUCCAUAUAUUCUGUCUUUGAUCGGCUUAGGCGAAGACCUUUAGAUUCCAACACUUCUCUCCAAAGGUUAAGCUUUGCAUUUACCCCUUCCUGAGUUUCAUCUAUCAACACUAUAUCGUCUGCGAAAAGCAUACACCAAGGAAUAUCAUCUUGAAUAUGUCAUGUUAACUCAUCCAUUACCAACGCAAAAAGGUAAGGACUUAAGGAUGAGCCUUGAUGUAAUCCUACAGUUAUGGGAAAGCUUUCGGUUUGUCCUUCAUGAGUUCUUACGGCAGUCUUUGCUCCUUCAUACAUAUCCUUUAUAGCUUGGAUAUAUGCUACUCGUACUCCUUUCUUCUCUAAAAUCCUCCAAAGAAUGUCUCUUGGGAUCCUAUCAUACGUUUUUUCCAAAUCUAUAAAGACCAUGUGUAAAUCCUUUUUCCCAUCUUUAUAUCUUUCCAUCAAUCUUCGUAAGAGAUAGAUUGCCUCCAUGGUUGAGCGUCCUGGCAUGAACCCGAAUUGGUUGUCCGAAACCCGUGUCUCUUGCCUCAAUCUAUGCUCAAUGACUCUCUCCCAGAGCUUCAUUGUAUGACUCAUUAGCUUAAUACCCCUAUAGUUCAUGCAAUUUUGUACGUCGCCCUUAUUCUUGUAGAUAGGCACACCAAAGUGCUCGUUCGCCACUCAUUUGGCAUCUUCUUCGUUUUCAAAAUCCUAUUGAAAAGGUCAGUGAGCCAUGUUAUACCUGUCUCUCUCCCAAAACUUUCCACACUUCGAUUGGUAUAUCGUCUGGGCCUAUUGCUUUUCUAUGCUUCAUCUUCUUCAAAGCUACAACCACUUCUUCCUUCCGGAUUCGACGAUAAAAAGAGUAGUUUCUACACUCUUCUGAGUUACUCAACUCCCCUAAAGAAGCACUCCUUUCAUGUCCUUCAUUGAAAAGAUUAUGAAAAUAACCUCUCCAUCUGUCUUUAACUGCGUUCUCUGUAGCAAGAACCUUUCCAUCCUCAUCCUUGAUGCACCUCACUUGGUUUAGGUCUCUUGUCUUCUUUUCCCUUGCUCUAGCUAGUUUAUAGAUAUCCAACUCUCCUUCUUUGGUAUCUAGUCGUUUAUACAUAUCGUCGUAAGCCGCUAACUUAGCUUCUCUGACAGCUUUCUUCGCCUCUUGCUUCGCUUUUCUAUAUCUUUCACCAUUUUCAUCGGUCAUCUCCUUGUAUAGGCUUUACAACAUUCCUUCUUAGCCUUCACCUUUGUUUGUACCUCCUCAUUCCACCACCAAGAUUCCUUUUGGUGUGGGGCAAAGCCCUUGGACUCUCCCUAAUACCUCUUUUGCUACUUUUCGGAUACAACUAGCCAUGGAAUCCCACAUUUGGCUAGCUUCCCCCUCUCUAUCCCACACACAUUGGGUGAUUACCUUCUCUUUGAAAAUGGCUUGUUUUUCUUCUUUUAGAUUCCACCAUCUAGUCCUUGGGCACUUCCAAGUCUUGUUCUUUUGUCUCACUCUUUUGAUAUGUACAUCCAUCACCAACAAGCGAUGUUGAUUAGCCACGCUCUCUCCUGGUAUAAAGUUUGCAAUCCUUACAAGUUAUACGAUCCCCUUUCCUCAUUAGAAGAAAAUCUAUUUGUGUUUUUGACGACCCACUCUUGUAGGUGAUCACAUGUUCUUCUCUCUUCUUAAAGAAGGUGUUAGCUAAGAAAGAGAUCAUAUGCCAUUGCAAAAAUCCAAGAUAGCUUCCCCAUCCUCGUUUCUCUCCCCAAAACCAUGGCCACCAUGAAAACCUCCAUAGUUGCCUGUCUCCCUGCCCACGUGUCCAUUUAAAUCUCCUCCUAUAAAUAACUUCUCCGUCUGAGCAAUUCCUUGCACCAAGUCUCCAAGGUCUUCCCAAAAUUUCUCCUUCGAACUCGUAUCCAACCCUACUUGAGGUGCGUACGCACUAAUCACAUUGAUAAGUUCUUGUCCUAUUACAAUCUUGAUUGCCAUGAUUCUAUCUCCUACCUUCUUGACAUCUACAACAUCUUGUGUCAAGGUCUUGUCCACGAUGAUGCCAACACCGUUUCUCGUUCUAUUUGUGCCCGAAUACCAAAGUUUAAACCCUGAGUUUUCUAGAUCCUUCGCCUUACGACCAACCCACUUAGUUUCUUGUAGGCACAUAAUAUUUAUCCUUCUCCUCACCAUAACUUCCACUACUUCCAUAGAUUUUCCCGUUAAGGUUCCUAUAUUCCACGUUCCUAAACGUAUUUUGCUCUCUUGAACUCUACCCUUCUGUCCUAGCUUCUUCACCCUUACAUUAGAAUAUGAUACUUCGGACUGCUGCUUUCGUAGGACUUGUUUGCUUUCCAAUUCAAAUUGUCUUCUCAGCUUCUCUAUCUACAACAAAAAUUAGAACUUAUACCAUUACAUGCAAUAUUUCUAGUUUAUAUCAUUAAGUGCAACACAUAUAUAAGAACACAUAUCUCAAUUGCACUGCAGUUGAUUAGGGAAAGCAGACAACGUAUAAAAGUCUCAUGAGUUUAUUAAACACUACGAGAUCAAAAAUAAAAUUCAAACUUUCUCACCUAUGACCAAGUAUAGUAGCUUCUGUGGCCUAACAAUUUUGAAAAGUAUAUCAAUAUAUUCAAAAAUAUUGAUGAACACCUCUUCAAAAUUUGCUGGUGGUAGAAGCUGAACACAGAAUGUAGAAAUUAUAUUAUGUAACCACAUAUAUGGAUAAAAAAAAUUCGGAUCAUAAAGAUAAAGAAAAUAUCAAAAAUUGUUACCUAGACAAUAAUCAAAAUAAAUAGUAUAUUAUAGAAUGUUUAUCUUAUUGCGAGUGAAGAAUACAUGUAUAUAUAUAUAUAUAUAGAGAGAGAGAGAGAGAGAGCGAGAGAGAGAGAGAGAGAGAGAGAGAUUAAGAGAAAGAGAUGAAUGAAUAAGGUCGUACUCCAUCAUCAUCGUCUAAAAAGAAAUCUAUUUACAGUUAAACUUUAAACCCAAAAUAUUUAAAAAAAAACCUUUAUGUUAUAAUUCUAGUUGAACUUUAAAUGUUUAUUUUCAUUAUCUUUAAGUCUAGUUGGAAUAUUUAUGUUAUGAUUGUGUUGGAUAUGUUAAAAUUUAAGAUUUCAAAUUUUUUCAUUUUUUGAAAAAAAAACCGAAACCGAACCGAAACCGAACCGAAAAAAAACUGAACCGAAAAAAACCGAAAAAAAUUGAACCGAACCAAAAUUUCGGUUUAGUUUCGGUUUUGGCAAAAAACCGAACCGAUUUGAACCGAACCCACCCCUACCUGGGAUACACAACUAUCAAUAUAGUAGUCUUGCUUCAAGGCCAUCAACUUAUCCCCAAAUCUACAUCCUUCCUUGGCAGGAAAAUUUUUCCCUUAUAAUUUAGAGGCGUUCACCAAAAUGAUCUUCUAAAACGUCGACAAGUCGACAAAACUGCCCAAAACUUAGGAAAAACUAACACAUUUUUCUUAUUCGACGAGGUGGACGAGGUGGCAAGAUUCGGAAAUUAGGUUCAAGAAUAAAAAAUGCUCACAUCACGCGUGUGAUGAAUGCAAUACUGCCCAACUUAUGCUCUCAUACCAGAUUGUCACAUCCCGGCCUGGGCCCCCACCACAUCCCCGGCUCGACUCCGCCAUAGCACGAUAUUGUCUGCUUUAAGCCCCGAUCACGCCCUCACAGUUUUUUUCUAGGAACUGACACGAGAACUUCCCAGUGGGUCACCCAUCAUGGGAAUGCUCUCGCCCGAACUCGCUUAAUUUUGGAGUUCCAAUGGAAUCUGAAGCCAGUGAGCUUCCAAAAGGCCUCAUGCUAAGUAGAGAUAGGAAUACACAUAUAAGGCUUAAAGGAUCCAUUCCCCUAGGCGAUGUGGAUGUAACAAUUCACCCCCUUAGGGGCCCGAUGUAUUUAUCGGCACACCUCCAGCCAGGGAUUGGCUCUGAUACCCAACUAACACACCCUAACCCGGAAUGUCCACCAGGACUUCGAAUCGAGUUGUGCUGGCCGACACCUGGAAGGUGACGAAGCCAUAAAGUGUGAUGAUGUGGAAAAAUAUGAAUAAAUUUGAACCUAAGAGUGCCUAAAUACCAGAGUGCGCUGGUGAGCGAGAAUGAACCCACUUCACACGUGACGUUAGAGCAUAAGUAAGUAUAGUAGAGUAGAUAAGGAUUAUACCCUCAAAAGUAGCCACAGAUCCUGAGAUUUGUCAAGAAUCUUUGUCGAUAUGGACAUUCAGCAAUUAAAACCUAGAGGGGCGAAAAACCAUUUCACUAUCAAAAGUAAUAAUCCCUCGCCGUAAAGCCUGAAUAAUUUCCUAGAAAAUAGAAUACAUAUCUAUAUCCAAACCAUACUCAUGAAAUAAGUAAUCCAGGUGAAAUAAAUCCAUGAAAAGUAAUAUGUCAGCCGGAUCCACCUAUCGUGGCAUGUACGAUUAAACCUUUAGCUCAACUAAUAUCCAAGUAAUAUGUCAGCAUGCUCCACCUUUUGUGGCAUGUACGACUGAACCCAUAGCUCAUCACAUAUCCAAGUAAUAUGCCAGCCGGAUCCACCUUUUGUGGCCUAUACGACUAAACCUAUAACUCAACCAAUAUCCAAGUAAUAUGUCAGCCAGAUCCACCUUUUGUGGCCUAUACGACUAAACCUAUAGCUUAACCAAUAUCCAAGUAAUAUGUCAGCCAGAUCCACCUCUUACGGCCUGUACGGCUGAACCCAUAACUCAUCACAUAUCCAAGUAAUAUGUCAGCCGGAUCCACCUCUUGUGGAAUGUACGACUGGACCUAUAACUCAACCAAUAUCCAAGUAAUAUGUCAUCCAAAUCCACCUCUUGUGACCUGUAUGGCUGAACCCAUAGCUCAUCAUAUAUCCAAGAAAUAUGUCAGCCGGAUCCACCUCUUGUAGCCUGUACGGCUGAACCCAUAGCUCAUCACAUAUCCAAGUAAUAUGUCAGUCGGAUCCACCUCUUGUGGCCUGUACAACAGGACUGGGUGUAAAUAAGUACACUCAAGUGCUACGAUCACAUGAAGAUUGUACGAAUAAUCGCGGGUCACCUACGAGUCGGAACCACCUAUAAUGGUCUGUACGACAGGACUGUGCACCUACAUUGGAUCCAAGGUGAGCGUAAUGUGCGGGAGGUGAACAUCACGUGAAGGACUGUGCCCUGGCCAUGGGCGGGGGCACUAACAUCAGGGUGCAGGUUUAUGAGCUCUAACUGCAUCUAUUAUAACCUGUACGACUCAUGGACAGCCAGUACGACAGUGUCGAAGUUGCCUAUUAAUGCAACCUCUACGACAAGGUCGGAGUUGCCUAAAACAUACAUGUGGUCAUGCCAAAACUUCAUUAUUUCAACUAAUACCAUAAACUCACCUGAAGUUACUUGGGUCUCCUGCGUUCUCCUUUGCACUUCAAAGUGUUCACAAUAAUUAUGUGCAAGUAAUAUACAUAUGGAUAUACCAUGAUGUAAUCUAAUACUCAACCAUGUCAUAGCAUUUUCAAUUAUAUACAUAUAUAUUAGACUUGGCAAUUUUUGACACGACACGGUGACACGACACGAAAACGACACGAAAAUAACGGGUUUCGGGUCAACACGAUAACUUAUCGGGUCACUAUCGGGUGACCCGUUAAGAACCCAUUAAUAACGGGUUCUUAAAAGGUAUACACGCGGGUAACACGUGGGUAACCCGUUUCGACCCGUUAAGAAAAAAAAUAUUUUAAUAAUUUUAAAGUUUAAUUACUAAAAGAUUUAUUAUAAAAUACAAUAGUCAUAUUAAUAUAUACAAUAUAUUCUAUAUUAAAUAUAUAGUUUUGUAUUAUCGUUCUAUAUAAAUUAUAAAAAAAAUUAAAAAAAAAGUUUUUGUCAUUAUUUAUUUUUAUUAUGAGAGUUCCCUAUUAUCAUUACUAGGAUAAAUUUUACAUAACAUAUUCUUGUCCAAAAUGAAAAUAUACUAGUAUAGUAUUUGUAUAUGCAAGAACUAAGAAGACAUACAUACAAGUAUGAAAAAUGUGAAAGAAUAUAUAAACACUUGUGAUUUAUCAUUAUUCCUCUACGAAUAGAUAAUUGUUACACUUAUAUUAUUGUUUAGAUUUUUAAAAUCCUUCAAACCCUCAUGAAUAAUGUUUUUUAUUUGAGGGAAAAAUUAAUAAAAUUAAUAAUAAUUAUUGUAGAAGUGUAAAAAAUGUAAAAAUAUAUAUAUACAAUCACUCAUAUAUAUAAAAAAUGUAAAUGCUUUAAAUUAAAGAUCAAAUUUAUUCAUUACAUUCUUAUAGGGUCGAAGAGUGUAUAUGUACAAAAUCAUCAAAAUCGAAGCUAAAAUAACCGUUAAAUUGUAAUUUUUCGUUUAUAACCGUCGAAAACUUUUGUUCCGUUACGUAAUAUCUGAAUGUUUGUUUUUUACAAUUUUUUAAGUUUGCAAUCUCGGAAUGUGUACAAAUAAGUUUGACAGUUGGAUCGUUGAAAAAAGUUUCGUAGAAUGCAUAUUGCAUCAAAACGGUAUAUUAAACAAACACUUAGAGUUAAUAUUAUACUUCUAUUAAGUAUAAAAUAAGUUUUUGUGGUAUCCACUAGUGUAAAUACUUUAAAUUAAAGAUCAAAUUUAUUCAUUACAUUCUUAUAGGGUCGAGGAGUGUAUCUGUAAAAAAUCAUCAAAAUCGGAGUUAAAAUAACCGUUAAAUUGUGAUUUUUCGUUUAUAACCGUCGAAAACUUUUGUUCCAUGAGGUAAUCUCUGAAUGUUUGUUUUUUACGAUUUUUUACAUAUGCGAUCUUCGAAUGUGUACAAAUAAGUUUGACGGUUGGAUCGUUGAAAAGUUUUUUGUAGAAUCCAUAUUGCGUCAAAACGAUACAUUAAACAAACACUUGGAGUUAAUAUUAUACUUUUAUUAAGUAUAAAAUACGUUUUUGUGGUAUCCACUAGUGUAAAUACUUUAAAUUAAAGAUCAAAUUUAUUCAUUACAUUCUUAUAGGGUCGAGGAGUGUAUCUGUAAAAAAUCAUCAAAAUCGGAGCUAAAAUAAUAGUUAAAUUGUGAUUUUUCGUUUAUAAUCGUUCAAAAGUUUUGUUCCAUUACGUAAUCUCUGAAUGUUUGUUUUUUAUGAAUUUUUACAUAUGCGAUCUCGGAAUGUGUACAAAUAAGUUUGACGGUUGAAUCAUUGAAAAAAGUUUUGUAGAAUGCAUAUUGCGUCAAAAUAGUAGAUUAAACAAACACUUAGAGUUAAUAUUAUACUUCUAUUAAGUAUAAAAUAAGUUUUUGUGGUAUCCACUAGUGUAAAUACUUUAAAUUAAAUAUCAAAUUUAUUCAUUACAUUCUUAUAGGUCAAGGAGUCUAUCUGUAAAAAAUCAUCAAAAUCAGAGAUAAAAUAAUCGUUAAAUUGUGAUUUUUCGUUUAUAACCAUCGAAAACUUUUGUUCCAUUACGCAAUCUCUGAAUGUUUUUUUUUUUAAGAUUUUUUACGUAUGCGAUCUUGGAAUGUGUACAAAUAAGUUUGACGGUUUGAUCGUUGAAAAAAGUUUCAUAGAAUGCAUAAUGCGUCAAAACGGUAGAUUAAACAAACACUUAGAGUUAAUAUUAUACUUCUAUUAAGUAUAAAAUAAGUUUUUGUAGUAUCCACUAGUGUAAAUACUUUAAAUUAAAGAUCAAAUUUAUUCAUUACAUUCUUAUAGGAUCGAGGAGUGUAUCUAUAAAAAAUCAUCAAAAUCGGAGAUAAAAUAACCGUUAAAUUGUGAUUUUUCGUUUAUAACCGUCGAAAUGUUUUGUUCCAUUUCGUAAUCUCUGAAUGUUUGUUUUUUAUGAUUUUUUACGUAUGCGAUCUCAGAAUGUGUACAAAUAAGUUUGAUGGUUUGAUCAUUGAAAAACGUUUUGUAGAAUGCAUAUUGCGUCAAAACAGUAGAUUAAACGAACACUUAGAGUUAAUAUUAUACUUCUAUUAAGUAUAAAAUAUGUUUUUGUGGUAUCCACUAGUGUAAAUACUUUAAAUUAAAGAUCAAAUUUAUUCAUUACAUUCUUAUAGGGUCGAGGAGUGUAUCUGUAAAAAAAUCAUCAAAAUCGAAGAUAAAACAACUGUUAAAUUGUGAUUUUUCGUUUAUAACCGUCGAAAACUUUUGUUCCAUUACGUAAUCUCUGAAUGUUUGUUUUUUUACGAUUUUUUACAUAUGCGAUCUUGGAAUGUGUACAAAUAAGUUUGACGGUUGGAUCGUUGAAAAAGGUUUCGUAGAAUGCAUAUUGCGUCAAAACGGUAGAUUAAACAAACAUUUGGAGUUAAUAUUAUACUUUUAUUAAGUAUAAAAUAAGUUUUUGUGGUAUCCACUAAUGUAAAUACUUUAAAUUAAGGAUCAAAUUUAUUCAUUACAUUCUUAUAGGGUCGAGGAGUGUAUUUGUAAAAAAUCAUCAAAAUCGGAGAUAAAAUAACCAUUAAAUUGUGAUUUUUCAUUUAUAACCGUUGAAAACUUUUGUUCAGUUACGUAAUCUCUGAAUGUUUGUUUUUUAUGAUUUUUUACGUAUGCGAUCUCGGAAUGUGUACAAAUAAGUUUGACGGUUGGAUCAUUGAAAAACAUUUUGUAGAAUGCAUAUUGCGUCAAAACAGUAGAUUAAACAAACACUUAGAGUUAAUAUUAUACUUCUAUUAAGUAUAAAAUAAGUUUUUGUGGUAUCCACUAGUGUAAAUACUUUAAAUUAAAGAUCAAAUUUAUUCAUUACAUUCUUAUAGGUCGAGGAGUCUAUCUGUAAAAAAUCAUCAAAAUUGGAGAUAAAAUAACCGUUAAAUUGUGAUUUUUCGUUUAUAACCGUCGAAAACUUUUGUUCCAUUACGUAAUCUCUGAAUGUUUUUUUUUUACAAUUUUUUACGUAUGCGAUCUCGGAAUUUGUACAAAUAAGUUUUACGGUUGGAUCGUUGAAAAAAGUUUCGUAGAAUGCAUAUUGCGUCAAAACGGUAGAUUAAACAAACACUUAGAGUUAAUAUUAUACUUCUAUUAAGUAUAAAAUAAGUUUUUGUAGUAUCCACUAGUGUAAAUACUUUAAAUUAAAGAUCAAAUUUAUUCAUUACAUUCUUAUAGGCUCGAGGGGUGUAUUUGUAAAAAAUCAUCAAAAUUGGAGAUAAAAUAACCGUUAAAUUGUGAUUUUUCGUUUAUAACCGUCAAAAAGUUUUGUUCCAUUACGUAAUCUCUGAAUGUUUGUUUUUUAUGUUUUUUUACGUAUGCGAUCUCAGAAUGUGUACAAAUAAGUUUGAUGAUUGGAUCGUUGAAAAAAGUUUUGUAGAAUGCAUAUUGCGUCAAAACAGUAGAUUAAACAAACAUUUAGAGUUAAUAUUAUACUUCUAUUAAGUAUAAAAUAAGUUUUUGUGGUAUCCACUUGUGAAAAUACUUUAAAUUAAAGAUCAAAUUUAUUCAUUACAUUCUUAUAGGGUCGAGGAGUGUAUCUGUAAAAAAGCAUCAAAAUCGGAGAUAAAAUAACCGUUAAAUUGUGAUUUUUCGUUUAUAACCGUCAAAAACUUUUGUUCCAUUACGUAAUCUCUGAAUGUUUGUUGUUUACGAUUUUUUACGUAUGCGAUCUCGGAAUGUGUAAAAAUAUGUUUGACGCUUGGAUCGUUGAAAAAAGUUUCGUAUAAUGCAUAUUGCGUCAAAACGGUAGAUGAAACAAACACUUAGAGUUAAUAUUAUACUUCUAUUAAGUAUAAAAUAAGUUUUUGUGGUAUCUACUAUUGUAAAUACUUUAAAUUAAAGAUCAAAUUUAUUCAUUACAUUCUUAUAGGGUCGAGGAGUGUAUAUGUAAAAAUUCAUCAAAAUCGGAGCUAAAAUAACCGUUAAAUUGUGAUUUUUUGUUUAUAAUCGUCGAAAACUUUUGUUCCAUUACAUUAUCUCUGAAUGUUUGUUUUUUACGAUUUUUUACGUAUGCAAUCUUGGAAUGUGUACAAAUAAGUUUGACAGUUGGAUCAUUGAAAAAAGUUUUUGGACCGCCAGCAAUAGAUAAUUUUGUAGUAGUGAAACCUUAAUUUUAUUUAACCGUCGAUUGUUAUUUACACUUUAUUCUUCUUACUGAAUUUCAUUUUUAAAAUUUUAUUUUUUGAAAACAUGAUCAUCUGGCGGAUGUAAGAAGAUGAUAUCACGUUUCGAUAUUUACGGUUAACUGAAAUAUGAGUCAAUGUCAUAUAAUUUGAAAAAACUUUAUAAACAUCAAGGAAUAUUUUCACUAACCGUAAAACUCUAAAUAUAAUAUCAACGAUCCAAACCGUUCAUCUACCUGCACCUUCUAAUAGAUCAUGUUUUCAAAAAAGAAAAUAUAAAAAAACGAAAUUUGAUGAGAACAAUGAAGCAUAAAUGUAAACAACAAUCAACGGUUAAAUUUUGAUAUAUGAAUUAUAUGAUUAUAGUGGCGAAUUUCAAAGUUAAGCUCUUUAUGAAAGUUAUAAAACUUGUCAUUACGAGUGUUUAUAUAUUUUUUUCUAUAUUUUUUUACACUUCUACAUUAAUUAAAAAACUAUUAAAGACUUUAGGUAAGCAAAAAUAUACUUAAAACAAAAUUGUGUUUUUAUGUUUUGUAUGUGAUAAUAUGGAAUGUAUAUACUUAUUUAGUAUUAUGUUUUUCAUUUGAUUAUUUAUUGGUUUAAAAUAUAAUUUCCUUAGUGGGUAACGGGUCGGGUCAUAUUACCUGUUAAUAUUAUCGGGUCGAUUUCGGGUCGGGUCAUUUUACCCGUUUAUUUUAACGGGUGUUACACGACACGACCCAUUAAGAUAUCAGGUAUAACACGAAAACGACACGAACACGGAAAACACAACACGAAUGCCAAGUCUAAUAUAUAUGUAUAAUAUGGCAUAAAAUGCAUAAGCUGUAACGCCCUACUCUCGAACUAUUUAUUUUCGGGAAUAAUUAUCGGUAAUAAGCCCAGUUAGACACUAGUUUAAUUAACUAUCAUUACUUACGUUUCCUUACUUCAAUUUCUUGAUUCUUCACACAUUGAUUUAUGAACAACAUUUAACCACCAAAUCAUAAGGUUAAAUCUAUCAUUUUCCACCAAUCUCCUUCACAUUGCUCAAUUCCCCAAACAAGGCUAUUGUCUCAAUUAUUUAGUCUCAUUUAUUGUACGGCUGCAUCUAACAUCUCGUUAGAUUGCCUACGUACCCUAAACAAGGAUCAAGCCAUUCGUAGUUCACACUAGUACUUCAAAGCAUUCACAGUAAUUAUAUGUAGGUAAUAUGCAUAAAUCAAUUUAAAAACGCUUGUGGAAUUAUCAAUCAUAUAUAUAUAAUAUACACGAUAGAAAGAAAAAGACCCACUCACCUGAGGUCCGCACUACGACUCCCUAGCAUGCAUAUCGAGACAUCACGAACCAAUGUCGCCUAGAACAAUUAUCAAAUCAUGUCUCAGAGUUCUUACUGAUAGAAUACAUAAUUUACUGAAAAAACACAUCCCUACGUAAUUCACUCCGGAAGAUCUGCAUCACAGAUUUCUGAUCCGUUACUUCCAAAGAUUCACAUUAUGUUCCUAGAACCACCUCCUAAUAUUUCAUUAUGAUCCAAUGGUCGGAUCUCUGCCAAUUGCCAAAACUAAGUGGCGGUCAACAUUUUAUUUUAUGAACUUACAAAUCCAAUUCGGGAAGAUCCGUACUUCGGAUUCCCGAUUCGUAAGUUUCUAUGGUCCUCAAAUAUUAUGUACUAUAAUGUAUUAAAGUUUGGUGGCAAUCCAACGGUCGGAUCGUCGAUUCACACUUUUACCAAAUAACGUGACAUUGAGAAUUUAGGUUCCAACCAUCAACCUAAGUCAUACAGUUACCAAGAUUGAAAUCAAGGCAUCUAAUUUAUCCUAAGAAUGACAUCGAUGGCCCCCUAGCCACGCGCCGCCAUGGGUGGCGAUCGGCCACCCUAACUCGCUGGAAAAUCCAACUAUUUCUAAAAAUUACCAAAUUUUACAGAAAUGAAGAUCUCAAUAAGUAGAACAAGUUUUAUACCUGUGGCUAAGUCCAAUUUAGUCGGGAAAUGCUCCAAUUUCACUCAAACCCGCCGGAAACCCUAAGAUGGGUGUUCUUCGAUUCGACUUCCUCAAUGUUCCAACACCCCUACAACUGCUUGGGUCUUGUUCCUAAGUCCAAGAGGAGUUGAUUAAGGGUGGUGGUGGGUGGUGAAACUCGUUGGAUCGAAGGAAUCACCGUCGAACACCUUUGGUGCUCCGGUGAUGUUCUCUGCAUUUUUGGGCCUAAAACUCUUCAAUCUUGAGCAAAGAUGGAAGAAGAAAGAUUGGGGAAGAUGUUGCAGGUGGUGGAUAUGGUGUUCCACGAAACAAAAUGGCAGAAAUUGGCCAGAUUUUGACCGGUUUGGGUGUGUGGGUGCACUGCCCUACGGCAAGGUUUCUUUUUUUUUUUUUCCUUCUCCUUCCUGAUUGGUUCUCCUUUUCCUCUCUUAAAAUUGAUUGAUUACCACUCCCACAUGGUGGGAGUUUGAUUAAUUUAUAACUAAACUUUUAAUAACCAAUUUCAAAUGUCUGUAACUAUACCGAUAUAAUCCGGACUCACAAACGGCUUUCGCCUAUGCGUUCGUACCAACGAGUACUACACAAAUGCGCUAAGUGAAUAAGUCAUACGUUUCUCUACACGUUGGUCAAUGAAAGUCAAAACCUUCACCUCUAGGGUAUUUUUAUAAAUUCAUUCUUUUAAAAUUUAUAAAAUCGUAGAACUAGGGACGAGUUGUCACAAUCAAGUACCAUAUUCAAGAUGAACCGUUCAUUUAUUUGAUAUGUUUGAAUGGAUUAAACAAUUUUUUAUUCGAUUGAUUUUUGCACGAAUGAUCUUCAAAUGAUAUUAAGAAAUUGAACGCUGUUGAUCAUUGAGUUUAUAUACUUAAGACACGUCAUUUGCAAAUGGGGAAGACGAAUCAAAGAUCUAUCCAAAAGCCAGUUGAACAGAUGUACAGUCAAACGUCUAGAGGUUAAUUAUACUGUUAAUUUCCAAUAAUCAUAAUAUAAGAUCAUCACAAACUAUCUUUAUUAAACUCAUUGGCAUGGCAUGCAAUCAGUUAGCAUGUUAAGGUAACCACCAGCUAUGACACUACACUUGAACUUGAUACAGAUCGAACAAUCCAGAAACUUACUAUACAAAUGAGAAUUUUACAAUCUUGUCGGCCAACUUCUGUCCCUCGAUUCGUUAUUUUCUUUAGUUAUCCAAACCGUGCAAGAAAAGCAAUACGAAAACACGUACGCAGACUAAUGCGGGGAUUUCAGAAAUAUAAGAGUGUACAAGCUUCCAUAUGCUGCACGAAACCUAUGCAGUGGUGUCAAGGAACGGAUAAUCAGCGUAGCCAAUAACCAAUUCAGGCACGUAGAAUGUGUUUCUGUUGUACUUGUGCAGAGGAGAAUUUAGCUCAAACCUCUUCCGCAAGUCUGGCUUAGCCAGGAACCAUCAACCAUAAGCAAUAAGAUCUGCACGGCCCUCAGCCACAGCAUUGUUCCCAUCUUCCCUGUCAUAACCACUAGCAGCAAUGAAGGUACCAUUAAAAGCCUUUCUCAUGGGUACAAAGACUCUGGGGGCUAUCACAUUUUUCUCCAGCUGUCUUCAUCCUAGGCUCAACCAUAUGGCAGUACGGGAUCCCAUAUUUGUUCAACAAAUUGGCCAGAUAAAGGCCCAACGCUUUCGGAUCUGAAUCCCCUGAUUCCAUAUAGCUGGCAAAUGGAGAUAAUCUAAUUCCAACUUUAUCCGCUCCUAUCUCAUUAACAACAGCUUCAACGACUUCCAGAGCAAAUCGACAACGAUUAUCCAAUGAUCCCCCAUAUUAGUCUGAUCGAUCAUUCACUUGAUCUUUUAGAAACUGAUCAAUAAGGUGUCCAUGGGCCCCAUGAAUUUAUACUCCAUCAAAGCCUUUAUAUCAGACAAAUAAUUUCAGUGCACCAAAUAUUAUUUGUAAUCUAGCAUGAAUCACACAUCUAGUUAAACUGCAAUUAACGCCCUUAACUACAUUUAUAAGAUUAGAGAUGGUUUGUUUACUUCUGUUGAAAGUAAUUUUGAGUUCUCGCCAAUGUUUUAAAAGGCUCACCUCAGGGCGGGUAUAGACGCCCUAUGAGGCUGGACUUGAGGAUUGCCGCCUAGGUGGCAGAAGGCGUGCCUCAGGGCUUUUUUUUUUUUUUAAUAAGUCCCAAACCUUUUGGAUAGGGUAUUAACUGUCUCAUACCUCUUCCUUGCACUAUCGUCUCUCUGCCUUUUUUUCUGAUUUUUAUUUUUUAUAUAAUGGAUGUAUGUGUUGUCUACAUGCAUUGUUAUAUGUGUGCUCAUUGUGUUUUUUAUCCUCAAUUAUUGUUCGAGCCCAAAAAUAUUGGUUUGGGCCGAGUUUAGAAUUGUUCUCGGCCCAGUAUUGGUUGGGCUGAGUUUAGAAUUGUUCUCGGCCCAGAGGUCGUGUUUAGGUGUCGUUGGGGGUUAUCCAACUCAUGGGCCGCGCAGUCGAAGCUGGCCAUAUCUCGUCAAGAACCUGUGGGAUAUGGGUGAGUUCUAUUACGAGAAGGAGUUUCGACAUGAUAAGGAUGUUAGAGUUUGAGAUUGAAUGCGGCCUGAUAACGAGUAAGUUCAAAGUCCUAGUAGGAGUAGGACUGGCUGAGAUAAGGUUGGAUCGGGGAAAGGAAUUCUAAUCCAAGAAUGAUUGGGAUUCAAUACAGGUUGGCUACUAUAAAUAAGGAGGGAGGACAUCGAACAAAGCCCCUCCAAUUCAACACACAAAUUGCCCUACGCAAACCCUUACUCUACUCAAAACCUCUCAACAAUCUUGAGAUUUUUGUUUUCCUUUUUCGCCAACACAUCUUCAGUUUGGAUAAACAGCACUGUGAAGGCAACCGACGAACAUCUUCAGUUUGGAUAAACAGCACUGUUGCCGUAGAAUCAGCCGACUGUGAAACACCUUCAGUUUGGAUAAAUAGCACUGCGACCUGGCCAACUGGUUAUCUAUCCAAGUCUCGGUCGAGAAAGAUUUUUGAAUCCUUAUUGGCAGAGGUUAUCUCGUUAGCCUUCUCGGCGAAGUGAGGUGUUACAAGUUACCAUACUCAGCAUACUGAACGUCGAGUUGUUUAUGAUUGGGUAUUUACAAGUAGGUUUUAGAGUUCGGCAUUCUGACGGCCAAACCACUUUCACAAUCAAGACGUACAUUUGUUUUGAGUACUUGUGCCCAUAUAGUCUGGUGUCGAUUCGGCGUGUUUAUACUUUAACAAAUAUAAUCACCAUGACCGAAUCCGGCACCGAUGAUUUAUGAACUUCGCAGAACUAGUAGCCUUGUCUUCAGGCUCUAGAACCCGAAGGCCGAGAGUGGUCCUUCCUCAGCCACAGUUGCAAGAUCAAAAAGUCAGUCGCGCGCUCAAUGCAACAUCACCAUAUUUUACUCCUCGACCAAGCUCGGCCGACAAGUUGGCAUGCCCUGCAUACAAUUGAAGGACGUAGUUAGCUUGUUAAUUACUCGGCCUGCAUGCCACGUAGGCAUAGUAGUUUUUUGGGUCAACAUUUUGGCAAAACCGGUGGGACCCAGUGCUAAAACUACGAAGUUCAUGACCAUCGAGACACGAUCGGUAAAAAAGAAAACAACCAUGGGAAAAUCAGCGACCAAUCUGCCGAUUCAGAGUCCUGGACAAGAGGUGUCACAUGCGUGAAAUCCUAUUGUCGCUGUGACCCCUGAGGCUGCAAGUGUAACACACCAAGAAAAGGAAGUGUGCCUCGGUACCUAGCCUCGAAAUGCAUAAGUACCCAACCGAACCGCAGGCGUUUUCAUUGAAAGAAUAGUGGAUGACUGCGACGAAGAAGAUGGCGAAGGCUUUGACCCUCCGACUAGGUCGUUUCUUCGAAGAUGACUUGAUAAGCAAUCUCGACAAGUUGAACAGACAGUUGGUCAAAAAAUGAACAGUUUGCUCGAAGUGAUAUGAAGCAAUAGUGAGACCCACACCAGAUUACUCGAACUAUUAGUUAGCAAAGUCUUCGAAUGAGGAUCGGUUGAUCAGGCUCAGCCCAAAAGUAGUGUCUACUCGGUCCAAAACGAUUGACUUAGAAAAAAAUGGAGGAUCAAGUAGUAGGUCAGAUGGAUCCGACCAGAGAGUGGAAGCAACAUCCGUCGAUGUGACCGAGAUCCAACGAAUGAUCGAUUCAGCCAUGAAAAAAAGGCCGAAGUUCCCGAAAUUCAUGCACCCAUAUCCAGCUUAUGUGGAAAAGUUCAAAUAUCCUAAAGGUUUCGAGAUUCCAGAUUUCAACCUUUUUGUUGGAGAAUCAUCCUUAUCCACGUUAUAACACGUGGCUCGUUUCACUGCGCAAUGUGGAGAUGUCAAUAGUGAUUUUCAUAAACUACCGUUGUUCAACUUUUCGUUGAUAGGCUCAACAUUCGCAUGGUAUAUCAACCUCCCAUCUAAUUCUAUCCAAAGCUGGAAGGAGUUGGUCGAGAAAUUUCACGAACAGUUUUAUCGCCCGGGGAUGGAAAUGUCAAUUUCUUCAUUGGCUAGGAUGGCUCAAGCAUCUGAUGAGUCACCAAUGGAUUAUCUUACAAGAUUUAAAUCGGCCAGGAAUUGGUGCCGAGUACCUCUUCCCGAAGUCGAAUUUGUUAAGCUUGCCCUGAAUGGGCUCAACGUUGAGUACAAAAAGAAAUUCUUGGGGGCAAACUUUCGGGAUAUGUAUGAAUUAGCCCAGCAUGUCGAGCAAUAUGAUUAUUUGCUCCAAGAAGAAAAGAUCUCGAAAUCCCCAUCCCAAGGAACGAUUUACAAAAAUCUUACGAUCAACUACGUAUCGACCGAAUGCGAAGAUUCCCAAUACGUCAGUGUGGAUGCGACCGAGAUAGUAAUAGAUAAACCAUAUGUUUGCAAGGCAUUGACUCAACUUAAUUCCAAGGAUGCCAAAACCCGCUCGGCCACUGAGGAGACGGCGAAAACAUCGAAAGUUUACACUUUUGAUAUCACAAAGGCAGAGGCAAUUUUCGAUCAAUUGUUAUUAGCAAAGAUCAUCAAACUUCGGCCAUGACAUAACAUUCCCAAAGCCAAAAAGCUUAAAGGAAAGACGUAUUGCAAGUAUCAUAAUUCGACCAAGCACAAACAACUGUGUCGUAUUCCGUGAUGAUAUCCAGAGCUGGAGUGAUGAAGGCAAGCUAAAGUUUCCCGAAAAACGGAUGACGGUCGACGUUGAUCCAUUCCCUUCGGCAACAGUCAACAUGGUAGACGCCCGUUUACCCAAGAGCAAAGGGAAAGGGAUGGCUAAGUUUGUCCCAGUACAACACGUCCCAAAGAAACAUUCCCAGUCACGACUCAAGAUCAACCUAUUUUCCAUUGAACCACCUACCAAGUUUUUAGGACCAGCUAUAGUUGAAUCCAUGUCAGAUUCCAGUGUAGAAGAAAGUGAUGGGCCGAUAAACAGUCAAGAGAGUGUCCUCAUUUUUUUUAAAAAACGGGGAUCCAUCUUGUUAAGGGAUUCCUUUGCGUAUGUACCUUGGUGUAGUUUCGAUCCUCGCAGAUUCGCUUCCUCCUAAACCCAAAACCACUUAGACUUUCUUAACUUUCUUAACUUUUGAAAUCUACUACAUAUGUUACCUUCCAUCUUUUUUUCUGUAAAAACAUGUUGCCACUCACGUGGAGGGAUAUUUUUCCGUCAAUCCACUUCCUAGAGCUCACUGCAAUCAAUUUGCACAAAGACAAAAUACAUUUUUUUUAGUAGCGUUAGAGUCGGGUCACGAAGAGACGGGUUUGAUUUUGACAAGGGUUGUUGAAGAAUUGAAGUGAAAAUGAUUGUUGGCAUCUACAUUUGUAGAAUUUGGUAGAUGGUGGCUGCUUGUGUUUUUAUUUGGGGGGGGGGGGGGGGGGUUUUGGUUCUUUAUUACUUAGACUGACUAAAAAUUCAAAUUAUUUAUUGUUUAACAUUGUAGUAUGUGUUUUGUGUCAGUUUUGUUGUGUUGGUGUAUAGGAUAAUUUGCUAAAGACAAUAGUCUUAGUCUAUUAGGUCCUUAUGCACAUUCAUUGUUUUAAAAAUCUCUGCCUAGCAUAGCACUGUCUAGGCGUUAGGAGGCUGACCACCAUUCUGAUUAAUUAAUAAAUAGCGCCUAGACUGCUUAGGCACCCGUCUAGGUCGCAACUCUUAUUUAGAUAGAAAAUAGAUAACUUUCAUUUUACAUUUUAUUUGUUUCAGUAUAUUGUAAGAGACUUAUUGGAUACUGAGAUGGACAUACAUUAUAUGUUUAUUCCUCAUGUUUUCAUUAUGUUCUAAUACUUUAUAAUUUAUGUCAUUCUAUUUUAUAAUUUAUGUAUUUCAGUGAAAUUAUCUAUUUUUUAAGUAUAAGCAGAUACUUAUUUAUACGAUAUAUCGUAGAUACUUAUUUAUACGAUAUAUCGUAAAUUUUAUUCACAUCCGCCUAGGCCCCCGCCUAGGUGCUAGACCACAGCCAUUGCCUGACUACUGCUAAACCUCAGCCCGCCAUCCGACUAACACCUGGCGUCUAUUAGAAUCUUGUGCAGAAUUUCAUGACCCCCAUUAUUUAGUUUAGCUUCACUCUUGGAGGUUAAAGUGAAAGCAUGCCUUAAAUAACCAAAAAGAGAUUUAUGCAAUUUCAACAUUGAUUGUAAUAGAGGAGCAGUUAGCAUCAUGCUAAUGUUGGAGUAGAAGAGAUUUGUAACAGAGAAAGCUCAACCAAAUAUCUUACAAAGUAAUUUGGUGGAUGUGGAUGUGCGAGAACAUGAAGCAUAGAAAAGAUUGACGAAGCUGAUGAUGUACGUAGAUUACGCGCAGAAUGUAGAAGAACCAGAGAGCCUGAUGGGUACAACUUGGAAGAACUUAGAAGCCUAUAUGGGAACUCAUCUAGUGAUGAAGAACCGGAUUCAAUGAGAAGGAAUAGGAGGAAGAAGAAACGACCUAAGUUUAAACAUCAUAGAAAAGAAACUGAUGUCAGUACCAUAGAGUUUGAUUUGGGGAUGUCUUUUCUUGUUAGACUAAACAUAAAAACCAAGUUCAUGUAACAUGAAUCACAGCCAUCCAAAAACAAACUGUAGUUCAUAACUAUUGUACAGAGUAGAAAUCUGCAGAUGCACCAGAAGAAGAAGCCAUAGUCAAUCUCAACAGCAAAACUAGUAAACCUUCUCCUCUUUCUAGAUUCAAAAUGCUCAAACUAAUAAUAGGUCUUAGUCCAAGACAGAGCGUAAUAUCUGACGAAUUACCAAUUCUCCAGACUCAUGCUCAUAUUCUUACAUUUCCAAGUUCCAAGGAAUUCAACGAAGCUGUAAAUAGACACUUUUAUAAUAUGCAGGUCUUACAAGUUAACCACAAAUGGUUGGUACAAGGUUAAGGCUCAAAUUCAUGCCCUUGGCAAGUUAUGCUUCUAAUGACCAAUCUGAUAGACAUUCUCCUUUAUAUGUAAAAACAUUUGUUCCAAAUCACACUUGUGGAAAAGAUGAAAACAAUACAAGUGUGACCAGUACUUGGUUGGCUGAUGAUAUGAAGAUCAAUCCCUUUUUCUUUUUUCUUUUUUUUUUUUUGAAUAAAGGACGGCAUAUAUAUAUGCAAAUCAAUCCUAAAAUGGAUGUUAAGACAAUGAAAGCUACAAUGAGGGAUUAUCCAUUCUAAUCCCUCUCCAAAUGAUAGGAUUGUGAGGGAUAAGUUUGUUUCAUUCCAAUCUAAACCUAGAGACGAAACGCGGCCAGAUAUUACAAAGACAAAGAUUCUAAAACAGCCUUCACUCAGAGAAUAAAAAAAGCCAUGCAGUGAGAACAUUUAAGGGAAACGAGUUGAUCCUCAAUAAAUGCCUCAAUAGAAUGACGUAUCUUUGUUAAAGCAUCUGCCACAAAAUUAGCUUCAUCUAAAACAUGAUAGAAGCUGAUAUGAUCAAGCAUCCCAUGUUUGCUGAAAAGAUGAAAGAAGGAUCUUUCCAAGUUUAGGAAGGUGGGAGUUGCCAAAGAGAAACCGAUUUGAGCCGCAUCUGCUCCAAAUAUCUCAGGCAAACGGUCAGCUGACAAAAUGCGGUCAAUGGCUUCAACAUCUUGAGAAUAAAAGGCACAACUAGGAUCAAUUGGUUGUACUUAGGGAUAAGAAUUGAGUUUCCUCUUUCACAAAUGUUACUUAUUCAUUCCGGCCAUUAUACGGUCAACAUUGAACAGAAAGUAUAACUUUUCCGGCCUCUAAGUCCGGAACCCUCCCAAACAUUGGACAUUACAAUACUAGAUAAUGCAAUAAGAUACAACAGUACAAUACAAUAUAGUUGAAAACAACCCAUCUAAGAUAGUACAGACUCAAUUGGAUGAAUCAAAGGAACCCUAGUGUUCAAGCUUCCAUCUUUGCGGUAAACUUAAGUGGUGGCUUCAAGAAAUGGAUAAUCAGUGUAGCCAAUCACGGGAUCAGGUAUGUAGAAUGUCUCUCUGUUGUACUUGUUUAGAGGAGCAUUAAGUUCAAAUCUCUUUGGCAAAUCCGGAUUCGCCAAGAAAAUACGGCCAUAAGCAAUAAGAUCUGCACGGCCCUCCGCCACAGCACUGUUUCCAUCUUCCCUGUCAUAACCACCACCAGCAAUGAAGGUACCAUGGAAAGCCUUUCUCAUGGGAAGAAGACUAUGGUGGGUUUCAGCUUUUUCUCCAACUGUCUUCAUCCUCGGCUCAACCAUGUGGCAGUACACAAUUCCAUAUUUGUUCAAGGCAUUGGCCAUAUAGAGGCCUAGUUCUUUUGGAUUUGAAUCCCCUGAGUCCAUAUAGUCAGCAAAUGGAGAUAAUCUAAUUCCAACUUUAUCUGCUCCUAUUUCGUUAGCGACAGCUUCAACAACUUCCAGAGGAAAGCGGCAACGAUUCUCUAGAGAUCCACCAUAUUGGUCUGUUCGAUCAUUCACAUGAUCUUUCAGAAACUGAUCAAGAAGGUAGCCAUGCGCCCCAUGAAUUUCAACUCCAUCGAAGCCUAUAUAGCAAAUUAACAAUUUCAACAUACUGACGGUAUUAGAACCUUAAGCAUUGUCGCUGAAUUACCAAACAAAUAAUGGUUAGUUAAUA
rnacentral:lncRNA from 1 species